rnacentral:lncRNA from 1 species
AGCCUCGAGCAGGGUUGGGCCCUUGUACCAGUCAAGGUUGGUGGACCUCUCAAUCAUGUUGUCACCCUCGAAACCGGAGAUGGGGACGAAGGCAAUCUUGUCAGGGUUGUAACCCACCUUCUUCAGGUAGGAGGAGACUUCCUUAACAAUCUCAUCAUAACGGGCCUUGGAGUACUUGGGAGUGGUGGCGUCCAUCUACGAACAGAUUAUCAAUAAAACAUCAUUAUUAGCUUAACUGAAGAGAUCGCAUGAACAGCAGACAAACUGUAUAUACACAAGAACAGUAUCAAUUAAUGUUAAAUGGUACACAAGAACAGCAGACAACUGUAUAUACAGAAGAACAGCAGUCCAUCUAUAAACAGAAUAGCAACAUAAGAUCAUUAUAGCUUAUAAUGGAAUAGAUCGCAUGAACAGAAAGCAAACACUAUAUACGGAAAAACAUCACAUCAAUCAAAAUUAACUGCUACACUGCACUUCUUUAGGGAAUAAACUUGUUUAAAGUUGCAUCUCAACAGUAAGAAACAAAUAUAUAAAUAGGUAGAUAAUUAUAUAUCACAGGCGUACCCAAGUUAGCUAGUGAUGGCUAUAACAAACAUAAAGCAAGUACAAAUACAGACCUCAUCAGUUACGUCAUCCUAUUACUAAAUCGUAACACAGCACAUUAUUAAGUAACAAACGAAUCAGUUAAAUGAUGCGACACAUGUGCUUGCAUUCUAUAUGCAUUACAAGUAUUCCAAUAGCUUCAGAACAUUACUCAAAACAGUUAAACAAGAAACUUAUACCAAGGUUAUCGGGAAAAAAUCUGCCAGAACAUAUAUCAGAUAAUGCAAUUCCAUGAGGGUAAACUGCUAUCAUCGAACAUAAAUAUAAACAUUCAAUAGAAGCAAUAGGCACUUGUUGCACUUUGUCAAAUUCAGUAUACAACUCACAUACUACUAUACUAGCAUUGUCAUUGAAACCAAUCCACAACACAAUGAAAGAAAUAGGCAGUACAAAUUGAGUGCAAAACAAAUAAAUCUGGACUAUAGACAUGUGUAUUUAAGAGUCUCUCAGAUCAUUAACCAAAGUGAGAUAAGAAUUUCUGUAUUAUACCUUGUUGCAGCAGCAGAUCAUCUGCUUGACUCCAAGAGUGAAAGCAAGGAGAGCAUGCUCACGGGUCUGGCCAUCCUUGGAGAUACCAGCCUCAAAACCACCAGUGGUGGAGUCAAUGAUGAGGACAGCACAGUCAGCCUGGGAGGUACCAGUGAUCAUGUUCUUGAUGAAGUCACGGUGUCCAGGGGCGUCAAUGACGGUACAGUAGUACUUGGUGGUCUCGAACUUCCACAGGGCAAUAUCAAUGGUGAUACCCCUCUCACGCUCAGCCUUGAGCUUGUCAAGCACCCAUGCAUACUUGAAGGACCGCUUGUUCAUCUCUGCAGCUUCCUUCUCGAACCUCUCGAUCACACGCUUGUCGAUACCUCCAAGCUUGUAGAUCAGGUGGCCGGUGGUGGUCGACUUGCCAGAGUCGACGUGGCCAAUGACCACAAUGUUGAUGUGGGACUUCUCCUUACCCAUGGCUGCAGGUGAAGCUUGAACCGCUGCAUCAGAUGAGUCAAUUGUUAGGAACACUAAACAGAGCAAACGAGCAAGUAUCAGCACAGAAUUCGGAAGCCAGUAAUAUAAAAACUUUUACAAGGCAGUAACAAAACAAUUUUACAGACCAGAUCAGAAACUAGAUCAAACAAGGAUGUUGCAACUAUAUAAAAAUAAACUAUACAGCAAGAUACCCAGCAGCAGCCUCUCAAAAAUAAAGGAAUUACAGCAGCUACCUCUAAACAUCCGAUCCACAAGUAUAACUAACAAAUCAACCUACAGUAUCUAAGCACUUAUCCGGAUCCUGAUGAACCCAUCCAUAAGAAUCAAAUUCUCAAAUCAAGGAACACGCAAAACCCACAAGCACUACGGAAUCGGAGAUGCAAGUAUCAACAACCCAGUCAAAACCAGACUACCAAAUCGCUACUCCCGCCAGCAAUUAAAUCCUCGAAUCAAGCGAUUACGCAAAGUCUAGAAACCCUGCGGAAUUGGAUAUGAGUAUCGACAACCCAAUCACUACCAGACUGACAAAUCGCUACUCGCACGAGCAAUUAAAAAUCCUCAAAUCAAGCGAUUACGCAAAAUCACAAACCCUACGGAAUCAGAUACGUGAGUAUCAACAGCUGCCCAAUCACUAGGAGGCGACACAUGAGAACAUCGAUCCCAUCGCAACAGCAUCGAGUAGCACAGAUCGAGAAAGGAGGGGCCGCAAAGAAACAGCACCUGAGGAAGCGAAGGAAACGGCGUCGAGAGGAGGAGGCGGAGGCGCAGGUGACGGCGCGCUGGCGACUCGCCGCUCGCGUGCUCGCCCUCGCGUCGCUCGUGCACUCCCGGUCUGCGGCGGCCGACUGCGUCUGGGGGAUUUGCGGAUGGGAUGGAGCUAGGUUUCAAGGAAGUGCGAUAGGGCACCACGAAUGGGCUAUUUGGGCCAGAAAGUCAUCUGAUGACUGAUGGGCUAAAAAUGAGCAAACACAAGCCUUGUUAAGCUGUUAUUAUUCUAGCAUUUGAGGGUUGAGACUACCAAACACACUCGACCAAAAUUGAGUGCUAUUCGGAUAGAGAUGCAACUUCAGGGAAAAGUAAUAAUCCCCUAACCUCUCCAUUAUUAGGCAGUAUAUUUAGUUUACCAUGUUUGCAUAUGUGUUGGCUUCUGAUUUAAGGUACCAUAAGCUAUUUUGCAAUGCUAUUUGGGAUAAAGUGCAUUUUUCACUAUUCAGACAAUCUAAACAAGAUUGCCUGCAUGUUAAGCAUGUCAAGAUUCAAACUUUGCAAUCUUUGAUCAAUAAUUUAACUAUUAAUUUUUUAUUCACAAUAAAUAUACUCUACAAUGAUCAUUCUACAAUGAUCAUAAGUUUAUAACCAUAAACAAUACUCCCUCCGUUUCAAAAUGCAAGUCAUUUUGGUUUUUCUAGAUACAUAGAUUUUGUUAUGUAUCUAGACAUAAUAUAUAUCUAGGUGUAUAGUAAAAAUAAUGUACGUAGAAAAGCCAAAACGACCUACAAUUUUGGAUGGAGAAAAUAUAAUAUAAAAUAAAUGAGUUCUCAAAGUGUUAUUUUGAAAACUAUACCAAAUCAUACUGUACCUUAUAAACAUAGACGGAGGGAAUAUUGUUAAAACAAGCAAUUAUUUGGCAAGGGGGACGAGCUGUUGGAUAAACCUGAGCAAAUUUAGCCUAGCCCGACCCGUGGCUUUUAUAGGGCUGGCGCCCAUUUUUUUACCCAAAAAAUUGAGUGGACCAAGGCCGGUCUAAUUAUUUUGUUAUUUAUUUUCCAACCGAAAAAAUACCAGGCGGCUCCGCCCGAGCCCGACCCGAAAAGGGUCACAUUUUUUUUGCCCGAAUUAUUUCAGGCUUUUUGCCAAUCCAGCCCGCACUUUGCUCAAUACUAUGUUGGUGUGACAUUCCAAGUAAUUAAGAGCCAAAUCAAGAGAAAUUAAGAAAUAAAUCAAAGAAAAAUCAAAUUGCUAAGUGUUAAACUCAAAGACAAAUCAAAAUUUCUAAAUGUUGAACUCCCUUAGAAUGGGGCUCACUUGGGUAGAAAAUAAAAACAAAUUUUACAUAAGAACUCAAAUUUUGACCAAUAUAAAAGUGGUAGGUUUCUUCAAAUUGAGCAACUUUCAUAAUUGGUACUUUUCUGAUUUUGAGUGGAAGGCGUUCAAAAACUGGGUUGAAGUUCGGCCAAAAUUUAAGUUUGAUUCAAAACCAGUUUGACCGGCGUUCUACCAAAGUUCCCUCGAUUUUAUCUCCAAAUCCGUCAAGUUUUUCACAUGUCAACCUUUAUAGAAGUUGGAGCCUAUAGUUUGAACUCCAACUUUUGUAUUUGGAGUUUUGACCGUGUAGUUCAAUUUUUGAGAGAAAAUGCGCACAGAAGAUCAGCCCUUCGCGCGCCACACGGGAACGCCAUGUGCGCUAGGCACGGUCACCGCGCCGCCCAACCGCCGGCAUCCCAGCGACAGCACAAGCGCCGUAGCUGGCCAACCCGCGCGCAUGCUAUCCUUCCCCCUGCAUGCCAUAUUCUGGCCGGCCAAUCGCCGUUCGUGCGCCAUGCCGCGCACUGGCGCACCGCACGGCCGCCGACCACUCCCGUGCGCCGCCCACUGCUCGUCCACCGCAGCGUCGCCCAAUGCGCAAAGACCCUGCGCUGGACGUUCCACUCCCUCUUCCUCCCCUUUGCCACUAUAAAAAGGGCAGCGCCCAUACUCGCCGGCCGCCUACCCGAAACCCCGUCGCCUGCCAUUGCCGCCGCCCCGUGGAGCCCUCACCUCCGGUCACCACUGCCGCCACCUAAGCACGCCAAGUACCGCCCUGACCCUCACUCCACCUUCCUAGCCCCACUCCCGGCCACCACCGUUGCCGCCCUCGUCGGAGCAGAGAUGGAAGCGGCUAUGCCGCCACUGCCUCGCUGAGUGCCGGCGCCGGUCACCCUCCGCCCCCAAGCCCUACAUCGGACAAGUAUCUGGUGAGCCCCUCAUCACUCUCCGCCCUUAGCCCACGCCCCCACGGCGGCCCCUCACCGGAAGCCCGAGGACCACAUUACGAACUUGAGUUUUGUCCUAGGCUUCUAAGUGUAAAUAUGUAGGGGUCUUGUUGUGAAAGUUUGAAAACUCUAAGGGUCCUGCUGUAAAAAUGAAAACUCAGAUUUGAAUAAAAUGCAUUUAAAUGGCUGCAAACUUGGAAAAUGCCUAGAAAAAUAUAUAAAAAUGAUAAAAAGGUGAAACUUGUUUUUUUAGUUCCUGAGGAUGUGUAGUUUAUUUCAAAAAUGUUCAUGGGCAUGUUACUAUUGCAUAUCUGAUGCUAUAAUUUAUUUUGUUCUAGACCUGUUAAAUGCCUUAUAAAUUAUCUGAUGACCUAAAAAUUGUGAAACCAAUUUUGUUAGCUUCCAUUUAACAUGUAUGUUCCAGAUCUACAACUUGUGUUAGUAGAAUCUAUGGUGCUCAUAUUGUUUUAAAUUUAAAUGCUUGAUUGCUGUCUUAAUAUUGUUAUUUGCAUGAUAAUUAGUGGAAAAUAGAUAAAAAUGCAAAGUAAAUUUUGUUAGAUUCUUGAUGCUCAUGUCUGACUAGUAAAAAUAUUUAUCCUUGUGGAAUAUGCAUUUUUGGUUGCUUAACAAAAUGCAUGUUGUUUAAUCUCCUUAUUAUGGAAUAAAUAGUUCUCAUACUUAUACAAUCCUAAUAAAUUCACAGUAGUCUAUGAUAGUAUUGAAAACCCUCCUGUAAAAUUUGUAUACUUAAAAUGAUGACAGGAAUCUAGUUAUAAAUCAUUCUUGAUAUCUGCAAAAUGACCAUAUUUGAUUUUUAGUAAAUUCGGUGGUUGUCAAAUCCAUCUCAAAUUUUUACAGUAGAUUUCUUGUGUAGGGGGAAAGCUCUUGUAAAUCAUUCAUGUUCAUAUACUAGCAGAUGCUUCCUGAACUUUUAUUCAUGUUAAAAGCUAGUUUAGUUAUGAAUGAUGAUUGCUACUAGGAUUUUAAGCUCACAAGUAAUUAUUUGUGUUCUUUAUCAGUAACAUGAUCACUCCUAAAAAGGUUACUAAACAGUACCAACAUGACACCCACUAUUGUCUUUUGAAUAAUAAGUUUCUAAGAAUUUUAUAUGUGUACACAAUCACCAUCAAAAUAAAUCUAUGUUUUCUUUCUAACCAUGCUUGUUUUGUGAAGAAAAGGAACGGUUAUAAACUUGUCUAGGUGAAUGUGACCAAAAUAAAGAGAAAUGUUAUAAACUUGUCUAGGUGAAUGAAUCUUAUGCAUAUGCAUCCCGGAGCCUAAAGAAGGACACCCUCCCACUGAGCUGAACCUGAUCGAGACGAACCAAGACCCAAACCAAGAUUCGGAAGAGCCCAAGGCUAACUUAGGACAAGAAGGCAAGCCCAAGAGCAUAACCCUGAUUUCUAAAGUUAUACCAUAUUCUUAUUACUUAUGUUUGUGCAUUAAGUUCAUAGGAGUUGUAUUGAAACCUUAGUUGCAUGCUCCUAGUGCCAAUGUUUUGAAUACUAGCAUGUUAGGUCACGUAGUUGCUAUGCUAAAUAGGGACACGGUAAAAGUCAAGUGAUUUCCUAUCACUCGCGAGCUAUAGGAGUUGUCUGUUUACUUAUGUUGGAAUCAUAAGGUUGACGGGCGGGGCUGGGUGCUAUGUUCCUGAAAUGGUUGACGCCCCAUUUGUAUAGAGGAAAAUUGCUAAGGUCAAACCGUGUCGGUGUUCAUGGUCAAGUGUUUGAAUGUACUAAACACAUGCUGAGAGUAUGGGGGAAUCAGUAAGUCUAGUACUUGAUUGAACCGGUGUGGACCUUUUUCCCCGCUCUCUCUGGGACUAGGUUCCCUUGGUGCAUCAUGUGGGUAUAAGUGCAGCCACGGCACGGCGUCGUUUCGAGGACUGGUGGGGCCUUGUAUCCAAGGAAGUGGGCUUUGGACAAGCGUCAUGGAUCGAUGGGAACCGUUGAUAAUAUGUGAACCUGUCAUGGUGCACAUAUGCCGUGUGUUUAGAUCCACCUUGCAAGGUUAAGAAAUUCGAUUCGAAUCGUCUGCUUCUCACAGUUUGGGACUACUUGAUCACUAUGCUGCAUUGAGUAAGAAGAUGAACAAUGAUGAUGCUUAAUAUUGAUGCUUGACGCUUGUUCUACCAUGUUUGCUUAGAAUAGGUGCUUAUCUAGAAUGGUUAAUCAACUAGAACUUGAUGCUAAAACUUGAAAGUAAGGAUCCACUUUAGAAGCUUUUGGCAAAAACAAACCCCUCAGCCAAAAAGCCUUGCAUGUAUAGGAGUUGGUGGAUUAGAUGCCACCUGACGGCUAAGUCUUGCGGAGUAUUAGUAUACUCAACCUUGUUGUGGCUAUGUUUUCAGGUAAUGAUGUUGAUGAUGUGGUUGCUAGUGUGACUUGGCCGUACCAACUCCCUCCGGGAUGAACGGUUGAGUGGGACCCGUCCUCGGUGGGCGAGGAUUGUGGUGAGUGAUGUCAUGGAUGGGUUCACCAUGAUACUAUGUACUGUCGUUAGACUAUCGUUUCACCAUGAUACCAUUUGAACUCUGAACUACUUUAUGAUUUGAACUCGGUUUGUAAUAAAUAAUUUGAGACGUCUGUAAUGUUACAUUUGGAUUGUUGUAAUCUCUGGGCCCAUCUUCGUACAAGUACUAUGUGCUUGUUUUGAUUGGAAAUACAUGGUUGUAUUAGGUGAAACCCGAUAGACUACCAUUUUUAUCCGAUUAAAGUGUCUGUUCGUAUUUGAGGUGAUAUUUAGUACACUUUAGCCGGGUUAAUUUGGGUGGUUCUGCCACAGCCGGAUUGGAGUAGGGCCUAUCUCUAUUUUUCUAUGUGCAUAUAGAAGGCAUGUCAUUAACUGCCAAAAUUAAUCCUUGUUAUUUUUAGAAGAAUGUUGGAUUUUUUUUUGGGAGGGGGGGUUUAAAAUUUUAAUUGGGAACCUUGAAACUUACCAUCAAGAGUGUGCGCCUCUUCAGUCUUCAGGUGGUAUCGUGUUUCCAUGAGUAGGAAGAAUUCGGAGUCUUUUGCAAUUUACUCUUUUCAGAUUGUAACUUGAUAAGAAGUUGGGACUGAAAAGAAUAACAGCUAGGUGGUAUUCACUGUUCAGACUACCUUUUCCGCAUGUAGAGUAUGUUUCAAUUAUUCUUCUAUCAUUUUGCUGUUGCAUAUGGACAUGUUUCAUACUACCUUCUAUUAGACUAAUAAUUAUGAGUUUCACAAAUAACAAUUUUAAAUUCACCAAUUCCAUCCACUUAAAAGUUGGGACCUAGAAAAUAAAAAAAUAUAAAAAACAUUUUAAUUUCCAUUGGAAUAGAAAAGGUGUCAUGCUCAUCCUAAAUAAGGCAGAACCAAGUGCACGUAUAACCUAAGCCAAUAUCACCCUACCACCCUCGCAGGUUAGAUAUAGGGGGUGUUUGGGAGAGGGGUGCUAAACUUUAGCAUCCCCACUUUAGUCCAUUUUAGUCACUUAUGCUCCCAAACAGGUGAGCUAAAACUGGUGGACUAAAUUUUAGGCCCCCACUAAUCCCUUAGUCACUUGGGGUAGCACAUGUAUUAGUUGAUGACUAUGUUUCAUAAGUCAUUGACAUGGAGAUGCUGAACUAAUAAUGUGGGCACAUGUGGAGACAUGUGCUAGGACUGACCCAACACGAGAAGUAGUUCUCUCUUUAAACAACAUAUACGCUUUGUCCUUAGACCUGAGAUUGUCGCAUGUAUUCAAGAUGUGGAUCGACCUACUUAGGGGCUAUCAAACGCUACGCCGUAACAGGGUAGUUAUAAAGAUAGCUUUCGGGUUUAUCAAGAAGCAUGCUAUGAGACAUGGUCAAUCAAGAUGGGAUUUGCCCCUCUCUGAUUGAGAGUGAUAUCUCUGGGCCCCUCGAGUGAUCGGAUCUGAAAAUGCAUGGCCAUGCUACGUACGGUUAAGAGUUAACCUACAAAGGGAUUCCGAAUCACAGGAUCGAGAAAGAGCGGUCGGCUUGAAGCUAGACCAAAUAUCGUGAGGCAAAGGGAAUAACAUGUAUAUUAUGUUGUGAUGGUUCGUCUGAUAUGAUCUUCGUGUGCGUAUAGGAGUUGGCACGUCUUGCUAGAGGCCGCUACCGACUAUUGGGCCGAGUAGGAGUACUCGGGCCAUGUCUAUACGUAUCCGAACCCAUAGGGUCACACACUUAAGGGUCUGGAAGCCCAAUUCGGAUGUGAUCCGAGUUGGAUUAGGUUUAGAAGUACUAAUGGGCCUCGGACUCAGAGGCCCGUUAGGAACCUCUAUAAAUAGAGGGGUGGGGGCGCCCUAGGGUUUACACCUUUUUGGCGAAACACAUCUGCUGCGCCUUCCACGCCCUCGCCUGUUGCAAAUCGCGGAUCUAGCAGUCCGGCUUGCGACGCUUCCUCCCUGCACGUGUGGAUACCUUGGAGGUGUUGCGCCUUCAGCACUUGGACAAGCCGCCGACGAGCCACGACGAGCCGCUGACGAGCCGCGGCACGAGAGAGAUCUUGCUGCACGUGGACGAGCUGCUGAGGAGCUACUGGACGUCGACGUGAUCGACUACGUACGACUAUGCUGAUCCACUUCGGUGCAUCGACGCGAAUCUACAUCUUCCGCACCAGUAGGGCGUCGAGUGGUAAUCCCGUGAUCCUUAUACGGCAGUUUUCCUGGUUUACGCGGUAGAAAAUUUUGUUUUGCGCUAGUGUAGCCUACCUCGUAUCUCUACAAUGGUAUCAGAGCCGUAGCUGCUUUGUUUUGGAUUUGGGAUGUGGGCAUAUGGAGAUAUGCGAGUUUUCAGUUUGAUCUAUGUCCAAGUUUCGUGUUCUUGCUGCAAUGGUAGUGUAACGACAUACUCCUACCAGUCGGUUUCCGCCAUCGGAGUUAAGUGAUACAUGUAAUUCCAGUUGCAGUGAGCGAAGAUCAAUGUGAUUGGUCGAAUCGAAAUCCAGGUUCAUACGCCAGGUGCAUGAUAUGUGCAGGUCGGAAUUUUUGCCGUGUGCGUAUGCUUCGGUAAAUCAGCCGUAACUUUUCGGUACGAUCUCGGAUUGGGGCGAAUUUUAUAUGAAAAUUGAUCUACAGAAAAAGUUACACAUGAAAUUCAACCGCUUCGCCAUUUUCGGCGAAAUUAGAUUUCCCAAAUUUGGCUUGGAAUAUGGAGUUUCGGGCAUCCGAAGUUUGGACCGUUAGGACACUUAACUCUGUUUUGCAGUAUGUAUGUAUGUAUCUUGUGAUCAGUAUGGCCCCUUUGUGUAUGUGAUGCAUGUGUGUAACUCAUUCGUGACCUGCGUGUCGCGCGUACGGCAACACGACAGGAGCCAUAUGUGUUGUCACCUUAAUAUAUUUAAUGGUCCGCGUACUAAUCUGUGAUGAUCCAAGCAACUAUGUAAUCUUCAUUACUAGCUUCCUUACUAGCUAUUAGGCGUAAUAGCAUGUUCUAGUUCUUGGAGGACUCAUCACCAGGAGGAUGGCGCACAUGGAACAUGGAGAUGGAGAUCACCAUGGUGAACAGGUUCUAUGGAGAUGGAGAUCACCAUAUGAAAACGGGCCAUACUGUGUCACAACUGUGUGAAUGCUAUUCUGUUUAUGUUUUACUUUCUGCAUGCUGUGAUGUUAGAAGUAGAACGAUCCCUCACAAAGUUUAAGUAAGUAUGCCCUCCCAACUAAAACUUGCACCGUCCCAUGUCUUGUACAAUUAGUGGUGGGUCUAUGAAAAUAGGGUGCCACUAGUUUUCCUUGAUUAGACGGGUUUGUGUCGGCACUUACACGCAUAAGGGUUGGUUUGCUUAACAAGGUUAACUUAACGGUUAAGGAUCUUGGGGCAUAAAGGUUGGGCGUCGAGAUAUGGAGAUGUCACCCAACAACAGGAGUCAUAUGUGAUAUGAUUAGCAAAAGUUGCGUACCGAUCUACCUUGUUUUGCUAGCGGUGAUGCUAAAGCUCACUAGUAGACUUGUUAGUUGUGGAUCCUGAAUCACUAAGUAUCAAUAGAGGGAUAUUGAUUUUAGUGGGAGUAGAUUCUGUUAAAAUAGUUUAAUGUAAUUUGCUCUAUCAUGGAUACGUUUGUCUUAGUGUAUUUUGCAUUACUUUUGUUGUAGAUUAAAUGACACCUAGCAACACCACACCGUUUGCUUUGCGUUCGGUCCUUGAGAAGGACAAGUUGAAUGGAACAAACUACUCGGAUUGGAUCCAUAACCUGAGAAUUGUUCUCAGGGCCGAUAAAAAGGAAGAUGUUCUAGACACCCCACUACCACCAGUACCUGCUAAUGAUGCAUCUGCUGCCGUUAAGGCUGCUUACAAGAAGGCAUUCGAUGCUAAUUUUGAGGUAAGCUGCCUUAUGAUUGCUUGCAUGGAACCCGAGCUGCAGAUGCAGUUCGAAACAAAUCAUGAGGCACACGAUAUGAUUGUGGCGCUCAAGGACAUGUUCCAGACACAGGCUAGGACUGAAAGGUUCAAUGUGUCCAAAGCCUUUCUGGAGUGCAAGCUAGCAGAAGACGCAGCAGUAGGACCACAUGUAAUCAAGAUGGUUGGUUACACUCAGCGAUUGGAGAAACUGGGCUUCCCAAUGGGCAAAGAGUUGGCCACUGACUUCAUUCUUUUAUCUCUUCCGCCUAGCUAUGGGAACUUCAUCUCGAACUACCAUAUGCAUGGGACGGAGAAGGAUCUGAAUGAACUGCUUGGUAUGCUCAAGACAGCAGAGGUAGACAUUAAGAAAAGCGCUAGUACCAGCCAUGUGAUGGCUGUACAGAACAAGCCUACCUUCAAGAAGAAGGGCAAUUCUUGGAAGAAGAAGGGUAAGGUUGGAGUGUCCAAGCCAAACCUAGCGCCCAAGGCUAAAGCUGGACCUGCUCUAGAUAAAGAGUGCUUUUAUUAUCACGAACCUGGUCACUGGAAGAGAAACUGCAAGUAGUACCUAGCUUCAUUGAAGAAUGGCGGAAGUAAGAGUACUUCUACCUCAGGUACGCUUGUUGUUAAUGUUAUAGACAACAUUUUUCUCGCUGAUACAAUUAUUAAUUCUUGGGUAUUUGAUACCAGAUCGGUUGCUCAUAUUUGCAAUUCGAUGCAGGGAAUGAUAAGAAGUAGAAGCGUGGAAAGAGGAGAAGUUGAUUUCCGUGUGGGCAAUAAUGCAAGAGUUGCUGCGUUGACCGUCGGGACGAUGCAACUCCACCUCCCGUCAGGAUUUAUUAUGGAGUUGAAUAAUUGUUAUUUCGUUCCUAGUUUAAGUCGAAACAUUUUGUCUCCUUCAUGCUUGAUGAACGAUGGUUAUUCAUUUGCGAGUGAAAACAACGGUUGUAUGAUCUCUAAGAAUGAUAUGUUUAUGGCUUUUGCACCCAUUGUGAAUGGAUUAUUUGUUUUACAUCUUGAUGGUUCACCUGUCUGUAACGUAAGUGCUAAAAGGCCUCGGCCUAAUGAUUUGAGUCCUACCUACUUGUGGCAUUGUCGUUUGGGUCAUAUAAGUGAAAAACGCAUGAAGAAGCUCCAUUCUGAUGGACUUCUAACUUCGUUUGAUUUUUCAAUCAUACGAGACAUGUGAGGCUUGCUAGGCAAGAUGACCAAGACGCCUUUCACAGGAUUUCCUGAAAGAGCAGUAGACUUGUUGGAACUCGUACAUAGUGAUGUAUGCGGACCAAUGAGCACGACGGCUAGAGGAGGAUUCCAAUACUUCAUAACUUUCACUGAUGAUUUUAGUAGAUAUGGCUAUGUCUACUUGAUGAGGCACAAGUCUGAAACCUUUGAAAAGUUCAAGGAAUUUCAUAAUGAAGUUGAAAAUCAGGGUGACAAGAAAAUUAAGGCCUUACGAUCUGAUCGUGGAGGCGAGUAUUUGAGCCACGAGUUUAGCAAUCAUCUAAAGAGUUGCGAAAUUGUUCCACAACUUACGCCGCCUGGAACACCUCAGAGAAAUGGUGUAUCCGAGCGACGUAAUCGAACUUUGUUAGACAUGGUUCGAUCAAUGAUGAGCCAGUCGGACCUACCGUUGUUAUUUUGGGGAUACGCUCUAGAAAUAGCAGCUUUCACACUUAAUAGGGUACCAUCUAAAUCCGUAGUUAAGACACCAUAUGAGAUGUGGACUGGAAAGGUUCCCAGUUUGUCUUUUCUAAAGAUUUGGGGAUGUGAAGUGUUUGUCAAGCGACUUCAGUCGGACAAGAUCACACCCAAGUCGGAUAAGUGCAUUUUCAUGAGAUAUCCAAAGGAAACUUUGGGAUAUUAUUUCUACAACCGGUCAGAGGGCAAAGUGUUUGUCGCUCGAAACGGGGUUUUCCUAGAGAAAUAGUUUCUCAAAGGAGAAAAGAGUGGAAAGACAUAGCAUCUUGAAGAAGUUCAAGAUGAGCCAAUCGGGCAAGAAUCAAUGAGUGAUGCUAACAUAGCAGAACAAGUUGAGAUACCCAUGGCAAGAGAAGCACCGCCACAACCACGAAGGUCGGCAAGGCUCCGCGAAAUGCGGGAAAUAUUAUUGUUGGACAAUGAUAAGCCUGCGACAUAUGCAGAAGCAAUGAUGGACCCAGACUCUGAAAAAUGGCAGAGUGCCAUGCAAUCCGAAAUAGAGUCCAUGGGAGACAAUCAAGUUUGGAACUUGGUUGACCCAUCUGAUGGUGUUAAAGCCAUAGAGUGCAAAUGGAUCUAUAAGAAGAAAAAGGACAUGGAUGGAAAUGUUCACAUCUAUAAAGCACGACUUGUCGCAAAAGGUUUUCGACAAGUUCAAGGAGUUGACUACGACAAGACUUUCUCGCCCGUAGUGAUGCUUAAGUCCAUUCGGAUUAUUCUAGCUAUAGCUGCAUAUUUCGAUUAUGAGAUAUGGGAGAUGGAUGUCAAGAAAGCUUUCCUGAAUGGAAACCUAGCUGAGGACGUGUAUAUGAUACAGCCUGAGGGUUUUGUCGAUCCGAAAAAUGCUAGAAAGGUAUGCAAACUUCAAAGAUCCAUUUAUGAAUUGAAGCAAGCAUCUAGGAGUUGGAACAUUCGUUUUGAUGAAGUGGUCAAAGGGUUUGACUUCACCAAGAACGAAGAAGAGUCUUGUGUUUACAAGAAGGUUAGUGGGAGCUCUGUAGUAUUUCUAAUCUUAUAUGUGGAUGAUAUAUUGCUGAUUGGAAAUAACAUUCCUAUGCUUGAGUCCGUAAAGACUUCACUGAAAAAUAGUUUUUCGAUGAAGGACUUAGGGGAAGCGGCAUAUAUUCUGGGCAUUAAGAUCUAUAGAGAUAGAUCGAGAAGGCUUAUAGGAUUAAGCCAAGAUACUUACAUUGACAAAGUGUUGAAGCGGUUCAGCAUGGAAAAGGCAAAGAAAGGGUUCUUGCCUAUGUCACAUGGCAUACAUCUCAGCAAGACUCAGUGUCCUUCGAUUGCUGAUGAGCGGGAUCGCAUGAGUAGAGUGCCAUAUGCCUCGGCUAUUGGAUCUAUCAUGUAUGCAAUGAUAAGUACUCGCCCAGAUGUUUCAUAUGCGCUAAGUAUGACAAGCAGACACCAGUUUGAUCCAAGUGAGAGUCACUGGAUAGCGGUGAAAAAUAUUCUUAAGUACUUGAGAAGGACUAAAGAUAUGUUCCUCGUCUAUGGAGGUAAGGAGGAGCUCGUUGUAACAGGUUACACCGAUGCUAGUUUCCAAACCGACAGAGAUGAUUCAAAGUCACAAUUAGGAUUUGUGUUCACGCUAAAUGGUGGUGCUGUUAGUUGGAAGAGUUCCAAGCAGGAGACGGUGGCCGAUUCUACGACAGAAGCCGAGUACAUCGCGGCUUCGGAAGCCGCGAAGGAGGGUGUUUGGAUAAGGAAUUGCCUCAUUGAGCUUGGUGUGUUCCCGAAUGCGUCCAGCCCAUUGAAUCUCUACUGUGAUAACAAUGGGGCAAUUGCGCAAGCAAAGGAGCCAAGGAACCACCAGAAGAACAAACACGUAAUGCGGCGAUUUCAUCUCAUUCGAGACUUCGUUAACCGGGAUGAGAUCAAGAUAUGCAAAAUACACACGGAUCUGAACAUUUCUGAUCCGUUGACAAAACCACUCCCGCAGGCUAAGCAUGAUGCGCAUGUAAGAGCUAUGGGUAUUAGGUACCUUCUAGAUUGACUCUAGUGCAAGUGGAAGACUGUUGGAGUAUGCCCUAGAGGCAAUCAUAGAGAUGAUGAUAUUCCAUUUGUAUCCAUGAUUUAUAUUGUGUUCCUUGAAUAUCCAUUAAAGGCUACUUGAAUUGAUUUGCAAUUAUGUGAAUUGUGUGUGAAACUCUUUACUUGUAUGGUUAUUCUAAAGUUGUCCCUAGUCGGAGUUCAUGAGAGGACACACAUGAAUAUUAGACUAGCACAUGUAUUAGUUGAUGACUAUGUUUCACAAGUCAUUGACAUGGAGAUGCUGAACUAAUAAUGUGGGCACAUGUGGAGACAUGUGCUAGGACUGACCCAACACGAGAAGUAGUUCUCUCUUUAAACAACAUAUACGCUUUGUCCUUAGACCUGAGAUUGUCGCAUGUAUUCAAGAUGUGGAUCGACCUACUUAGGGGCUAUCAAACACUACGCCAUAACAGGGUAGUUAUAAAGAUAGCUUUCGGGUUUGUCAAGAAGGAUGCUAUGAGACAUGGUCAAUCAAGAUGGGAUUUGCCCCUCUCUGAUUGAGAGUGAUAUCUCUAGGCCCCUCGAGUGAUCGGAUCUGAAAAUGUAUGGCCAUACUACGUACGGUUAAGAGUUAACCUACAAAGGGAUUCCGAAUCACAGGAUCGAGAAAGAGCGGUCGGCUUGAAGCUAGACCAAAUAUCGUGAGGCAAAGGGAAUAGCAUGUAUAUUAUGUUGUGAUGGUUCGUCUGAUAUGAUCUUCGUGUGCGUAUAGGAGUUGGAUUAGGUUUAGAAGUACUAAUGGGUCUCGAACCCAGAGGCCCGUUAGGAACCUCUAUAAAUAGAGGGGUGGGGGCGCCCUAGGGUUUACACCUUUUUGGCGAAACACAUCUGCUGCGCCUUCCACGCCCUCGCCUUUUGCAACUCAUGGAUCUAGCAGUCCGGCUUGCGACGCUUCCUCCCUGCAUGUGUGGAUACCUUGGAGGUGUUGCGCCUGCAGCACUUGGACGAGCCGCCGACGAGCCACGACGAGCCGUCGACGAGCCGACGACGAGCCGCGGCACGAGGGAGAUCUUGCUGCACGUGGACGAGCUGCUGAGGAGCUACUGGACGUCGACGUGAUCGACUACGUACGACUACGCUGAUCCACUUCGCUGCAUCGACGCGAAUCUACAUCUUCCGCACCAGUAGCGCGUCGAGUGGUAAUCUCGUGAUCCUUAUAUGGCAGCUUUCCUGGUUUACGCGGUAGAAAAUUUUAUUUUGCGCUAGUGUAGCCUACCUCGUAUCCCUACACGCCUCACCCGCCGCCUCCGCCUCGCCGCCGCCUCCGCCCCGCCGCCGCCCGCCGCCUCUGCCUCGCCGCCACCGCUGCCGCCACCUCCGGCCGGCCCCGCCCGCCCCCGCGGCCUCCGCCCCACCCUCGGAGAUCCGCCUGUAGUCCCACCGCACGGCUUCGGCGAUGGCCUGCGCGCGGCCGCCGGCGAGGGCCUGGGCCCUGCGGAGCUUGGCGCGAAGGGCGGCAGCCGCGGCCGUUAGCGGCGUCGCGGACUGCGAGAGCAUCCAUGGUGCGACGAGAGGAACAGGUGGUGCUCCUGCGUAUGAGAGGGUUCAGGGUCUUGAUGAAGGCCAUGGCCGUACAUCCUCCAGCCCCGGGCGCGGGGAGCCUUCGCCGCCGCUGCCGCUCGAGUACUACGGCCCGAGGGCAGCUGCCGCCGCGGCACCGUCCGAGUAUAUGGUCGCCUCCGUGUACUCCACGCCGUGCAUCACCUCGCCGCCGUCGCGGCACUGGCCGGCGUCCUGGAGGGGCAACUAUGCAGGGGUAAAAGGGUCAUUUGGCAUAGCAUGUGCUAAACUUUAGCACCCCUCCCAAACACCCCCAAAGGCUAAAGUUUAGCACUCUUUUUGAGAGGGCUAAAAUUUAGUUCAGGACUAAAUUUUAGCACCCUCCUCCCAAACAGGGUCAUAUACAAAGUGUUACAAAGCGUUAACUAGCUAGUAGCCCCUGGACAAGGACAACGCUGGGGUCAAACACUCACACACUGAUACACUGCAAUAUUUUACUCGUACAAAUCAAAAUGAGCGCUGAAAUUCGAAACGUAAUAGCCACACAACUGCCAAUAAUACUUCAACAUCUACUUAACCAAUGAAUUAGAUGACAACUUCAGUGGCUGCGACAGAUUUCGGGUACAUACACUGCUUGCCGCAAUAGCAAAUGCUUAGAGGGUGUUUGGGAUAGGGGUGCUAAACUUUAGCACCCUCACUUUAGUCCAUUUUAGUCACUUGUGCUCCCAAACAGGUGAGCUAAAACUGGUGGACUAAAUUUUAACCCCCACUAAUCCUUUAGUCACUUGGGGUAGCUAAAAUGGACUAAAUGGACUAAAAAGUGGUCCCCCGGACCACUUUCCCCCUACCCCCCUCCCCUCUCUCUCCUCCCCUCAGUCUCUCUCUCUCCUCGCCUCCUUCGCCCGAACCGCCGCCUCCAACUCGCCGGGCCGCCUCCGCCUCGCCGCCAUCCUUCUCCGUCCGGCCGCCGCCUCCGCCUCCGCCUUGCCGCCGCCGCCUCCGUCUCCGGCCGGCCCCGCCGUCGCUGCCCACCCCCGCGGCCUCGCCUCGCCGGCCCUCGCGCCGGCCCCGCCCGCCCAUGCGGCCUCGCCUCGCUGGCCACUGCGGCGUCGCCGGACCUAUCGCUGCACAUCAGCCUGCCGAGCAGCGCGCCCGGGGCCGGGCCGUCCGGCGGGCGCGCCGCGGUAGGGGGAGCAGGCGGAGUAGGAGUAGGAGGCGCGGGGGGAGACCCGUGGUGGAGGCUAAACGGGUCCACGGUGUCGACGGAGCUGUUGCCGCCGGCUGAGCAGGACCAUGCGGGCGCGCGCCCUCUGGCGGCAUCGCCCGUCGGCGACGGCCGCGCCCUCCGUGGCCACCACGUCGGCGGGCGCGGCGCUGAUGCCCACUAUGCCGAUGCUGCAGCCGCUUGACGGCGGGGGCGGGCUAGCCGGCGGAGGAGGGGGCGCAUCGUUGGCGAACAGGGCCGGAAUCCGGGGAAUACCUGUCCGCCGUGCUGCUGCUCGCUGCCGUGCGGCACUGGCUGGCGACGAAGGGGCUGAGAAGGAGCGGGUGGCGAUCCGAAGGGGCAGCUAUACAGGGGUAAAAGGGUCAUUUGGCACAGCAGGUGCUAAACUUUAGCCUCCCUCCCAAACACCCCCAAGGCUAAAACCCCCAAAGGCUAAGUUUAGCGCUCUUUUUGAGAGGACUAAAAUUUAGUUCAGGACUAAAUUUUAGCACCUUCCUCCCAAACAGGACCUUAAUUGAACAGUGCAGACGACCAUGCCAAUAACAAACUAGGGCAGCAUUUAUUAAAGGAGGACAAUCAGAUAUACAUGGAUUUGAACCUCUGAACAAAUUACCAAGCAAAUUCAAUCAGCAGAUGGGACAAAGAGGAAACUUAAUGACACCCAAGCGCUUGCAUUGAACAAUUGCCAACAGACACAUCAAUCUCAGGUAUCGCCGAGUCCGAAUAUUAAAACUGCAUGUAAACGUCACAACCGAGUAACAGACCGAGGGCACAUUGCCAGCAGAGAUAUCACGAGACAACAGCAAUGACCGGGGACAAAACUAAUAUGUGAUAGUGAAAGUUAUCUAGGUAUCGCAAAAGCAGACACAGGAUUAACCACCAGGCGCAUCAUUUCUUCUUGGCGGCAGCCUUGGUAACCUUGGCGCCGGUCGGGUCCUUCUUCUCCACGCUCUUGAUGACUCCCACAGCAACUGUCUGUCUCAUGUCACGGACAGCGAAGCGACCAAGAGGAGGGUACUCAGAGAAGGUCUCCACCACCAUGGGCUUCGUGGGAAUCAUCUUCACCAUACCAGCAUCACCGUUCUUCAGGAACUUGGGCUCCUUCUCAAGCUCCUUACCGGAUCGCCUGUCGAUCUUGGUAAUGAGCUCAGCAAACUUGACAGCUAUGUGGGAGGUGUGGCAGUCCAGCACUGGGGCGUAGCCGUUGCCGAUCUGCCCAGGGUGGUUCAUGAUGAUGACCUGGGAGGUGAAGCUGGCAGCCUCCUUGGCAGGGUCAUCCUUGGAGUUGGAGGCCACGAACCCACGCUUGAGAUCCUUGACAGCAACGUUCUUCACGUUGAAGCCAACGUUGUCACCAGGAAGGGCCUCCUGGAGAGCCUCGUGGUGCAUCUCAACAGACUUCACCUCAGUAGUCAGGCCAGUUGGACCAAAGGUGACAACCAUACCAGGCUUGAUGAUACCGGUCUCAACACGGCCAACAGGGACGGUUCCAAUACCACCAAUCUUGUACACAUCCUGAAGGGGGAGACGCAGGGGCUUGUCCGAAGGCCUCUUGGGCUCGUUGAUCUGGUCAAGAGCCUCGAGCAGGGUUGGGCCCUUGUACCAGUCAAGGUUGGUGGACCUCUCAAUCAUGUUGUCACCCUCGAAACCGGAGAUGGGGACGAAGGCAAUCUUGUCAGGGUUGUAACCCACCUUCUUCAGGUAGGAGGAGACUUCCUUAACAAUCUCAUCAUAACGGGCCUUGGAGUACUUGGGAGUGGUGGCGUCCAUCUACGAACAGAUUAUCAAUAAAACAUCAUUAUUAGCUUAACUGAAGAGAUCGCAUGAACAGCAGACAAACUGUAUAUACACAAGAACAGUAUCAAUUAAUGUUAAAUGGCACACGGCACUAGUUUAGGGAAUAAAGUUGUAGCUAAAUUCUAACAAAGCACAUUAUUACUAAAUACUAACAAAGCACAUUAAUUAACAAUACCAAUCAUAGGAAGAUGGUUAAAUAACACAACUUGUGUUCUCAUUCUGUAUGCUACAUUUCAAACUUCAUAAAACUACUCAAAGCAGUUGAGAGAGAAACUUAAAACAAAAUUACAGAAAAAACAUUUCUGCACAUAUAUCAGAAAAUGCAAUUCAAUGAAGGUGAACUGCUACUAUCAAACAUAAAUAUGUAGGAAACAGCUGGUUCAAAAAUAGGCACUUAAUGCACUGACAAAUUCAAUACCAAACUUGCAUACCCCAUCACUAGCAAUGCUUUUGGAACGGAAGGAGUACAAUUUAGUGCAAAUGAAUAAAAAUGGACUACUGGCAUGUGUAAUUAAGGGCAUUUCAGAUCAUGAACCAUAAUGAGAUAGGGAUUUCUGGAAUUAUACCUUGUUGCAGCAGCAAAUCAUCUGUUUCACUCCAAGAGUGAAAGCAAGGAGAGCAUGCUCACGGGUCUGGCCAUCCUUGGAGAUACCAGCCUCAAAACCACCAGUGGUGGAGUCAAUGAUGAGGACAGCACAGUCAGCCUGGGAGGUACCAGUGAUCAUGUUCUUGAUGAAGUCACGGUGUCCAGGGGCAUCAAUGACUGUGCAGUAGUACUUGGUGGUCUCGAACUUCCACAGGGCAAUAUCAAUGGUGAUACCCCUCUCACGCUCAGCCUUGAGCUUGUCAAGCACCCACGCGUACUUGAAGGACCUCUUGUUCAUCUCAGCGGCCUCCUUCUCGAACCUCUCGAUCACACGCUUGUCGAUACCUCCAAGCUUGUAGAUCAGGUGGCCUGUGGUGGUUGACUUGCCAGAGUCGACAUGGCCAAUGACCACGAUGUUGAUGUGGGACUUCUCCUUACCCAUGGCUGCAGGUGAAGCUUAAACCGCUGCAUGAGAGCAAACGAGCAAGUAUUAGCACAGAAUUUGGAAGCCACUAAUAUAAACACUUUUACAAGACAGUAACAAAACAAUUUUACAGACCUGAUCUGAAACUAGAUCAAAAAAGGACGUUGCGACUAAAUAAACAUAAACUAUACAGCCCGAUACAUAGCAGCAGCCUCUCAAAAAUAACGGAAUUACAGUAGCUACAUCUAAACAUCCGAUCCACAAGUACAACUAACAAAUCAACCUACAGUUUCUAAUUAAUUAUCCAGAUCCAGAUGAAUCCAUCCAUAAAAAUCAAAUCCUCGAAUCAAGCGAACACACGAAACCCACAAACCCUACGGAAUCGGAGAUGCGAGUAUCAACAACCCAAACACUACCAGACUGCCAAAUCGACAACCCAAUCACUACCGGGCAGCCAAAUCGACAACCCAAUCACUACCGGACUGCCAAAUCCACAACGCAAUCACUACCGGACUGCCAAAUCGCUAUUGGCCCGAGGAGGCAACCCUGGACAACAUCGAUCCCGUGGAGACAGCAUCGAGGAGCACAGAUCGAGUAACGCAGAAGAAACGGCACCUGAGGAAGCGAAGGAGGGGGCGUCGGGAGGAUGAGGAGGCGGAGGCGCAGGUGACGGCGCGUCGGCGACUCGCCGCUCGUGCACUCCCGGUCUGCGGCGGCUGACUGCGUCUGGGGUAUUUGCGGUCCGACGGGAUGGAGCUAGGUUUUAACUUAAGGAAGUGCGAUAGGGCACCACGAAUGGGCUAUUUGGGCCAGAAAGUCAUCCGAUGGGCCAAAAAUGAGCAAACACGGCGUAUUAUCGCUGGAAUUUCUUUUGGAAAUAAUAUGUGUAGUUUUUUUUGGUCAAAAAACGCGAUGAGAUUGUGAGCGUCCGUGGCUUCUCAGAAAUCCGACUAUGGUUUGGUGGUACCCAAAGUGUUGAUUGUACACUCCAAACUUAUUCUGAAGUUCAAUUAUAACUUUUACACUAACUGUUCUAUAUUGAUCGUGCCCCUCCUAAUGGAUUGGUGAGCUUGGUAACUUGUUUACUCGCACCUCGCUAUGAUUUAUAUUCUCAUGCUCCAGCAUCAAUACCUCUAUAUAUAAUACCUCUAUAUAUAAAAGCUGCUGGAAUCAGCGUACUAUUAUCCUAAACGCUAAACGGUCACUUUAGUGUUGAGAUGGUUUAUACAGUGUUUCAAUGUUGAGAUGGUUUAUACAGUGUUUAAAUGGAAUUGAGCGGUCUAAUUAGUUUUGCACUUUAUCACUAAAUUAUACAUAAUCAUGCUCAUAAAAUAGUAAGUAUUCUAAUCUAGAAAGUAUAUAUAUUUAUGCAUAUAAAAUACUAAGUGCAUGUAUUCAUAUUUAUCUAUGAAAAAACUUAAGUAUAUAUUUUUAUGGAAGUAAGAAUUGAAGUUCACCUGAACAGUGUAUUAAAUAGCUAUUUAGCCUGUAUAAUGGCAUUUAAUUUCAUUCUGUUUAGGCCGUUUAGCGUGUUUAAUUCUGUUUUUUUAACCGUUUAAACUCAUUUCUGUUUAAUGAACCGUUUAUAGUCUAAACUAAAUACUUGGCCUUCGUCCAUUGUUUAGACGCCGUUUAAACGGCUAUUUAGGCCGUUCAGAUUUCGAACACUGCCUCCUGUGCUAUACUACAGCGUAACAGCAGAGCUUUUCUGGUGGUGAGCACCGUACGCCUGUGCUGCCAUGGCUACUGCGCCGUGAGUGCUGAAAAAAACUGUUCCAACAGCUGUUCUUUUUUUCUUUUUGAGCUUUGUUACGAUGCUUUGCAUUAAAAAAAAUUAAAUAGAUUUAAACAUAAUUAAAAGGAUAUCAUAGUAAUUUCUCACUAUUUUUGAUUCUUGGUCCUACCAAAUUGAUACCUCUUGGUAUUUCUCUUUAGAUAUUUCAUGGUAUUUUCUUUGUUUCCACCAUUCGAUUUCGCUGGAUGUACGGCUCUUAUUUUUUAAGCACUCUAAAAAAUUCUCUUUUUUUAAAGAUUAAAAUGCAUCAAUGGUCCACAACUGUGGUACAUCAACUCCAAAGUGCACUUCUAGUUCCGUAAAUUUUUAAGUUGUUCACCGCAUAGCGGUGACACGUCAUGCUGAUUGUGCAUCUCCUACCUCGAUUCAGUUCGAUUUCUUUGAAAAUCGUUCCAAUCUCAAACACCAAAUCCCGUUCCUGCUCCUGCUCCCUCCCCGUUCCUGCAGCCCGCCGCAUGGGAGGGGCUCACCGGAGGCAAAGAAACCCUCGCACGCUCCAGCUCCCUCGCUGGGAGGAGCUGGUCGUGGACACGAACAUGCCUGCGUAUGGAUGACCUGGAGCACCGUGAGAUGAAGAUGACGGCGAGGCUGCUGAACCGCGUAUCCGCCGAAGCUCAUCUCGCCCACAUGUUUGACUAAAUGCGCCAGCCAAAGAUCAUGAGAAGCGACGAAGAGGAAGAGAGAUGAGAGAGGAAAUGUAAGGUCAAUGUGCCUGUCAGCACUAGGGCUUAAUGUGGAGGGGUAUAGACCUACGAUAAACGAUUUAAAAAGUUUAUGGAUCCAGAAAUAUACUUUCAGAGUUCUUGAUGGAUCUCCGGUGCAUUUUACUCUUUUUAAAACUAUUUGCUGAUGUACUCAUUUUCACUUCUAUAUAGCUUUAUAAUAACACUAGCAGAAAUGCUCGUGCGUUGCUACGGGUCCUUACUUGCUCUCACGUUAUUAUUCGCUUGUUUCUAAUAUGUUGGCUUCACUUCAUAAUAUGUUGGUGGGUUGUCCCUAAUAGUCCUCUCUUUGCAAGUAUAGUAGUAGAAGACAGGUGGUUUGAUGCCAUCUGUUUAUUACGUGGGACUCACGCAUGGUGUCGGUGUCAAGAAUCACGGUUCAAGACUCCGGCAAGUAAAUUUGUUUUCUAUGCGCGUAAGGCUCGGAUGGUUGCACGAGAGGACACGAGAUUUAUACUGGUUCGGGCAGGAAUAGCCCUACAUCUAGUGUGGGAGGCUGCUCGUGUUACUCGUACCAAGUUUGUAGUAGGGGUUACAAACGGGCGAGAGAGGGAAGCUGGUCCCAAGUCUCUGUGGGUGUUUUCCGUCUGGUGGUUCGGUUGGUUCGUACUUGGGUGAAUUCGGGGUUUGGUCUCUCUGGAUCCUUUUCCCUUGGGCCCCCUGGUCUCCUUUUAUAGUGUAAGGAGGAUACAGGGGUUACAAAUGAGCCGGACGUAAGGAAAGUAAAAAGGUAGAAAGGUAAUAAGGAAGUCGCGUGCGCCGCUGGACGUCGCGUGCCCGUUGACGCGCUCCGCCUUCAUUGCGGGGGUGCUCGACCUCCUGAUUGGGCACCGCGCGCUCGUCCGGCAGCCGAGGCUGCUCCGGGACCCUGGCGAGGGCUCCGGCUGUAGCUGCGGCGCGUGGUGGGGGAGUGUGCUGCCUCCCUUCGCCGCCGUCGUCGUUGGACCCCGCAGAGUGCACGUCGGCCAUGAAGCACUCACGCGAGGGGUGGUGGCUCCCGUUGUUGGAACCAGCGUCGGAGGCCGUUUCCAUUACGCCCACGAACUCGUUGUUUGCGGGUGGCACGAUCAUGGAUCGUGCCAGGAGACGACCGUAAGUCAUCGCGGCGUUGCGUAGGCCAAAGGGCCGCUCCUCCGAAGGAGGCCUUGUGGUGCGCGCCUGGCCGCUCACCACUGUUCUGGCGGCGGAGCCGGAGGUGACGGGGUGAGCGGGCAGGACGAGGAGAGGAAUCAUCUCGAUUCCCUCUCCCGUGGUGAGGAAGUCCAGGCUCCCGAAGCGGAUGUGGGAGCCGGGAGCAAAGCCGAUGUCGUGGUUGGCCAUCCAAAGUUGGUGAUGAUCGUCGUACGCGCAAAGGCCCCCUACCUGGUGCGCCAACUGUCGGUGUCAAGAAUCACGGGUCAAGACUCCGGCAAGUAAAUUUGUUUUCUAUGCGCGUAAGGCUCGGAUGGUUGCACGAGAGGACACGAGAUUUAUACUGGUUCGGGCAGGAAUAGCCCUACGUCUAGUGUGAGAGGCUAUUCGUGUUACUCGUGCCAAGUUUGUAGUAGGGGUUACAAACGGGCGAGAGAGGGAAGCUGGUCCUAAGUCUCUGUGGGUGUUUUUCGUCUGGUGGUUCGGUUGGUUCGUACUUGGGUGAAUUCGAGGUUCGGUCUCUCUGGAUCCUUUUCCCUCGGGCCCCCUGGUCUCCUUUUAUAAUGCAAGGAGGAUACAGGGGUUACAAAUGAGCCGGGCGUAAGGAAAGUAAAAAGGUAGAAAGGUAAGAAGGAAGGGAAAGCAGAGGGAGACAGGCCGAGCCACCGGGGUUGCUGCCUUCCCUUCUGAUUUCUGCGUCCUGUCAGCAUGGCCACCGAGGAGGGGUGGUUGCCAUUGGGUCCCAUCGAUGACCCAACGGUCGGCCACUGUAGCCGAGCAUGCGAGACGUGCGUGGCGACCGACCACUGUAGCCAUGCGAGUUGACGAUGAUACUGGCCACUGUAGCCAUGCACGUUGCGGGCGAUGCUGACCACUGUAGCCACGCGUGCUGGCCGGGGGCGUGACCGAUGUGCCCUUCUUGCCAGGCCGAGCGGGAAACCGAGCGGUGCGCCCUCCUCCGUCAGGUACCAUGGGCGAUGAAUGCCCUAUGAUGGACGUUACAGUGGGGGGUUAGGACGGUGCAGUCGUGGCAGCAGUGCAGUCAUAUCAGCAGCGCACUGCCCAACAUUUUGGCGGGUCACGUCAAGGAGUGCGGGCGUCUCUCCGUGUGUCAGAGCCGUAUUCCGGACAUGCACGUCCCAUCUGCAUUUAUGGCAAGAUCGGUGAGGACCCACGAUAUCUGCAUCGUCAUCUGUAGGUCCGCGCAUGUCCUCGGUCGAGGUGAAGCUUUGACCUGUGGGGCCGAAUGCGUCCGACCCAGCGUCCAGGGGUCGGGUGAGAUGGAGCCUUACGGUGAGGGGUCGGGUGAGGCGGAACCUUGUGGCAAGGGAUGUGGAGCGGUCCUCGGGUGGUCGGGUGCGUCCGACCCUAGGGCAAUGGGUCGGGCGAGGCGAAACGGAAUAUUCCCUGAUCGUGCCAAGUCGGCGGAGGUGGGCCCGGACCCUUACGACCGUCAAAUAAGGAGAAUAACAAAGUCAUUAAUAUUUUCCCUCGACAGUAGCCCCCGAGCCUUUGGUGGAGCAGGAAUGCUCCUCCAGAGGCUAUGUUCAUCGUUUGUCAGGGAUUCUUUGUGUAACCUGCAACCUGCAUUUGAUCAGGGAGGAAAAGUUUCGCUCGUUCGGUCUAGCCGGGGAGUUUUUGGGUAGGCCGGGUGUUCCGAGGAUAGCUCGGCUCGUGAAGAUUCCCUAUCGUUCCGACGACCACUCCUACCCCAAAACUCCAAAUUGUGACCACACGCGUGGUCGUUGGUUACGAUGCCAGCCCCCGAGCCCCCGCACGUUGCAGGAGACCGAUCGAGAGGUUGGAUUGACUUUUGAUCGUUACCCCUCAAGCGUCCGUUCGUUGGGACGGAGGGGGUGAGCCGUGCCACGUUAUCCUCGUUGGACGAACCGUGGUGCUCGUUGAGCUGCGAACGGGUCAGUUCGGGUAGAGUCCCGAUCCCCGUUCUGGGGGUCCGGCUCGGGCAAAGCUGGUGGCGUACUCCAGAUUCCGGAUGGCCAGUUCAUAUAGUUCCUGGAUCCGUUCGAUAGGAUCCGGGGGCUCGUUGCCUUUCUUCGGGGAAAAACCAUGAACUUAAACGCCAGUUCGGACUCGAACGUGAGGUCGGGACGCCCUUGGCUUUCGCUCGCCUGGGUGGUAGCCGCUAGCGGAACCGUCCCUUCUCACCCCUUGCUCGAGAGUGUCCUGGGGCGACUGUCAAACCCUGCGGUGGCUAGCCUUCUAACCCUAGACCGUAAUGGGUUGUAGGAGCGUUUUCAGCUCUGUAUCCCUUUUUUUACCUAUUGGUGGGUCGUACGUGGAGGAAGUCGUGUGCGUGCAUCCUCUGGGAGGUGAAGUGGCAGAAAACACCGAGCCCGCGAAACGAGGAGGGGAGACGUUCCCUGCAGUUGGAAGAGAUUGUGUGCACGGUUUUCGAAAAAAGCGGAGGUGACAAGUGUACCUAGCGUCGCAAUAACUACGAUCAGAUUGCCCUUUCGCUUCCCGUGCCCCCCUAUAAAAUGAGAGAGCUUACCUCGCUGGCUCCACUCCCUGUUCGUCUUCAGCCUUUUUCGCCUCCUUGUCCACUUUUCGUCCUUUUUCGAGCCAGAGCAGUCACCUUUCCAUCGCCACCGUCGAGCCUUCCCCUUCCUCGGCGAUGGAUUUGUGGUCUCGGUCAACCUUCAACACCGCACGCGCGACCGACCUUGUGAAGAAGGGCCUUCUUCACAAUAGGACUGCUGAGAACGAGUGGUGGUAUCCCGGGAAUGAGGCUGUCCCGCAACUGGAGGACGGGUACAUCGUCUCCUUCGCACACUUCCACAAGAGGGGGUUCGCGGUUCCCCCGAGUCGCUUCUUCCGGGGGCUGCUGUACUACUACGGCAUCGAGCUGCAGCACCUCAACCCUAACGGAAUCCAGCACAUCGCAGCGUUCGUCGCGCUGUGCGAGGGAUACCUGGGGAUUGAGCCCAACUUCGCCCUCUGGAAGUAUUUCUUCGCGGUCACUCUUCAUCAGAGGACCGAGAAGAGAGGAGACCAGACACGGACGAUUCCGGUGCCGAUGGGGUGUGCUGACAUCCACCUCCGCGGGCACCGGUCCAAGGACUAUAUGUCGAUGAAGACCUUGUCGUCCCACAAGGGGUGGCAUCAGCAAUGGUUCUAUGUGAAGAACCGUCCCGAUGUCCCCAUGCCGGAGUUCACCGGCCGUGUCAUCGUGGAGGCGCUGGGAACGUGGAUGUAUGGCCCUGUUGAGAAGGAGAAGAAGAGUAUUUGAGGUCUCCUCGAAGCCAUCGUCCGUCUGAAGGAGGAGGGCCUAACCGGGGCUGGAGUUGUUGGGGCGUACCACACCCGGAGGGUGGUGCCGUUGAUGCUGCGGGCCCGCUCGCUCGACGAGAUGGUUCCCGGCGCGGCAACCGAUGGCACCGUCCUCGCGAUGGGGGCGAUUGCUGACGCUGAGAUCGAGCAGCGCGUCCGGGAGGCGUUGGACGAUAGGGAUGUCGUGUUCCCGGUGCCGGGGCACCCUUUGAUGCGCCCGGACGAGGGCUACGUCCCGCUGGUGAGAAAUUUGCACUCUCGUUCUUCUUUCCUGCAUUUCCUAGUUUGCUGUUCUGACGCGGAGUCUUUGAAUCUACAGGGUAACUUAAACCACAUUGUAGCCUCUCGUCCACCGGUGUCAGAGGACGUGGUGCAGAGGCAGCGGAACCACCUCCUUACCGAAGCACAGAAGAAGAGGAAAGACAAGGAGACGGUGAGAAAGAAGAAGAAAGCUGCGGUGGAGUUCCGAAGGCUGCGGAGGGACGCAGUCGUGAUGGACGACGACAACGAUGAUGACGAUGAGGAUGAUGAAGAUGAGACCGAGGAGGAGGAGGAGGAAGGUUAUGUCCUGGCCUUCGUGCCGGGUGUGCUCAUCAUCCGGGACCACCCUCUCAACCGGCCGCGGGGGGCCGGUCGAGCGGACCGCCCGCCCAGGGCCCGACCCCGCGGGGCUCGAAGGCCGCACCCCAGGGGUCGGCGAGGGGCGCGCGUCAUGAGUCGACGGGACUGACCUCCAACCCUCUGCCUGCGUCGCACGAGUAGAGGGGUAGCGGCAAGCGACCACUAUCGGAUGUCCGGGGGUCGGCGUUGAGCUCGGGGUCGAAGCACUCCUGUCGCCCUUGUACUGUGGAAAGGUGAGUGGAAAGUUCCCGCGUACCUUAUCCUUUUUUGUUGUUGAGCCGAUUCUUGCAUUUGAUGAAGUCGUCGUUGUUCUGCAGUGCUGCUCCGUGUGGCUUCAACCCGCCGCUGGCGCCGAAGAAGGCACUCCGGCUGCUUCUGCAGGGCCAGCCGUGACCCCGCUGGGAGCGAGCGGCGGUGUCGUCGGUGAGGCUGUGGCGCCCCACACGGAGGCGGUGUCCAAGGUGGCGGCUGAAGAGAGGGUGCCGCAAUCGGGCGCAGCGCGAGCGCCGACCUCCGCCUCGUCUUCUGCCCCCAUAGCCGACCCAGUGGGAUAGGAUGCUGCCCCUGGGGUUCCUCUGCACAAUGAGGUUAUAGACCUUGAGGUGGAGGAAGAGCUGGCGGGGGAGGUGCCCGUGCCUGAGGUGCCGAUCGUGGAGACAGCGGCGGCGGCGGUGGAGAUGGCGGCGGCGCCUAUCCCGGCGGCGGCGGUGGAGACGGUGGCACCUGUUCCGGGAGUGGCGGUGGAGACGGUGGCGCCCGCUCUGGGGGGACUGUCGGCGUUGGUCGUCGAGUUGUUGGCACCGGUCGGGGAGUCUUCCAACGCCCUUGUCCAGGUUGGAUGCGACCCCAACGCGGGGGGGGGGGGGGGGGGGGGGCGACUGUGCGCUAGUUGGAGAACCGCAGAGGCCCCUCUUUGUCCCGGACGAUGUCGAGGAGUUGGAGAGCUGGUCGGACGUGCAGGGCGGGCUUGCAAACGUCCGUGCCGCCCUGUCCUCCGCGAUGGGGAAGUUGGAUGGCGUCGUCGCUUCCGCUGGUCAGGUAUCGUGUUCUCUUUGGUGGUUAUCUUUUUCCUUUCUCUGUCCUUCUUUCUUCAAACGAUUUCUGAGCGCAAAUUGUUUUGCAGGCCCUUCAAGACUGCAGCCGGGGGAAGCCUGAGUUCCUCCGGCAUGAGCGGGGGGUCUGGGAACGCCUCUCUAGGGAGGCGCGGUGGAGCGGGGAGCUGGCCGGGCGGCUCGCCACCGCACACCAGAACGCCGCUGCCCUGGAAGCGCGGGAGAAGGAGGCACGGGAAGGUGCGCAGAGGGUGGAGGACAAGCUCUGGGUCGUCGCCGAGAAGGCCUGUCGUGACGCCGAGGAGUUCGCCCGAUUGAAGAAGGAGCAUGAAGUUCUUCAGAAGACCGUCGAAUGCAUCUGGCACGAGCGGCACACCGCUCGGCAGGAGCGUGAUGCGGCCAGCCGAGAUCGCGACCUCGAGGCAGACUGGAAGGCUGAGGCCGAGAAGAUGGUGGCCGACCUGAGCGAGGAUGUCAGUAGGCUCCAGUCGCAGGUGCAGGGUCUUUAGACUGCUGUAUCCCAAGGAGUCGAUCGGGAACGUCUGCUGCGACCCCAAUCCGAUGGUAAGGACUUCGUUGUCCUCUUUUCUUCACUUGCAGCAUUGCGCUGGUUUCUGAUUUUGUGGGCUUUUUUUGACAGGCCUUGAGAGCGACCUUGCUCAGUUGAGGGACACCGCCAAUGCGGAGCGCACCGAGCACGCCAACCUGUAGGACGCCGUUGCAUCGUCUGCGAAGACCUUGGGGUGGUCCAAGAGGAGGGGACGAGCUCGCUGGCGGCUCGUGUCCUCGGGACGUACCAGCGGGUGCGCAAAAUUGCCCGUGAAGCACUCCACAUUGGCGUGAGGCGGGCCUUCGGCGUCUUUGGAUCCCACUACGACCGCCUCAACUUCAACUCGAUGAGCGGGGGGUACGCCUCCGGCUAUACCGAGGCUGAGCUGGAUGAGAUUGACGCGUCGGUGCUUGCUCCUGCGGAGGCCUUGGCGCAGCUCUUGGAGGAGGAAGCCGUCCCACUAGAGCACCCGUGAUGAGAGUUAGCUGUAUCGGGCAAAGAUGCCUAAAAAUAUGUAAAGAAUUAAGUAACUCUGAACUUGCCUUUGUGAUGGCCACAGAGGCCUUUCUAUUUAUGCAAUUUUUUCGUUUUUGAUCCUGUUUCUAUUUUUUGGGUUUGGAAAGUUCAGAGUGCGAGUCGGGUGCAUCAGGAAGCGCUGAUGAGCAAAGGCACCGUAGUUGCUGGGGCGUGGGUUUCUCAUAGUCCGAUCGGUCUUGCCCGAGCGUCGUUCGCGCACUCCUCUCUUUUCAGGCUCAAACGUUUAGGAAGAGGGUUGGUUUGGAAAAAAUGAUGUUUUGAGAGGACGCCAAGUGUCUUGGGCCGGAGCCCUUGAUAGGCCCCGAGGGAUAUGCGACCCUGGGGCAGAGCCAGGGUCGGAUAUCCCUAAGCUUGGAACGAAACUUUAGCGAAAGCAACUCAAAACACCCCUUUUUUCACAAACAAAAAUGGUGGAGGCAUGUACAUAGCUUAGAAAUGACAGCUAAGGGUAAAAGCGAACGAGCAAAGAAGUCCAGCUGGUCGGGCAGAGCCUUGGCUGCUGUGCAUCGGGGGCACGCCAGCCGUCGAACCGCGGGCGGCUAGGAGUGCCGGCGAGGCUGUCGUGCUAGGCAGGGGGCUGGCCGCGUAGGGCAGCCGGCUAGCAGCAGGCUGUCCAUGCCAGGCGUCAUGGCUUCGAGGGUCACACGGGGCCAUGCGGGCAAUGCUCCUGCUGCAUUGGCCGGCGAGGCGUCGGGUGCCGCACAUGGCUAUGUGGGAGCUCCUAGGGAGAUGCUGGGGGGACCUGCAGAGAGAAGGGGCCAUGACGGGCCUAUGGGAGUAUGGACGACACUAGUGAGAAGAUCGAAGAUAUCAAAGGCUGCAGGGGCUGGCGGCGUGGCCCAAUCGGCAAAAGGAAACGCUGACUCGUCAAAAACAAUGUGAUGAGAGAUGAUGAUCUUGUUGGAGAGGAGGUCUAAGGCAAUAGUAUCCUUUAUGAUGAGCUGAGUAUAUGAGAAAGAUGCAUAGAGAGGAGCACAUAGCAGGAUUGUGUGCGGCAGUGGCGGAUAGGUUGGGGUAACAAGUGCCACCAAAGACACGUAGGUGCUCAUAGGAAGGUGUAGUGCCAAAAAGAGCAUAGUGCAGCAUGGAACUGCAGUGUCUUGGUAGGCAGAUUGUUGAGCAGAUAAGUGGCUGUGUGCAAAGCCUCAACCCAGUAGGGUGGCGGGAUGAUGGACUAAAAUAAGAGCGAGCCAAUAAUAUUGUUGGUGGAACGAAUAAUACGCUCAGCUUUACCAUUCUAGGACAAGGUGUAUGGGCAUGUCUGCGCAGGUGGGGGCCGCGGGAGAGGAAGAACGUGCGGGCGCAAGAGUUGUUGAACUCAUGGCCAUUGUUGCACUAGACUGCCUUGAUGUGCAUGCCGAACUGAGUGGUCAUAUACGAAAAGAAGUGAGCCAAAGUAGGAUAUGUGUCAGAUUUAAGCUGCAGUGGGAACGUCCAAAGGUAAUGGGUGCAAUCGUCGAGAAUGACCAAAUAGUACUUGUACCCUGAGACGCUUACAAUAGGUGAUGUCCUUAAAUCACAAUGAAUAAGAUCAAAGGCACUAGAGAUGCAUGUGACGAUGACGGAUGAAACAGGAGACGAAUAUGUCAACCUAACUGUCACGCGUGGCAAAUAGAAGAGCUGGCUUCUUUAUUACAUGACGGCAAAACUGAAGUGAGCUUGGAUAAAGCUUUGUGACCGGGGUGACUGAGGAGCCGGUGCUAAAGGAACGGUGAAGCACCAACGGUGGGGGCAGCGGUGGCUGGGAAGCGAAGUGGGUAUAGCGGUUCGGAGCUAUUGCACUUGACGAGAACGUUCCGUGUCUGGAGAUCCUUCACAGAGCAUCCAACGGGGUCAAAUUCAACGGAGCAGUUGUUGUCAGUGGUAAACUGGAGAACAGAAAUAAGGUUCUUAAUAAGACUUGGCGAAACAAGGACAUUAUUAAGGUGUAAAGAACCAGGGAGAUGUGCUGCACCAGUGGAAGUAAUGCGAAGCAAGGAACCGUUGCCGACAACAAUUGAUGAAGGAAAAGGGUACCGCGGUAAAGAAGAAUGUGAAAGAAUGCCUGAAUCAGAAGUUAUGUGGGAGGUAGCACAUGAAUCGAAGUACCACUCGUGGCCUUGAGGUUGGUUCAAUGUCAUGGUGCUGAACGUCGACGUGAGGCACUGUUGAUCCCAAGAUGGAGAGGCGGCCAUCGGGUUGUACCCCCCAACUGGGGACAUCCACUGUCCAAGAGUGGCGUAGGGUUAUUGGAGUUGUGCCUGCGCCUGCUGGAGCUGCUGAACAUAGGCGACGUUGGGAGCCAACUUGGGUGGGCUGCUGGGCUAGUGUGGCCUGCUGCACCAGGUGGGCUUGCUGAGGAUUGCUGGCCUCACCUGGCGAGAAGGGCACCGAGGAAGCGCGUGGGCCAAGCCACAUGUGAAUGGCCUCGGUCCAUGGGUUCUGGGUGGUGGGCCAAGCAGUGUCGCCUGCGCUGCCUGGGGCCUUACCGCUGUCAUUGCCGAAGCCGUUGCAACCCUGGCCGCCGCUCUUGCUACGACGGUUCUUGGUUGGCUUGGAGCCGCCCCCGGCACCGGUGCCCCUGCUGUUGGGGGUGGCUGCUGGGUGACGUGGCGUGGUUGUCUGGAGGACGACGAGGACCCACUGGCAGCACCGCUGGUGGUGGCGAUGAGGGUAGAGGACAGCACAGUGGACCGGUGGGACACGUGAGCUCCUCCAUGAGCAGGUCCGCGUGCACAUCUAGGAAGCUGGGGAAGGGUAUGCCGCGAUGGAGAUGCAAGUCGAUGGUGGUGAAGCGCUUGUUGAGGCCACGGAUGACAUUUAGAAUGAGGGUGCGAUCCCUCACGUCCUCGCCAAGAUCCCGAAGAGCAUCUGCCAUGGACUUGAAGUGCUGGCAAUAAUUUGCAAUGGAAAGGUCACCUUGCUCGAAGGUCCAGAACUUGGCGUCGAGGUAGAGGGCGCGCAUCUUGCGAUUGCCAAGAAACUGAGUUUCAACAGCAACCCAGGCAUCGCGUGACGUCGCGCCGUCGGACAUGACUGUCUCGACGAGGUCAUUGGAGAUGGAGCCGUAGAUCCAAGACUUGACCAUGCAGUCCAUGCGGGUCCAGUCUGAGGGGCCAGUGUUGGCGUUGUCGUUGAGGACGUGGUGCUCGAGGGAGAACGUCAAGAGGAAUUACUCCCGCCAGCGCAUGUAGUUGUCGAAAGCGAUGUCCAACAUGAUGGGGAUGAGGCUCUGGAUGCUCUACACGGUGACGGCUUGAGCGUGGAGGUUGGGGACGCCGGAGGCCUCAUGGAGUCAUUGAUAGGGCAACGCUCAUGGUCGGAGAUGGCGGACUUGGCGUUGUGGUCGUCUCAGGUGGGGAAGGCAGCGACGGCGGCGGCGUGAGCAUGCGCCUCAUGCACGCGAUUGGCGGCGGCGGCGCGCUCCAGAGCAAAGUCCGCCGCCUGCUUCUCCGCUUGUUGCGCGCGAGCAAGGGCCGCGUCAUGCCCUACUUGAGUGACACGCUCUUGCUCCUCGUGCUGGGCGUCAACGUCCACGGCCGCGUGUUGCUUCUCAGCGGCGGUGGAGGUGGGAGGGGUGAGGGGAGGAGUCUCGGCCAUAGGUGGAUGCGUAGCCGCGAGGCCGCGCUAAGGCAGCGGAAGGGUUGGAAUUGGGUGGAAGAUCCGGACUUGUGAUACCAUGAAAGCGAGUAUAGCUAUGGAAAGAUUAGAUUGAUUUAGAGAGUCAAAGCUCAUGUACAUAUACACGCAAGGAGGUCCUAGGGUUUGGUUUAUAGCAUCAACACCAAUCAGAGGAUAUUCUUAUCUAACCUAAACCAUCCAUCCAUCUAACUUAGGAUGGGGCUGGCGCACGGCCAAGGAGGCCUGUGUGGCUACUACCCAGGGCCCAGAGGGCUGGCCAUAUAUGCCCAUGCUAACAAUUAGCAUAGACAUAAAGGAAAAGUUGCUUUUACUACCCCAAUUCACUUUGUCCAUUUGACCAUUUUUACAAAAUUUCGAUUUGUUUUAUCGCUUUAGUUAUUUUGGAUGGAUCAAUUUCAUCUCCAAAUGAUAUGUCUAUUUUUUCCACCCUGUAUAAGUUAGGUUUUAAGUUAAAUAUUGUGGGAUGAUGAUUGGUAUCAUAACCUAUGUUAGAAAAAUACUCUGCCAACCUUUUUAGAUUACUUUCCUUGCAUUUUCAUAUCUAAGGGUUACAGUAGUAUAAGAUUCUCUCAAGUAUGAAAAUAAUCACAAAAAGAAUUUCUAAUAUGUUUAUGUAGGAUAGGGUAUAGUACGGUGUCAACCACCACACCACAAAAUUUGGAUCCAAACACUUCUAGGAGAAACAAAAUACAAAUUCUACUAGGGGAUUAAACUGUCCAAUUUGAAUAGCCCUAGGCAAAGUUUUCCAAAUGGGCCAGGCCCAUUGGGCGGCCCGAGGCCCGACACUAAAAAGCUCGGCACGAGCACGGGCCCGGCACGAUGAUAGUGCUGGGCCUGGGCCGCAUCCUCGGCAUGUUGGGCCAGCAUGGGCACGACAUGAUUAUUGGGCCGGCCCAAUGCUGGCCCGACACCCCAGCGUCUCCUUGCCUCCCAACCGUUGGAUGAGCAUACGCUCCCCUGUUAACCGUUGGAUCGCACUGUUGAGAGCUCAGUAUAUAAUAGAGAAAAAACCUAACUCUCUAUCCUCCUACCCUCCUCCACUCCUCCAACAGCAGCCGCUGCUCCUCCUAGCUCCCUCCCUCUCUCGUCUCUCCCGUGAUACGCCUGGAGGGCGCCCACCGCCGCCGGGAGGUGCUGCGGCCGAGACGCGCCUGCCCCACCCAGCAUCACCGGACCGCCGGGGGCCACCGCGCGGCCUGGAGGCGAGCCUGCCCUCCUCCUCCGCCGAACUGCCAGGGACCGCCGUGACGGUCUGGAGGCGCGGGUGCCACCGCCGGACGGGGGCCGCCGCACGGCCGGAGCCACCGCUGGACGGGGGCCGUCGCCCGGGGUCGCCGGGGGGGGGGGGGGGGGGGCGCUGGAGGCGCGCCGCGCGCCUGCUGUCGCCGAGGGCCGCCUGGAGGGGCCACCGCUGAGGCCGCCGCCCCUCCCGCCACCGUCGGACCGCCGGUGGCUGCCGCGCGGCGAGAGCCACCGCCGGACGGGGGCCGUCGCCUGGGGCCGCCACGGGGGGCCGCUGGAGGCGCGCCGCGCGCCUGCUGUCGUUAGGGGCCACCUGGAGGGCGCCCGCCGCCGCGGGGGCCACCGUCGAGGCCGUCGCGGGGGGUCGCUCGCUGGCCGCCACCGCUGCUAGUGCCUGGCCCGGCACUAGCACGGCAAGGCCCGUCGUGCCAGCGGGCUGGCCCGACCCGAUAAAAAGGCCGUCGGGCCGGACCUGGGCCGCCUCCUCGACACGCAGUGCCAGCCUGGCCCGGCACGAAAACCCUUCGGGCCUAUUUAGUGCCGGGCCCAUUAGUGCCGAGCCACACCGGGCUAGUGCCGGGCUAGGGCCGGGCGGCCCAUUUGGAAAACUAUAGCCCUAGGGAGCUAGAUGAUUUAGUAUUUUAUUUAACGGGAUGUUUGUGUCCCCUGCUAGCGCACGACAACUUGUCAAGGGUAGUGAAAUGGAUCUUCAGCAAAUGUAAAUAGUUACUUUGUCAACUAUGAUGAAGUUGAGAAGUAUAGUUCAACAUCCUAUUCGAAUGUAUAUGCACAUGUAUAUACAACAUGUUUGCUCAGGUUACAACAUGCAUCAUCUUUUUCUUCAUGCAGGUUAUGAUGCGUCCUAUGUUUGGUGCAUUUGGAAAGGCUGGAAGUUCCAACUCGAUUGCAUUUGUGAGCAAGGUAGAUCAACUGCACCUGUUCUAAUAUAUUAUGGAUGAACAACAUUGUUUGGUUCUAUCUCAAUCAAGAAAAAUGACAUUCUUGACUUUUCAUAAUAAAUACAAUGUGGCUUCAAUCGUUAAACUACUAUUUUCUAUUUGUAAAAACUAUGUGAGUAUUUUUUGUGAUAAUUUUUUCCAUAGCAGUUCUAUAUUUCUGAUCCAAAUAGCUUCAGCCAUAUGUUUAGUAAAGAACCAAUCUGACUGCACAAACUACUGAGGAAACAUGGCUACAGAAAAUAUCUUGCACAUCAAGAAAAAGAAAAAAAGCUUGAAUCUUGUUGUCUGCUCUUGCCAAUUUACAAUGGCUGACAGAUCAAUUUCUCAAUCUUUAGGUUGCUAUAAAGAAGCUGGAGUUGCAACAGAGUAAUUGGAAAAAAGGGUGGAAGCUGUUAGUGGUGUUCGAUGUUUGACAAAGCUCGACAUGAAGCUCAAUGACGCGCUUCCAAAAAUAGAAGUUGACCCUGAGACCUACACAGUUACUGCUGAUGGUGCUGAUGGAGAGGUUUUGGCAUGCCACCCACAGUACCACUGUCUGGAAAUUACUUCCUAUUCUAGAAAACCACUGCAUCAGCAAUUUACUUUUUCAACAAGGUGCAUUAGGGCUCUCCCAAUGUUCUCAGAAACCCCGUUCCUAAAAUGCUGAGGAAGACCCAGUGUCGCAUGCACGACCCGGUUUCGCUCGUAAUCCAAUGAACAGGAAGUAGCUCCGAGGCGCGUGCCAAACCCGCCGGACGCCGGGCAUUGCUCGCCGGCUCGCCGCAAGAUCCAGACAAUAUGCUGCUGCCCUCCUGCGUCCCGCGACGUCCGCGCUCGAGCUCCCCGCGGAGUGGAGUCCGCCGCUCGAGCUCUCCGUCCCCCGCGCCUCCGAUCUCUCUGCUCCGAGAGCUACAGUGUCUACAACCUCAUCCCUGAGCCUUACCGCACCCUCGGCGUUGUCGCCCACCAGCUCGCUCCCCAUGGCCGCUAGCUCCCAAGCGCUGCGCUCCCCCUCCGCCCGCUCGGCACCGCUGCCGCCGUCUGCGCGAGCCUAGCAGCAGCCGCCAGCACGCGCGCUUCAAGCAGCUGCCGGCAGGCCCGGCCGCCGCGAGCCGUGCGCCCGUGCCGUCACCCGUGGCCUCGCCUCCCGCGCCCACGACCCCGCCAUUGCUGGCUUGCCGUCGCUCGCCGGCUCAACGCACGCUCUGCAAGACUGCAGGUGCUGAUUCAGAGAAGAUGGACGAGCUGCUAUUUGCAUCUCGAAUAUAAAAGGGAACGCUUGCCCUGCAUAUGAUUCCUCGGUGAUUUGAUUUGGGGAAAAGACAAGAGGUGAUGCUCGUGGGGGUGGAUUUAUCUUGGAUUUUGUCAGAUGAAAAUCCGAUUCGCCAGCGGCCGCUGCAGCCCUCUUGGAUUUUAAUGCAUUAAGACUGGCGACGAUUGCAGUUCAUUUUCUCCAACGCUAGCGCAUACAUCGACUUUUUGUGUAAUGUGCGGGUUUAUCAUAGAUGGAAAAGAGGGAUCGAUGUUUUUUAGCCAGGGCUAACGAGGACAGGAGUGCUUGUAAGAUUAAAUAAUCAAAACCCAAAAGACAUGAGAGCAUGCAUUUCAUGACGUCUAUGAGGACGGAGCAAACGAAAGGCCAUUGGGAUUACCGUUCGGGGUCAAGUGAAGGAACAAGGGAGCCCUGAAAGCACUGAAAGUGUUGUCAGUGUGGGGGAAACCAAAGUAUGAACCGUUACUACUAGUCUUUCAGGCAGGACGUACGCAACAAAAUAGAACCAACUCAAACGAUAUCGUAAAUGCGAGACAUGAUAAACAUAAUCAGCCUCACGGGUCACGGCACACUAGUCUGAGCCUUUGAGAUGGGGCUCCUCUGUCUCAAGAGGCAUUGCUAUAAAAAAUUGCUGUAGCAGGGGAAUGGGAAUGCUGUAGCAGCCCACCCAUCAGCCUUCGGCACAUCACCAUACUUAAACCUCCUUAAUAAAUAUUUAAACAUUGUGCAUGCAGUAGCAGUUCUUAAUUUUAUCAAUUGCCUCUUCUGGGACGACCAUCUUUAUGUCCAUUUUAGUCCAAUUAAGGUGUGAUAUACCCUCCUAAACUUUAGUACCUGUCACAUUAGAUGUUUGGAUACUAAUUAGGAGUAUUAAAUAUAGUCUAAUUACAAAACUAAUUGCACAGACGGAGUCUAAUUCGCGAGACGAAUCUAUUAAGCCUAAUUAGUCAAUGAUUUGACAACAUGGUGCUACAGUAACCAUUUGCUAAUGAUGGAGAUUCGUCUCGCGAAUUAGUAUAGGAGUUCUGCAGUUAGUUUUAUAAUUAGCUCAUGUUUAUUCCUCCUAAUUAGCAUCCGAACAUCUGAUGUGACCCUCCUAAAGUUUAGGAGCUUGUAUCCAAACACCCCUAACUCUCAAACCAAUUACCAAUGUGCUGUCUUUAGUAUACGGUGUGGCACCUUUAAAAUGUGGAAAUUAAACAAAGUCGACUAAGUUAAAGGUAAAAAUAAUAGCCACUAUUUGUGCAAUAUUUGCUGAUAGAUGUUAGCAAACUUUCCAUCUAAUGCGUUCCGUGAGUCAUGUGACACUAGAGCACUCGAGGAUGAUGGUUCAGUCCUCAAGAACUUCACACACUUAAUGCGCAUUAGAUCAGAAUGUUGACAGUGAUCACUGAUCAGCACUGUUUGGUGUAACUAUGGGGCGUUUUCUUCCGGUGACUUAUUUUUAGCACGUGUCACAUCGAAUGUUUAGAUACUAAUUAGGAGUAUUAAACGUAGACUAUUUACAAAACUCAUUACAUAAGUGGAGGCUAAACGGCGAGACGAAUCUAUUAAGCCUAAUUAAUCCAUCAUUAGCAAAUGUUUACUGUAGCAACACAUUGUCAAAUCUUGGACUAAUUAGGCUUAAUAGAUUCGUCUCGCCGUUUAGCCUCGACUUAUGUAAUGGGUUUUGUAAAUAGUCUACGUUUAAUACUCCUAAUUAGUAUCUAAACAUUCGAUGUGACGGGUGCUAAAAAUAAGUCAGCGGAAGAAAACGGGGCUAUGACUUCGCAAAAGAAAAAUCUUCCUUUCAAAGAUUCCAAACUACAUACAGCAACAUUAAAAAAAAUAACGGCAUGAUCUUUUGUACAUUCGCAUAGCUUGCAAACAAUGGUCUAUCUAUUAAUGCCAUUGUCCAAUACUUGUUCAUGUACAUCUGAAUUCACAUUGCAAUUAAUCAUUCUAUUUAUCAAACAGCAAUUACUUAGGUCGUACACAUACAGAUGCAUACUAUAGCCUAGACCUAAUAUGCUGCAAUGCUAACUUUGCCAAGUCCUUCCUUAAAAUCUUACCCGCUGCAUUUUUUGGUAUUGUAUUCACAAAGAAGACAUGGUGUAUUUGCUUAUAGUGCACAACCUGCGCAAUGAGUGAUAACGAUUAGGUCCCCUGCUACACAUUACUGAUUAUAAAAUUGCUGUAUUGAGGCAUAUACCUGUUUGGCGACAAAUUCUUUGAUUUGUGCUUCAUAUAAGUUACUUCCUGAGCUUCUAACGAUGAAUGCUACCGGCAACUCCCCAGCCUGAUCAUCAGGGUAUCUGUAUGAACAACAAUCAGCUUGCCCUUUUCAGUUUUCACUGGAGUGUCAUACAGAGCAGAUUUAUGAUUUAUCUCAUGUUCUGGUGUGUAUACUUACGGCACAACUGCAGCUUCAUCAAUAUUUGGGUGUGUCUGAAGCAGGCUUUCUAGUUCUGCUGGAGGAACCUGCAUUAAAAAAAUGCCGUCAGGAGAGAAGCCAAGUGGACACUGCAAGUCCGUAACAGAGGGACUGCUAGGACAUGAGAUUGUUGAUUAGAAUAAUCUAAAACGUUAGUGGUUACCUGGUAGCCUUUGUACUUAAUUAACUCUUUCAGCCGAUCAACAACAAAAACGAAUCCAUCUUUGUCAAUAUAACAAAGAUCUCCUGUUCUCAACCAACCUUCACUAUCCAAGAUCUUAGAUGUGGAAUCCUUAUCACCAGCAUAACCUAUGCUAGUGCUCAAAAGAGAAAAAGUGCCAUUAGAGUAUUAUAUCCAAUAUAAGGGAUAGAAAUAAUAUAUCAAGAACAGGCACCUUAUUACGCACUGAUGAAAUUAUGAAAAUUGAUUUGAAUCAUAUAGUUGAAAUUGGCUGACAGCAUCCAUCAAGAGUUAAAGACACCAUAUAAAAAUGCCAACACACAAAAUUUCUUAUGAAAUGUUCGCAUAUUCUGUUGCAUGUGUCCUAAUUUUCUAAAUAACUGCAAGGGUUGGUAGCAUCUUUGGUGGCUUAAAGAACAUUCAUGAACAAAUAGACUGUUUAAAACUAUAAAUGCUGAAAUCCUUUGUCAGUUAUCCAAAACUUGAAUCUUUUUCUAGGAUAUUAACUAGUCUGAACAUAUGUGAGUUUCACAAAAAUGGCACAUGGUGCAAACAUAUCCUAAUACGCUGUGUAUCCAACUGUCCAUUCAAACUACAGCUACAAGAGCAGGGUGUUAUUAAUGCAGAACUAUUGCACAUAUGAGCAAAAUGUAUUGUAGCAUAUUGUUUUCUUAAAUGACAGCUAUGGACCUACCUUUCAUCACAAAAGGCCCUCGAACCCAAAGCUCCCCUGGCAUACCAGGAGGCAGGGCAAGCCCUGUUUCAGGAUGAACAAUCUUCACUUCAGCGCCCCAUAAAAGACGACCCACGGACCCAAUUUCUCCACUUUCUUCCUCUCCAGCAGCACGGCAAAAACCAGCUGUAGUCUCCGUAAGACCAUACCCCUUUUGCAGUUAAGAAAAACAAUUACAAUCCACAGCUCAUUGAUAAAUCUAAUUGACCCAUUGAGCACCAUAGGCAUAGUUGGGGUUUAUCAGUAACGUAAUUCCAAGAGAUUGAACUAUAUGAGUUAUCAAAGACAAUUGCACGGCACCUGAAUAAUUGUAUAAGUACGAACUAGUGCACAUAAUUUCUGAACAAUAACUACUAAAGUAAAAAUUGAAAGGCAUGAACUUGCAGCAGCAAAACCAACCUGCUGAAGGCGGACGUCAGGGAAUUUGUGGAAGAAGCGCCGAAAGAGCUCAGUCGCCAUUGGCGCGCCACCACAGUUCACGGCCUGCAGCGUGGCCGCGCGGGCAAUCAAUGUCUCGUCCUCUUCGGCGGCCCGCACAAUCGCCAGUAGCGUCGGUGGCGCCAGCGCGAGCCGCGUCGCCCCAAAUCUCCCUACCGCAGCCAGCACCUCCCUGGCGUCGAAUCUCCUCGCCGUGUGCAACACCAGUGUGUUCGCCGACGGCGCCACCCUGAAGCAGAACGUGAAACCGUAUAUAUGGAAGAUGGGCAAAGCGAGCAUCAGCACCUCUGCAGUCGCCGGCCCCCGCGUGGCGUUAGAGGCCAUGAGGUUGCGGUGCGUCAGCACGACCGCCUUGGCGCGCCCGGUGGUGCCGGAGGAGUACAGUAUCGCCGCCGGGUCCGAUUGGUGGAUCACCACAUCUGUCCCGUCGGCCGUGCCAUCCUCGUCGUGGGGUUUGUGGAGGAAGGAGAGAAAUCUUGCGGAGUCGAGGAGCACGGUGUUGAGGCCGGGAGGGAGCUUGCCUGUGGUGGCCUUGACGGCGAAGGCGACGGAGGGACCGGAGAGCGCGACGAGGCCGGAGAUCUCGUCGGCGGUGAGGGCCGGAUUGGCUGGGGACACGAUGGCGCCGACGGCCAUGAGUGCGUAGUAGAGCACGGGGAUGUGGAGGCCGGGGAGCGCGAGGACAAAGGCGACGUCGCCGCGGGAGACGCCCAGGCGGGCACGGAGCGCGGCGGCGAGCGCACGGACCUGGGAGAGGAAGGCGGGGAAGGGGACGACCUCGCCGGUUGCGGCGUCGACGAGGGCUGGGCGGGAGGGGAGCGUGGCGGGGAGCAGGGAGAACGUGAAGGACGGGAAGGAGAGCGGGAGGUCCGGCGGCGGCAGCAGGAGCGGCGGGCGGAGGCUGUGGAAGGUCUUGGUGGCGGCGCAGUAGCCGCUGCGGGGGUCAACGUCGGCCGGAGGCGGCGGCAUGGUUGGUUCGCCGAUUGGUGCGACGGCGAGUUGGGCACACCUAUGGAGGGCAGGGCCGGAAUGCCGGCUGCGCCGCCAUGGCGAGGUUGAAGUUGGAUUAAUGUGAACACUGAGUUGGACUGCUGAGGACUGAGGUUGCUGGCUAGUCGCUAGCGUGUUACGUCACUAGACAAUCAUACAGCAAUUCAAUCGAGCAUUAUAUCGACACGUGAUUACUGAUUACUUGCCUAAUUACAACGGUAGAUGCGCAGGCGGUAGAUACGGUGGUGAAUGAUGCUCCUGCGGCCAGCCGCCAGCGGAGUACAGUGACGUUGAGGAGGGGGACGACGACAGCACGCGACGGUGCAUGAACAUAUCACGUCUCAUAUUGAUUUUUUCCGAUAAAAGAAUUUUCAAAACAAUGUAUUUACAUAGCUAUAGAUCAAUCUCUCAGCCUCUCCACAGUUAGUAUGCACACCACAAUUUUUUUUUUUCUAAACGAAGUAGGAACACUAAUAGCUACUUCCUCCGUUACAAAAUGUUGGUUAUUCGCAUACAUGUUACUAUGCAUCUAAAUAUAGAGUUAUGUCUACAUGCAUAGCAAAAUCUAUGAAUCCAGAAAAAUUAAAAUAACCGACAUUUUAAAACGGAUGGGGGUAUCAAUUAUAUUAUAGACUAGGUUGUGAUCCAUGUGCAUUUUUUUAUAGUAGAUGCAAAAUGGUAGAUAUAAUAGUCAUUCCCAUCAGAUGGUCAAUUGGGUAAUAGGAGGAUCGACUGUAGAGGUGAUUCAGUAACGACGGAUCAAAGGUGAGUAAUCAUGAUGGCAUAGAGCGGUUCCACAUCCGACGAAAUGAUCGAUCAGAUAUGAGACCAGAGGACAUGAUGGCAGGUAAAAUUUCACUAAAAAGGUCCAAAAGAGGACUGGAGGAAAAACAUUUACUCGUGCGGAGAUAAAAAAAAUAGUCUAGUUAACAAGAGGCAAUUUGUUAUAGAGGUGAAGGCUUAUCAUACAACUUUUUUCAUGUGCGGAUCAGGGGAGAGGGAUAACCUUGAGCGUUGCUCAAAUGAAGUGGAGAGUACUCACUUAACUUAUCCUUUCUACCCUGUAAUUUAUUUUACACCCCGUUUGGAUGUAGAUAUUGAAGCCUGAAAUUCUGAAUUGGUAUUGACUUCAUCCAAUUCAGCUGUUUGGGUGGUCUAGGAAUUGGCAUUGGAACUCUCUCCAAUACCGAACAUUAUUCAACCUACUCUAUCUCUCAUGCUCACGUUUCCGACCCCUCCCCCCUUAUUCGUCUACCUCAGGCAACACCUGCUCUCUUCCUCCCUUCUGGCCUCCGUUCCCGUCUUCCACUCCUCCGCCGCCACACCGGUCUCCUCCUCCGCUCCCUUCUUGGCCUCCGCCGCCGCGCCGCUCUCCUCCUUCGCUCCCUCACCGAGCUAUGUGCCGCUCUCCCCCAGCCGUCUAGCCGCUUGCCGCUCCCUUCUUGCCCUCCGCCGCCGUGCUGCUCUCCACCUCCGCUCCCUUACUAAGCUGCAUGCCGCCCUUCCCCCGUUGUCGACCCGCUUGCCGCUCCCUUCUUCCCCUCCGCCUCCACGCCGCUCUCUCCUCCUCCCCUCCCUCUCCGAGCUGCCUGCUGCUCUCCUCCUCCCCUACGCCAUCAAACCGCUCAGUCCUUCCUCCCCUAGUCGAGCCUCACACUGUUCUCCUCCCCUCCUCCAAUGCGCCGUCCGCUGCCCUCCUCGCUGCUGAGUCGAGCGCCAUUCUCUAUGCGUGCGAGAUGAAUGCUACUCUACAGUGGUUGUCAUACAUACAUCUAUAGGCCCAUUAGAAGGUUUGGACAGCUCCAAAUAUGAAGCUGGACACCGAGACGCAUCUGACAUGGAAACCAUGGCACAUGACGACAUAGUCUACAUACAAAGACAGGAACUAGUCAAGAUUAAGAAAGUACUUGCUGUAAUAAGAGUAGGACUCCCCUAGUCAUAUGUGACUAGUAUUCUUGUAACCAUCCUACCUGUAACCUUGCCUCCGUGUAUAUAAGGUAAGGCAGGGAGCCUCUCUAAGACAAUUCAAUACAACCAAUGCAUUACAACACAUAGGAGUAGGGUGUUACGCCAUUCAGCGGCUCGAACCUAUCUAGAUUGUGUGUCAGCGUUUACUUUCGUGUUCCUAAUCUCGACGAGCCCCACCAACCAAAACACUACCUUGGACACACCCCUUGGUAGGUUGUCGAGUCUAAACACCGACAGCUGGCGUGCCAUGUAGGGGAUCUCGCCAAGAAUCCACUAGCAAACUCGAUGGCACAAGUCAUCAUCAAGCCCACCGUCGUGUUCAAAGAAGGCGUGACGUUCAUCUUCGGCUCUUGGGUUUGCAUUGCAGACGGCACCGAAAGUUUCCACCGCCACAUUGCGCUAGCCCCGGAGAAGAAGCACUCAACCAUGAAGCUCCAGUGCGAAGCUUCGGAAGAUCUCAUCGAGAAUUUCGGUAAAUUUUCAAUUUCUGACCUAGUUAGGGGCUGGGGGACGAGUCCGAGUACAACUCGACUUCUUCUUCCAGUCGGAUUGACUCGCACGAGCCACUACAGUAGCCAUCAUGUGAGUCGGUCUACUUCCAAACUUGAUUCGCGUUCAAACUCCAUAACGCGGCCACUGUCUAUCGGAUGGCCAUGUGCAGAUUGCAAUCCGAUAUGGAUGAGAUCGAGGACAUCGACUACUACUUGGAUCUGGAUGAGGAGACUCCUUUAUCUGGUCUGCAGUAGAGCUUGGUAAUCACAUCAACUCCACAAGGCAGAUUCAUCUACUAGCCCAACAUGAAGCCACCCGCUCUUUUCAGGAAUGACGACUCGUGCCUCACCACCUACCUCGACACUAUCCCGUACUAAGAGGGAACUCCUCUAUCGCCCAUACUAGAAGAAGGCUGCUCCACGGAGGUCAUCACCUCUAGCUUGGGAAGCUUCUUACCAGGACGUGAAGUAUUUGCCAUGAUCACUAGGCAAGAUGACGAAGCAGAAGUCACAGAGAGAAACCCAAGGUGUGAACUCCACCCAGAUGGCGGAUUAGAAGAUGAAAAGAUAAUGCACAAAGAACUCGAUGGAGAGCGAAGAACGCUGCGAGAUCAGAGUGUCAUCGCCGCCUCGUGGAGGCACUGCCAAUCUAGAAUCUGGGCAACACCUUUGCCACAGUCCAAACUCGCCACCACCGUACUCCUCUGGCUACCAUCGCGUUCAUAAAUCUGAUCACCCGCGCAAUGCCCAGAACAAGUACACUUGAUAGUUGAUAGUUGGCAGGUCUGGCAGAGCUCACGUACGAACAAAUCGACUGCCAGAAUCUCAUACAGUCAGUACAUCGCUCAGGAUCCGUACAAAGUCAACAUGGCAGUAGUCACAGAGGCCCACCACCCAGACCAAGCUAGAUCAACAACGAUCCUCCACUGGGAGGAGUUGGUGGCGCUAGACCAAGUCAAGUCGGAGCAGCCGGUGAUUCCAGACCAAGUCAAGUGGGAGCUGCGGCAAGCCAGACAGGUCCCUCUGGAGGUUGUGGCCACCUGGUGCUGUACCAGAGCCCGAACGCCUAGUGGGAGACCUCCACAGCAAGAUAAACGCUAGCCGCGACACUCGUACCAUCAUUGAGGCUCAAUGUUGCGAGCGCGAGCAAGAAGCCGAUAACCUGGAGGAUGACGUUGACGGUUUUCUCGCCUUCUCCAGACACGUGAGAAGGACAAUUCUACAUGAGAAGUUAAAAUCCCCGUGUAUCACCAAGCAUGACGGCAAGCAAGACCCGGUGCAAUAGCUCUGAUGCUACUCGCUGUCAAUUCAGUCUACUGGACGAAACAAUGACACCAAAGUUUUCUACUUCCCCAUCUGCAUGGAGGCAGCACCACUCACAUGGCUGAAAUCACUCAAAAAGAACUCUAUCAACUUAUGGGAUGACCUCAAGACGGCGUUUACCAGUAACUAUGCAGGGGCAAUGCAGCGUCCUAGCAACAGGUUUGUAUUGUCCCAGACCAAACAACAAGAAUGCGAGACCCUAUGGAGCUACGUACGAUGUUUCUUCGACAAAAGGCCACAAUUGUGGAUGUCACAGAGAACGACAACAUCGACUUCUUCCAGAACGGCCUCAUCGUUCGCUGGAUGUUCCAAGACUUCGGCAGAAGACACCCAGUGAUGUCAAAUCUCUCAAGAUUAUGGUAAUGGAAGGAUGAAGAAGACAGGAAGACCAAAAGGUUUGAGUCCAACCACAACAAAGGCCAAAGCAACAACAAUCAGAAUAGCAAUGGCCAGUGCAACGACAAGAAUCGCAAUGAUCGCCCCAAUAACGAUAAUCGAAAUAAUUACUCAGGAAGUCAAAACCUCAAGCGCAAGCCAGACAACACAAUUGCAUCAAUACAUUGCUCUUCCAAGAAUAGUGGUGGCAAGGACUCAGGCAGGCCUUCGUUCAACAAACUCCUGCAGAAGGGACUGUUUUAGCUUACGCAGAGCCAUGAAGGACGCGUCGAAACCAUCUGGCGCCAAAGACAAAGGCAAGGUCAAAGAAAAUGAAGAUGAUGGGGACAACGACAAGUUCCAGAAUCCAUCCAACACAGUCUACGUCAUCUUCGGCGGAACCCUGGGCACUGCCACCAAAUGGUCCUAGAAGCUAACCCUCCGGGAGAUCAUGUCCAUUGAACCCGUGGCGCCUACGUUCCUCUAGUGGCCGGAGGUGCCAGUUAUCUUCUCCAGGGUGGAUCAAUGGACUAGUUUCUCAGACCCAGGACAUUAUCCUCUCGUCUUGGAUCCGGUGGUCGCAGGCUCUAGAGCCAAAUAUUGUUCAACUUUUAAAUUAAACUUUUAAAUAUUGUUAGGAUACUUAAAUUAUCAUAUAUUGGUUAAUAUCAUCUUUGAUCACUAAUGUUCAAUAAGUCUAGGCUCGUGAGCCAAACGAGCUGGCUCGAACUUUCAAACGAUCGAGCCAAACUCGAUUUUUAGCUCGUCAACUUUAACGACCCAAGCCGAUCUAGCUCGUUAUCAAACAAGCCAUAACGAGCCGAGAUGGCUCGUGAGCCACCACUACUCUAGACUCACCAAAGUACUCAUUAACGACGGUAGCGGCCUCAAUGUCCUAUUCGCCAAGACGCUGAAGAAGAUGCCUUGAUGUCACCGACAUGCUUACCACCAUGAACUUUCCAUUCUACAAGAUUGUCCCAGGCAACGUGGCUGUACCCCUUGGACAUGUCGUUUUGCCAGUUACCUUCAGACCAAAGAACACUAUCGGACAGAGUACAUAUGGUUCAAGGUGGCGGAUUUCGAAACAUCGUACUACGCCAUCCUGAGAAGACUAGCAUUGGCCAAGUUCAUGGCCAUCCUACAUUAUGUGUACUUAGUACUCAAGAUGCUAGGACCUAAGGGAGUACUUUCCCUGCGCGAAGACCUAAAGAGAUCAUACGACUGCGACACGGAAGCCGUGGAGCUAGCAACAACUACUCAAGUGCCAAACUCGAUGAUGCGAGUCUUCACCAUGUCCAAGAAGCUGUCCCCUUCAGAAUUUGAGAUACUAGAGAAGAAGUCGGGGGCAACCAAGGUCAAGCCGGCAAACGAAGUCGACGUCGAAGCCAUUGACCUUGAGACUGGUGAUAGCUCCAAGAUAGCCCUGAUUGGCACAAGGCUGGAUCCUAAAUAGGAAGACACACUCGUCAGUUUCCUCCGGGUCAACCGAGACAUCUUCGUGUGGAAACCAGUAGACAUGCCGGGGGUGCCUAGGGAGUUGAUCGAGCACUCACUAAACAUGAACCCAAAAGCUACACCGAAGAGACAAUGCCUACGUUGAUUCGCCCAAGGUUGAAGGGAAGCCAUCAAAGUAGAGCUGGCCAAACUAUUCGCAUCAGGCUUCAUAAAAGAAGUCUUCCAUCCAGAGUGGCUCUCCAAUCCCGUCCUGGUGCGAAAGAAGAACAACAAUGUAUGGAGGAUGUGCAUCGACUACACAGACCUCAACUAGCAUUGUCCAAAGGACCCUUUCGGGCUCUUGAGGAUUGACCAAGUGUGCCCUACUCUGCUUCCUCGAUUGUUACUCGGGGUAUCACUAGAUAGCUCUCAAGGAAGAAGACCAGAUCAAGACCGUGUUCAUCACCCCAUACGGAGCUUUUUGCUACACAACAAUGCCGUUCGGGUUGAACAACGCAGGCGCCACAUAUCAACGGGCCAUCCAGUUGUGCUUCAAGAAACAGCUACACCGCAACGUCAAGGCAUAUGUGGAUGACAUGGUCGUAAAGACUAGAAAUUUCGAUGUCCUGAUCGCAGACCUAGAAGAAACCUUCACUAGCCUGCGAGAAUUUUGGUGGAAGCUAAACCCGACAAAGUGCAUCUUUGGUGUGCCGUCUAGGAAGCUACUCAGUUUCAUCAUCAGCCACUGAGGAAUAGAGGUGAAUCCAGAGAAUAUCUCCUCUAUCACCAACAUGCACGCUCCAUCAAGCAUCAAAGACAUUCAGAAGCUGACUGGAUGUAUGGCGGUGCUUAACAUAUUCAUCUCAAGACUUGGAGAAUGGGGCCUACCCUUCUUCAAACUUCUCAAGAGGCAAGACAAGUUUUAGUGUACCAAGGAGACAGACAAAGACUUGCAACAAUUGAAGGAAUUCCUGUCAAACCCACUAGUUCUCACUGCUCUAACUCCCAAUUAGGAUCUGCUAUGUUACAUCGCCAUGACUACUCACAUCGUCAGCACGACGAUCGUGGUCAAAAGAGCAUAACCAGGCCCUAUAUUCAAGGUACAAUGGCUCAUCUACUUCGCUAGAGAGGUGUUAUCUGACUCCAAGACCAGAUAUUUGCCAGUCUAAAAGCUGCUAUACGCAAUACUUAUCACCUCACGAAAGCAACGACACUACUUCCAUGAGUACCAGAUCUCCUUCGUCAUGGAUUUCCCUCUCGGAGAAAUUCUCCACAGUCGGGAUACCACAUGUAGAAUCUCUAAGUGGGUGGUAGAACUUUGUUGACAGCAGUUAGCACGCCAAUUUGUGAACCGCAAGCGCAUGGAUCAUUUAUAGCUCUUCCCUCAUAGUACUCCCCCAAGGUUUAUCAAUACGUGGAACAAGUAGAUUUGCACUCUUAACUAGGUAUUAAUCUAAGUAACCAAAAUCACUUGGUGUAUGAGAUUGAUAUGACUAAUCUAAGAAGUCUAGAUCAAAGAAGGUAGAGAAAGUAAAGGUAUGCACAAGAUAGAUAAAAUGCUUUUCCUAGGGAUCUAGGAUCACUUGCAGAUGCAAUCACCAAGAGUUAACAAAACAUAUCUAAAUGUUAUCAUGAGUGGAUGUGAACCAAGCCCUACACUUUCCCUCCGGCAUACUAGUCACUACACAGGGGUACUCUCUAUCGAACAAAGAACACGACAAGAUGAUUGUUCUAGGAAAGCAAAGAUGCAACCCAAAGUAGUGCUGGCCAGCCAUUCAUGAAAGUACAUCAUCAAGAUAUGAAAGAUAAUAGAUUGAUCUCACAAAGAGGUUGCGCGAUUACAAAUCAAGAUCUUACCCCAUGAUCUUACACAUGUUGACAAAUUUUAGGGUAAAGGAUGCCCUAUAGAUCAACUGGACCAAAGAUGAUGAUGAACGAGGGCAGGAAAGACCCAGGCCGAUCAGCCUGAGCACUUCUAAGCUGAUCGGCUUAGGGGUUUUUCGCCUCCCCUAGUGCUCCUCUUCGUGUGGCCUACUCUGGAUCCAAUCUUUUCUCCGUUUUUCCUACUUGUGGCGGCGGUGGAUGGUGCUUUCGUGGUGAUCUCCUCUCCUUGUUUGUCUCUCCCUUCCUUCAUCCAAUGGGGUUGUAUUUAUAGUCCCUUGUAGGUGGUGGCUCUGGGUCAAUGUCGGUGAAAAAAUCCUAGAGGAUGUCAUGGACGUCACGCUAAAGAAACUGGGGCACGAUCGGCCCAGAGGGUACCAGGACAAUCGGCUUGGGCCCUUUCUGGCCAUCCUAGUCCUCUCCUUCCUUGUGCUGGCUCCCCUCGAUGACCCAUGUCCAAAUAUUCAUUUAGCUCCUUGUGAAAACCCCCUUGAUUAUGUCACAUUUUCGCCAAAACACAACAUGCUCCAAAAUAUAACAUAUAACAAGUCUGUAGUUCCAGGCUUUCGAGAGCACAACCGUCUGAACAGCCCAGAGAGGCUGCGAAGAUAGGCUCUAGUUAAAGAAAUCCCGGAGAGUCUACUUGUCUAUGAAGUAUGACUACCCAGAUGCCCUGAGUACUUGCACUUUGCAAAAAGAGGUCACAUCCUAAAUGUACUCUACACCAUGUAUCUGUGGAGGCUCAUAUGAGUAGCCUUGUGCGCAGACACUCACGACAACUGUACGAGCAGUUAUCAGGGUAGUUCGGGAGAUACACUAAACAAAAAACACACAAGUUGAUAGUAAUAAAAUUUGCAACAAGACUUCAAAUAAUUUACAUUUUCAUUCAUAUCAUGUUUGUAUUACAAUGAUCUAAUGUCUGCUUUUUUACCUACAACUACUCAAGGUCUAUUUGACUAGCUAUCUCCUUGGUGAUUGGAGCCACCUCUUGCAGGUACUGCUGAAACUGCUCAUCAGAACAGUCUUAUGCUAUCCCCUAUGCAACUGGAGCCAGGUCCGCCUGCAAGUAGAAAGACUUCACAAUCGGUAGCAACUGCUUCGAGACCGACUCUGCCAUCUUUUGGAUGUAGCUGAUAAUCUUGGCGGGCACCUCCUUGAGUAUUUCCAACAAAGGGCGAGGCUCCACACCUUCGGCUUGGGGCUCCACCAUAUUGGCUAUGGGCUGAGCAGCUUCAGUUAGCUCCUUCAAAGCAAGCUUGGUGGCUUCUAGCUCAGCCUCGUGCUCUUGGAGGGUCUUCAUGGCGUUCACCAAGUUGACUUCUCCGUCGGUUAGCAUUUUUCGCUCCUUCUCUAGGCGGUGCUCAAGGUUCUCGUACAGAGCGGAUAAUUUAUCAUGUUGCUCGGUCACUCUGUAGUACAAGUUCUGCCAAUUAGUGGCUCGGCCUUGGAGAUCUUGUUUUAUCUUCUCGAGCGCUGCAAGAACAACACAAGAAACAAUUUAGUAUCAUCAAGAGCAAUCAGUACUCAAAGACAAGAUAGGGAAGACAAGUUACAUUUCAACUGAUGCUUCAAAACCUUGUUGCGCUUCCGAAGGCAAUCCUUCUCCUCCGCGGCUUGCUAGACAAUGUUGUGCUACUCGGUGGCUUGGUCGUCGUACUUCAUAAGCAGCCGGGAGGAGUACUCCCGCUCCUUAGUCAGCUCGCGCUCAAGUGCCUCAGCUCGCAUUAUGGUGUCUUCAUAGUCCUAGACCAUCUCUGACUUUCGGCAGGAGCGUUUGAUCAGAUCCUACAAAAUCGAGCAAGUACUCAUGUAAGGAACAAGUACUAAUUUCAAGUUGCGAACAACGCAGAAGGAAGCUUACCGCCAUAUAUUUGCCUACACGGUGAUACAUCUCCAUCAUCGCGGCCUCCCUCUGUAUGGUGAGCAGCGGGUUAGUGAUGAGUUGGAUGUCUUCCAAGUUCACUCCCUCAGCAACCCAUGGUUCCUCGUGCUCUUCGGAGAUUGUUGCACCAAGCGGAACGAGGGUGUGGCUAGUCGAUGGACCCACUUCGGGAGGCGGGAUGGAGGCCAACACUUGCAUGACUCCAGCUACUUCAGCCUCUACCUCUAGCUCGGAGGGUACAAGGUUAGCUACAGCGCUAGAGGUAGUCGCCAUCACCGCUUCGGUCUCUAUCUCCGCCUCAGGAGCUAGAAAAGUAGCCACGACACCGAAGGUAGUCGCCGCUAUGGCUUCAGCUACUGGCAGCUCGGGGGCUAGCACUAAAGUGUAAUUUAGUGAAAAAAUCACAUCAUGCAUUAGUGUGGCAACAAGGGAUACAACACCUGGAGUUAUUUUCAGCGCAGGCCACUCCUCCAGCGGCAGACUUGUAGGCGCUGGGAAGAGGUCUUGAGCCGAGUGGCUACUGCCAUCGGUUGUAGACUUCAGGCUGGGCCCUCCAAUUUCCAUGUUGGCGGAUUUCCUAAAAAAGACAAGUGUCAGAAGAAAUACUACAAGGAAAUAUCAAAUUACAAUUAGUACUCGAACGAAGUACAGAUACUCACUUUGAAGAUCUCUUUAUUUUCAAAGAGGGCUCCCCCACCAAGUGCAUGGGCUUGAUAGUCGGUGACAACUUCUUUGGCACGGCUUGUUGGAUCACAGUUUGAUCUUCACCAGCCUUGGUCACUGUCUCCAUCUCUUGGGUUGUUUGUGCGAUGACGGGGUUGACAAUAGCAACGGGAGGUUCUUCAUCAUCCCAAUCUCAAUGACCUCCUCGAUCGCUAGCAGCUGCUGUUGCACGACUUCUGUAGCCAUCCUCUCCGUCUCAGUUACCUUCCCGACUACCUGCAAUCCACCAAUAUCAUAUUGAGUAGACAUGACGGUAAGGAAUUCACCUACUAGUAUUUCAUCCUUAGGAUCUUGUCCUUCUUCGAAGGUGAUUACCAGAGGAGGCACGUCCUCGGUGUUGAGAGGCUUCUUCACCACACCUUCACGGCAACAGUGCACCUCUUCUUUGGUGGCAGCACCAGACUGGCCUCCAGAUCAUCCUGAGCUGCAUGGUUGGAUGACCUGGAGGAAGACCUAGCCUUGUCUGACGGCCGGGCCUUGAUCACAAAAUCUCUAGCAGCCUCAGAAUCAGAGCUGUUGAAGGAAGAGAAUCCCUCUGAUUCCUCCUCCUCGACUGCCCCCUAUACACUCACAACUGUGUCUACACACGGGAGUGGCGUUAGAGCAGAAGAAAUGUACUUCUUCCUGUAUGCGAAGACAAGUCAGAACAUCAAUAGAUACAAAAAUUAGUACUCGGGGGCUGUGGCCACAGGUACUUACACUACUUAGCGGAUUGGUGGUGUAGUACUCCCACACGAUUGUUGGGAUCUUGCUCACAUGCUUGAAUAAGCACCUCAAUCGCGCCAUGACUUCAUCCACGGAGAGGUCAUCUGGUGAUAUCCGCGAUGGAUCAUUGAGGCCGGACUAGUCGUACCCCCAUGUACACCACAAUUGUAGGAGUUGGAUCGGCCUCUUCAUAAAACUGAAAGAUACUCCUACUCCUGUCAGUCCUUGCUGCUUGAGUAUGGCUAUCUUCUCUAGGAGCUCAGGUAGAUGUAAGCUAUCUCCAUGGGUGGGCUCGUCCAACCACCUGUUAUUCUAGAUAGGGCGGUGGCCUGUCAUCUUGGGGGGCUUGGGCUUGUGGUUGCCGAUAUAGCACCACCUCUCCUUCCAGCCAGAAUGCGAGUCAAUUAACUCAUAAUCCAAAUAUAAGCCCUUAACUUUCUUCCUCAUUUGAAUCCCAUCCCCGCCGACUACUUCUAUAUGCUCCAUCUUGGACUGGGGCUUUACUCUGAAGAUCUUGUGGAAUAGCUGAAAAUGCGACUAAAUCCCUAGAAAGGAUUCGCAAAGAUGAACAAAAAUUGCAAUAUGCAAAAUAGAGUUGGGGUUGAGGUGAACAAAUUCCAGCUUGUAGUAUUCCAAGAUCUUGCGAAAGAAAUCCGAAGUGGGCAAAGCCAAGCUGUGUUCAAUGAAAUGGGUAAAGAUUACCGUUCAUCGGCAUAUGUCUCCAUUGGCCAGGGGUUGCUGUAAGCAGCUCUCCAGUUUAUGAUGUCUUAGCCUUGGAGAAGAUUGGCUGCCACCAGUACCUUGAUGUCUGCCUCCUUCAGCACGGACUUCUUCCAGGCGCAUGCAGGCACUGGCAGGGCUGUCUGGUCAGUCUUGCCAUAUUUGGGAGCUGGCAGCUGGAUCUCCUUCUUCUUCAAUGACUUCUUCUUCUCGCCUUCUGCUGCCUUGCCUGUAGUCGCCUUCUUCCCCAUUCGUGCUGCCACGAGGGUCUUCUUGUGCAGGCGCUUGGGGGCUAAGCAGUGGGGGAUGGUGGCGCUCGAGGUCAAGGAUCGGGUAGCGGCGGCGCUAGAGCAACAGUGUGGAAGAUAAAAGAGUAGACGACACAGGUAUAAUGGAAGGGAAGUUUUCCUCCAUUAUUUAUAACCACAAACACCCAAAGAUUUCGCACCAGCUGCAGUUUCCAAUAUUUUCGGAAGAGUGAGGUUACUGUUGGUGAAUGGUCACGUUGACCAGUGGUUGACCCUUAUACCCCAAACUAGUCGUGCAACAGCUCGACGGCUGUGUGCCAUGUGCCCAUUGGCUAAAACGUUUUUUCUUUAGGUUUUUAAGGAAAAAGAGAUGCAAAAUUACAGAUUGACCCUCAGCUUGAUUCUUCAAUUCAACAUAAGGCUCGGGGGCUACUCCAUAAGGACUGCGACUUUCGUCGCACUUCCAUACAAAAUUCAAGAUUGAAGAUUCAAGAUCAAGUUAAAUGAGGCUUGAGCACAUUCUAGCUGCAUGGCAGUGCAUGAGUACAUUUGAAGACUCAAUCCGAUGAAGUACUUGAAGAGCACCAAAACUAGUCAGAGAAGCCUACAAAAGUACUCGAAACUGCUGCAUUUGACUAAAAUGUAUUCGGGGGCUUGUCGUACAUACAUCUAUGAGCCCACCAGAAGGUUUGGAUAGUCCUAGAUACGGGGCUCGACAUCGAUAUGUGUCAGGCAUGGAGACUAUGGUGCAGGACGGCGUGGUCUACGUGGCAAGACAAGAACUAGUCGAGGAUUAGGAAACUACCCAUAGCAAAUAGAGUAGGACUCACUAGUCAAAUCUGACUAGUAUUCUUGUAAGCAACCGACCUGUAACCCUACCCCCGGCAAUAUAAGGCAAGGCAGGGACCCCCUCCAAGGCAGUUCAAUCCAAUUCAAUACAACCAACGUACAGGACGUAGGGUAUUACGCAAUCUAGCGGCCUGAACCUUUCUAAAUCAUGUGUUCGAGUUCACCUUCGAGUUUUCCUGAUCUUGGCGAGCCCCAUGCACUAAACACUACCUCGGGCACCCCCUCGGUAGGUUGCCGGGUCUAUAUACUGACACUUUCCAUCUUUGAUGUCACGAGCGUUUUCAGUAACAUAUGCUCGAGGGCUGCGAGGUGGGAGGCGGCGGUGCUAGUGUUCGAAGGUCAAACAGUGGUGGUGGCGCUAGCGCAAGAACGUAAAAGAUGGACAGACGAAUAGCAAAGGUGAGACGGAAAGGAUAACUUCCUCCGAUAUUUAUAACAGUGGCACAGUAGCAACUACGCAAAAGAAGGGAUUUUGAUUUAAAGGUUCCCCAGGAUUCAGGACACCUUUAAUUUAGGAAGAGAUAAAAUCUCCUUCCAAAGAUGGUCAUGUUGACCAAAGGUUGACCCUUAUACCCACCAAACUAGUCAGCUAAAGGCUCGGGGGCUGUGUGCCACGUGUCCAUUGACCAAAAGUUUUUUCUCCUGAUUUUAAGGGGAAAGUGAUGCAAAUUACAGACUAACCCUUAGCCUGAUUCUUCACUUCAACCUAAGGCUCGGGGGCUACUCCAUAUGGAAGUGCGACGAGGAAAGCCUCGCACUUCCAUAUAAAAUUCAAGGUUGAAAGAUAUGAGACUGAGUUAAAUGAGGCUUGAGCAGAUUCUAGCUACAUACCAGUUUUUGGGUACCUUUGAAAAUUAGUCGGUGAAGUUUACAAAAGUACUUGGAACUGCUGCAUUUUGACUAAAGAGUAUUCAGGGGCUUGUCAUGCAUGCAUCUAUGGGCCACCAGAAUGUCUGGACAGUCUUAAAUAUGAGGCUGGACACUAAGAUGCAUCUGACAUGGAGACCAUAGCGCAGGACAACGUAGUCUACUUGGAAAGACAUGAACUAGUUGAGGAUUACGAAAGUACUCGUUGUAAUAAGAGUAGAACUCCUCUAGUCAUAUUCGACUGGUAUUCUUGUAACCAACUGACUUGUAACCCUACCCUUGACAAUAUAAGGUGAGGCAGGGACCCCCUCCACAGCAAUUCAAUUCUACAAACACACAGGAAGUAGGGUAUUAUGCUAUUCAGCGGCGCGAACCUGUAUAAAUCUUAUGUCUAUGUUUACCUUCGAGUUCCUAAUAUCGAUGAGCCCCACUAACCAAAACACUACCUCGGCCACCCCCUCGGUUGGUUACCAAGUCUAAAUACCGACACCAUCCUUUCUAAUCCUCGGUUCCCUCUUGGUCUCUCCCAGAUCAUACCAAUCAUAGUGGAAUAAUACAACAAUUCGAUUUGUGCCACGGCCUAAUGAGUUAUACCGCAGCUCAAUAAUUUCUUUUAGGCAACCAUAAAACUCAAAUGGCUCACUGUUAUGAAAGCCUGCGGACAUAAUCCCACUGUUCUAUGUCUUCCGAUUUUUCUCUUGGCAUGUGUGUGGUAUCGGACGCCGCGAACAAGACAUGCUGAAUAUUUUCUUCCUGGCUUGUUUGGUAAAGCUGAUAAUGCAUAUAGGUCCUCAAAGACCUCUCCUUCAGGCAUCUUUUCAAUCUAUAUAACAAAACCAUAGUUUUAUAUAUAAUUUUAUAUAUAGGUCGUCACCAGCUAAUAUAAGUUUAUUUUGAAAAAGAAAAAAACUUACAUGCGAUUUAAACCAUCAGGCAAAUUCUUUCUGAAUUCUACAUUCAAUAACCUGGUUCGACACACCUUCCACUUAUAACUAAUCCAUGUAUAUCCUGCAAAAGCACAUCCAUCUGAAAAUUAGACCAAAAUAAUUGCAGUACAAUCAUUGCAUGAUGGAUUACGUACCUGAUAUAUGGCUCAACCUCUUCGCAAUUGUUUAGCACGUACCAAACCAGCUUGUCGUAAUCCGAAUCAAGGAACGAAGUCUUUGCUGCUUCAAGUACAACAACAUUGUGCUAGAAACAAGAUAAAUCACCUUCUCGUAACAAAUCAACAUUCUCUUUGUUCCUGCCCUCCUGAUUGAAUCAUGUGUCAACAUCAUCAUCCGCAAAGUACCUUAAGCAAAAUGUUAAGGACUCAUUAGCAACAUAUGAAGGACUCACUAGCCAUGUUUCUCACGAAAUGCUUCAAUGUGCAUAGCCUUCUUUCGAUGGGAUACAUCCAUCCAUAUUGUACUGGGCCUCUUAGGAUUGCUUCCUCAGGCAAAUGGACAGCCAAGUGCACCAUAACAUCAAAGAAGGCAUGAGGGGAAAUUUUCUCAAGCUUGCACAAAAUUAUCGGGAUAUCUAUUUUCAGUUUCUUCAAAACAUCCAACUUUAGAGUUUUGCAACAUAGUUGUCGAAAGAAGUUUUCUAAUUCCGAAACAGCUGAGUAUGUCUCUUUAUCCAUUAAACCUCGAGGGAAGCAGGCAAAAUCCUUUGGAAUAGGAUAUGACAAUCAUGACUUUUCAGUCUUUGGAGUUUGCAUCCAUCAACGACAAUACAUCUAGAUAAGUUAGAAGCAUAUCCAUCUAGGAACUUUACCUGACUUAUAAAAUCACAUAACACCUUAUGUUUCUUUUUACCCAUUGUAUAUGGAGCUUCUGGCAUUUUGCAUGACUCUCCUUCCAUGGUAUUCAGCAUGUGUAGAUGUGGUCUAAUGCGCAUCUCUUCCAAAUCAAGCCUAGCAUUGAUCAUGUCCUUUGUCUUCCCAACAAUUUUAAGCAAUGUUCCAAUAAGGUUUUCGCACAUGUUUUCCACAAUGUGCAUGACAUCAAGAUUAUGUGGCAGCUUCAAGAUUUUCCGAUACAAGUCAAACAAACAAACCCUUUGGCUCCAACACUAUCCAGGUUCCCGCUUCCUUUUCUGACCUUAAGGAGGCUUUCCUGGUUUAACAUCUUUAACCUUCUCCAGUUGCUGCUGAAGCUCCUCAGUAGUAAAUUGCUCUGGCUUCUCUCGGUUUUCAGUAUUACCAUCAAACUCUACUUUCUUUCUUUUCCAUGGAUGGUCAGUUGGAAGGAAACAACAAUGGCCAAUAUAACAUAUCUUGUUCUUCAAUCUCCUUGAGUAAGGAUCCUUGUCACAAUGCACACAGGCAUAAGAACCUUUCGUGAGUCGCGCCGCCAAUGUGCUCAGUGCUGAAUAAUCAUGUAUGCACCAAAUAACCGUAGCAUGUAGUUUAAAGAAUUGAUGACUACAAGCAUCGUAUGCAUCGACACCCUUCCAAACAUCCAACAACUCAUCUACGAGUGGUUGCAAGAAGACAUCAAAAUCUUUUGAUGGAGAACUUUGCCCAGGGAUCAAUAAUGCCAUCGUUUGCAAGGCCAAGUCUAAUGUUCCUAGCAUCUUUUGCAAAUUCUAACCAAUUAUUAUCGAAGUCUUUCCAUGCCUCACCAUCAGCUGUAUGGCUAAGCUCAUUGUCCAUCGGUUUUCACUUCAACUUGUGCCAUUGUGCAUCUUUUGUGGUUUUUGAUGAAAGAAACAUCCUCUUCAAUGUUGAAACUAAGAAAAUGCUUCAAUACCUUCUGAGGAACACGCUUCUUGUUGUCUGCAUCUUUCCAUCUUGAAUUUGCUUCACAACACACUACGCACAGAUCAUGUUUCUCUAGCGUCUUGUAAAACAAUACACAAUUAUUCUUGCAAACAUGGAUAGAUUCAUAGCCGAGUCCCAUGGCACGCAUGUACUUCAUUGCAUCAUCAUAAGAUGUCAGAACACAUGCUUCUAGGAAAGCAAUGGAUAACACCUUCAGAAUCACAUUGAAUGCGACAUUACUGAUCCGAUAGAAAGACUUGAUAGGAAGUAACUCACAACAAAUGUAAAUUGUGUAUAUUUUGAUCCCGGUGACACCUUACGAUUUAAAUGUUCCUUUAUCCAUGCUAACAUUUUCCCUUCAAGCUUUUUAGCAUGGCACAUGUCGGCUAUCAUUUCAAGAAGUCCAUCUUCAGUGCCUUCAUCCUCCUCCAUACCCAAUAUGUGUUCGUUUUCCUGAACCAUUUUAUGAUCACCAUCUUCCUGCAGAACUGCAUUAUCCACAACCCCCUUAUCUGGCAGAAUUGCAAUUUCCUCAACCCCAUCAUCCUGCAAAAUUGUAUUUUCCUGAACCCCAUUAGUUUGCAGAUUUGCAUUUUCCUAAACCCUAUCCUCGAAUAUUUCUCCAUGAUGGAUCCACCUAGUGUAGGUGCUUACCAUCCCAGUCAUAAGUAAGUGCAGGUCACCACUUCUAUAGUACAUCUAGACUAAUUCAGGCAUCCACGACAAGGGCAUAGUAUUUGUUCAUCGUUAGAGUAUCUACUCUUAACAAAUUCCAUGAAAUCAUUGACCCAUUUUGAUGAGGACAUCACCUUCUUGGUUAUAACCACAUUGGCAACUUUUGAUUCAAAGGUGAAGCAAUUCUUUAUUAUGAUUGUAUUUGAUACAUUUGAUGAAUUGAUGCUGCACCAUGAUGCAUGUUCAUUGUCAUUUUCAGAAAUCCAUACGUGGAUCAAAAAGAGUGUUAAACACACAUGGACGACAUGGAGGACUAAAGAAGUUGAUUGGGGGCCAAGUUCAAGUAUUCCCAACGUCCUCCACGAGGCCACCACGUCACUUUUGGCCUAAGGAAAGAAAGAUCAAAUCCAACAUGUUUCGGGGCUUGAUUCGGACGGUAGCACUACGCCAACUUGUGAUGGCUGCCACGACUUCAUCUGGACUCUGUUUUGGACGUUGAAGUACUUCAUGGAAUUCUUAUGAAGUCUAUUUUCAUAUGGAUCCAGACUCAUGUCCAUAUCUGUUCUAAGGCAGCCAUGAUGAUCAAAUUACUACUGAGAGAUUUUUCUAUCCAAGGUGUUGUGUCGCCUUAUUUUGGCCCAAUGGGCUGUGUAUCAAGUUGGGUCCAUUAGGGACACGUCUUAGGGUUGGAGCAUGACCCCAACACCCUUGUGCUCGUCCUCCCACAUUUCUUAUACCCCUUAGCCACCACCAGAAACACUCGGGUUUUGUUUAGAUGUAAGUUUAGCCAUUGCUACUUCCUUGUAUACGCGUGUGUCGACUAAGCCAUCAGUUCUACUCAAUUCAGACCCCAACUUUGUGAUUUCAGAUUGGUUUUUAUCUUCAUAUUUGCAAUUGAGUUGCUUGUUCUACUUGUUCUUGCUUGUUCCUCAAUUGCUUGUGGGAAUUAGCCUAGUGGUUUGGUUGAUCGUGCUCCACAAGAUCGUGACGACCAUUGGAGGUGGUGUAUCGGUUGCUAAGGCGCAACAUCCAUAGAUGGUUGUAGUCGGGCUGUGAACAUUGUCUCCAUCCCCAAAUCAAGUUAUCCCCUUUCUCUCAUCGAAAGAUUGGGAUUCAACCCCCACGGGUUCAUAUCAGUUGGUAAUCAGAGCAAGGUUGAUUGGUGAAAGACUUCCAAUUCCUUGUUGCGUUUAAUCUCCUAUAGUCCGAAAAAGCCAAAAAAAAAAUUAGUAGAUUAGUUCUCCAUAAUCCUAAAAACCCUUUGAGCUUGAUACUAUUACUGCUUAGUUAGGGCUUAUUGAACUAAUGGUUGCAUCAUCGUUUCAAGUUGCUAGUCUUAGCGUCUAGUCGUUUAGAUUUUCGACUUCUAGUCACGUUUGUGUCACCAUCGCAUAUUUCAGUUUAUUUGCUUCUCUCCACGAAUCAGAGUGGAUUUCCAAAUUCCUUUGUUUUGUUUACCACCAUUACCCUAACCACGUCCUUGGAGGUUUCAUCCACGUCCAUACUUCCAUCAACAAAAAUAAAAUCCAACAAGUUCAAAAUAGAAUUCAAUUCGGAGUCCUGUUUUAUCCUGAAAAGAAAAGCACCAUAUUUCCUUUGUUAGGAGUCUGAAUAGGGAGUUUAAAUACAAUCUAGAAACCUUAAAUUGUGCUCUUUCCAAUGGAUAUGAUCUUGGUCCCAAAUUCAUUUUAAGCUAUUCGUAAUCGUGCAUGUGCUGGUUUUGCAAAACAGCCACUAGUUUGACUUUGCUGCUAAAUCACCCUUCCUAAGGAAACAUUUAGUUAAUGUGACUAGCUUGUUAUCUCUUGUUGCAAAAUUUGAUUGCUGUCGAAUUUAGUAGCCCAGCAGUCCUCCAGGGGGUUACCCAAGUGGUUGAUUUGUAGGCAGAGAGGAUUGUGAAACUAAGAACUCAAAGGUGAUCAUGAGAACACGAAGGUUUAGACAGGUUGAGCCUCCGGAGAGUAAUACCCUACAUCCUAUUUUUGGUGGAUUGUAUUGCUUUGCGCUGGUGCGUGGAAUAGUUUGAUGGGAUUGGAUGCCCUCGGGAGGAGCCCUUGGCCGCUUUAUAUAGGUUGAUGACCUAGGGUUACAAGUCGGUUUGAAUCUUAUCCUAGUCGGUUGUUACAUGGAAUAUAAUCUGAGUCGGAUUACAACAAGUAUAUCACAAUAUCCAAGCUGAUUUGAAUCGCUCGACCUUCUUGACUUGCGCUCCAAGUAUCUUCACAUCCCUUACCCACAUGUUCUGGUUGGGUGGGCCCACUUGUCAGGACUGGCCAAUAUCCUAGUCGGUGGGGACCCAUGGGUUACCCAUAUCCCUCAAGCCCCCGAGUGAUGUGUAGGCGAACAGGAACCUGAGGACAUCGCAACAAAGCUUGGAAUGUGGUUGGCUAAAGCUGUGAUGGUGUCAUAGUGAUGGAGAGGCUGCACAGUGCUCAAAAAAGAAGAAAAUCUUUGAUCUUGUAGUCUUCUCCUUGAGAAAACACCAUGGAUGCACGUCUAGUGAGAUCCCGCAUCCAACCCCCAAACCUGGGAGCCGGCUAAGCCGCGGAAGCGUGCCAAGUCACCUCCCGCAUCCAGCCCCCGAGCCUAGGAGGUUAGCUUUGUGGCAGGAGGCAUGCCGAGUUGUGCGUGGUGCCCAGCCCCCGAGCCUAAGAGCCGAACGAGCCGUAGAAGCACGCCAAGUUGUCUCCCGCACCCACCCUGCGAACCUGGGAGGUCGGUCGGAUGGCAGAAGGCAUGCCGAGUUGUUUGUAGUUCCCGGGCCCCGAGCUUGGGAGCCGGCGGAGCAUCUCCUGCGCCCAGCCCUCGAGCUUAGGAGCCGGAAGCGUGCCAUGUCACCUCCCACCCCGAGCCUGAGAGGUCGGCUGAGCGACAGCAGGCACACCGACCUGAAUACGGUGCUCAGCCCCCCAGCGUGAGGACUAGUGGAGCCAAGGAGACACGCCAACCAAAAUAAAGCGCCCAACCCCCGAGCCUGGGAGCCGGUCGAGUCAUGGAAGUACGCCAAAUCGCCUCCUGCCCCGAGCCAGAAGGUCGGCCGGGCAACGGGAGGCACCUCGAACCGUCUAUGGCACCCAACCCCCGAGCCUGGGAACCAACCGAGCUAUGGAAGCAUGCUGAGUCGCCUGCCACACCUGGCCCCCAAGACUGGGAGCCAGCCAAGCCAUGGAAGCACAUUGAGUCACCUCCCCCCCGAGCCAGAUAGGUCGGCCGGGCAAUGGGAGACAUGCCGAGUAGUUUCAGAGCUGUAAAAGGACAAUACAAAUAUUUUGUAGUAUAAUGUAGAGUAUUUAAUAAUUGAAUAACUCGGAAGUUUAAUCGGCGUAAAAUUAAACUCUUUCGCAUCCUGCUCUUGUAGGCCAGGUAAUUUCCCUGAGUAAUUAGCCCGUCACGUUUAAGCACCUAACCCUGCCGGGGUGUUGCCGAGCGAACUCGAGCGUGCUUAGUAGGAAGUGACACAUGAGGGUCAGCCUUCACAGAUUAAGGUGUGUGCUACCCGAGUACUUUAGCAACCGUUAAGAGGGACGGACAAGCCGCAAAACAGUCGGAACUAUGCGGAAAAGCACUAGCAUGAGCUGGGCACCCGUGGGGUGUAGCCCCCGACCGCCCAUGUAGUGGACGGACCAAGUUGUAUAGGCAGAGUCAUAGAGACAUAGAGGAGCUGAGGCGGUCGGCGAAUGUCGGGCAUACACCCCAGGCCCACGAGUAGACCUUGGACGGCCCACUCAGGGACGUACUCGGACACGAUCACAACAAGGAUAGGCGUAUCCUACUCGGACUAGUCAAGUAUGUUUAUGGAAAACUACUUGGGCCUUACCGAGUAGAACUCUGUAAUAGUACUCGACUAGGACUCAAGAUUUGUAACCCUGCCCUCCCGUGUAUAUAAGGGCAGGCAGGGACCCCCUCAACAACAACUCCAGUUCAUCAAUACAAACCAACACACAGGACGUAGGGUAUUACGCGAUCUAGCGGCCCGAACCUGUCUAAAUCGUGUUCCUUGCGUCACUAUUGAUUCCUUGAUUCUCAACGAUCCUUACCGCACAAAAGACCUCCUAGGGUACCCCCUAGGCGGGUUGCCGGUCUAAAACACCGACAGCUGGCGCGCCAGGUAGGGGAACUCGUCGAGUUUCUCAGCGCGAACUCAAUGGCAAAGGUCAUCAUCAGGCCCGUUUUCUUCAUCGAAGCCGGUGCCACCUUCGUUUUCGGAUCCUGGCUUUGCGUCGCCGAUGGCUCGGGUUCAUUCCGGCGCCAGAUCAUCGACGCUCAGGAGAAGGAACCAGAAGAUCUGAUUGGAAAAAACCAAGAUUUCAAAAUCGACGAGUUUGAUUUCGACUACGCGUCGGAUUCGACUUCGCCUCGGACUAGUCGGUCCCAGCCAGUGUCCAAGUCGGUUUUGACUUCAAAGCGGUUCCCGCACGGACUCCGCAAUGCAACCAAAGUUCACCAAGGCUUUCUUACUCAAACCCGAUUUGAACUCGGGCAUGACGAAGAUGUCGACUCGGACUCUUCUUAUUCGCCAAAGAUACCAUUAUCUGGUCCAGCCCAAGGAUUGGUAGUAACUUCAACAUCACAAGGUAGAUUCGUCCACUGGCCAGGAUUGCGACCAUCUCUUCUUGACCGCGACUACGACUCAUGCCUUGUCGCCCAUGUAGACAAUCUCCCAUAUCAAGAAGGCGUUCCACUCACUUCCAACCGCGAGGAAAGCUCCGGAAGCUACUACCCGAACAGGGAGAUACUUGUUAUUACUCAGAAUAACAACCCAGGUACUAGCUAGAACAGAAUCCCCAGGCGAUUAGCACAACUCGACAAUAUCUCUGAAGAUGAGUCUACAGCUGACGCCCCUCACAAUGAAACUUUCGAGCAAAGAAACCAAAGAAGGACGCGCAAUGCUACUCGAGCUGAGCGACGACAGUCGAUGGCUACAAAUAUUCCCAUUACAAAUCUUGAAAGGGCCUUCAACGCAGUUCAGGCUCAGGAGCACAAUACUCCACUCGCGGCUAUCGCUUCAAUCAACCUCUUAACAACGUUGAUGCCUCAGGAUAGGGAUAACGAAGCCACAGCUCAACUCGUGCAGCGCGGCAACGGACUAAUCGCACAACUCGCGGAGCAAGCUUACAAGUUACUCGAUAAAGAAUCACCGAUUCCAUCUGUUCCUUGCAUCACAGCUCACCAAGAAGGUAGCAGGGGAGCUGCAGAUAACAACAAUGCCCCAAAAAAUGGCAAUGAAGUUAACCAACCUUGGCAGCACAGCCAAGGUCCAAGCAAGCACAAAUCCCCAGCUCGCCAUAAGGAUGUUGGCGAGGUCAGCUGCACCAACUCGGUUAGAAGCAUCCGCCCUACUCGGAAGAACCACGAAGUGUCCAACUUCAGUGAUCUGCGAGAAAUUCUCAAUAGUCGGCGCGAGCGAUAAGCCGACAACUACAACCAUUUUCCUGCUUUCACAAACCAGGUAAUAAAAACAAAAUUACCCGAGAAGUUCAAGCCAACCGGAAUCACCAAGUAUGAUGGCAAACAAGACCCAAUUCAAUGGCUUCGAUGCUACUCGCUAGCCGUCCAAGCAGCCGGGGGCAACAACGACACCAAAGUUAUCCACUUUCCCAUAUGCAUGGAACCGCACCACUGACCUGGCUUGAGUCACUCGAACCCAAGUCCAUUGACUUCUGGGCAGACUUGACAAAGGCUUUCACCAACAACUUCGCCGGCUCCAUGGCUAGACCAGGCAACAAGAUUGACUUAAGUCAAAUUAAGCAAAAAGAAGGCGAGACCCUACGCGACUAUCUGCGACGGUUUCUCGAAAAGAAGGCUACCAUAGUUGACAUCUCCAAAACAGACGUCAUCGAGUGCUUCCAGAAUGGACUCUACGAUCGACGAACAUACCAAGACUUCGGUCGCCGACGACCAGCUGAUGUCAAAGAACUCAAAGUCAUGGUGCAGUAGUGGGCAGAUGAAGAAGAAAAAGAGCGAGAAUGGUUCGGCUCCCACCGUAACCGUGGACACGACAACAACCACAACAAUGACCAAGAAAGAACUCGACAUAAUGAUACUCGAAACAACUAUUCGAGUAAUCACAAUCGCAAAAGGAAGCCCGACAACAGUGUUGCUGCCAUGACCAACUCCGGGAAAAAGGGACCCCGUAGAAACGAUGAAGGGCCAACCUUCACUGAACUACUCAAAAAGCAGUGCCCAUGGCACCCGACUAGCAAGCACUCGGCAAUAGACUACUACAGCAUGCGCCGAGUCAUGCAAGACUUACCCGCACCACCGCCUCCUAAAGAGUACACCAAGAAAAAAGAUAAGAGCAAGAACAAAGUCCACAACGACGAAGAUGAAGAAGGCGACUUCCAGACCACCUCAAAAACUGUCAACGUCAUCUUCGACGGUAUCCCAGGCACUGCAUCCAAGCGAGCCAACAAACUUGUACUCAGGGAGAUCAUGGCCAUCGAACCAACGGGUCCAACACCGUUAAAAUGGUCAGAAGUUCCCAUUUCUUUCAGCAGAAAAGAUCAAUGGACUAAGUUCUCAGAACCAGGCUUUUUCCCACUAGUCCUAGAUCUAGUUGUGGCAGGCUCAAAAUUAACCAAAGUACUCAUCGACGGCGGAAGCGAACUCAACGUUAUUUUCGCCAUGACAUUGAGGAAGAUGUGCCUCGACAUUACUGAAAUGCUCACUCCAACAUAUUCACCUUUCUACGGCAUCGUGCCUGGAAAUGCGGCUAUACCACUAGGACAAGUUGUCCUUCCAGUUACCUUCGGAACUAAGGAACAUUACCGUACUGAGUACAUCAGAUUCGAAGUUGCCGACUUUGAGACAUCCUACCAUGCCAUACUCGGAAGGCCAGCACUCGCCAUGUUCAUGGCCAUACCACACUAUGUUUACCUGGUACUCAAAAUGCCAGGCCCCAAGGGAGAACUCACGCUGCGAGGAGAUCUACGGCGAUCCUAUGAAUGCGACACUAAAGCCGUGGAAAUUGCUGCGACUACUCAAGCACCUAGUCACAUGCAACAAGUCUUCACAGCUUCAAAGAAGCUCCAUCCAACCGAACUAGAGAUCCCGGAAAACAAGUCGGGGUCCACAAAGGUGAAACCCACCAGUGAGCAAGACUUCAAAUCACUUGACCUCCAGACGGGUGACCCUUCCAAAAUAGCCCUGAUCGGAACAGGGCUAGAUCCUAAAUAGGAAUUCGUGCUCGUCAGCUUCCUUCGGGCUAACCACGAUAUCUACGCUUGGAAACCGGCUGACAUGCUAGGUGUGCCCAAGGAGCUGAUUGAGCAUUCUCUCAAUGUCGAUCCAAAGCUACUCCAAAACGACAACGACUAUGCCAGUUCGCUCAAGACAGAUGAGAAGCAAUCAAAAAAGAGUUAGCCAAGCUACUCGUGGCAGGGUUCAUCAAAGAAGCCUUUCAUCCUGGCUGGCUCGCCUAUCCCGUGCUCGUUCGUAAGAAAAACAACGAGUGGAGAAUGUGUGUUGACUACACCGACCUCAACAAACACUGCCCAAAAGACCCUUUCGGGCUACCCAAGAUCGAUCAAGUGGUCGACUCCACUGCUGGGUGCGCUUUACUAUGCUUUCUCGACUGUUACUCUGGUUAUCAUCAGAUAAGCCUCAAAGAGGAGGAUCAAGCCAAAACAGCGUUCAUCACGCCUUUCAGAGCUUUCUGCUACAAGACAAUGUCCUUCGGACUAAAAAAUGCAGGGGCAACUUAUCAAAGGGCCAUACAGAUGUGCUUCGAAAAGCAACUUCACCGCAAUGUUGAAGCUUAUGUCGACGACGUAGUCAUCAAAACAAGAAACCGGGAGGAACUCAUUGUUGACUUGGAGGAAACUUUCUCUAGUCUACGCGCUUUCCGAUGGAAACUCAAUCCUACUAAGUGCAUCUUUGGAGUACCUUCCGGCAAAGUACUCAGGUUCAUCAUUAGCCAUCGCGGCAUUGAGGCCAACCUAGAAAAAAUAUCUGCCAUCACAAACAUGUAGGCACUAGCUAGCAUUAAGGAUGUGCAGAAACUCACAGGCAGCAUGGCCGCUCUCAACCGGUUCAUCUCGAGACUUGGAGAACGGGGACUACCCUUCUUCAAGCUUCUCAAACACCAGGACAAGUUCAAAUGGACGAAAGAGGCAGAUGAGGCACUAACACAACUCAAAGACUUUCUGUCAAAGCCUCCUGUACUCACCGCUCCUUCUCCGAAUGAAGACUUGCUCCUAUACAUCUCAGCUACUACUCAUGUCGUCAGCACGACAAUAGUAGUCGAACGGUCUGAACCGGGCCACGCUUACAAGGUCCAACGACCUGCUACUUCGUCAGCGAAGUACUCUAGGACUCCAAAACUCGGUAUUCACCGAUACAAAAACUCUUAUACGCAAUUUUGCUCACCUCCCGGAAACUACACCAUUACGUCCAAGAGCACAACAUCAUAGUCAUCUCCGACUUCCCGUUCGACGAAAUUCUCCACAACAGAGAUGCCACGGGUAGAAUCUCCAAAUGGGCAGUUGAACUCGGAGCUCUCACCUUGGACUUCAAGCCAAGGACAGCUAUCAAAUCCCAAGCUUUGGUCGACUUCGUAGCUGAAUGGACUGAAAAUCAAGUGCCAACACCAGCCGAACGACCAGAACACUGGGUAAUGUACUUUGACGGAUCCCUCAAACUUGAAGGGGCCGGCGCAGGCGUAUUGCUCAUCUCCCCCAGGGGAGACCAGCUCAAGUACGUACUGCAGAUAUUCUGGGAAGCAUCUAAUAAUGAAGCUGAGUACGAAGCACUACUUCACGUCUUUCGCCUUGCAAUCUCCCUCGGCAUCAAACGACUACUGGUGUACGGCGACUCUCUAGUCGUUAUAAACCAGGUCAAUGACGAGUGGAACCGGAACAAGGACAACAUGGACGCUUACUGCAAAGAAGUCCGUAAACUGGAAAACAAGUUCUCAGGCUUCGAAUUUCAUCACAUCAUCUGCGACAACAACGCUGCCGCCAACGUCUUAUCCAAAAUGGGCUCAACUCGUGCAGAAGUUCCAGCAGGAAUUUUCGUACACGAACUGCGCAAGCUGUCCAUAUCCAAACAAAUCACCACACCAGCAGUCCCCACUGCUGACGUCUCUCAUGAAGUCAUGAUGAUAGAAGUCGACUAGAGGACACCCUUCAUUGGCUACAUCAAAGAUCACCAGCUACCUUCCGACAAAAAUAAAGCUGAGCAAAUCUCCCGGCGAGUAAAAAAUUACGUUUUAGUCGGAGACAAGCUCUACAGGAAAGGUGCAUCAUCUGGAGUACUCAUGAAGUGCGUUACCAGAGAAGACGACCAAGAAAUCCUAGAGGAAAUUCACAGAGGAAUCUGUGGCAACCACGCCUCCUUGAGGACACUAGUUGGCAAGGCUUUCAGGGCAGGCUUCUACUGGCCAAUGGCUCUGGCUAACGCUAAACAACUAGUUCAGAAAUGCAAAGGUUGUCAAUUCUUCACAAAACAGCAACAUGUACUGGCCUACAAGCUAGUCACAAUACCUCCAACAUGGCCGUUUGCCUGCUGGGGGCUCGACAUGAUAGGGCCGUUACCAACUGCGCCAGGAGGAUUCAACCGAGUAUUCGUGGCAAUCGACAAAUUCACCAAGUGGAUCGAGGUCAAACUCGUCACUUGCCCCAAGGCAGACCGGGUCCUCGACAUCUUGGAUGAAAUCGUACACCGCUACGGUUUUCCCAACAGGAUUAUCACAGACCUCGGGUCAAACUUCAAUAAUCACGACUAUUGGGAAUAUAGCGAGAAUAGCGGCAUCGACGUUCGCUAUGUCUCGGUCGCUCAUCCGCGAGCCAAUGGACAAGUCGAGCGUGCUAAUGGCAUGAUACUCGACGCCCUGAAGAAAAGACUACAUGUAGUUGGCAACACCAAAGGUGGAAAAUGGCUCAAAGAGUUACCCAACGCUUUGUGGGGCCUACGUACCCAACCGUGCAAGACUACUGGGCUAUCGCCCUAUUUCCUCGUAUAUGGCUCGGAAGCCAUCCUACCCGCUGACAUCAUGUGGCAAUCACCAUCUAUUGAACAACACGACGAAGAAAUGGCAACAGAAACAAUGCGAACAGAUAUAGAGAGUCUAGAAGAAACAAGAUGCGCAGCCCUAGUGCAAUCUGCCAGAUACCUUGACGGUUUAAGGCGUUACCACGACCGCAACGUCAAGGAAAGAUCUUUCAACUUGGGUGAUAUGGUCCUUCAGCGUAUCCAAGACACAUCAGGGUUACAUAAACUCAAUUCACCAUGGGAAGGUCCUUACAUCGUAUCAAAGGUUACGGGACCUGGAUCUUACAGACUCCAAGAGCUCUCAGGAGAACAAGUACCAAACUCUUGGAAUAUAGAACAUCUCUGUCGCUAUUACCCAUAGCAGCAUCCGAAUAAUCGCUUCAAGGCAAUAACUCAUGAUGACUACUCGGGCUAACUGCCCGACUACCGACUUCAAGACACCUCAGCUUUGACAAGAGUUAUCAACUCAACAAGGAUCACUGCCCUGGUACAAAAUUUCCGUAAGGUAUUUCUUUACUGAAUCGAAGAUACAUCAGGUUACAUACAAGUACAAGUACUCGGAAUACACAUAGACUAGAAGCAACUGCCUACUGGCGGGCUGCAUUUAAGCCUCAGGCUUUUACUAUAUCACAAGGCCACUCAGGUCUGCCGACUACAAGGGGAAGGGCCCACACGCAAGGAAGCUGCGCAAAACGCAGCCAUAUCCAGGUCCUCUACCCAAGGCAAUGCCAGGAACUCCAGCAUUGCCACUACCUUGACAGUAGCAAUGAUGAAUCUGGCACAACAUGCCUAGAGGGAACCAAGGCUGCUCUUUUGCUAGCCUUGCGGAGCCAAUCCACUCUAUGGCCACACCUCCACCUCUCAGAGAGUGGGAUAAAUACCGCGGCACUCAUCACCCAUCACCCACGAGUUCUCAGAGAGUCGGUCGAGGCGGAGUUUCCCCCCUCGGGGUCAGGCGAAGCGGAGCUUCCACCCUCAAAGGGGUCGGGUGCACCCGACCCCAGGACUCAGGGUCGGGCGAGGCGGAGCUCCUCCCCCAAAGGGUUAGGCUUAGCCGACCCCAGGACUCAGGGUCGAGCGAGGCGGAGCUCCCCUCCAAGGGUCGAGCUCAGCCGACCCCGGGAUUUUGGGUCGGACAACAUAGAGUAAACCUACUGUUCGCAAGAUAAUUUCUUCAAGCAACAAGAAAGCGGGCAAACAUUCAUUAGGCAAAAUAUUGCUCAAAGUACUCGACACAAAUACAAGAGUACAUGCAAAGCUCAAGGCUCUUCCAGAGAGACAAACUCCAACAUCUUCGACGCAAUAGGCUCCGCCUCCUCGUGGUACUGCGCAUAUGCUUCUUCUGUGCAAUUGCGAGCCACGCCGUCACCAGCCGCCGCCAAGUCUGCCCUCGGGUAGUAGGACUUCAUGACUACAAGGACCUGUUUGCAAACAGUUUUGCAGAGUCCCGCCACUUUACUUGGGGCAGCCUUCAAUCGCUCAACUAGUGAUUGCGGCCCUGCGCCUUCUUCCACGGGGGCUAUGGCAUUCACCAAGUCUUCAGAUGCUACAGUUAGCUUCUGGAGUUUGCCUCGAAGUCUUCCCAUGGUCUAGGCAUGAUCUCUGCAUGCCACCAUGGCCAUGGCAAGCAUCACGCCAUUCUGCAUUUUUCGAUCCUGCUGAUGCUCGCAAGCAGCCUGUGCUUCUGUCAGUGUGGCCCGAAGAUGUUCAGCUUCAUCCGCCACUCGUUCGUGCGCAUUUCUCCAAUCGAGAACUUGGAUCCUUGCAGCUGCCUCUUGCUUCUUGAGCUCUACAAGACAAAACAAGAUCAACCACAGCCGACUACAAUCGGACAUACUCGGAGUAUGCAAAAUACUUACCGUGAUACUUCUUGUUCAGUGACUUGUAGCGGCUCUCCAGUUUUUGCUAUAGGACCGCGUGAUCCGUACGUUCCAUAGCAAAAGACUUCGCUCCAACCUCAUGAACCCUCAGAGCUUCUGUCAGUCGGGCACACUCUUGCUCCAGUUGAUGACUUCGUUCCUGAAAAGGUUCGAGUAUGCAAGGUACUAUGGUGAGUUAAAAAGCCUCACAACUACUCAGUCCAGGUGAUAAUUCAAUAGAAAUUCACCUGGAAGCUCCGAAAAACAUUGAUGGCCUUCUGGAACUCCAAGUCAGAUGGCAGGCUGAUCACCGGUCUUUGAGUACUCUCCAAAAGAUGAGGAGCUGUACCCAAAAUAGCAUCUACAACAUUUAUCAUCAGUCAAUUGCUUGCUACAACUACAAUAACAAGACUACAGAAACAUACCUGGAGCAGUCGCCUCUUUGGCCUUUUCAACACCUACUACGGCCAGCAAUCCACCGGUGGAUGUUGAUAAGGCAACACUUCCUGCACCCGAUGCAGCGGCGGGACCUCCACCGAACGGAUGACGUCUUGAAGCAUCGACAUACUAGCUCCAAGAUGACCGGCAUCAACUUUGGGUACCUCCUCAACAAUUAAAUCCUCCAAAGGAGCAGAUAAUGUAGUCGGGGGAUCCGACCCUACCCCUGUCUCCACAGGGAUAGUCUCCUCCGCAUCCCUGCAUCGAGAAAAGUCAUUAUACGACUUCAAGACAACUUAAAGAUAUACACCGGCUAAGAAAACUCACCGAGUCGAGCAUGGCGGAAAUCGUACAUGUUUCUUCUCGACAACAGGUGCUCGAGUAGUUGGCGCCACAGGAACAGCCGCCGGCGCCGUCUUCUCGCCAAGACCUGUAAAGUGAAAAGUCAAGACUACAAUUCAACUAAGACAAACAAAACCGGGGCAGAACACUUACCACUGGCGAUCACACUGGAUAGCAAAGAACCAGUAACGAGUACUGGUGACACUUCCUUUGCAACACCCGUUGAUCCAGCGGGCAACCCCAAGACUGCCUGGUCAGUAACGGGCGGCAUGGCAGCUAACGGAGCCGGUGCGGAUAGCUCGGGGGCUACUCCAACUUUUGUUGAUGGCACCUUCUCUGGCACCAUGUCAACAGAUACAUUACCGACGUCCGGGUCGGCUACGACUACUUCUCCAGAAGCAACCUCAUCAUCACCAAGGGCCGUGUUGACAGCCUUUAUGAACAAGACGAAUUAGCCAUUGCAAGUUCAAAAUUAUCAGCUACAUAUAUGUACAUGAUUACACACCUUGGUACCCCGAGACUUCUCAGGGGUUGAAGCAGACUUAGCCGCAGACAUCUUGCGGACUACUCUGCACUUCUUGGCAGGAGGAGAGGGUUCGUCCUCUGACUCCUCGGCAACAGUUUCUGAUUCUUCUUCCGACUGCGCCAAAUAGCCGGCAACAACUCGGGACUAUAGAAAACAAGUCGAUAUUAACAACAAAUAUCACACAAGUGAAAAAGUACAAGUCAAGUGCAAAGACAUACCACUUCUGGCUCAUACCAGGCGUCAUACUGACGAAGGGCCACAAGGAUUAUUGGUACUCCUUGAUAGUUCCUGAAGAACUUGGCCAGCAGUGCCUCUACAUCAUCAUCGGAUAUAUCCUCAUCGGACAUACGUGAUGGAUCCUUAAGACCUGCGUACUCACUUCCCGAGUGAGCACGUUGUUGAAGUGGCUGGACCCUUCUCUUCAGAAAGCUGGCCACCACAUUGAUUCGAGUCAGACCGAGUGCCUUCAACUCGGUAAUCUGCUACAUCAAGUGAUCGAGCUCGGGGCUAUCUUCGGGUUCGCUCACCCAGUUCUCUGCGUGCUUGGGGGCGUGACCAGUCACCACAGGCAAGUGAGGAUUAUGGUUCCCAAUGUAGAACCACCUUUUCUUCCACUCACCAUGGGAGUCAGUUAAGCUGUACUCAAUGAAUGCGCCCGAGUUCCUGAGUUGGAACCCGACGCCUCCAAAGACUUCGGUUCUAUGGACACUUGGCUGUGGCUUACAACGGAACAGUUUCCUAAACAACUCGAGACUUGGAGGAACUCCCAAAUACACUUCGUAGAGGUGUACAAAUAUUGACUUAUGCAGUACACCAUUGGGGUUCAAAUGCACAAAUUGAAGCUUAUAGUAGUCGAGAAUACCUCUGAAGAAGUCGGAGGUGGGCACUGCCAACCCCCUCUCCACAAAGUGCGCGAGCAUCACGGUCUCGCCUGGAUGUUCUCAAAUUGCCACGCAUUUGGAAAUGCGGGGCGCCACUCACGAAUCUCCUUCGGCUGUAGAAGCUUUGCAUCGACUAAUGCUUGCACGGCUUCCUCCUUCAUCACUGAAUGUUGCCACGUCGCUCCAGGCGGUGGCAGCGCAUUCUGGUUCGUCGACCCCACCUUCGGCGUUGGCAGCACUAGCUCUUUCCCCUUCUUGGAUCUUGCCUUGCCCGUCGCCGGAGCCUUGCCCUAGAUCUUCUCGGGUUUCUUGCCCAUCUUCUUGGUGCGCAUUCGACGGACUCAACCUCAAGCUAGAACGACAUUCUCACUUGGAUCUCUCUCAAAGUGCGGCAAUGGCGGCAGCGGCACUAGCAGCGGUGCAAAGGUGGAGCAGGACGACGGAGGAGGCAGAUAAUCAGAUAUGAUUACCGUGCGGCAUAAAAACAACCGAAAGGGGGCCUUCCAGUUUUAUUCCCGCCAGCCCCGGUUUCCACGCGUCGAUUAUGCAACGAACGGAUUCUAACAGAUUAAUUGCAGAUUAAUCACCUUAAACACUCAAUGACUACUCUUUUCAACGGACUGCUGACCACUUCAACGAUAGAGAUCGCCUAAGUGCUCGGGGGCUGCAGGUACCGUACCCGUUGGUCGAUUUUUUAUUUUUCAAAGACUGCCGAGGGUAAAACAAACAAAAGACUGGUUUGACCCUAAGCCUGACUCUUCGACUCAACCUAAGGCUCAGGGGCUACUCCAUAUGGAGUGCGAUUGACAUCGCACUACCAUAUAAAAUCUUGGAACAGAAGCAACUCGAAGGAACAAAAAGAUUACCUUCCAGCCACGCGACAGUACUUGAGCACUUCGGUCUGCAAACUCUAUGACUAGCUACUCGGAUAGUGCCUGCAGUGCCCAAGACUGUGGCGCACGACUACAAAGUACUCGAGGGCUUGUCAGGCAUACACCCCAGGCCCACGAGUAGACCUUGGACGGCCCACUCAGGGACGUACUCGGACACGAUUAGAACAAGGAUAGGCGUAUCCUACUCGGACUAGUCAAGUAUGUUUAUGGAAAACUACUCGGGCCUUACCGAGUAGAACUCUGUAAUAGUACCCGACUAGGACUCAAGACUUGUAACCCUACCCUCCCGUGUAUAUAAGGGUAGGCAGGGACCCCCCUCAACAACAACUCCAGUUCAUCAAUACAAACCAACACACAGGACUUAGGGUCUUACGCGAUCUAGCGGCCCGAACCUGUCUAAAUCGUGUUCCUUGCGUCACCAUUGAUUCCUUGAUUCUCGACGAUCCUUACCACACAAAAGACCUUCUAGGGUACCCCCUAGGCGGGUUGCCGGUCUAAAACACCGACAACGAAAGUCAUGGAGACAUGGAGGAGCCGAGGCGUAUGUAGGUAUACGAAAGCUGUAAAAUAUUUAAUUGUAAAUAACACUUACUUGAUUCGUGGUCGAGUCGGAGAACCCGCAUGUCGUCUUCACGUUUAGGCUUAGAAGCCCCCUAGCGUCAUCUUGAUCGUCGCGGUCGGCGGACAGUUCUUGAUGAAGCAAACUCAUCGGUGUUGGGGAUAGAUCCCCAGUACCCGCAAGGAAAGAAGAAAAUGGACUCCUACUAGGAUUCCUCUGUAAUCCUACUUGGACUCAUGCCACAUAAUCCUACUAAAACUCCUCCUUAUAACUGACUAGUUAUCCCACCCCCUGGAGUAUAUAAAGGAGGGCAGGGGUACCUAGAUCAGCGGAGACAAUAGAGGACCAAAUCCUCAUAUCUCGACACCCAAGCGCAAUGCGCAAUAUACAACACCCCAAAUAGGACGUAGGGUAUUACGCAACUUAGGUGGCCUGAACCUGUAAAAAUCCAUGUCUAGUGUCCUUACUUUUACCUUCAAGUUCUAGGUCCGACGAUCCCCCACCAACCAAUCUACUACCUCGGGUACCCCCUCGGUAGGUUUCGGUAUAAAACACCAACAUCUGACGUGCCAGGUAGGGGAGAUCAUUGAGAUCAUUGGGUGAGAUUGAAGGAUCUCAUCUUCAAAAUCAAUCUACUCGACGAGAAACAAAUUGCCAAGUUCCAAUUUGAAGCAAAUCGCUGAGUUGACAAACAACCAAGUCAUCGGCUGUGUCCUAUGCGGGUGCGGGAAUCAAAAAAAUUCUGCGAUGGCGUUGGUGGAGACCGACAAUACGUUGAUCUUAUGAGCAGAUCGAGGCACUCUAUUCUAAAGCAGAGUCGAAGUUUCAGCCUAAGGUCAAGUUCGGAUCAGAAUUGAAUCGAAAUCAUCAAGCAGCAGCUUAGAAGAAAAAGUUAGAAGUCAAAUCCAAUUGGUCGACCUAAAAAAAGAAGAAGAAGCUGUGAUGAUGCACGCGUAUGUCAGAUCAGAAAAUUUCAAAGGCUAAAGGAAAAGGAGCCAAAAGAGCAAUUUAAUAGACCUUUGCAGGAUGCACAUGGAAGAGUACCAAGAAAGAUGUAAAAAACAGCUACGUACAACCAAAGACUCCAGCGAAGACCUCCGAUUGUCCGGCUGCAUUGACUCGCCAAUGACCACUUAGAGUACUCAUCUCGACUAAAAACUAGUUGAGGGUGGGUUCCAUUUGGUCAACAACUAGUUGGAAUCGACUCCGACUAGUUGGCAUCAUCAAAAUCGAUUACAUGCACGACGUGGUUGCUUUCUUUGAUUGACUAAAUCAGCAACUCAUCUUGUUCACAUCAAAUCCCAAGCGGAGUCGAAGAAGGCUGAUUAGUUAUCGCACCUAGAUGACACAUUCUGCGGAAUUGAUCAGAGUGGUGGGCGUCUCGUGUCUUGGAGUACAAGGUGGAGCCCAAUCGGAAUCACACUCUUCAACACAAAGUUGUACUUGGCUUCGUUCAAAACCAAAAGUUGCGCCACCGAAAGAAAAUUGGCUACCGUCUCUAGGCUCUCUCAGAGGCAAUGAAGAAAAUUUAUUGACCUGCCGCGGCUCAAGAUCAAGACAAGGAUGCCAUCCAAGUACUUCCUAGAAAAACAAAAUCUUGGAGCAUUGUGCUACACGCACAACAAAGAAACUACCAAAGAGAUUCGAAGACCUUCGCUUGACACACACAGAAGAUGUACGCGGGUAGUAUUAUAGCAACAUCCGGCUGCAUCAACUACCUCGACCAGUCGUCUCAACUAGGAAACUAGUCCAGGAUGCUCUACUUCAACUACUCAUCUCGACUAGAAAACUAGUAGAGGAUGGACUACUUCGAAUACUCAUCUCGACUAGAAAUCUAGUCGAGGGCGGAUUCCACAUGACCAACAACUUGUCGGAAUCGACUCCAACUAGUCUGUUGUGGCGGAACCGCCCAAAUUAACCUGACUAAAAUGCACUUAAGUCGCCUGACACGUGAUCAUGCACUUUAAGCAAGUCAACUUGGUCAUCCGUCGGAUUUCAUCUGAUAAACCACUUAGAAUUGAGAAGCAUUGCUCACACGAAGGUGAGUGGGUACAGAGAUUACAACAUUCCUAUCACAUUAACAUAGUUUAACAUUUUAUUACAUCAGAGUUUUUGAAAUUCAGAUAGAGUUGUAAGGUUGUAAACAACAAAGAAGUAAAACAUGUGAAAGCUAAAUGUCGAUACACGAUAUCAUGAUGAAGCUGAUAAUACUCUGCAAUUGCCCACUACUAAUGCUAGCCUCGUACAAAUUUUAGUGCAACUUCCUAAUGAGUAUGCCUUGCCACAAACAGAACACUUUUCUCAUAAUGAUAAGCUUGUAUACCACAAACACAACUCUAGCAUGAACAUGUUAAAUCUGUUUUGAAUGAUGUACAUGUCGUUUCUACACAUGUUCAUUGCCUUGUGAAACUCCUAUCCUAUUUUAACACACUAGGUUAUAUUGAAUUUGAAAUUUUUUGUAAUCUAAAUUGUCUGAAAGAGAAACUUAAAUUUGAUUCUGGUUUGCCAAAUUUUAAUCAUUGCUUGCUUCAUGCAAUUGGCAAAUAUGACAACAAAGGAGAAUAUUUGGUGCAUAAAGUUUAUAUUUUCUCUAAUCUAAAAUCUUCUUUUGGGCUACAAUACCAUGAUCAAAUAGUGGGUUGCACUAAUACUAAUAAUGUCUUGCAAAAUCUUUCUAGUUUUUCCCUUAUGCAAUAGGGUAAGCCCAAAGAAGGGGAGCAUUGCUGGUUGUGGCCGUGCAGCAUAGCCGUCACUCCGUGUUCCAACAUCAAAGCAAGCACCUUUGAAUGCCAUUGGAGCAAGUCGAGGAUGACUUGCAGCCAAGAAGGGCAUAAUGAUGAGGACAUCACUUGCUCGGAUACAACCACAUUGGUAACUUUUGGUUCAAAGGUGAAACAAUUAUUUAUCAUGAUUGUAUUUGAUACAUUUGAUGAAUUGAUGCUACACCAUAAUGCGUGUUCAUUGUCAUUUUUAGAAAUACAUACGUGGAUCAAAAAGAGUGUUAAACACACAUGGAAGGCAUGGAGGACCAAAGAAGUUGAUUGGGGGCUAAGUCCAAGUAUUCCCAAUGUCCUCCAUGAGGCCACCACGUCACUUUUAGCCUAAGGAAAGAAAGAGAUCAAAUCCAACAUGUUUCGGGGCUGGAUUCGGACUUCAGCACUGCACCAACUCAUAUCCAUAUUCGGACUUCAUCUAGACUCCGUUUUGGACGUUCAAGUAUUUCAUGGAAUCCUUAUGAAGUCUAUUUUCAUAUGGAUCCAGACUCAUAUCCAUAUCUAUUCUAAGGAGGCUGCGACAAUCAAAUUAGUACCAGGGGAUUCUUGUGUCCAAGGUGCUAUGUCACCUUAUUAUAGCCUAAUGGGCCGUGUAUCAAGUUUGGUCCAUUAGGGACAGAUCCUAGGGUUGGAGCAUGAAUCCAACACCCUUGUGGACAUCCUCCCGCAUUUCUUAUAACCCUUAGCCGCCACUAGGAACACUCGAGUUUUGUUUAAAUGUAUGUUUAGCCAUUGCUACUUCUUUAUAGACGCGUGUGUUGAUUAGACCAUCCGUUCUACUCGGUUCAGAACUUUGCAAUUUCAGAUUGGUUUUUAUCUCUAUAUUUGCAAUUGAGUUUCUUAUUCUGCUUGUUCUUGCUCAUUUCUCGAUUGCUUGCAGGAAUUACCCUAAUGGUUUGGUUAUCAUGCUCCACAAGAUCAUGGUGACCAUUGGAGAUAGUGUAUCGGUUGCUAAGGUGAAGCAUCCUUGAAUGGUUGUAGUCAGGCUAUGAAUGUCAUCUCCAUCCCCAAAUCGAGUUAACUGCCUUCUCUCAUCAGAAGAUUGGGACUCAACCCCCACGGGUUCAUAUCACAUUUCUCAUGCUUGAGGGUAAAUAGUUGACAACCCGGUAUCCAACGUUUAUCCAUCUGGGAAAUUUUGGCAAAUUCAACUCAAAGUUACUGACCAGAUUGAAAGACCUCAAUGCGAAAUGAAAUUUUGGCAAAUUGAACUCAAAAUUAUUGACCAGAUUGACGCCCCGGAGCAGGAAGCACCAGAUUUGUGCUGCCAUAGGACUAAGCCACCGCGGGGAGGUGCAUAUCUCAGCUGAAGUGCUCCAUCCUGGCCGCCUUCUCUCUGUUCUUCUUUUUUCUCUAUCGCGGGAGCGCAGCAGCGGGUAAACUAUUUUUUAGCUGUACCAUGGGCUUUUCUGCUACCAACUACCACACUCAUCUGAAACUUACCUUAUAUGUGGGAUCCGGUUGCGGUAAAGACUUCUUAUUUGAUCGGUAAUAGGUUCGACCCACGGGAGGAGCACAUUUUCCAUUUCAUUUUACCAUCCUAUUUAUCAACUUAAACUUACAUGUAGGACCCUUGUUGGUUUAUGAUGUUUUCGCGGAGCUUAUAUCAUCACAAAACCACCUUGUAACAGCAAGUGAUGAUUUAUUUUUAGCUAUAGUGACAACUUUUAUGACGUUCCGUAACUUUGUCACUAAAUUUUCUUGGAUGUGAAACUUUAUGACGUUUUCAGCCAGAAACGUCAUAGAUCUAUGAUGAGAACAAAUAUGUCAUAAAUUUUUUGUCAUAGAUCAACAUAUUUCUUGUAGUGAUCAGCGGGUCUUGGUAACUACACAUGGCAGCCUUGUUGGACCCUCUGUCAUCACAUGUGGACCAAUGGGUCCAACUACUACUUGUGACCCAUCGGUGCUAUGAUGGGUAGCAGUUGUCAUGAAUACGAGAUGUUGAUGGGGCACGGUUUCGUGAUGAUAUGAGUUGUUUUAUAAUGUUGGUUUUACUUUCAUCAUAAUUUCAUGACGAUAUGGCUGAUCUAUGAUGAACCUUAGAUUUUCGUUGUAGAUAUGGUCUAUUCAAUGACAAAGUUCUAGAACAUCACACGAAAAAUAUCAUUAAUGCUGCUAUUUCUACUAAUGUUCGGGAAACAAUGAAUGUGACUGAUAGGGCGGUAGUCCUUUGGUGCCUGUGCAUCCAUUUCAUGGGGAUGAGUGUGAGUAGGUCUUUGUUAAUGCACUAGAGUCCGCAUCGAUCAAUUAUGUAGAAAGCAUUGACUGUGCAGGAGGAAUAGAAUUGGGUAUAAUGGUUGGAUUGAUUAUUUGUAUUGAUGCCUCAGCUGGUGUAUAUACAAGACAGAGACUUAGGGGGCAAGGCUCCCUCGGAUACAUAUGGCAAUCUACGAUACGUAUAUCUACAACUAUCAAAUAUACUCUAACAUCCCCGCAGUCACAAUGGGAACACCGCAGACGGUGACACUAGAGAAGAAGCCGAAGGCAAAAGCCGAUGCACUGACAUCCCCCCGCAGUUAUAAUGUUAGCGUGGUGCGGAUGCUAUGAUUGGAGAGAAAACUGGUGAGUAACUCAAGCAGAUGAUAGCCCUUUGUGCCGAUGUCGAGGUAGUAGCUGAGAUGAGGGUGAAUAGCAAUGGUCGAGGAUACUGGACGUGUAAGGUAGAGGGCACCGACCAUGUGUCAACAUCUAAGGGACCAGUAGAGAAGGCCUCCACGAUGGUUGUGGGGGUAGAAUGGCAUGGGGUAGAAGGUGUCGACGUAGUCUGUAAUUGCUGGAGUAGACGAACGAGGUGGAGGUGAGACAAAGACUCUGGCAACAAGGUGGUGCUGGACGAAGCGACGAGGUAGACCCGGACGAUCUGGCGCAAGGCCUGAUGAUCCGGAUGACGUGGUGGCAGAACUUGAAGGAGACAAUGAAGAACUCGAAUAGCUUGAAGAAGACCAUACACGCGAUGCACACAAUGACACAGUCAUAGACAAUCACAGAUGCUGUCAAGGAGGUCGACAUGGAUGUGGUCUAGGACAUAGUUAACGGUGAUGAAGAUGCAACGACGAGGAGGACUAGGGAGGGCGGCGCUGCUGACCAAAGAGGCGAGGCAACUGCAACCCUUCGUGUUAGUGGAGGUGCACGCGUACUCAGGACAAGUGUCCCAAAUCCGCACGUGCCACGACCAUGCACUGAUCGGCUGAUUAGACCAAGGGCACAUGAACAAGAUGACGGAUGACGAUGCCACACAGAUCGGAGUGGUGGCAGCGAUGUCGGGGAUGACGGCGUGGAGACCGUGUGGCGGAGGGGCCUGGUGGUGUUCCGGGAUGGGCCCCUCACGCACCACACGCCAGCUCGGGCCACACGGGUGUCGAAGAAGAAGGCCGAUGAUGAUGUCGAAGAAGAAGUGUGCUGGGUCGACGGGCGGUGGGCGACACAACUCGAUCAGAGAUCGAGAAAAAAAAUAGCAGCAGCAACAACAGAACAGCCUCCUGUGUAUAGAUGUGUGUACCCCUAGCAAAAGAAGAUAGAAAAAGGAGGCCCGACGGUGGAGGCAGCCUGCUGCCUACCACGGGUGCGUGCAGCCGAUCGGCAGCCUGACAGCCAAACAGAGAACGGCCCAACGCAACCCUGGCUUCCCGGUGGCAGCAUCGACAGGGCCGAAAUGUCCACAACUGCUGCUUAAGGAUGCUAGAACAAUGACGAGGGCAGCAAACUUGGAUCCGCCACAGGAAAGGAGGGCGCUGCCCCCGACGAAGAUCAAUCUCCCCGGGGGUGCCCACGAUGCGGAAGCGAACGACAACUAGGGCUUGUUGUCGAGGAUUGAAACCCUAACUCAUGAUACUAUGUAGGAGGAAUAGAAUUUGAUGUGGACAUGACUCAUAUGGAUACACACAUGAUAAGAAGACAUUUGGGGAGAGACAUGGAUGAUGAGGAGAUGACAUGCUUAAAUACGACCAUUCAUGAUAAAGAUAAGGUGAGCUCGUUCCUAUGUUUUAUUUUUAGUUAUUUUGAGAAUAGAUUGCUAUCUAAAAAAUAUUAUUAUAAUUAGGAACCAUGGAGUGGACCAUAAAGUACUUGAAGAGAGGCAUGGAGGCAGAGAGGACUAGCAAGGGACGUCCAAGCCAAGUUGGAGGCCAAGUUCGAGUCCAUCUCGGAGUCCAGGAGCAGUCCACCUUACAAUUGAUGCCCAUAUCACAUACGGAGUCCGUUUUGGACAUUCUACAUAUGUUUGGAAAGCUGAGAAGAUACACUUUCCAAUGGCACUAGUCUCAUGUUAAAAUUCCAUAGGAGUCAACGGGAAUCGUCAAAAUAAAGGAAUGUACAGAAUCUGCUUGGGUGUUGCAUCACCUUUUGUCAGGCCUUUGGCCUUGUAAAUUUGCUUGGGACCGAGGCCCAAGUUGUUGUGCGCCCCAAUGAGGAGGACAAUGGCCCAAGGAUGUCCUAGGUCAUCCUCCCCCUUGGCCUCCACCUCUUUGAUGUAUAAAACUCAGUAGCCGCCGCGCUAGACACUUGGGUUUUGCUUAGAUUAAUCUUUCUUUGAACAGUUUCAUCAUUUAUCGGUUUGUGAGACCCUAACUCAUGUGCUUCAUACUAUUAGCAAUAUUCAGAUUGCAUCUACCUUGUCCUUACUUGUGUUCUUCAAUUCGCAUGUAGGGAUUAGCCUUCAUGGCGAGGUCAAUCGGGCUGCGCACGGUUGAUAACCAGAGGAGAAGUUGUGCUUUGAUUGCAGGGUUUGGAUCUUGCUAAUCAGAAGCCGGAUCGAUUGUGUUGCUACUCCACCAAAUCGAGAGUUAUCCUUACUUGACGGAAGAUCGAACACCCUAGUUCCCAACAAGUGGUAAUCAGAGACUCAGGUAUUACUGUCAGGUUUACCCUAGUUAGUUUGUGCCAUUGUCCUAAAACUCCAGAAAAUUGCCGCACAAAAAUAUUUGUUCAUGGUGUUUCCGCUGUCCUAUAAGCCUUGCAAUUUUUCUUUUCAGAUUGUUUUUCUGAAUUUUAGUUCCUCGCCGUGUCAUCGUGUUGGUCAUGUCUAAAUCUGUCUUGGUCUAUCAAGUAUGGCUUACUUGUGUUGCUUGCCUAGUAUAUUAAAAUCUCGUAGAUCUUAUUCAACGUCGGAAAGAAACCCUUUCUGUAUUAAACGUCGAUUAUUUGUUCAAUGUAGUCGGUGUUGAGGAUGUAUCUCCUAAGGAACACAAGAGGGUGAUAGAAAGGACAUGAUAUUCUAAAAUAUCGGACUCAAAGAAACAAGAGAAGGUAUUUAAGAUUAUGGAAUCUUGAAAGAAGAGGGACAUUACAACGUGGCUUAUAAAUUAUCUAUGCUAUAGAAAUUGUUCUCAUGUUUUUGGUGUUACUGUAGGUGUUGUGUUAAAUUCACCCCCUAUCGGAACCACGGAGUCUACAUUAACACAGUUGAAUUCGGGUCCAAGGACUAGGGCAUCUGUUUAAGGUUGGUUCUACUUACAAAAUUGCAUUUCUUGCAAUCAUGGCAAAAAGGUCACUUUAUGUAGUAAUUUUAAUACAAUACUUUGCUUCAUCCCAACAUUGGACGUUCAAACACAGGUGGGCAGCAUUAAUAAUGCUCAUGGUGAUAGACCACCUAGCUUAGACAUAUGGGAACCGGAUGAUCCAAUGCAUGGUACAUAAUUAACAUGUUAGAACAUUUGAGUUAAUGUGUAACUAAUGCAGUACAUUUUCAAAUUCACCAGAGAAUGAUUUAGACCAAAUGGAUCCAGGAUGAGGAUGGACCGGGCAUCAUGGAGGAUGAUGAAGCAAGGGUGUUUUACCAUAGGGGUAAGUUUUAUAGUUAACUGCAUCAAGAGUAAUUCCUCUUUGUAUGUAAUCUGAUCCAAAAUUUAUUAUCUCAUGCAGAUGUUGUAUAUGAGUACUAUAGAGAACCUAGGCUCAUUCCAACGGGUCCUAGCUGUCACACCCUGAAAUUUUUGAAUUUCAGGAUGUGAUUAAAAAGAAUAAAUAAACAAUUGUUUUCCCAUAAUUUUAAAAUUUUCCCAACAUUUAUUUUUCUUCACAGGAAAUUUAAUAUAGAAAAAUAAUUGUGUUUUUUCUAAAUCAAAUAAGGUUGUUCUGUGUGUUGCAUUCAUACCGAUGCAUCUUGGUGUUUCAUGAGUGUAAAAGUUUCAAAAAUACAUUUAGACGAUGUCCAGACCCUUCUGAGAAUUUUCCAUCUUUUUCUGGAAUUUAUUCUCAUUUCCUAGAGCUAAAUCCAAUUUUUGGAAGGUUCUAGAUUCCUUUUCACGAGCUCCAAGUAUUUUAUUUGGACUCCUCGUGUCCCAAUCUAUCUCUAGGAAUUUUCCUGGAAAUUUUAGGAUUUUCAGAGUAUCUUUCGUGGCUUAAAUAAAUUAUUUAGAUUUUGUGGAUUUUUAUUUACACGGGAAACGAAUUCUAAAAAAAACCUUCUCUAUCCUAUCGGACCGAGUCCGUGGGCUCGACCCGCUCCGGCCCACUAAGCCCCUCAGGCGCUGCUGCCGCCGCCACCUUGGCGUGCGCGCCUAUUUAAUGCACCACCCUCAUCCCUCACGCCCCUGCUGCUCGCGUGCGCUGCGCCGCACCACUACCGCCCAGGCCCAGCCAUCACCCUUGUGCUGUCGGCCAUCGUCCCUACGCCGCGAGCCUCUGCCUCCCAGCCACCGCUGCCACGCCGGCGCGUCGCCACCACCGAGCGCUGCCUUCUGCGUGCCUCCCGCGCCUGCGCGCCUCGCCACCGCCUACGCCGCUGCCCGUCGCUCGCGCCCUGCACGCCCUGCACGCCCGGUCCACCCCGCCCACACGCCGCUGCUAGCUACGCGCCGCACUACGCCCCCGCCUCGUGCCCUCGCCCCUAGCCUCGUCACACCGCCACCACCUGCCCUUGGCUUGGCCCCGGCCGGCCGAGCAGAUAAGGCCGGCCGGAGGUUGAAGAAGAAGACCCCCAGUUUUGCAAAUGGAUCCCCAAAAAAAUUUGUAAUUAGUUAUCCUUUUCCUUGUGCGUUUUGCUGGAAACCCCCUAAUACUUUUAGAUCCUUGCGACCAAGUCCUACCCAGAGUUUUUAUAGAUUUAAGCCUAGGCUUUGACCUAAUCACGAGCACUAUUCCAUGUGUCUUUUGAAUCUUCCUUGCUAGCCCCUGAAGUCUAUAGUUAAUCACAUCUAGGUUCUUCCAAUCUUGUUUAGCUCGUAGAAUCUGUUUAACCUCAUUCUUGUCGCAUUAGAUUUAUAUCAACUUAAAUUAUGCAUUAGAAGCAGCGUUGAUCAUAUUCUCUAUUUGUAUUUUAUUCAAAACAUUAAUAUGAAUAAGUACUUAUAUACUUGCUUUUCUAACUAAAAUCUAAUUACAGUUCAACCUCAUAUUUUCAUAACUAAUGUAAAUUUGGUUAAUGCUUAUUUAAACAACUCUUCUAACUAAAAGCUAAUUAGAAAUAUACCUCGGCUUUUCAUCAAUUAAACUCAACUUGAUUAAUGUGUAUUUAAUUUAUUUUAUGAAUAAAAACUACGAGUUUUCAUAAUUAAAUGUUAAUUUGGCCAAUAUAUACGUAAAUGUGUUUUUGAAUUAUAAUUUGGUUAGUUCAACACGAGUCAUAAAGUUAUGCGCUUAGAUGUUCCCACAUAUGAUAUCUUUUCCAAAUUAAAUGUUUAAAGUGGUAUAAACUAUGCAUGAACAUUUGUAACUAAAAUUUGACACGUGUUGUGCCUUUCCAACCUUAGUUUCUGUUGACGCCAGAUUUUGACACGUGUGUAAUCGGCGUCAGGGGAGGAAGAAAUCAGAAGGAGCGGCGAGACACAGGGGUGGCGGUUGGGAAUCGGCCGAUUGGUGCUACAGUCAUGGAUCGGCCGAUUGACCUUUGGGGUUCCGCCUCGCCCGACCCCUAAGGCUUAGGAUCAGAUGCGCCCGACCCUCCGAGGGAGGAUCUCUGCCUCGCCCGACCUUAGGUCCCAGGAUCGGAGUAGUCAGAGCCCCCGACAUGUGGGUCCUAAUUGGCUAUCCCUUGCCAAUAAAGUGAAUAGAAAUCGGCCGAUUAGGAGGUUGGAGCGAUUGGGCCGGUGUGGGCCUGAAGAGGAUUAUGAAGAUGAAGAGGGAAUCAGCCCAUGAAGAGCGUGAUAAUCGACCCAGUACGAGUCGUACUUGUAAAUAUUCGUUUUCUGUUUAAAAUUAGAGAUAGAGUUCUAAUCGGAUAAGAAGUCAUUUGUAACAGGCUAUAAAUAGCCACCCUUGUAGAUCUGUAAUCAUCAUCAACUCAAUACAACAAACUACUAUUUCCUCGUACUUACUUUCAAGCCGGUGACUUCACCAAUACUUUUCUCCUUUUUCACGAGUUCAUACGGGUUGGCGGGGCUGCAUCAACCUGACCUCCGGCCGAUCUUGUAAGUUCCGCUUAUCGAAUAAUUUCUAAGCUUUAACUUCGGGCGCAUCGCUGUCGUUUCGUUUAGAUUUAUUCACCAGUUAUCGAUAUUUACUAGAAUUUUAGGUUUUACCUGUUGUUCUAGUUUUAUCACUGGUUAUCCAGCUAGGAAUCGGCAAUUUCGGCUUUUCUUGUACUUCGUUUAAUCUAUUCAUUUUACGCAUAGCCGAUUAGAUCUGUUCCUAGUGUUGCUACUGUAGCGUUGUUUAGAUUAUCUUAGCGUUUUUCUUUAUCAACAUUGCUUGGCAAUCGGCCACAUUGUAGCCGAUUUCCUUAUUACAGCAAAUCGGCCGAUUCGCUGAUAAGCUUUCUCGAGAUCGGAACCUUAGCCGAUCGCAACCUCUGGGAUCUGACACGUUUCUCUCCUUGCCAAUCAACAGGUCAGAUUGGCUGGCACACCGCGCGAACCGCACCAGGGAGAUCACCCGAACAGGAGCUAAGCAGAUUCUCCCGGGUCGUGUGUCCGACGCUGGGAAUUCGAUCAGCCGAUUUUUAGCGCCAACACACUUUUGGCACGCUCAGUAGGACCAAUACAACCGCCACUAUGUCGAAAGCUGCCGAAGUCUCGGAAGACAACGUCAUCGAAGUGACAGAAGCAGACCUCAGGGACGACCAGAGGGAAGAAUUGGAGAAGCAGACGGCAUACUACCGGAAGACAUGUCUGCAAUCCUUCAGUCAUACCAGGAGCGGAGAAACUGUCAAAAGGACUCCGUUUCCAACUCCCUGCCAAAUCACAAUCACCGAGGACUCGGACAAGAUGUUUGAGAUGGUUCAACAAUCUGUCUAUCAAGCUUUCAUUGAUCAAUCCCCGGUGAUUUCUAAUACGGUAUACAAUGCCGUCAUCAGCUCCUUGGCUAGCGGCGUAUCCCAAGGGUACCAGGGGCCGGCAUAUGCUCCACCAAUCACGGCCCCGACCAGGAGUUAUUCAAGUGCACCUUAUUCGGCUUCUCAGCCGAUCCAAAUUCCAAUUGGAGGUCCUAGCGCUUCCUCAUCAUCGAUCCCUCUGGGGUCUAGCGGCGCGCAAUAUCUCCAGCCGCGCCCCGUUCAGUUGUCCUCCGCGCAGUUUCCUCCUUUGAAUUCAGCGCCUUGGGGGGCACCAUCAGUGACGGCCGUCCAGGAUCAACCGGCCAGCUAUGGAAGUCCUCAACUCCAGGCAUCUUUCCAAGCGGCCGUUAGGCCAACCAUGCCACAGUAUCAGCCUGUCACGCCGGAGAUGAGCAGGGGGGCAGAAACAACAGAAGUACUUCGGGGCGUUGCGCCACUCGUGCUAUAUGACGAAGCCGUCAACUCAUUCAAACAUCCAACCCCGAUUACGCAGCUGGCUAUGACACAUCAGGCGCCGCACGCUUUCACUCAUCACCCAGUCAUCCCGCCGCCAGUGUACCAGCACGUGCCGGUUCCCCAACCGAUAGUCCACCAGCAACAACCAGACUGGACGGCGCGCAUAGCAGAGGUGAUUCAAGAGCAAUUCGGUUUAAAACCGAAGGUGCAGACCUACACAUACAAGACACCAUACCCGCCUACAUAUGACUCACUACCGUUUCCCCAUCGGUAUAAAGUUCCCGAUUUCACUAAGUUUUCGGGGCUGGACGACACCUCAACUGUGGAACACGUGAACAGAUUUAUCAUCCAAUGCGGGGAAGCAGCAGCUCAGGAUGCUCUACGGGUGCGCCUUUUCUCAUCAUCCCUGUCUGGGUCAGCCUUUCAGUGGUUCACUACAUUACCUCCCAACUCGAUAAUCACGUGGGCUGAUCUGGAAAGGCAGUUUCACAAAUACUUCUACGCUGGGAUACAUGAGAUGAAGCUGUCCAAUUUAACCAGCCUCAGGCAGAGAAGCGACGAGCCGAUAUCCUCAUAUGUGCAGAGGUUCAGGGAGAUCAGGAACAAGUGCUACUCCCUGGCCCUGACCGAUGCACAAUUGGCCGAUAUAGCCUUCCAGGGUCUCUUACCUCACAUCAAAGAAAAAUACGCUUCGCAGGAGUUUGAGAGCUUAAGCCAAAUCGUCCACCGACUGUCUGGUCAAGAAGUACGCCCUUUUGAUCCACGGAGGAACUUCCAGAAGAAGGUGGCAUACUUAGAAGAGGUUGAAACCGAAGAAGACACAGAGAUCGGCCUUGCGGAAUGGAUUAAAGGGAAAAAACUGAUAUCGUGUCCGUUCGGAAAGAAGGAGCCGGAAACGUUCGGAUUCGACACAUCAAAGGCCGAUAAAAUCUUCGACCUUCUCCUCCAGGAAGGACAGAUCAAGCUAUCACCGUACCACACGAUUCCGUUUGCCGAACAGCUGAAGAAGAUGAAAUAUUGCAAGUGGCAUAACGCCACCUCCCAUGAUACAAAUGAAUGCAAAAUCUUCCGGCAGCAGAUACAGUCGGCCAUCGAGCAAGGCAGACUCAAAUUUGAAGUUCCAACGAAGCCAGCCAAGCCGAUGAAGAUUGAUCAGCACCCCUUCCCCACCAACAUGGUUGAUACAGGGAGGAAUUCGCUCCAAACCAAGGUACUAACAUCCGAAUCGGCUAAACAAAGCGGCGCCGUGGACCCCAGGAGUCAAGCAACACCCGAAGACGUCAAGGGGAAACGGCGGAUGAAGGAUGAUGAUGACGGAUUGGGAGAACCACGCAGGCCCAUUACUUCCCAAUUUCUGCUCAAUAAAUAUCAACAGCAACAUGAACGCUCAAGAUCCCGGGAAGAGGCGAUGCGGCGACAUGAAGAUCACUGGCGAUGCCCGUUCUUCAUCCACUGUUGGGAAAGCAACCUCAGGUUGCCAUCGGCCGAUAAUUGCCCUGAGUGCAACGGCCCGUAUCGUAACAAUCGGCCGUUCAGAAGGUCUCGCUCUAGAGAUGGCAGACCAGAGCCGAUCAGCAGGAGCUGGCGCGACCAAGAAGACCGGCGCCCUCCAGUGCGUGAUCGGCUGGGGGGCAGAAGUGACCGAUAUGACCGGUCGGAAGGCAGGCGCGAACGGAACGAUAGGCUGGGGGGCAGAUUUGAUCGACAUGACCAGCCAGAAAACAAGGUUAGCAUUCACGGUCGACUUGAAGAGAUGGCCGAUGCUCGGGUAUCAGACGAGAAUCCUUUAGGACGCGAACCAGAAUGGGAACGCGCCAGGCCACAGACCAAACCAGUGAACCCCAGGUGGUGCCCUGAUGGAUUGACCAAGUCUCAAAAAAGAAGAAUCCAGCGUCUCCGCCAGUGGGAACAGCAGGAAGAAGAGCAACGGCAUACGACAGAUGAGAAAAACGGCAGGUCUCAGGUCUGGCGCCCCAAAAGAGGCGACAAGGGGAGACGACGAAUCGGCAGCCGACAUCGGCAUGGUUUUCAUAUUGCCGAUGGAGUUCAUGACUCCUACCGACCGACAGAACAUGUCGGCAAUAGAAGAGCAGAUGGCACAAUUGGCUUUGGAGCCAAUGACAGCCACGUUCGAGAAGCCCGAAGAUGACAAUCGACAACACCUGAAGGCAUUGUCCUUAAAGGGCAUGUCAACGGUCGACCCAUCACAAGACUACUAGUAGACGGAGGAGCUGCAGUUAACAUCAUGCCGUACGCCAUGUUCCGGAAGCUAGGGAAGAGCGAUGACGACCUGACCAGGACAGAUAUGAUGCUCAAGGACUUCGAAGGCAACGUGUCCCCCGCUCGCGGGGCACUCUGCGUCGACCUCACCAUCGGCAGUAAGACCCUUCCUACUACUUUCUUUAUUAUUAAUGGCAAAGGGUCCUACAACAUGCUACUCGGCCGAGACUGGAUACAUGCAAAUUGCUUCAUCCCAUCUACGAUGCACCAAUGCCUCGUGCAAUGGGUCGGUGACAAUAUCGAGGUGGUCACCACUGAUUCCGCAUACAGCGUCGCGGCGGCCGACACGCAGCAGUGGAGCUGCGAGAACGUCAAGUGCAUAUCCUUGGAGAAUAUGGGACACUGAUUUCUUGAAGGUGUCCGAUUUUGGCCUACAGCCGAUCCGAGCAGUCGGUUCCGAAGACUCGGACUAAAUGGAUCAGUUCGCCCGAGAAGAUGGGAAGCUGGGACACGGGUUCAUGUCGGCCGAUUCAUUAGAAAUGAUAGACUUAGGCGAUGCCACCAAACCAAGGCCGACAUAUAUUAGUGCAAAUUUGGAUCCGGAAUACAAAUGUAAAUUGACAAAUUUAUUAAGAGAAUUUAAGGAUUGCUUUGCUUGGGAAUACCAUGAGAUGCCCGGAUUAGACCGAUCUAUUGUCGAACAUCAGUUACCCAUAAAGCUGGGGUAUCGGCCGUAUCAACAGCCUGCACGGUGGUGUAAUCCUAAAAUCCUACCAGAUAUAAAGGUUGAAAUAACGUGGCUAAUUGAAGCAAAAUUUAUUCGGCAAUGCCGUUAUGCCGAAUGGAUCUCCAACAUUGUACCAGUAUACAAGAAGAACGGAAAGCUACGCGUAUGCGUCGAUUUCAGAAACCUCAAUCAGGCCACACCAAUGGACGGAUACCCUAUGCCGACGGCUGAUGUGCUGAUAGACGCCGCCGCGGGACACAAGGUUAUUAGUUUCAUGGAUGGAAACGUUGGAUACAAUCAGAUACUAAUGGCCGAAGAGGACAUAUCCAAAACGGCCUUCAGAUGCCCAGGUCACCUUGGUUUAUUCGAGUGGGUGGUAAUGACUUUCGGUUUGAAGAACACCGGCGCUACAUAUUAGCAAGCCAUGAAUUACAUAUUUCACAAACUUAUCGGCAUACUGGUAGAAAUUUACAUCGACGAUGUCUUAGUCAAAUCAAAAGGACACCAGGAGCAUCUGGCCGAUUUGCGACAGGUACUGGAAUGCACGAAGAAACAUGGGCUGAAGAUGAACCCGAAUAAGUGUGCCUUCGGUGUAUCCGCCGGACAAUUCUUAGGAUUCAUGGUUCAUGAGCGGGGAAUAGAAAUCAACUGGAAGACCAUAGCGGCCAUCAAUAAGGUCGUGGCCCCGCAGAAUAAAACUGAGUUGCAAUCUCUAAUCGGCAAGGUGAAUUUCAUCAGAAGAUUCAUAUCUAAUCUGUCUGGGCGUAUCCAAGCCUUCACACCAUUGCUAAAGUUGAAGCCCGACCAAGAGUUCAUAUGGGGAGAAGAGCAAUGCAAGGCAUUAGAAGAUAUCAAGCAGUACUUGGUCUCACCACCAGUAUUGGUCCCACCUCAAACUAGUAAGCCGUUUAAACUAUAUUUAUUUGCCGAUGAACGAGCUAUCGGGUCGGCUCUGGUCCAGGAAUUCGAGGGAAAGGAACGGGUAAUAUAUUAUGUCAGUAGAAGACUUCUGGACGCCGAAACAAGGUAUCCUCCAGUAGAGCGGCUAUGCCUAUGCCUUUACUUCUCAUGCACCAAACUCAGUCACUAUUUGCUAUCGGCAGAGUGUGUAGUCGUAUGCAAAGAUGACGUGGUAAAAUACAUGCUGUCAUUGCCGAUUUUGUAGGGACGAAUCGGAAAGUGGAUCUUAGCUUUAUCGGAAUUCGAUCUUCAAUAUGAAUCGGCAAAGGCCGUCAAGGGUCAGGUCAUGGCCGAUUUCGUUGCCCAGCUGCGGACCAGAGGCUACCUUCGUGGAACCAGUACCUUGGACCUUAUACUUUGAUGGAUCAUCAUGUGGGGCCGGAUCAGGAAUCGGCAUCGUCCUCAUAUCGCCUCGGGGGGCAAGCUAUGAUUUCUCUCUGCCGAUAGAAGCAUCCACCACUAACAAUCAAGCAGAGUACCGAGCUGUGUUGAAGGGGUUACAAUUAUUAAGGGAAGUCAAGGCUGAUGCUGUCGAAAUUUUUGGGGAUUCCAUGCUUAUCGUGGACCAAUUGACAGGGAGGUCCGAAUGCAAGGACGAUGUGUUAAGGAUUUAUUACGAGGAUUGCUUGCGGCUUCUGAAAGAAUUCAAGUCCGCGGUUAUUGAGCACAUCCCAAGGAAUCACAACGAGGAUGCCAACAAGCUCGCCCAACAUGCAUCUGGGUAUCGGCCGAUUCAAGGCGCCAUGGCUCUAGAACUCGCGGCCGAUGACUGGCGAAAAGAGAUCGCCGAUUACCUGAAAGAUCCAUCUAAGAAAGUGGAUCGGCGGAUACGAUUUCAUGCUACAAAAUAUGUGUUACUAGAAGAUGACUUGUUCUACCGAACAAUUGAUGGUGUCCUACUCAAGUGUCUAGGAAUAGAGGAGGCAAAGACUCUGAUGGGAGAAAUCCACGAAGGAGUGUGUGGAGCCCACCAGUCGGCACAUAAGAUGAAAUGGAUGAUUAGGAAUAAUGGGUACCACUGGUCGACGAUCCUCGAAGAUUGCUUCAAAUAUUAUAAAGGAUGCCAGGAUUGUCAGAAAUAUGGGAAUGUCCAACAUGCGCCCGCAUCGGCCAUGAAUCCCAUUAUCAAACCAUGGCCGUUCAGAGGUUGGGGAAUAGACCUCAUCGGGCAAAUUUAUCCUCCGUCAAGCAAAGGGCACAAGUUCAUUCUGGUAGCCACAGAUUAUUUCACCAAAUGGGUGGAGGCGAUUCCGCUAAAGGCCGUAACAUCGGCCGCUAUGGUUGACUUUGUAAGGGACCAUAUCGUCUACCGUUUUGGCAUUCCCCAGAUUAUCACGAUCGAUCAAGGAACGAUGUUUACAUCAGGAGAAUUCGAAGAGUUCAUGACCGAUAUGGGAAUCAAAUUGUUAAACUCCUCUCCGUACUAUGCCUAAGCUAAUGGUCAGGCCGAAUCUUCCAACAAAGGGAUAAUUAAGUUAAUCAAGAGGAAGAUAGAACAACAGCUGAAAAAGUGGCAUUUAUGUCUGACCGAAGCCCUAUGGGCAUACAGGAUGGCUUGCCAUGGGGCCACCAAGAUGUCCCCUUAUCAGUUGGUGUACGGUCACGAGGCGGUACUGCCAUGGGAAUUGAGGACAGGGUCGAGACGCACUUCGCUCCAAGAUCAGUUGGCAGCCGAUGACUACUUCUCACUCAUGAAAAGGGAACUUGACGACUUGGCUGGCCAACGAUUGAGAGCUUUGGUCAGUAUUGAAGAAAACAAGAAGAAAGUGGCCAGAUGGUAUGAUAAGAAGGUCAAAGUCAAGCAGUUCUCUCCAGGAGACCUGGUAUGGAAGUUAGUGCUGCCAAUCGGGUCAAAAGAUCCUAAAUUCGGUAAAUGGUCCCCUACGUGGGAAGGGCCGUAUAAAAUCGGCCGAUGUGCUCCAGGAAACGCUUAUAUUCUGGAAACGAUCGAAGCAGAAGAGUUUACUAGGGCUUUGAACGGAAGGUACUUGAACCUAGUAUAUGGGUCGGGGCAUAAGUUUCAACCAUGAUGAACAAACACACCGCCGAUACAAGAAGAAUCGCCUAAAGAUAAAACAUAAUCAUCCAAAUCAGCCGAUUUAUUAUUCGGUACGGACGAUGGGUUACACGGCCGACGCGGUACAAGUUGCCCUUAGAACAAAAAAUAAUUAACCACGCCUCUUCUUAAGUUCUCUCUUAACCCGACCUAGUUCUAUUAGAAGACGGAUGUGCCGUUCCUCUAUAUCUUUCAUCGCGGCUUCCGCUUCAACUUGACGGGGAAGAGGAUGACUCCGGUCCAUUGCCGGACGAGAUGUUCCUGCCGCUGCAUCUUCAAGAGCGAUUUGACGAGGAAGCGUGUGACUCCUGUCGGCUUGAGGUCGCCUGUUGUCGUUGCCAUCAAGGAAGUCCCAGAUCCGUUGGACAUCGGCAGGAACGUGCUCCUUGAGUUCUUCACGAUGAACCCUGAUUAGAUCCUUGUCUUCUUGUGACAAUGGUUCGUCGGAGUACACGAGUCCGAUGGCUCGUUCGAGUUCAGGACUAAGGCGCCGCGGCUGGGAAAAGCAACAAUGUAUAGUCGCCGAAGAUGUGAUUCUUUUCAAAUGAAUUAAACUGAGAAAGAGGGCGAUGACAAAUCUCUUACCUGAUUAACAGAGGAAAAGGAAGAGGAUGAAAAAGACAUGACUGCAAAGCGCGCCGACGGAAACGAGUCAGGGAAGAGAAAGUCGAAUUAAACGGGUGCUCUCAAAAAUGGGACCGAGGCUGGUAUUUAUAAGUGAAGAAGGCGUGGAUGUUUGGUAAGACGCGUCCCGUCAGAAGUAAAAAGGGUAAUAAAUAAGGGGGUGCCGCGAAGGACGGUCAAAGGAGGCAUUAAUGUUCGCACAAGACUACCAGUGUUUUUACAGGUCGCCCAGAAGGGCGUUGAUAGCCGCAAUCGCUCGACGCCGGAUCUGAUCGGCCGAGUCCAGGACCCGUUGGUCAUCCUCCGCCGAUCCCGGGACUUCUGACAUGUGGCGGUGGAGUUUAAGAGCUUCGUGAGCCAGAUGCUGCCUAUCCCGCUUCAGAUCGGCGAUGACGGAAGGAAGUUCCUGAAGCCUCUUCUCUUCGACGGCUAUUUCUUUGGUCACUUGCUCCAUCUCCUUGGCAAGCUCUGCUCUUCGGCGUUUCAGGCGAUCUAUCGUGCCGACGAUUCCAGGGUGAGAAUCUUCCAGAAAGUGAAUCCGUUGAUGCACCUCUUAAGCUUGACGCUUGUACAGAUCUUCUUCUUCACGAGUCUUGGUCAGUUUGGCGCGAUCGGCCAUGUGACGCAGAGCCCUGAAGACCGGAAUCCGCAUUGACUCAAUAUACGCAGCCGGUGCCAAGGCUUCUUCCACCUCUUCUGGUACUCGCCCGCUGAUGUCACCAAAGAGCUGCCGAAUUGGCGAGGCAUCUUCUACCAAUCGGCCGAUAUCCUCUUGAAGAAGGGAUCGUAUGCUUUCAAGUUUGGCACGGACGUCAUCAGGAAUGGAGCUCAAAGUGACCUGACGGGAGGCGACUUCCUCGUCAUCGGAGAGAGCGACCGCGAACGAGAAAAGGCUGUUAUUGGGGGUGUCCUGUUCCUGGAAAAUAGUAAAUGAAAAAGAAAACAAGUCAGCCGAUGGUGGUAGCAAAUCAGCCAAUUAAGGGUGGGAGAUCUCUUACCUCCUAAAAACGGAUUUCUUCCAGCUGCGUUUGCGAGGCUGUCACCCUCGACUCUGGGACUGGUGCCAUUGGCUCGUCGGAAGAGGAAGAUUCAACAACAAUUGGCACUCUGCUCGGGCCAGCUUCUUGAAGGAUGACCAAUGGCUGAUUAGGCAAGGCGCUUAGCGCGCCGGUGACCUGUGUCAAAUUUAAUAAGAGCAUCAUCCAAAUACUAGAAGAACGGGUUGAAGAAUGGUAUACCUCAGCAGAAGGAAGCGCUGGCGUUUCAUCGACCGCUUGGGCUGCUGCCGAUGGCUGGGGGUCCACAAGGGUAAUCUGUGCAGUCUAAUAUAAGAGGAGUCAGUAUGGAGAUAGCGAUCGGGAAGAUCGGACAACAAGUUUACCUGCAUGGCCUCCACCAGUAAUGACGCAGUGGCUGCUCCGGCUUCCGUGGCAACUUGAAUGUCUACUUCUUCAGCAGUCGGAAGGGGCGGCGCGGCCGAAAUUUCUGCCGAUGUAAUCAUAGGAGGAUCGGCCGAUUCUAUACGAGCACGUACUCGGCGACUGGUCUUCUUAACAACCUUCUUCUGCGGCUGUUUCGCUCGACCGGCAAUAACGUCUACGGAAGGGGCAUGAUAGCUGAUAAGGGGGAAGGUGGUAUAUGGAUAACGGUCCUCUAUCGGCCGACCACUCCGGCUGCAUUUUGGGGGAACGCGGUUUUCAGACUGAGUCAACAGCGAGAGUUAGUAUAUAUGUUUAACAACAUUAAGAGGGAAUGAAAAUUGGCCAGGGAAAAGAAGAAUACCUCAGCAUUCGGAUCGAUGUUGGUUGGAUCCAGGAGGUUGCAGUAAGUCGAUGCAGAAGUACAGAACAGGUACUGUUUCCAUUCGGCCUACCAUAGCUUGAAUGGCUGAACGGCGAAAGGUGCUACUAUCCACUCAUUCAGGUCAAUGGUACUGGAGUCUGGGAUCCGAUCUCGCAGCCGAUUAUAGUCAAGGCCCUUGGUGAGUUCAUCUCUAAACUUUGCCCGGCCGGUGAAAUAUGCCUGAAUCGGCAAUUGACCCAUGCCGAAUUGCCGUGCUGCAACGGAGGGGUUGUAGAACUCAUACGUAGGAGCAUCCUUCCCCGAGAAGAAGUUGGCCGGUAAGAUUCCCGGUUUAAUUAAUUCGUCUGUGAGGUCUUCAUCGAAUCGGCUAGUGGUCGAGUCAAAGCAAGAAGGGAGCUCAAAGAUUUGGGUCAUCCCUCUGAUAAGGGAACCAGCUGGUUGCGUCUUCACUGAAGCCAUUAUAAAAACACCGGAAGUAUUCGGCCACCUUGGUAGCGGAAUACGAGCAACCGGAAAAGGCCGAUGCCGCUUCGCCGAAAGAUGUACAUCGAUGUCGGACAGUGGGGUUCUCUGCCAAUUCAAUGUUGGGGAAUGUCAUGUGCUCCACUCGCUGCUGAGAAAUCUUGCUCAUGUACAGGUUAAGCCAUAAGUUGAUAAACCACCAGGGCCCACCGGGGUUUCCAAUCGGCUCCCCUUGGAAUAAUUUAACACCGAUUUGGUGAAGCAUGUGAUAGGCUGCCCCCAGUAGGUGCUUUCCAAGGGGAACGGAGGCCCCUGUCGAUAAUGCCUCGGCCAGAGCUUGAGUGUUGGUGGACGAACCAGCUGCCCUCCCACAGAAGAAAUGUUUCUCUAGCCAUAUCAUCAGAAAAGCCGUGUGCUCUCUAUUCUCGACUGAUCCGGCCCUUUUGUUGCAUCUGAUGAACCCCUUCCAUCCGUUGAUUCCCUUUGUGUCUAACCGAUGAGAGGUUGUGGCCAAAAGAUGAAAAGGGGUGUCCGGAGAGGAAGUGUCAAGGCCGGUCAACAAGACCACAUCGGCCAAGGUGGGAGUCAUGGGUCCGUGUCCAAAAAGGAAUGCAUUGAGAGCAUCGGACCAGAAGUAGGAGGCUGCUAUUACUAAUGGUUCAUUUCUUUCCAUUUGGGACAAAGAUAGAUCGAUGCAUUGGCCAAUUUUACGCUCUUCCCAUUGGACCCUCUUGGAAGCGGCUAUCCACUGGUACCAUUCCCUCCAGCCGGGGGUUUCAUUCGGCCAUGACCUGAAGGUACCUGACCAAUGAUCUAGGUCCAUAGCUGAUUGCUUAAAAGGGAUUCUAUGGGUUUCCAAAUUGAUUAAGUCGGUUGGAUCUGGGUUUCCCAUGGGACCAAGGCAAAUAAGGUCGGGAGUCUCUAUAAGGCGAAUGGUAAUCUGAUGCCUAACCGCCUAAAGAAGGAAAAAAGGGGUGCUGAAGUAAGAAUAGAUCUAAAGGAAAUACAUUACUGAUAAGGAAAGUUUCGGUAAUGACCUCCGGGAUGAAGUUCAUCGUAGUUGGCGGAGGCGUCAGUGGAGCUGCAGAUGAUGAAGCCGCCAACGGGAUUUCGGUUGAAGCCCCAGCUCCCGCCGAUAAAGGUUCUUCUCUCGUCGAUGGAGCCGCUGCCGUCGCCACUGGAACUUCUGCCGGCGGGGCCAUCUCCGGAGCUUCGAGCGUUGGUGAAGUGCCUGAAGGUGCCGCCAUUGGGGAAGUAGAGAGAAAUGAGGAUGGAAGGAGAUGCUGGGGAAAAAGUUGGAAGCUGAUGAAGACGCCGGAGGAAGAAGAAGGCCUGUACGCUAAAAGAAGGAAGACGUGAGCUCGUAGGGGGAGUACGGGCGAGCUGAUAUUUAAAGGUGGUCUGAGAAGGGGUAAAAGUGGAAUUUUUACCGCGCCGGCGUUUUGAUUUUUUCGGGAGGAGUGGUUGUCAUGGGCGCCCGUUUCGAAAAGAUUGCAAUCAUCAGGCUGGAGACCGCGAAACGGAAGGAUAUUUUCAAUGCGUUUGUUUCGGAAGGGAAGUUGAAAAGAAUUUCAGAGUAAAGACUAUGUUUUACUCCGAAACUGGGGGGCAUGUGUUGACGCCAGAUUUUGACACGUGUGUAAUCGGCGUCAGGGGAGGAAGAAAUCAGAAGGAGCGGCGAGACACAGGGGUGGCGGUUGGGAAUCGGCCGAUUGGUGCUACAGUCAUGGAUCGGCCGAUUGACCUUUGGAGUUCCGCCUCGCCCGACCCCUGAGGCUUGCGAUCGGAUGCGCCCGACCCUCUGAGGGAGGAUCUCCACCUCACCCGACCUUAGGUCCCAGGAUCGGAGUAGUCAGAGCCCCCGACAUGUGGGUCCUAUCGGCUGUCCCUUGCCGAUAAAGUGAAUAGAAAUCGGCCGAUUAGGAGGCUGGAGCGAUUGGGCCGGUGUGGGCCUGAAGAGGAUUAUGAAGAUGAAGAGGGAAUCAGCCCAUGAAGAGCGCGAUAAUCGACCCAGUACAAGUCGUACUUGUAAAUAUUCGUUUUCUGUUUAAAAUUAGAGAUAGAGUUCUAAUCGGAUAAGAAGUCAUUUGUAACAGGCUAUAUGUGGCGGAUCCACUUCGGAUUUGCUUGAUUAAACAUGAUUAAGCCGCCUGAUAUGCGACACUCAUGCCUUAACCAAGUAAACAUGAAGUGCCGUCGGAUUUCAUCCGAUUUAACCACUUGAACAGGAUCGAAUAGCAAACCCACAUGAAGGUGAGCGGUUCCAGAGAAUACAACAAGUCCCCUGAGUUACCAGAUUAACCAUUUAGUUUGGCCAUAAAACAACAUCAGAGUUUACAAGGUUCAGAAGAAAAACAACAGAAGGUACAACAACGAGCGGAAGCUACUUCGUCGGGGUCGGACAUCCCUAGUGAGGCCAACCGGGAGAUCAGUGAUCCCUCUCCUCGCCGUCCGAGGAGGGAUCCCAUUCAACCGUCCAACCCAGAGGGAGUUGGGGCGGCCAAGUGCCAGCAGAGGAAGGCUCAAAGGCAGCAACUUCAUCUGAAAAAGAAGAGCCACAACAAGGCUGAGCUACUAAGCUCAACAAGACUUAACCGACAGGGAGUACGCUACUCCACCACUUCUAGACAUGCAAGGCCUUUUGGCUGAGGGGUUUGUUUGCCAAAAGCGCUAGGUGUAUCCCUACUUUCAAGUUUUAGCUCCGGUUUUGAGUUCAUUAUCCGGUCUAAAUUUGCAACCUAUUCUAAGCAACCAUAGAACCAACCAAAAGGUAUAUAUAUAUCAUCAUCAAGACCAUGUCAUCAUUAGAUUCCUUUAUUACUCAGGGUGACAUAGCGAUCAAGCAAUCUCAAACUGUGAGAGACAGACGAAUCAAUUUGAGUUUCUUAACCAUGCAUGGCGAACCUAAUCUCAUGACAUCCGCGCACCACAAGGGUUGCUUCCUGUGUCGGUCGUCCCCAUCAAUUCCAAGGCGCGUGUCAGGUCCAAACUUCCCUUGGCAUGCAAUGCUCCACAGUCCCGGCCUCUACCGUACUGUGACCGCACUUGCACCCACAUGAUGCACCAUGGGAACCUCGUUCCAGGGACAGCAGGGGUAUAAGCCACGCCCUAGUUCAAUCAGGUACUAGGCUUCCCCAUCCCAUACUAGGUAUGAGAUUAGUACUUUCAAACACUUGAUCACGAACACCACCAGUGUCGGGCCUUAGCAAGUUUCAUAGACAGACGGGGCGAUCAGCCAACCACCAAAGAGUUACCCAAAACCCUGCCCCGUCCAUCGUCCUUAUAGUUGUAACAGAAGAGGAAUCAACCAACUCCUACAACUCGCGAGUGACGGGAAAUCACUCGGCUUUUACCGUUUCCUAUUUAAGCAAAGCAUCUACUCGGUCCAACAGCUAGUGAUCAGAUCAAGGGAUCUAAGUCAUGCAUCUAUGGUUCCAAACAACUCCUAUACGUAAAUGCACAAGCAUGUUAAAGAAGGCAUGCGCAAGUUUGGUAAAACACAGGGGAUUCAUGCAUUCGGGGCUUGCCUUCGAACAAGGAGGAGGGAAACUGCUCUUCUGCUUGGGCGGCUUCGGCUUCUGGAGGCAGGAGCUCGGCUACACCUUCGUCUUCUAGCGCCGGGUGCAGCUCGUAGAAGCUGUCGGCGAGACGCAGCUCUACACGAAUGCAAUGCAUUGGUUAGCAUUUAGACGGUUAUUUCAACAGCAACACUUGCAAGUUUGAGCCUAGAAACUUGCGGCAAGUUACAGGAGGGUGGGGGUUCGCUUGAGUUGGUGGAGAUCAAGAUAUAAGGGUCGGAUGGGAAGGAACUUAUGAUUAGACCCUUAAUCUAGAGGAAUAGAUGUGCUAGGGGUCCUCGGACUUAACGCUGAAAAGUCCCCAAGUUUUACACAUACACCCUCGGUUCAAAGAAAAAGAUACAGCCGAGCCCUCGGGCGAGGCGGAGAAAGGUCGGCGGAACAGACAGGGUCGGGCGAGACGGAACCGGGGUCGGGCGGAUAGGAGGGGUCGGACGAGGUGAACAAAGGGUCGGUAGCUUACCUUCGUCUUACAGAUGAGGCUUGGGGUCGGAAAAGAACAGGCUUGGGCGGAAAGACUAAGGCUUGGGACAGCGGCGAGGAUGUCCGGUGGUACUCCGGCGGCGGCGGUGCUUCUUGUGGACCACAAGCAAGCUCUUGUGCAGCACGGGGAGCAGUGGCUGGUGGAUUGGGGAAAGUGGUGUUUGAGCGGAGAGGAGAGUUCCUCAGACUUAGGCGGUGGCGCUGUGAGCACGAACAGGGAGCAAGCGGGAGGGCAGCGAUGGCGAAGGGGAACUCCGACGGGGCUCCGGCAUUCCCUUUUAUAGCUGCGCGGAAAAGAGAAGGGGGAAGCGGCGCGAAAGCCGGGGAAAAAGUGAUGGAGUGUGCUGCCGGGGCGGCGAUUGAGCGAUGAGGACGGUGGAGCAGGACUUCGGGGAUGACACCAGCGGUCAUUGGGCACCGAUGACAGGGCGGCGCAGGCGCGGGUUUGCCGGUGGUUGAGAUUUGGCGGAGGCGGGCGUCGUUGUGCGGUGGAUCUGAUGGAAGUGACCGGGGAAAUAGCGCUAGAAACGAGGGUGCACAGGUGAGAAGACAGGCGGCUGCGGUCGCGCGGGCAAGCGCGGAGCAACAGAUUGUCGGGGCGGAGCUCUGACAGGGCGGGAAAAGGAGCUGUCGCUGCCGGGGUCUGGGUUGGCGGAGGAGGAAUCGUCGCGUAGCGAGGACCGGUGCGGCGCGACUGGGGAGGGGCGACAGAAAAGACAGGCGGCAUCGGGCUCUGCAGCCGGGAUCUGGCGAUGUGAUGAUGGGCGCGGGCGGCGAGGUGCUGCAGAAAGGGUAGCAGAGGAGCUUCCGCUGCGAUUGGGGAAGGGGGCGCGAGAAUCCAUCCGGUCGUGGCCGGUGACGAGGCGGAGCGGCGGGCGUCGGAGGAGUUGAGCCACGCGGCUAGGGAACUCUGAAGCGGGCAUGCAACUCGAGUGCGCCUGUCGCGGGAGAUCUGGGAGAAAGAUCUCGUGGGUCCACCGGUCAGUCUCGGUGGUCCACAGCUCAGAUUGAAGGGAGGCGUUGGGGGAGGACUUAGAAAGAUCCGGCGGUCGGUUGGGGGUCGGCGGGGUCGGAACUGGGGGAAAACGGCGAGGGGUCGGAUCAUAGGGGGUCGGGACCGAGCUGGAGGUGGAGCACUUAGACUUGGUAAACUGAGACAGGGGAUCAGGGACUCAGAUUAAGAUUAACGCGAAGGAUUUUUAACCGAGGUCGUUACACUAUAAAUAGCCACCCCUGUAGAUCUGUAAUCAUUAUCAACUCAAUACAACAAACUACUAUUUCCUCGUACUUACUUUCAAGCCGGCGACUUCACCAAUACUUUUCUCCUUUUUCACGAGUUCAUACGGGUUGGCGGGGCUGCAUCAACCUGACCUCCGGCCGAUCUUGUAAGUUCCGCUUAUCGAAUAAUUUCUAAGCUUUAACUUCGGGCGCAUCGCUGUCGUUUCGUUUAGAUUUAUUCACCAGUUAUCGAUAUUUACUAGAAUUUUAGGUUUUACCUGUUGUUCUAGUUUUAUCACUAGUUAUCCAGCUAGGAAUCGGCAAUUUUGGCUUUUCUUGUACUUCGUUUAAUCUAUUCAUUUUACGCAUAGCCGAUUAGAUCUGUUCCUAGUGUUGCUACUGCGUUGUUUAGAUUAUCUUAGCAUUUUUCUUUAUCAACGUUGCUUGGCAAUCGGCCACAUUGUAGCCGAUUUCCUUAUUAUAGCAAAUCAGUCAAUUCGCUGAUAAGCUUUCUUGAGAUCGGAACCUUAGCCGAUCGCAACCUCUGGGAUCUGACACAUUUCUCUCCUUGCCAAUCAACAGGUCAGAUUGGCUGGCACGCCGCGCGAACCGCACCAGGGCGAUCACCCGAACAGGAGCUAAGCAGAUUCUCCCGGGUCGUGUGUCCGACGCUGGGAAUUCGAUCAGCUGAUUUCUAGCGCCAACAGUUUCGUUUUCAGUGUUUCAUGCGUCCUCCGAUCCUAGAAUCGAUCCCUAUCCUUUAGUACGUUGUUUUAAAUUUUUUCUUUGAUUGGUGUAUUGUUCUUAGUUGUACUUGUUUGUUUGCUUUGUAUGUUUGUGCCGGUGAUUGAUUCGAGUAGAAGGAUUGCUAUUCGAAAGCUUUGAAGAUUAAGAGUUUCCAGAGAGCAAGAACUGAAGAACAGUAAGAGUAACUUUUCAUUGGAGAAAGGCAAGUGUACCUAACCAUCCUUCUACCUAAGCUUUCUUUAUAAUACCAUGACAAUGUUAAUUGGAACGUGGAGAACCACCCAGGAAAAUAGUGCAACCACAAGAACUAUAUGGCUCUGGUCUUGGCUAAUUAAUUAGAGAUUCUAGUCUGGGGUUAUCUUACCAAAAGGGCAACAGGGGAGGCAUUGAUGGGGUAUAACCCGAUCCUCUUGGUAAGUGAGCUUUGCAAAGACACUAUGCCUACUAGGGAGGUUUAUGCUCUGCUUCGACCUGAAACUUUAGUGGGUUACCACUUACUAGUGAAUCUUUGUAAAGGCUUGGAACGUCCCUAUGCAGUCACACCUCGGUAGUGUGAUCAGUGCCUGAUCAGCACAGCAUGGUUGGGUCUAAAGUUCUUCUGAACUUUUACACGACUUGUGGUGAAAGUGUACAACCUUUGCUGAGUGUAAAACUGAUAUACCAGUUGUGCUCACGGUCAAGAGCGGCUUGGACCCUCACAUGAUUAAUUAAACUUGAAGAUGGACUUAAAUUGUUAUUCUAGUUAUUUCUUGUGGCCUUGCUGAGUACCAACCAUAAGUGUACUCACCUUUGCUUACUACUGCUCGGAAGAGGAAGGUGUGUGAAGUUUUUUAAAGAUGAUAAUGAGUUAUAGGCGUACGCAGCCCCAGUCGAUUUCCUGUGAAGUUUGGAGCCUCCGUUUCCAGGAUUAAUCUGUAUAUUUCUGAUAGACUCGUAAGUCUUUAUUUAUAUUUCUUUACGUGAUACUGUUGCUGUUAAUCACUAAUGAUGUCACUAUAUGUAUGAAACUUGAUCCUGCCAUACAUAUAGGUAGCACUUGGUUUUGUUUCAAAACUGGUGUGACACUGACCCAUAUGAUGGAGUGUACAAUAACCUUCCUAAGAAGCACCACGUGUUGAAGAAGGCCAAAAAUUGUGAGUUCUGCAAUGCGAAGAUGUUCCCCGGUGAAGGGCCUUCUUUCUACUGCAGGAAUAGGAAGGUGCACAUAUAUAUCCCAGAAGUUCCCUCUGAGCUACAUUAGUUAUUUACAAGUAAAAUAGACAAGGAUGCAAGGUAUUUCAGAAAGCACAUACAGUACUUCAACUCACGUUUCUCUUUCACUAGCUUUGGGGUUUCCAUUGAUCGACGUAUCGCGUCCGCAAGAGGUACUGGGUGUGUAUACCUUUAAGGAACAUGUCCAGAUUUACCAUAAGCUAGAUCCACUUGUGCCGGGUGGGAAAGGGCUACGCCAUAUGCAGCUCUACAUUUAUGACACGGAUGAUAGUGCUGCUCAUCGUGUUAAGAGGUCCCCUAAUCUUGAUGAGAACCUGAUCCGCUUGAUCCGUGGUAUUUUAUGGGACAAUCCGUAUGUCCAAAUGUUCACAAGCUUAGGUACUCUUGCAGAUAUUCAAGAGUACACAAUUGAGUUGAAUACCAAGACUUCUAUUGAUCAGAGGAGGUAUAAUGUACUUGAAAGGGAUCAGAUUGCGGCUAUCUGGGUUGAUGGCAAUGACUCUCAGCAUAGGUUCUCACGGAGCAUAGUGAUAUAUGGGAAAACAGAUGAUCCACACUAUAUUAGGGCGUACCAUGGCUGUUAUAACCCAUUGGAAUAUCCUUUGUUUUUUCCUAGUGGUGAGAUUGGCUGGGAGGACAAGAUGAUAGAGUUUCGAUCCACCACCAUCAAAGCCGAAGUGGAAGUAUACAAAACGUAAGAGGAAAGGUAUGCACAUUUAACAUUUGUUUCUUACUUUGUCCAUAGAUUCAUUGCUCCCACUAUAUGAAAUUUCAUGAAAUAUGUUAUAAUACAGAUGGAACUAAAGUCGAUGUGGGUGAUCGAUCAAACAACAACCACUGUGUUGUUAGAGGACGUAAAAAAAGAGUUGUUCAUGGUAUGCAACAUUUUUCAUGUGCUUUCAUACACACUUCACUUGUUGUGUUUGUAAACAUUUUUUUUGUUUCAUAGAUCUGCCUAUUGAUGAAGCAAAUGACACUGCAUAUGGUGACUUCAUGAAUGAGGAAGGUGUUGGUGUUUAGACCCGGCAACCUACCGAGGGGGUACCCGAGGUAGUGUUUUAUGCAUGGGGCUCGCUGAGAUCAGGAACUCGAAGGUGAACUCGAACACACAAUUUAGAUAGGUUCGGGCUGCUAAUGUCGUGUAAUACCCUAUGUCCUAUGUGUUGGUUGUAUUGUAUUGGGUUGAACUUGUUUGGAGGGGGUCCCAACCUCGCCUUAUAUUGCCGGAGGCAGGAUUACAGGUCGGUUGUUUACACGAAUACUAGUCGGAUUCGACUAGAGAGUCCUACUUUAAUCGCUACGAGUAGUUUCCUAAUCCUCGACUAGUUCUUGUCUUCCACGUAGACCAUGCCGUCUUGUACCAUAGUCUCCAUGUAUGACACGUCUCAGUGUACAACCCCGUAUCUAGGACUAUCCAAACCUUCUGGUGGGCCCAUAGAUGUAUGGACGACAAACCCCGAGUACUUUUUAGUCAAAUGUAGCAGUCCUGAGUACUUGUGUAGGCGUCUCCGACUAGUUUGUCGUGCCCUUUUGAGCACUCUAUCGGAUUGAGUCUUUAAACAUACUCAAGUACCGCCAUUCAGCUAGAAUGUGCUCAAGCCUCAUUUAACUUGUAAUUCUAUAUGGAAGUGCGAUGAAAAUCGCACUCCAUAUGGAGUAGCCCCCGAGCCUUAGGUUGUAUCUAAUAUGAAAGUGCGACGAAAAUUGCACUUCAUAUGGAGUAGCCCCUGAGCCUUAGGUUGAAUCCAAGAAUCAAUAUGAGGGUCAAUCUUGUAAUUUCACAUCUCUUUCUUCCUUAAAACCCAAAUAAAAUUUUUUUUAGCCGAUGGGCACGUGGCACACAGUCCCCGAGCCGUUACAUGACUAGUUUGGGUAUAAGGGUCAACCACUAGUCAACAUGACCGUUUGCCAACAGUAACCUUAUCUCCUCCCAAAAAAAUUGGAAACUAUCAAGUGAUAAAUUGAGGUGUUUGAAAACGGAAUAUUCCUAUUAAUCUCGCCCCUGUUUAACUGUGUUGCGGUUAUAAAUAACGGAGGAAAUCAUCCCUUCUGUAUCACCCAAGCCACUGCUCCUUCAUCUUCCACACUGUAGCCCUAGCGCUGCCACUGCCCGAUCUUUGAGCUCGAGCGCCACCGUCCCCCACCGCUUAGCCCCCGAGCACAUGCGCAAGAAGACCCUUGUGGCAACACAAAUAGGGAAGAAGGUGACAUCCAGCAAGGUGCCAGAGAGCAAGAAGAGGAAGGCUAAGAAGAAGAAGGAGAUCCAGUUCCUGGCUCCAAAGUAUGGCAAGAUUGAUCGAACAGCUCCGCCAAAUCAAGCAUGCACCUGGAAGAAAUCCGUGCUGAAGGAGAUGGAUAUCCAGGCAUAUGUAGAUGCCAAUCUUCUCCAAGACCAAGACUUCAUCAACUGGAGGGCUGCAUUUGGCAACCCUUGGCCAAUGGAGAGCUACACUCAUGAGACGGUAAUCUUCACACAUUUUAUUGAGCAUGGUUUGGCUUUGCCCACAUCGGACUUCUUUCGCGGACUUCUGAAUUAUUACAAGCUGGAGUUAGUCCAUCUCAACCCCAACUCCAUUAUGCAUGUAGCCAUUUUUGUGCAUUUGUUGGAACCUUUUCUCGGAAUCCAGCCGCACUUCUAGCUCUUCCGGAAGUUUUUCACAGUCAAGCCCUAGCCCAGGAUGGAUCACACUGAAGUAGUCCCGCGGGGGGGGGGGGGGGGGGGGGGGGUAGGCAUUCAACAAUGGGAGAAGGUCAAAGGCUUGUAUGUGGAUUACGAGCUAAUUGACUCCCACUCUAGCUGGAAUGAGAGGUGGUGUUACAUUGGAAAUCAUGAGCCCCGACUACCCAAGGUGACAGGCCACCGCCCAAUUUGGAAUAAUCGGUUGUUAGACAAGCCGACCCAUGGAGACAGCCUUUAGCUACCCGAGCUUCUGGAGAAGAUCACCGUACUCAAGUUGCAAGGGCUGAUUGGAGUCGGGGUAGCCUUCAGUUUUAUGAGGAGGCGAUUCCAACCCCUUCAACUGCGAUGCACCUGGGGAUACGACUACUCGGGCCCCAAUGAUCCAUCCCGAAUGACGUCAGAUGACUUGUCCGUGGAUGAGGUUAUGGUGUUAUUGAGGCGCCUAUUCAAUCAUGCAAGAGCGAUCCCGAUGAUCGUGUCAGAGCACUGCGCCGCCAACCCACCAAACAGUGUAACUACCCAUGGCCUUAGCCCCUGAGUACUAAUUUUGUACUUGUUGAUUUUCUGACUUAUCUUCUUUUGCAUGAAGAAGUUCACUUGUUCUGCUCCACUCCUCCUCCACCCAAAUCGGAUGGCUCUGAUGCUGCUCCGUGAGUACACACGAACGCCGAUGUACAGAAGAUAGUCGAGGCGGAAGAGGAGUCGAAAGGUUUCUCCUCCUUUAGCAGCUCAAAUUCAGAGGCCACUGAGGACUUUGUGAUCAAAGCCCGACCGUCGGAGAAGGUUGGAUCUUCAUCUGGACAUCCAAGCGUGAAGCCGAGGAUGACCUAGAGGCCAAACUAGCACCGCCACUGAAGAAGAGGCACACUGUCGCCAUCAAGCGUGUGGCGAAGAAGCCACCUAUGGCUGAUGAAGUCCCUCCUCCGGUAAUCACAUACGAAGAAGGACAAGGUCCUGAGGAUCAAGUACUCAUAAGUAGUUUCCUUACUGCCAUGUCUACUGGGUAUGACAUUGGAGGAUUGCAGGUAGUCAAGGAGGAGACAGAGGUGGAAAAGACGACUACCGAAGUCGUGCAACAGGAGCUGCCAGUGAUUAAGGAGGUCAUCAAGCUUGAUGAGGAGGAGGAGCCUCCUAUCGCUAGUGCCAACCCUGUCAGCGCGCAAACUACUCAGGAAGUGAAGACGGCGGCCAAGGCUGGCGAGGAUCAAGCUGCGAUCCAACAAGCCGCACCGAAGAACCCGUCGCCCACAACCAAGCCCACGCGCCUAGUGGGAGAGCCCUUCUUGAAGAUAAGGCGGUCCACAAAGUACUUAGAGUGUUACUCAAGUACUGAUUAUGACUUGAUAUUGCCUUGCAGUGUGUCUUGACACUUGCCGUUUGCACGAAAUCCGCCAGCGUGGACAUUGGAAGCCCGAGCCUGAAGUCUGCAACUAAUGGCAGCGGCUGCGCAGCCCAAGAUCUCAUCCCAGAGCCUUCAAUUCCGCCAUUAGAGCAGCAACGUGCGCCAGAAGUAGCUCCAGGUGUUGUUGAUGGGUUAUGAGGUAGGCUACACUAGCGCAAAACAAAAUUUUCUAUCGCAUAAACUAGGAAAACUGCCGUAUAUGGAUCACGGGAUUACCACUAGACGCAUAGAUACGGAAGUUGAUGAAGCGCGUCGGGGCAGUAUAGUCGAUCACACAUCACCGCAGUGUAGUCGAACACGUCCACGUCUAUCAGCUCCUUAGUAGCUCGUCCACGUGUAGCUGCGUCCUCCUCGCGCGACGGCUCGUCAAGCUCCUCGUUGGCUCGUCAAGCUCUCGUGCGGUGGCUUGUCCAAGUGCUACAGAUGCAACACUUCCAAGGUAUCCACACGUGCGGGGAGGAAGCGUCACAAGCCGAGCUGCUAGGUCCGCGAGUGCAACAGGGCAAAGGUGUGGGAGGCAUGGCUACUGCUCAUGCAAAAAGGGAUUAAACCCUAAGCCGCCCCCACCCCUCAAUAUAUAUAGGGGUCCCUAACGGGCCUCUAGGUCUGAGGCCCAUUAGUACUCCUAAACCUGGUCCAAUUCAGAUCAAAUCCUCAUUAAGCUUCCAGCCCCUUAAGUGUGUGACCCUAUAGGUUUGUAUACAUAUAGAAAUGGCGCGAGUACUCCUAGCGGCCUCUAGCAAGACGUGCCAACUCCUAUACGCACACGAAGAUCAUAUCAGACGAACCAUCACAACAUCACGUACAUGCUAUUCCCUUUGCCUCACGAUAUUUGGUCUACCUCCAAGCCGACCACUCUUUCUCGAUGUUGUGAUUCGAAAUCCCUUUCUAGGUUAACACUAAACCUCACGUAGCAUGGCCAUGCAUUUCCGGACCCGAUCACUCGAGGGGCCCAGACAUAUCUCUCUCAAGAGAGGGGUAAAUUCCAUCUUGACUGACCAUGCCUCACUGCAUGCUUCUUGACAAACCUGAAAACUACCUUUAUAACUACCCAGUUACGGUGUAGCGUUUGAUAGCCUCUAAGUAAGUCGAUCCACAUCUUGAGUACAUGCGACAAUCUCAGGUCUAAGGACAAAGCGUACACGUUGUGUAAAGAGAGAACUAUGUAACUCGCAUUGGGUCAGUCCUAGCACAUGUCUCUACACGUGCCCACAUUAUUAGUUUGACAUCUCCAUGUCCAUGACUUGUGAAACAUAGUCAUCAACUAAUACAUGUGCUAGUCUAAUAUUCAUGUGUGUCCUCACAUGAACUCCAACUAGGGACAACUUUUAGAAUAACCAUACAAGUAAAGAGUUUCACACACAAUUCACAUAAAACAUGGAUACAAUGGAUAUUCAAGGAACACAAUAUAAAACAUGGAUACAAUGGAAUAUCAUCAUCUCUAUGAUUGCCUCUAGGCCAUACCUCCAACAGUCUCCCACUUGCACUAGAGUCAAUCUAGAAGAUAUCUAAUACCCAUAGCUCUUAUAUGCGCAUCAUGCUUAGACUGCAGUAGAGGCUUUGUCACAGGAUUAGAAAUAUUUAAAUCUGUGUGUAUUUUGCAUAUCUUGAUCUCGCCUCGGUUAACGAAGUCUCGAAUGAGAUGAAAUCACCGUAUUACAUGUUUGUUCUUCUGGUGAUUCCUUGGCUCCUUUGCCUGCACAAUAGCCCCAUUGUUAUCACAGUAGAGAUUCAAUGGGCUAGACGCAUUCAGGAACACACCAAGCUCAAUAAGGAAAUUCCUUAUCCAAACACCCUCCUUCGUGGCUUCUAAAGCCGUGAUGUACUCGGCUUCUGUCAUAGAAUCAGCCACCAUCUCCUGCUUAGAACUCUUCCAGGUAACAGCACUACUGUUCAGCGUAAACACAAGUCCUGAUUGUGAUUUUGAAUCUUUGUCUGUUUGGAAACUAGCAUCGGUGUAACCUGUUACAACGAGCUCCUCCUCACCUCCAUAGACGAGGAACAUAUCUUUAGUCCUUCUGAAGUACUUAAGAAUAUUUUUCAUCGCCGUCUAGUGACUCUCACUCAGAUCAGACUGGUGUUUGCUUGUCAUACUUAGCGCAUAUGAAACAUCUGGGCGAGUACUUAUCAUUGCAUACAUGAUAGAUCCGAUAGCUGAAGCAUAUGACAUUCUAUUCAUGCGAUCCCGCUCAUCAGUGGUCGAAGGACACUGAGUCUUGCUAAGGUGUAUGUCAUGUGACAUAGGCAAGAACCCUUUCUUCGCCUCUUCCAUGCUAAACCAUUUCAACACUUUUUCAAUGUAAGUAUCUUGGCUUAAUCCUAUAAGCCUUUUCGAUCUAUCUCUAUAGAUUUUGAUGCCCAGAAUAUAUGCUGCUUCCCCUAAGUCCUUCAUCGAAAAACUAUUUUUCAGUGAAGUCUUUACGAACUCAAGCAUAGGAAUGUUGUUUCCAAUCAAUAAUAUGUCAUCCACAUAUAAUAUUAGAAAUACUACAAAGCUCCCACUAACCUUCUUGUAAAUACAAGCAUGUUCUUCGUUCUUAAUGAAGCCAAACCCUUUGGCCACUUCAUCAAAAUGAAUGUUCCAACUCCUAGAUGCUUGCUUCAACCCAUAAAUGGAUUUCUGAAGUUUACGCACCUUUCUAGCAUUAUUUGGAUCGACAAAACCCUCAGGCUACAUGAUAUACAUGUCCUCAGUUAGAUUUCCAUUCAGGAAGGUUGUCUUGACAUCCAUCUGCCAUAUUUCAUAAUCGAAAUAUGCAGCUAUAGCUAGAGUAAUCCAAAUAGAUUUAAGCACCACUACGGGUGAGAAGGUCUCGUCGUAGUCAACUCCUUGAACUUGUCGAAAACCUUUUGCGAAAGGCGACACCAGAAAGGGAAGGCAAGAAAAUACACGCGCAGCCCACCUCACCUCUGCCACCCAUUCCUAAUCCAAUCGAUCCCCACCUCUCCACUGCCGUCUCGCCGGCGCCGCUGCCCCGUAACUGCUUGAUCUCCGCCGCAAACCCGCCUCCCGCACUAGCACUACCUGGCCGACCCGCCGGCCCACCGGUGAUCUCCAACAGUUGUAUCCCUUGUCGCUGCGCUUAUGCAUGAUGUUAUUGCAUCACUUAAUGUCGUUGUAGUGCCAGCCCCCCUGCUAGUUGCUGAACCCAUUGCGGCGAUUACUUAUGUAGUGGUGGCUACGUUUGUAGCCCCCGAGCCGGAGGAAGUCACCGAAGUCGUGGUGGCGACUACUUCUGGAGCCGUGGCUACCCUUGUAGCCCCCGAGCCAGAAGUAGAGGUUGAAGCUGCUGCGGCUCUUCAAGUGUUGGCUGCCACCCCGCCGUCAGAGGCGAGACCAUCUACUAGCCGCGGUAUGGCCUCCCUCUUGUCGUCGGAAGCUGGUCCCUCAACUAGCCAAGCUCUAGUUCCUCUUGGUGCGCUAGUCACCGAAGAGCACGAGGAACCUUGGAUAGCUAAGGGGGUGAACCUGGAGGAUAUCCAGCCCCUUGCUAACCCUCUAACCACCAUAGAGAUGGAGGCCACAAUCAUGGAGAUGCACCGCCGUGUAGGCGAAUACAUAGUGGUAAGUUUCUCUUCUUUGUUUAUCUUCAACUUGAAAUUGGUACUCGUUCCUUAUACUAGUACUUGCUCUGUUUUGCAGAAAUUGAUCGAACGCUCCCAUCGGAAGUCAGAGAUGAUCCAAGGCUAGGAAGACAUGAUAAUGCGAGCUCAAGCACUCAAGCGCGAGCUUGCCAAUGAGCGACAAUACUCCUCCUGGCUACUCAUGAAGUACGACAGGUAGGCCACCAAGUACAACAACCUCGUCCAGAAAGCCGCAGAAGAGAAGGACCAUCUUCGGAAGUGCAACAAAACAUUGAAGCAUCAGUUGGAAGGUAACUUGUCAUCUCCCGCUGGUCUUUGAGUACUAAUUUGCACUUGAUGAUUCUAAGUUGCUCUUUAUGUUGUUCUUGCAGGGCUCAAGAAGGAAAAGGAAGAUCUCCAAGGUCUGGUGACUGACUGGCAGAAUAGGGAAAUCAAUCUGGUGAAUGCCAUGAGGAGCAUCCAGGAACUCAAGGCUGAGUUGGCAUCCACCAAACUUGUUCUGAAGGAGCUAACAAAAGCCGCUCAGCCCAUUGCUGACAUCGUGGAGCCCUCGCAGAAGGUGUAGAGCCCCGGCCUUUGGCGGAGGUACUCAAGGAGGUGCCUGCAAUGAUCACCGGCUACAUCCAAAAGAUGGCGGAGUCAGUCUCGAAGCAAUUGUUGGCAAUGGUGAAGUCCUUCUACUCGCAAGCUGACUUGACUCCAGUUGCGGAGGGGAUUGCACAAGACUACUCUGAUGAGCAAUUUCAACAAUAUCUGCAAGAGAUGGCUCCUAUCGCCAAAGAAGAAGCUAGUCAAAUAGACCUUGAGUAGAUGCAUGUAAAGACAUGAAGUCAUUGUAAUAUAAACAUGAUUCGAAUGAAAUAUAAUUAUUUGAAGUCUUGUCACAAAUUUUAUUGCUGUCGACAUGUAUGCAUUCUUUGAUUUAGUGCAUCUCCUGAACACCCUGAUAUUUGUUCCUACGGUAGUCAUGAGUAUCUGUGCACAAGGCUACACUUGUGAGCCUCUUAAGAUACACGGUGAAGAGUACUUCUAGGAUGCGACCCUUUUCUGCGGAGUGCAAGUACUCGUGUAUUUGGGUACUCAGACUCUUUAGACGAGUAGACUCUUUAGGACUUCAUCAGCUGGAACCUAUCUUUGCAACCUCUCUGGGUUGUUCGGAUGUUGUGCUCCUGAAGAUCGGGAACUACCGACUUGUUAUUACAAGCUGCUACUAGGUAGAUUUGUCUAUAUAAGAACUCAGGUAGUAUAAUAACUUCCCAAAUUACUGAUGGCUUCUUUUCGGGAGGCCGUCGAUGGACAGACUUGUCCAAGGAGCUGACUAGCUCAUGAAAUUUUGUGUGUAGGCUUGUCUGUGCAAGUCGCUACUGGAAAUUUCAUUCGACGAGUUGACUAACUCAAAAAUAUCUUUGUGCAGACAUGUGAAUACAAGCCGCGAGUCUGGGUGAUGGUACCCAGGGAGCUGAAUAGCUAUGCGAGCUUGCUUUUGGAAGUCGCGAUCAGGUAGAAAUAGGUAGUCAUUUUAUGACAAAAAUAAAUUUGCUUUAUUAAAUUGUAAUUGUACACUGAGGCCGAUCGCCAAUUUACAUGAAUAUGUAAACUAUGGGUAGAAUCGACACAAGUGCUUGAUGUUCCAUGAGUUGUCAACUUCAUCGCCAGAGAGAGUUUGUAGCCUAUAUUAUCCAAGUCCAGUGACCUUGGAAAUGAUGAAAGGACCCUCCCAAGGUGAAUUGACCAACCGCCUGCCGCCACCCGGCCCCUCCGCCUCUGCCUCCGCUCGGCCCCACCGUCGUUGCUGUGUGAGAUGGGGAAUCUGUGAGAGAGAGAGAGAGAGAGAGGAGAAAGAGAUAGAGGAGGAGAGGAAGCACUAUGUUAUAGAGAGGGGAGAAAGAGAUGGUAUGGGAGGAUAAGAGAGAGAGGAGGGAGCGGCCGGUGCAGGAUAAGGCGCGAAUGGAGGCUUUAGUACCGGGUGGAUCUCUCACCCAGUACUAAAGGGGGACCUUUAAGUACCGGGUGGAGCUCCCACUCGGUACUAAAGUGCCUUUGGGGGAUCCCAAAUUUGAGCCCAGUACUAAUGCUAGUACCGGGUCCAAAUGUGGCAAAACGACCCAAAUUUGACACGCAAACGUACACUUUAAUCAAGCUAACUCGGUAGUCUGUCGGGUUAUACCCGAUAAACCACUUAACUCUGGAUCGAAUUAAGCAAGCUCACACGAAGUUGAUGGUUACAGAGAUUACAACAUUCCACCAAUAUUUAACAUAAGUUUGAAUUCAUUAUUACAAUAUAAGUUAGAAAUUAAAACAAAAUUGCAGAGUGUUCAAGCAGCGGAAAAGUUUAAGCGGAAGCUACAUCAUCGAUACAAAAUAUCACUUCGAAGCCAACCAUGAUAUCAACAACCGCGAUUCUCGCCGUCCGAGGAUGGGUUCCACUCGACUGUCCAACCCGAACACAGCUGGGGUGGCCAAGUUACACAAGCAGCAAACUCCUUAACAUCUAAGUUACCUGAAAGUAAAGCCACAAGCAAGGCUGAGUAUACUAAUACUCAACAAGACUUACCCAUCAGGUGGUAACUACUCCACUGACUCCUAGUCAUGCAAGGCUCUUUGGCUGAGGAGUUUGUUUUGCCAAAAGCAGCUAAAGUAGAUCCUUACUUUCAAGUUUUAGCAUCAGGUUCUAGUUGAUUAUCUAGUCUAGGUAAGCACCUAUUCUAAGCAAGCAUGUGACCAAGCAAUUUAAUUCAAGCAUCAAUAUUAUUCAUCUACAAUUGUUCCUCUUCUUACUCAAUGAAGAAGUGCAGUCAAGUAGUCUCAAACUGUGAGAGGCAGAUGAUUCGAAUCGAGUUUUUAAACCUUGCAAGGUGGACCUAACCCCACGACAUCCGUGUACCACACCGGGUCCACUUCAUUUGUCAGCCAUCCCCAUCAAUCCCCAGCUACGUGUCGAGCCUACUUCCCUUGGAUCCAAUGCCGCACGGUCCCGAAUGACGCCGUAUCGUGACUGCACUUGUACCCACAUGACGCGCUAGGGGAACUAAGUUCUAGAGACAGUAGGAUGGUCCACUCACGUCCCAGUUCAAUCAGGUAUUAGGCUUUCCCAUCCCAUACUAGGUAUGAGAUUAGUACUUUCAAAUACUUGACCACUGUUCUAACACAGCUCGACCUGAGCAGUUUUCCACUAGAUAGAUGGGACAAUCCACCAAUCACCAAAAUAGUUCAAAUAGCCUAGCCCCACCCCUCGUCCUUAUGGUUGCAUCAUAAGCAAAGAAACAACUCCUAUAACUCGCGAGUGAUAGGAAAUCACUUGACUUUUACCGAGUCCUAUUUAGCAUAGCAACUACUCGGCCUAUCAUGCAAGUAUUCAACCAUAGGUACCUAACAUCAUGCAACUAAGUUUUCAAUCAACUCCUAUGAACUUAAUGCACAAACAAAAGAACAUAGAUAUUGCAUAAUUUUACAAAGCUGGGUUAUGUUCCGGGGCUUGCCUUUUUGUCCUAAAUUUAAAUUAGCCUUGGGCUCUUCCGAACAUGGUUCGGGCCUUGAUUUGCCUCGAUUAAGUCCAGCUUAGCGGAGGGUGUCCUUCUUCACGUUCCGAGCUAAGCUCGUACGUUCCGUCAGUGAGCUUAGCUUCUACACGAGAUGCAAUGCAAUAAUUCAAUAUUUCUGCCAUUUUGUGGUCUGAAAGGUAUUUCAUAUAUUAUUACAACGCAUAGCGAACUCAAGACCCAAACUACUCAGACAAGCACCUUUGUUACUUUUCUUCACGGACAAAAAGUGUCUUUGUGAUUUAGACAUUUAGACCGGGUUGAUGAUGACUGUGUACACAUAUAUGUAUAACAUGUUCAUUAAACUUUAGAUUGAAGAGUUAUCCUAUUUUUGAAUGUUUUUCUGUACCUCUUCCAGAAAUACCAUUUUACCCUUACUAUUCCUUAAUUUGUUUUUAUUCAAUUCUUCAUCGAUUAACUUCCAAAAUUCAUUCCAGUUGCAUAUGAUUAGCUAUGGGUUUGAAACUUUUACAGUGACUUCUUCAUAUCAUCACUGAGUUGUUGUAAAAAUUUGGGGUGCAUUGGGUUACUACAAAAAUCAUUAAAAUCAAUUCAUUAUCCUAAGGUAGAAAGCACUUAACCAUUUUUAACUCAAAAUCUACAGUAGUCCGUGGCUGAAAUUUUAACAGUGUGUUACACAGGUGCAACAGAGUCUUUGGUAAUUCUUCCAUGAUUUUUGGUGAAGGACAUCUAUUUUCCAUAUUUUUUUAUGAUUUAACUUUGCAUAAAAAGAAAGACAUGUUCCAUUUUGGUUUCACUCAGUGAAAAAUAUUUUUCUUAACAAGUAUGUUUCACAAGUGAUCUAUCCCAAGUGCAUUCAUAUUUUUCUCUGACCUAUUCUAUUUACUAGCCAAAAAGAAAUAUUCUACACUAGUUUUCAAAGGUAAAACUCAAACAGUGACAUCAUCAUCUAAACUAGAGUCCUAAUCAUUUUUCUAGGCACCAGCUCUCUGAAACAAAGCUAACAGAAGUGGUUUUGCUAUUUUACCAUUUUUGUGUGAUUUACUAAGCAUCUAAAAGCUUAAACACUAAAUAAAAUCUAGUGCUAAAUACAGAUCAGCAACAUGCAUAUGAGUAUUUUUAAAUGAAACUAUACAUCACCAGGAAACUAGUGAAACAAGAAUCACAUUUUCCCAUUUUUCUACAGUUUUCUAUGCCUUUUCAAAGUUCUUAGCUUUUAGAUCUAGGAAAAUAAACAAAACCGAGCUCAACUUACAAUCUAGCCCCCAAGUCUAUGGUUUAAUCGCGCAAAGGUCCCUGGAUUCUUCCCCAUAACCCCCUAUCUAUUCUCCUUCUUCUCCACACAACUCCUCACGCACCCAAAAUAGAAACAACACAGCACAGAUGCACGGGCUCUUGGCCGGCCACGGCAGGGAGGGAAAGAUGGCGCGGCUUAGGGGAGGGAUAGCGGCGGGGAAACGGCGCCCUAGGCCAGGGGUUCUCACCAGCGGGGUCACAGCGACGAGGAAGAGGCGGCGCCCUAGAGCUUCACGGACAGAAGGUGGCGCGGAAGGAAGCUCGCCGUGGAGGGGGCUGUCCGGUGAGGGAGGGCGGCCGGGAAGGAGCAAAAUGGAUGCGGGACGUCGAGAAGAAGGCGUGGCCGCGAGGAAUCGACUGGAGACCUUCCCACGGUGAUAGAUUUGGCCGGCAAAAAUUGGGGAUUUUUGAAGCUGGUACUGGCAAUGGUGAUGGGAGGAGGAAGGGAACCAGCUGCUCGCUUAAAUAGGAGGGGAGGAGCGCGAGGAUAAGAACGGCGUGGUGACAUAGCACGGGGCGCGAGGAUUGGCGGGGUGGUGAGCUCCGGUGAGCCUUGGCGGUGUGGCACGCAUGGUGUGUGCGCGUGCGUGCGGGGAGCAAGGCCACUGGCCAACGAAGAUGGUGUGCAGGGGGGAUUUGAGCUCGCACGGUGAUUGGCGAGGCGCCGGACCGAGUUGUCCUAUCCACGGUGGCGAUAGGGCGAAGCGCAUCGGCGGAUGAACAUUGGCGACGUGUCACGGCACGACGAGCGCUCGUGGCGAGCGCGCUCUGGGCGUCGUGGUGGAACACGAUUCUUACGGGACUUGGCAGAUUUUCUAUUUGGGGCUGAUUUGAUAGCUUUAGCUGACUUUGGCCAAGUUUUUGAAUGAGUUCAGCUGGGAUUUUGGCCUAGGCCCCAUGGGUGAAGUUGUAGUACAUACUUAGGACUCAAACUUUUGUAAAAGGUUUAGCUCGAGUUUACCUUCAAUUUUGAGAGAAAUCUUCAUGCCAAGUUGAGGACUUUCACUGUUUUAGACUCAGAACUUUCUGUGCUGUAUUUGAAUUUAAUGCUGAGUUUUAGCCUAGAAUUUGAACAGGUUCUAGGGUGAAUUAGUCCAGGCUUAAAUUGACAACUUUGUUCUCUGAGGUGUAUUCCACAACCUUUAUAAAAGCUUCAACCUUAACCCAGGUCUAAAAUUUUGAAAUAACCGAGCUCAAACUACCCCAAUCAGCUAUGUUCUCCAGAACUUGGUGAUUUUGAAAAUGUGUUUGAAUUGCUAAUGAAAUUAAAUCUAGUUUUUCAACCUCUUCCUCUCCAAACCAUCAAAAGUGCAAAUAAGCAAAGUUGUUUGUUUUGCAAGGUUCUACAACUCUAUAUUGGCAAAAAUUUAAGUUGUUAUAUAAAAUUUUAAAUUUUUAAAUUGCCUCCAAAUUGAGCUUUUUAAGGGCAUUUUAGUCCUUUUAAGUGCUAGAUUAGUUUCUUUACUUAAGCUUGGGCAAAGUUAAACAAAGCUAGGGUUGUUACACAAAAUUUGACCGGAACUAAGGGAGUGGACGAAAGGUACAUUCCCUGUUAGUGGGAGUCCAUGCAUGCAAUGCAAGCAGACAAUGCAGCGUUGCAAAGAGAUGGAUGGACGGGAUUACCUGCCUAUAGAUGGAGUGGGAGAGGGCAGCUGGGGGCACACCGCACGCCUAGGAUGCUUGCUCCUCGUCGUUCCUGUGCGGCUGCUAGCUAGGGGUAGAGUGACGUCAUGCCAAUGACGCCGAUUACGAUCUCCUCCACAUGGGCGUGAUGACGAAGAUGAUCACAAAUUCACAUCUGCCUAGGCAACAAUGUGGAGAGAAACGGAUGUGCAUCUAUGGCGGGGCAAUGCUGCAGCCUAGCAAGCAGGAUUGAUCACGCCAGGAGGCGAACUGGUCAACGUCGAUGCAUAGGUCAAGGGAUGACCUGUCGUUUCUCUAUCUUUUGCCAACAUGCAAGCAUGCGUGAGAAUCAUCACAAUUAGGGCGGCAGAAGUGUAUAAGCAACGAGCAUGAAUCUGUACCUUGUUACCGUACUUGCGGUCACACGACGACAUUGGUCUUGCUUCGUUGUCGAGUGGUGCUGGCGGCGCUCGCGGCGAUGGCUAUAUGCGAGGCAGCCUGUUGCACAAGCGACAAGGAAACACGAUCCCAGGGACAAACGACGGAGGGUAGCGACAGGACGGUGGAAAAGGAGCAAGAUGCAGCAUUUUCCCGAGGCUAGCCGGGUGGGAGGGAUGCGAUAGGAGUAGGCUGCAGAUAGGUUCUUGAAGUCGUGAUCGAUUGAUCGAUUUUUCAUCGUGAGAAGAGGAAAGUGAGUGAGAUUCUAGUGCGGGAGUAUAGUGCGCGUGAAAGGAAAGGCGACUGCGAGAGGAUGAAGACCUUCCAAAACCGAGGACGUCAAUCACGGCAGGUGCGCGAUGCGGGUACCAUAGGCGGGUAAGCGCAUAUGCGUGGUGAGAAAAAACACUAAGAAUCGGCAGAAACAUUUUAGAAUCAUCAGUUUUCAUCUAUCUCCCUUCUAUCUACCCCCUCCUCCACCUGCACGGUGGACCCUCUGUGAGGGAUAUGGGUGGAUAAUUAUUGGUGAGAAUUACUUUCAAUUUCGUCGCUCUUUAUAGUACAGAUUGAUCUUACUCAAGAAUAAAAAACUAUGCUAGCUUUGCUGCAUGAUGUCGAUGAUUGUUGAUAAGUAAUCUUUAUACGAGGGACUACGAUUGUUGAUAAGUAAUCUUUCCGUAUGCUUUCUGCAAGAUAUCGGUUCUUGCAGGUGGUUGCAUUUUGCGGUUUGUAAUUAUACACUGCUGGGGAAAGCGUCAUCAGUACCGAUUCGUAACCCCUUUAGUACCGAUUACACAAUCGGUAUUGCUAGUUCGGUACUAAAGGGGGGCCCUUAGUACCGGUUGAAAUAACCAGUACUAAAGGGGGUUCUUUAACCAACCGGUACUAAAUUGGCUGCCACGUCGUGCGUGACCGAGGCCAAUUUUACUACCGGUUGGUCUCCCCAACCGGUACUAAUUUAUUUUUUUUCUGUUUCUUUUCUCAUUUACUUUUCUAUUUUUUAUUCUAUAUUAGUAUUUCGUAUUUGUUUCCUUUACGUAUACUAGUUCUAAUACACUAAUAUAUAUAAAGUUGUAUUUAUGUAUAAUAUUACAUUUGAGAUAAUACUAUAUAUAUAUGUAUAGACAUAAUGUGCAUACAGAUAUAUGAAUAAUAUUACAUUGCAUCAACUUUCCAAGUUCAACAUUUCCAUCAACUAUUUGAACCCAAGUCCUAACAAUGAUGCAGAAGAAAUCCACUGAGUUGUUCUUGAAUUGCCCUGGUUUUUUCUGAUUCGAGGAGUACUGCCAUCAUAUCUCUCAUCUAUAUCAUUGGCAAAGGUUGUUAUAGUAGAUUAAUAGGUCUGCACAAUUCGAACUAAUUUAUUGUUAAGAAUUCUAUCUACGUACUAUGAUUUCGUGGUUGGUCACACGUUUCGAACCUACAAAGCCAUGGAUGAACUCACAUACGUGGUAUCCGCAUAAUUUAUUCCCCGGAUCCUGUCUCAAACACUAUAUAUAUGGCAAAAAAAGUUAUGAAAUAUUUGUUGUGAUCAAGGAAGUGUCACGAGAUGUGAAAAUUCAACACAUCCAAGAAUUCAGGCUUUAAAUCAAGUUCCUCCUUGAAUUCACCCACGUGAUGUUGACGAAAUCGAGCCCAUGCUUUGUUCAGAAUGUCUAUGAGGUUUUUGUAUUGAUCUCUUGGUUUCCUCGAAGACCGCGCGAUCAACCACGACAAUAAGGAGUAUCCAGUGGAAGUUGUACAUAUAUGCAUAGCUAAAGCUAGUUAGUUUGGCUAGCUAGUCCUAUGUUUAACUGCUAGUUCAAAGAAAAAAGAGAUGGGAAACACGCUUACUUGAAGUUGUACGGUAGAAGUAUGUACUUCUUGUAAUGUUGGUUAUCGAGGCACUUAUAUAUGUUCUUCGAGGUUUGAUUUGGUCUAUCUCUUAGAGUUGACUAGUUUAUAAUAUUCAGGUCCAUGAAGCCUAUGUCAUAGUAUCCUUUCCUCCAACAAGUUUGAAUCUCCAUCUUGCAUGAUACAAAAUCGAAUAAGAGUUAAGACAUGGCACAAUGACUAGAGCGACGAUUUUGAAGUUAGAGCAAAUUAAAGACUUACAGAACCCAGAAACUGAUGAGUGACUUGUCAAGUACGUCUUGGUUGUAAAGGUAAUAGAGUUCCUCUAGCGGCACAAAUAUUGCUAAAAGUUUAGAUAGAAAUACACAAAUUUAAAUUUUAGACCCAAACAACAUGAGAAGCCAAACCAUCCAUUGAAUACUAUCUAGGAGGACUUUAAGCAUCCUUGGGCGGCGAAGAUAAAGGUUUCGUUGACCCAGCCUCAUCAUGUGGUUUAUUUGUGUGUCCUGCAACGGCAGUACUAAGUGGACCUGAAACACACGGGAUUGGUGGUGAAGCAUAACGACUACCAAAAGGAGGUUUCUGACCUGCCGCAACAGCAUCUUCGUGACAUCUUUGGAAAUAACGAAGCAUGUCUUUCUCCCACGUGCUCAUUUUCUUCGGAUUAUCAUGAGAGCCAACUAUGAUUUUUCCCUUGCCGCGAGAGGAACGAUGAUCGCUCCCACCAUCGCCACUACCUACAGUAGCAGAAGCCAUCUCUGUGUACCACAAUUUAUUUAGCUCAUAUUUGUAAAUGACUAAACUAUGACCAAAUUCUAUAUUUUCCCCAUAAUUUACAUAGCUCAAAUAUAACAUAUAAAUGAAAAUUUUCUCCAUUGAAGCUUAUUCUAAAAAUGACUAAUUAUGUACCUCUAUUUCAUCUUAUUAUUUCUAUGUACCAUAAUUUAUCUAGCUCACAUUUGCCAUAAUUUAUUUAGCUUAUAUUUGAAAAGUGCUAAAUUAUAAAAUUAUUUCUCUAACCUCAUAUCAAUUUCUUUGACUAAUACCAAACAUAGCAUCCAAAAAAUUGUAGCUUAUUCUAAAAAUCACAAAUAUGACAUCUAAAUAACACAUGUAUAUAAAUAAAAAAUUCUCCAUUGUACCUUAUUCUAAAAAUCACAAAUUAAUCUAGCUCUAAAUCAUAAAAUUUAGUAUACUAACCAUGUAUCAAGGGAGGAUGAAGUUUCUAACUUUUAGAAUACAUAAACGAGUGAAAUCCCCACAAAAUGGUCUUCAAUCUGGCAGCACCUCCCCUGUGGCGCCAUGAAUAGGAUGAAGCCCGAGCUAUGGUGAAUGGCUUGGGCAGGAGGAAGAAGAAGACGGAUUUAUAGGAGGGAAGUUAGUACCGGGUGGAGGCUUCACCCGCUACUAACGGUUGCAUAUUAGUACCAGGUGGAGCCUCCACCCGGUACUAAAGGCUCGGUGGUAUAUUAGUACCGGAUGGAGGCUCCAACCGGUAUUAGUACCGGUUGGAGUCCCCAACCGGUACUAAAGCGGGUCUUGAGGGGCUAGGGAACUAACCUCUUGACCUGAGGUUAGAAAAAAAAUUGGAUUGCUAGGGAGUUAGCAAGGGUAUCUCUCAAAUCUCGAAUGUUUUCAUGACCUUGGUUCUAGAGCAAUAGCGAGGUGAGGAUGACACCCGCAUAAAAGUUUUUUUCCUAUUUUUCUUUGAGUAAUUACAGUAUGCAUAUCAAGUUUAAGAAAAAAAAUUGGAUUGCUGCAUCCAUCUUGUUUCUUUUUUUUUUGCUGUAGAUGCUGCACUUGUGAAUCCCGUUGGACAAAUAGGUUGGUAGGUUUUUUUUGUUAAUUCCAGUGCCACAUAUUUUUUAUUAUAGUUGCAGGGACACUGAUCUUGGCCAUUUGUUCUUAGAGACGUACAUGUAGUUGCCAUUGGGGUGAUUGUCAUUGAUGUUAGCUCUCUCUGGUUUUCGCAAGAUGUAUUUCAUGAGCUUCCUAAGAGGUAGAAUAGAAUCUAUCUUUUCUUCAAAUCAUAAUCUAGAGACCAUGUGUAGUCGUGGAUUUGUAGCAUUUGCAGUUUCGAAUAAUUGUAUCUGUUAAAACCUGCAAUUCAGCUCAAAUGUUCAGGUGUUGAUCAUAAUUUAUUAGCUCAUAUACUGAUGAUGUGCUAAAGCAAGCUUUGGGCUUAUGCAGUAAGUAUUUAGACAGGGAGCAGGUUCGACAUGAAGUACUUGUGAUGCAUUUAUAUCUGACUACAGAAGAAUGUUUUGUUGUUUUUAUGGCAAAUAGAGGAGACUGGACAGCCGUGCGAAUAUUGCCUUGGCUUCAGCUUAAGAACGGCUGAAAGCCAGCUAUGAUUUUUGCUGGAGCUCGAGCCCAUGGUUCAUGUUUGCAAUGGCAAGUUUCGCGUUUGGGUCUCACACACUAUGCUAUGAAGACCUUUCUGUUGUACUUGCUGCAUAACGUGGUGUGUCAAAACUCAGGUCCUAUUUGUUUGAGCUUUGGCUUAUCUGAAAUUUGCUCCUGAAGGGUAGCUUUUUGAAAGCUAGCUUCUCCAAAAAGCUGGGGUUGUUUGGCAAGCUAGGUUUUUUGGAGAUAUUUGUUCUGUGGGUCUGCAUGUCAACCUUCUCUCUUGUCUGGCCAAAGCUCCUCUACGCCUCCGCCUUCCCUGCGCUCCUCCGUGCAUGCAGGGAGCCGUGGCCUGGAGCUUGCCCUGCCUUUGGCCCCUCCCCCGCGCUACUCCACACCGGCCGGAAGCCGCCGCCUGGAGCUCGCCCACCCCCAGGUCUGAGGAAGGGCACCGCACGGCAGCGGCAAGGCGGUGGUUAGCGAGGCUGAUGAGGAGGCCAUGUGCCAUCGGCGAUUCGGGGCCCUAAAUGGAGUCGCCUGCAGGGCUGAAGAGGGGGGCAGUGGUGGCGGUCCGGGGACGGCGAUGUGGGCGCUGGCGGGGAUGAGGGGGGGCAACAGUGGCGGUCCGGGGCUGGCGAUAUGGGCGCUAGCGGGGAUGAGGAGGGGGGCACCGACGGCGGUCUAGGGAAGGCGACGUGGGCGCCAGCGGGGAUGAGGAGGUAGGCCAUGGUGGUAGUCUGGCGAUGGAUGAUAGAGACCGGGGACGGGAGAUGGAGGUCAGGAAAGAAAGAAAAAUAACGGUUCGAUAACUUAAGCGGUGGCAGGUGGGUAAUUUUGAGCAAGUUGGCGUAGGAAGCUGUGGAAAGCUCACAUUUCAUUGCUUCUUAGCUUCCCGUGUAUUUGUACCUUUCGGGGGGCUUUUUGCUCUUCAGAAGCUAGUCCAAGAAGCUAGCUGUUUGUUUGGACUUUCAGCUUUUGAGGUUGAGAAGCUGGUAGGAAGUUUGGUAGGAUCGUUUGGGGCCUAGACAUCUACAACAUCUGCAAGCUGGGACAUGUACUCAUUGACAUUGAGGACAAUGAAACAGAGAUUCAAGGACCUGUUUGGCUUCGAGUGGAUCAACAUCUCUUUUCUACAAAUUGUUUGGAUUCCCAUUAUUAAGCAUCCAUGAGUUUCUCCUUUUCUUUGGAUGAAUUGAGUUGUGGAAGGAGAAAUACACUCAAGUGAAAGGAAUUACAAACAAACUAUCUUUUACAUUGGAUCAGGGAUGAAUAUUUUGCCAUCCUUAACAAAAUUUGUUAGCUUUUCUAAUUUAUUCAUUAUCGUAGGUUGGGUGUGUAUAUGAGCAAAUAGCACGUGCGUGCCGCGCGGCAUUGUUACUAGUAUAAUUUAAUGAAUUAUUAAUGCAUACAUAUGGUUGUUACCAUAUGUUAAUAGCAAAGAUAAAGUUAGCACUAGGGUUGUUCUCAAGUACCCACGCCACUCGAACCUGUUACAUGUGUACGCUGCCAUCCGUUCGUAAUUACUUGGAUACUCAGCCAGGAGCCCAACAUGGGCCUCGAGCUAUGCCAACAGGAGGAUAAGUUUGUUCCAGUAGUAUUUUUAGCACUAUACUACGUACAGCCAUUAAUUAUGUACCGGAGAAAGUAAUACGUGUCAAAAUCCUUGGACUUUGCGAGUCCUUUUUAUUCCACGAAUGGCUUUGUUGAAUCCUAGCCUAUAAAACCAAGUUUUUAAAAAUUUACGACACUAGCACUGCUAGCGUUGGGACGUCUGGUCCAGGACACUAACGUCGGACGCGCGCGUAGCCGUCUGAUCAGGUGCAGCGGAUGGCUGCAGCACCGCUGUAAAAUCCAGCUAAAAAAAUCCCGCUGAAACACUAUUCUAUGUUGCAUCAAACAUCCUGCUAUCCAUCGCCAGCCUUGAGCGAUGCCUUCCAAUUUGUUGCUCACCAAAUUGCAGAAACAUGUCGUAUAUCCUUCUCAAGUCUCGCUAGAUUGCAACACCAGAAAAUUUCUAUGAUAGAACCAUGAAACACGACAAGAUGGAAUAUGGCGUGCAACAUAUAGAUUCAAAACAAAAACAGAUGAAACAUUAUGUAAUGACUGCCGCAACAGUCAAGAAAAACAAGUGAAACAUUCCAAAUGAGCUAUUGCAACAUCUAAAAAAUCAAGAAAAAGAAACUGUAAAUUAGAAAAGGCUGAAAUAAAGUGGUUGGAACAUUUCAAUCACCGAUUCCCACAUUUGAAAUGACUAGAUGAAACAUAAAAAAAUCAGUUGCAAAAGUUGAAGAUGAAAACAUUUGCCUUUCUCCAGGUUUCACCCUCCAAGCAUGAGUCCAACCAUGACCAGAGUAACAAGACCAUGUUCUCCAACAAUUUUUUUUCUGAACAAACGGGCACGAGAGUGUGCCUAUUUCAUUGAUAGAGCAGAAGUUUACAGGAAAAAUAAAAACAAAAGGAAAGCACGGCGUGCCAUGUGAAAAGGUAAGGACUACUCUCGUCGGUGAGCUCUCAUGUCUGUUGAAAACGUGCAUGUUCCGUUCUUUCCAAAUCUCCCACAUGAUGAGUAGAGUCAGACUUCUAAGAGCCUUACGCGGUGAAUCCGGUGUCGUAGUUAUGUUUGUCCACCAUUCCAUUGUGUUGGCUGAGGACUACCAUGCAUUUGGCCUAAGGUUUGGCUGCGCUGUCCAUAUUGCCGUUAGAUCCCAGAUUCUCUUGGUGUAUCUGCACUCAGCUAAGAUGUGGUGGCUAGUCUCCAUGGUCCAUCUGCAGAGGGUGCAAGUGGCGUUGUGCGGCCAUCCGUGUUUGGCCAGUCUGUCCGCAGACCAUAUGCGGUUUUGUGUAAUUAGCCACAUGAAGAAUUUACAUUUUGGUGGCGCCCAAGUUUUCGAGAUGGAGUGGAUAUUCAGUGUUUCGGUGCAGCCCAGGAACUAUGCUUUAUAUGUCGAUGCGGUUGUAUACAUUCCUGAUUUGGCUAGUUUCCAGCUGAUAGUGUCCUCGUUUCGUGGCUGUAGCUCCGUUUGUCUUACCAUGUUCCAUAGCAGGGCGAAUGAGGCUAAAUGUGAGUUAUUGAUAUUACCAUUGAUGUUGAGAUCUCAAAUCAAGUUAUUGUUAUUGAUGGCAUCGUGAACCGUCCUGUUCUUUUUCCUUGAAAUGGCAAAGAGUAGCGGUGCAAUGUCUUUUGGUCGCUGGCCCUGCAACCAGCUAGAGUUCCAGAAGCUGGUCUUUUUGCCAUCGCCGAGGGUGAUGACCAUGCAAGCAGCAAAUAGUUGCCUAUCUGUCUCGUCACAUGGGGUUUCCGUAUUGAACCAGGGUUUGUCCGGUGAUGUCCACUCAUGCCAUAGCCUAAGGCGGAGAGGUCUGGCGAACUUCUCUAGGUUUGGUAUGCCGUGUCCCCCAUGUUGUUUCGGGAGGCAGCUUCUUGUCCAAUUAACUUUGCAUUUUCCACAUGUUAGCUGUUGGUCACCCACCCAGAGGAAUCUUUUAUGGAUUUUGUCUAAAUCUUUGAGCACCUCAUUAUUCGCUUUGAGAGCCAUUAGGAAGUAAACCGACUGUGAAGAGAGGACCAAUUUGAUGAGGUUAACUCUGCCUGCAUGGGUUAGGUUUUGUCCGCUCCAAGCUAAGAGUUUACCUACCACUUUAUCUAUAAAAGGUUGGAAUUCAAUCCUUCUCAGGCGCUUUGUUGACAAUGGGAGACCAAGGUAGCGCAUUGGGAAUAUCAAUCUCGUUACCGGUAGAUCAUUGAGUAGUAGAUCAAGGUCGAUGUUUCGGCAGCUUAUGGGUGCAAUCUGUGUCUUUUGCAAGUUCGUGUGUAGGCCAGUGGCUUCUCUGAAGUGUUGAAGGAUCUUCGCAAUGUUGGAGAUGUUUUUUCGUGUCAGCUUUAUGAAGAUGGCGGCGGCGUCAGCAUAUAGAGAUGCUCUAAAUCUUGCCGCUCUUCCUCCUAAUUUGGUGAGGAGCCCCCUGUUGGUUGCUUGAGCAAUUAGGUGUUGUAGAGGGUCAAUGGCUAGGACGAAUAGUAGAGGUGAUAGCGGAUCCCCUGUUUGAGGCCUCUACCGUGCUGUAUCGGUGGCAACGGUGAGCUGUUGAGCAGUACUUUUGAAGUUGAAGUGGCUAGGAGGGACAUGAUCAAUUGGCUCCAUCGAGUUGGGAAGCCUCUGUGGUGCAUAAGGGAGAUGAGGUAGUCCCAACGAACUGAGUCGAAGGCUUCGAAGAUGUCUAAUUUCAUUAGUAGAGCCAGCGUCGCCUUUCGAUGAAAACGGCGAGCGAUAUUUUGUACGUAUAGGAAGUUAUCAUGAAUACUUCUGCCUUUGAUGAAGGCACUCUAGCAAGGCAAGAUGAUAGCAUGCAUGUGUGCGGCAAGCCAUAGCGCUAGCACUUUAGUGAUGAUCUUUGCAAACGCAUGGAUAAGGCUGAUUGGCUGGUACUCCAGAAUGCUUUCUGCCCUUCUUUUUUGGAAUUAGAAUGAUGUUUGCCUUAUUGAGGAGAUUUAGGUCAUUGCUACGGAUGUUGUAGAAAGCAUUGAUUGUUGUCAUUAUGUCUCCUUUAACGAUGGUCCAGCAUGUCUUGAAGAAGAGCCCUGUGAAACCAUCCGGGCCUGGUGCUCGAUCGUGCGGAAGUUGUUUAAUGGCAUGCAGGAUCUCAUUUUUGACAAACAAGCAGUCUAAGUCAGAUAGGUCCACUGCAAUGUGAUCUAGGUUGUCCCACCGCAGAUCUCAUGUGCGUUGCUCUGGGGUCGUCAUUAUGUCAGAGAAGUGGUCGUGAACGAUGUCUUGCUUGUCUUGGUGGGAGAGAGCCCAGCCCGUGUCUAUUUGCAGCCGUUGUAUGUUCUUCCUUUUAGGCGCAUUGACUUUAAGGUAGAAGUAUCAUGUAUUCGCAUCUCCCGCAUGUAGGUUUUUGAUACAUGAUGAUUGUUGUUUCCUUGCUCUUUCAGCCUAGAAUGUGUUUAUUGAGUUUUGCUCUCAGAGCAAAUUUUGCAUCUGAAAGGGAUCUUAAGUCUUGCGCAGUGUCGAGGUGUAGGAUCACCACUUGUGCCAUCUGUAUUUUUAGUUUUGCAUCCGAGAUGAUGGAAUUGCUCCACUUCCUAAGCGCCAUGGUUGUUGAGUGCAACUUGUGGCCUAAGCGAUGGAAGGGUUCUGUAUGAUGCGUGGGUAGGCUCCAUGCUUGUUGCACAGUCUCUUGGAAGCAUGGUAAUUUAGUCCAAAAGUUCUCAAAUUUGAAAGGGCGUGGCCUCCGUGGUCUUGAGAGUCUUGCUAGUAGAAGCGGGCAGUGAUCGGAGUGGGAGGAGGAAAGGGUGUGCAGCAUGUGAUCAUCGAAAGCAAUGUCUCAGGCUUCAUUGCAGAAGAAGCGGUCUAGGCGUGAAAGCGUUGGCUGACGCCUUUCACUGCUCCACGUAUAUUUUCAAUUUUGAAGGUGUAUUUCUUUUAGGCCACAGAAAGCUAGGGUACUUCGGAAGCGACGCAUUAGUUGGAGGUUCAAUCUUCUGUUAUUCUUGUCCUGUGCUUUGCAAAUGAGGUUAAAGUCACCAAUGAUCAGCCAUUUUGUGUUGGUGUCGAGUUUCAUGUUUCACAUAUGUUGUAGAAAGGCCAUUUUCAGUUCUGUCCUCGUUGGUCUGUAUACUGUUGUUCAUUUGAACUUGGAGCUGCAUUGUUUGGCCAAUACUGUUGUAGUAAUUGAAAAACGCACAAUCUGAAUACCUUUUAGGUCAAUAAAAUUAGCAUCCCAAAGAAUAAGGAUUCCCCCCUUGGUGCCUUGCUUGUAAGUGAAGUUGGUCAGGUGGUAGCCGCCUAGGAAGGAAGUGAGGGCCACGUCAAUUUGAUUCAGCUUAGUUUCUUGUAGGCAAGCUAUAUGGCAUGGCAUCGCUUUGAGCAUUUCAUGAACGACCAGGCAUCUCGCAAGAGCGUUAAGACCUCGCACGUUCCAGCUGAUAGUGUCGAACCUGCCUAUAUGCAUUUAUAAAGGUGUAGAGCGCUGCAGGGAAUCAUGUAGCCUUCCUAGUAGGCAGAGCUGGAGGUGGCUGGAAGUGCCAUGUAAACUAGUAGGUGAGGUGUGCCGACGGCAAUGCGUGUGCUGGGAUAUCUAGAAACGGCGCUUGUGGUUAAUGUUCGAUGCGCAGAUAGGUGCAUUGCCCAAAGGUCGAAGCCAGCAAGGCGUAGUCGAUGUCGCGUACAGUAAACCCGAAGGUCAAAGCCAGCAGGGCUGGUCCAGCUCCUAGCUCGAAGGUCACAGCCAGCAGGGCGUGGAGCACUAAAUGAAAAGCAGUAUGAGGAAAGUCUGGGAUACAUGGAGAGAGUUCUUCUCCAACGGUGCUGAGGUACCGAAGCUAUCAUUCUUGAGAGAGGGCACGCUCAUUCUUGAUGUCAUCAAUGGCCUAUCCAGCAUGCUGUAGGAUUGCGUCGUUCACCCUUUUCACUCCUUCAUCAUCCAGAUCAAAUAAGGACAACAUUGCUGCAAUAAUGUGGUCCGGUAGCGGCCACUGUGUGAGUUGAUGUAGUCCUGCAAUAUCUCCUCAAUUGGCUAGAGCUCAUUGUCUGAGACACCCAGUUUGUGCCACAAGUUGCGCUGGGCGCGCUCCAGAACUCGCACAACUAGCCUCUUUGCCAGUCGCACGCUUCUACAAACUGAAGACAUGUCGCAGGUGCUGAAGAAUCACCGGAGCCAGCGCGGUGAAGAGGUUGUCAACGGUUGAAUCCACCUGGACGUGCGCAGGAGCUGCCGCAGCCAGGCCCUGCCUGGAAGACCGCUCCAUGGCUGUCUGUUCGCCAGCAGCCCGCGUGCGGGCCUGAGGCGGCUAACAGCACCGCCGCCUGGAUGGGCCCAGGAGCUGCCAUGUCCGGUCCCUGCCUAGGGGACCGUUCCAUGCCCGUCUAUCCAUCAGCACCCUGCGUUCGGGCUUGAGGCGGCGGGGUGGCUGAUGGCACCGUGGCCAUCUCUACAGCGACAAUGGCCGACCCUCCGAUGCAACAUCCAGACCAUCUACCGGGGCACACAGGCCAUGCAGCUGCAACUUGUCCAGCACGAGCUCAACAUCGCGCAUUGUCAACGUCCCUUGUAGCGCCGCAUGGAGCCUAGAGAAGACACACUGGAGAGGCACCAGCUGCUCCAUGGAUGCGGACUAGGCUUGGAUCCCUCUGAGCGGGGCAGGCUGUCGGCGAGCCCAAUUCGAUCCGCUAGAGAGCAGGCCUUGGAGAUGUAUGCAUCUGCCUUGUACGUUUGGAGUUCCUGUUGCAUCAUUGAGUGCAUAGGUGAGGCCAGUGUGAGCGUAGCAAGUUCGCGCACCUGGGAUUCAACCAUAGCCUGAAUGCUGCUCUUGAUCGCGAUGGCUUAGGCAUUGAAGAGUGCCUGUACUUGUGCGUUCACCAUGCUUUUGAGGUCGUCCAGGUGCGGCAAGGUAGGAGCAAAGGCAGCCAAGCUUGCCUCAAAGGGCACCAGUUUCAGCGCUGCGGUGGCAGGGAGGGGGCAAGAAGCAGUCCUUCGCUGACCCCCUCUGAACUCGGCCUCCCAACACUUGGGUGAUCGUGUACGGUCGCGGCGCAAGACGACAUGGUCGAGGCUAUUGCGAGCCUUGCUAUUUCUUUCGUUGCCUCAUCCCAAAUGAUCAUAUCUGCCAUCAUCAUCGUCAUCCUCGCUCCGACAAGGCCAGCGGAAAAUCUUGUCAUAGCAUGAGCCAUUGCCUCCCUGCCUGAGAUCCCGGUUGCGCCGGUUGUUGUCUUCGCGCUUGCCGUUCCUGUCUUGCUCACCGCGGCCAUGCUCUCAGUUGCCACGGCCUUGGUCACGAUCUUCUUCCUCAUGUUGCUCCGGUUCCCAUGGCGGCCGGGGUAGCCGUGCGGAGAACUUAGAGCGCGCAUCGGAGGGAACGCUGUCUGGUACCAUGUAGCGCAAGGCAUAACCCCAGCGCACAUGAUUGAAGCUAGAGGGGUUGUUGAUGGCGCCGUCUAGAUCGUAUGCUGCCGCCGUGUAGUCCUCCAAAAUGCCCAGGUGCAAGAAGACUUCAUAGCGAACUCUCUGUUGCCAGCAGUCCGGCUACGAUGUGGUGAUGGUGACCGAAGAUGACUUGUUUGCAGGCCGAUGAGUGAAGAUCAGCCACACUUGUUUGGGGACUUUGCUUGGAUUCGCCAUCCAAGCCCAGAGGUCGAUGUGCCUGGUGUUAGUUGGCUGGACGAGAUCCGUGUUGAUGUACUGGAGGGCACAUCGCGUGCCAAUGAUCCUCUCGACGAUGUCCGGCAUGCAUGCGUGAAUCGGGAUGCCGUCGAGGUAGAGUCGCACCCAGAAGAAGAUGCGCAGGCCGAGCGUGUGGCUUAGGCUGCGCCAUGGCCACAGGCAAAUGUCGAUGCUGCGGCCCUGGAAACGCUCGCGGCUGCGAGCUGCUGCACACUGCUCGGUGUUGAUGAAGUGGAUGAGGAAGGGUUCCGACUGGUGGAAGGUGACAACAACCUCGCCCGUUGAAGCCAUAGCCUAUCCCUUAGGAGCUCCUCAAUCUCACAGGCGCCAACCCCGCACGGGAGGUGCAAGGCCCAGGGGACCAGAGCUGUCCCCUCCCAUUCCCUAGCAUCCUGCUCCAGGUCAAACGAAUUAGGCACAAUGAUGGUCUCCUCAUCGGGGCGGGUGUUCGGGUCUCCAAUCGCCAUCUGGUGAGCUACCCUCGACGGCGGCAGUGGGGGUGGCGGCGGUGGCGGUGGCGGUGGAUGUAGCGUCCGCGGUGGCAGAUAUGGAAGUGGAGCUUGUGGCGAUGAAGAUGGCCGGGGUGGCAGUGGAGCUUGUGGCGAAAGAGGUGAUGGUGGAGGAUGUUGUUGAGCGGUGACUGAGGACGAAUGGCGGUGAGCUGGCUGGCGGCGGAGAUCAGGUGAUGUAGGUGGUGGUGGAGGAUGUGGGCGUGCAGAGGCCGAGGGUGAAAGGCGUUGAGGCGGCCGACGGCACGGACCAGUGGCGGGUGGGCACGGCUUCCUACAGAACUUUUCCCGAUGGCUCGAGCAGUGGCAACAAAAGCAGCGCAUCGAGUCUCUGCAGGAUGCCGCCCGGUGGUCUCUAGCCAAGCAGUUGAAGCACCUUCCAGCAGUGGCGAGGUGGAAGGCCUGGAGCGUUGUGGUUGUUGUGCGCCUUGACUCCUCACUGCGCAGGCGGUCAUGUCCAGCGUCACGUCGGGUCGGACUGGGCGGCGUGCGCCAUGUUGAAUGUCGCCUGCGCCUCCUGGCUGGCAUCCACUCCUGGGUCGCUGAGGCGGGACGGCGAGGAGAAGGGGCCUGGUGGAGUGUACUGCCAUGGUGUGGCCUUGACGUCUCCUCCCUACAGUAAAUGCGCCACGGCCGUGCUGCGCCACCGGAGUGAAUGCUUCGGUCUUGGGGGUGGGGGAGCGCAGUGUCGCAUCGGGGGAGCUGGCGACUUGGCCGUUGGGGAGCAUUGACUGCCCCCAGAUGGUCUACCUCCUCGUAGCUUCAUCCUUGAUCCCCGCUAUCAGGAAGUGGAUCCGCCGCCUACGCCACCGAAUCCGCCGCCUGCGCCAUCGGAUCCGUCACCUGCGCCAUCGGAUCCGUCACCUGCGCCAUCGGAUCCGUCGCUUGCGCCUGUAGAUCCGACGAUUCUGGCACGAAAUCGAGGCUGUCGAGGUGGGGCCGUCCAUGGCGCGGCGGUGGGGGAGGCGAUUGAUGGAAGAACUUAUCCCAGGAGGAUAGGGGGUGGGGGUGGCUAGGUGUGUUGGGAGGUGGGGCUAGCGCUGGGGUAAAGGAUAGUCGCGGCAGUGGAUGCGCGGCGGCGCGGCAUUCUGGAGGCGUGGCAGAGGCAGGGGACGGGUCGGGGGUCGGGGUUGGGAGGCACGGGGCUACCGUCCUGCUUGAUUGAAUCCUCCAACAAUUUUCCACUACACACUUAUCGCAACAUAAAAAACAAAAGCAUUGCAACAUCUCACGAGCUACAACCCAAAAAGUACCAGUUGGGAUGGUUAUGGUGGUUGCACUCAGAAUCAGAAAGAAAGGGGGCAAACAAACAAAACUGAUGUACUCAUCACGGCUCGCGGUGGUGGAAAUGAAGGCCGUCGAGCUCGAUCGAGACGGCGAUGACAUGAUAGUGCUCUAGAUUGGCAGUCCCAGUCGAUUGUCCCUCUGUGAAGCACUACCGUAAAAUUUAUGUAUCACAUCUGGCAUGUACCGCUGAAGAUGCCCUUGAUCUUGUCUUACCUUGUCUGUAGAUAGAAUUUUUUGCCAUGCGACGUCUUUUAAUCGCACUAUUUUAUCUUUACACAAAGUAUACCGCAUCUCUGUCUUUUAUGCGCACAUACACACACAAGUAAAAUGUUUCACAACCUAGAGACAGCACCGAACUGCAGAUAGUUCGUCAACUGCCUUCUCAGUAUCUUCCCAGCUGGCGAUUUGGGUAUGGAGUCGACAAACAGCACCUUGCGGAUCUUCUUAUACGAAGCUACCCGCUUCGCGACAUGGUCCAUGACUUGAGCCUCGGUGACCUUGCUUCCAGGUUGCCUCACAACAAGCGCUAUCGGUAUCUGCCCUGCCUCCUCAUCAGGAUACCUGCAAAUACAGUUAAACUUUUAUUCCUGCCAAGAACCCUGCGGAUAAUAAUUGAGCAGUCAGGCCACUUGUGUGCCUGCUAGUCGGCAGUCUUUGUUCUAGUAUGUCAAGUUACAUUCAAAAUCUAGAAUACAUGGCGCUGAAAAAAGAUUAAGACGAGCUUGAUUUAGAGUAUGUUGAAUUUUAUGGUUCACACAUAAGAGAAGAGGCAGCUGUGAAAGAAACGUGGUCCUAUUAGGUUACAGUUUAUGAUUUUGGUGAUUGACUGAGUGAUAACAUAGUCAUUAGGACUAAUAUUUUAUCAAGCAUCUAUGUUGUAGGUCUUAUAGGUUCCAAGAAUGUAAACCAAACCAGCAGAUCCAAAUCAAGAUAUUCAAAGAAUCCAAGCCACAAUAUCUAUAAUUAUUCUAUGGUAUCGACGUCACGGUAUUCGAAUCAUGAUAUUCAAGUGACGGUAUCCAAACCAUAGUGAAAAUUCAAAGAUGUAGCAUUCAACUCAGAAAAACAUGUAGCACCGAUGGUCCGACAGGGCAUCAGAGCAAGCAUCAAAGCUUUUGGUACAACGCGCAGAAGGACACCGGAUGAGCUGAUAGGCAUCAGACAAAUGCAACAGAUCAUCCGAUGAAUACAAUAGGCGGCUGCAUAUGAACAAGAUCACCGGAUGCUUCGAUGGUGCUUAUUUUGCGAGUGUCAGAUGAAUGGGUGAAGAUAAGGCGUGUGAGAAGCACCGAAUGAUCCGCCGCCCGUGUUGAAGUGACCAUCGGACUAAGCAUAUUUACUUUGAAAUCAUCCAGAGAGUUCAGGGCCAAAUUUCUUCAGCGCCGGAUGAUCUGAUGGUGCCAUCGAAUAAAGCGUCGGAUGAUCCGACGCCCUGUUGGAUGAAGUGUCGGAGUAUUUUUGUGCAGGGAGUCCAACAUAUGCGUCAACGGGGGCACCAGAUAAUCCGAUGACUACCCCAAGUGAUCAUAGGAUCAUCUGAUGCUCACAUUUUCAGCUAGUCGUUAGAGCAAUGGCUCUUUAAGACUACUCUUGAGCUAUUUAUACCCUCUACUCGCCUAUUUGGAGUUGCUGGAGUGUGCACAAGUCCAUUAAAGAUCAAGACUCAUUAAGAACACAUCCAUACCACCAAAAGUGCAAAAGUAAUAAUCCAAGGUUUGGCACAAGCUUAGAAGAGUGAUUAGUGCUAGGAUAGGCCUGGAACGAGUGAGUGCAAGAUGUUGCUACCUUGUGAUUGGUUCUAGGAGUGAAUCUAGCUUAUAAGCUUGGUGCGCCGGCAAGUCUUCGGCCCUCCAGCUUGGUAUGGAGCAGCAUCGACAACCGUGUACGUGGGAUGAGGAGACCCCUUCCUUUCUGGAUAAGCUCCAUAGUGGUGACGGCAUCAAAGUGAUAGGAAGAGAGGGAGUGGUGAGCCUUGCCUUUGUGGCAAGCUUCUCAUCCGGCUUGGUGAGAGCUUUUGUGGCGAGUCCAAGACCUUAACCACGAGAGACUUAGUGAGCGGGGGCAUAUCCUUGGUGGAGCUCCAAUGUGAAUAGGGGUGUCAUUUGCCUACCGAUACCAUGGGAUAAAUCGUCGUGCCAAGCUAAUCCACUUCUUUACAUUUCCGUAUUUCAUACUUGGCUUACUCUUUUUUUAAAUAAUAUGUAUCUUGUUAGGAUUAUGUUACAAAAACUCUUUGUGGGUGGAAAGUUUCACUAGAUCAACCAUAGAUUCACAUCUAGAUAGUAUGAUCUUAGUUUAUACCAUAGAUUCACAUCUAGAUAGUAUGAUCUUAGUUUAUAUUUUUUAUACUUUGUAGCGGAAGCCAUAUAUUAAGGUUUUAAGUUUUGCCUAAUUCAUCCUUCCGCUACGAGCAUCGAUUCCUUACAAGUUAGUAAUAGGACAUGACAUGAUAAUUUUAUGGUUCACGUAUCAGAGAAUUUCAACAACAUGAGAGAUUGCCAAUCAGGUGUUCUAGUUGACUCACGGCAUGACUGCAGCUUCGACAACUUCUGGCAAUGUUUGCAGGACAAGCUCCAGCUCGGCAGGUGGAACCUGCAGUGUUUUUAGUACAACGUGGAAAAUGAUCAGUCUUGGAAUAACUGCAAGGACUCGGCAUUUGUUCUGAAAUCUAAAACUAAGAGUAACCAAAUUAAACCAUAAACCUGGUAGCCCUUGUACUUGAUGAGCUCUUUCAGCCUAUCCACCACGAACAGGAACCCGUCCUGAUCGAUGUAGCAAAGGUCCCCAGUCUUAAGCCAGCCUUCAGAAUCGAAAGUGCUAGCGUUCGCUUCGUCGUCGCCAACAUAUCCUGCAAGCGUUGAGCUGAAAAACAUGGGCAAAUCUGGAUGCAGGUGCAGAAUCCCAAGCUGAAAUGGAAGUUAAUAUGAACAGCAGCAGCUAUCCGUCUUUGGUUACCAGUCAUGACGGCAGGCCCUCUCACAAAUAGCUCCCCUCUCUGCCCGACAGACAGGGGCUUGCCAGUUAUGUGAUCCACAAUCUUCACCUCUACGUUCUCCGAAACACGGCCGACGGAGCCGAUGCGGGUACACUCUUCCCGGUCGAUCAUCCGUGAGAUACCACCGGCCUCAGUUGAACCGUAGCCCUGAAUGGGUGCAUCAACACUUUCAGUUUGAAAGGAAACUGCAUGAUGGCAUUUCUCUUUUUUUUUUGAGGCGGCAUGAUAGAAUUUCUGAUACAAGGAAAUCAGCAUCAUUCUUUGCUAAUUCCUUUGAGCAGGAAGAAUUGCAGAAAGCAAGAUCCGCUGGAGUUUGGAAUUCUUCUUAAUAUAUACUCCCUCCGUCCCAAAUUAUUAUCCAUUUUGGUUUUUCUAGAUACACACCUUUUGACAUGCACCUAUAUAUAUACUUAUGUCUGAUACAUAGCAAAAGUGAUGUAUCUAGAAAAGCUAAAAUGAAUAGUGAUUUGGGACGGAGGGAGUACUAAAUAAGCUGUGCGCCUUGAGAAAAUUAGAUCAAGACCAGUGAAUCGUAGAGUUCAGAAUUGACUCAAACAAAUACCCAGAAUGAAGCACAAACAGACAAAGGGAAAUCGCAUGGUUUUCAUUUAGAAGAUGACAUGUACACACAACACAUCACUAUAUGCAGGCACACUGAACUCAUACACUAGAGUGUGCUUCUAUAACACGCGUACUAGUUAUGAAAUAAGCUGUGCGCCUUGAGAAAAUUAGAUCAAGACCAGUGAAUCGUAGAGUUCAGAAUUGACUCAAACAAAUACCUAGAAUGAAGCACAGAUAGACAAAGGGAAAUCGCAUAGUUUUCAGAAUGAAGUAUAGAUAGACAAAGGGAAAUCGCAUGAUUUUCGGUUAGAAGAUGACGUGUACACACAACACACCACUAUAUGCAGGCACUGAACUCAUACACUAGUGUGUGCUUCUAGCACACGCAUAUGGAUACUACCGUUGAAAGUAAGAUUUUUGUUUUGUUUGAAUCAAACAGUUAAUCCCAUGGUCAAACAGUUAAUCUACUUUGCCAACCAAUGUGUAGGAACAAUUAACAACAAAUUAAUAUAUGAAAUGUAAACAAACACACUAGUGAAACCCAAUCGCUGUCAAAUUUUUCCCCGUUUUAUAUCAAUUAAAUUGUUCUCCGUGUUGAUCUAGCAACACAUAACUUGUCUUGCGAAAUUGGUGAAAAAAAAAAGAUCCACAUAGGUUUGUCAAAUGAGGUACAGUACGUCAGUAUAUUAAGAUCCACCGAAGUCCUCGCUAACUUUUCUAGAGUCAGCACACAUUGGUCGUCUGUGAGAGAUGUAUGCUUGUGACAUUGGACCCCAGCAAAAAAUGCAAUUCGAUACCGCGACCUACCGGAUCAAAUAAUUGUCCGUUUCUCUAUCUCUUCCAAAAAGUUAUUGCUAGAGAAAGAGAGAGACAGAGGAACUAACCAGGUCGAGAGAGAGAAAACUAAAUGAAUCUGUUUUGUUCGUCCUUUAUGCUUUUGCGUAAGAGGUCUGUACUUUUUUAAUGUUCAAAGAGCAUGUGGGUUCAGAGUUGAAACUGUUCCUCUUCUUGAACUUUGAAGUUGUGGACAAAAAAGACUUGGAAGAAGGCAGCCCAAGUUCUACACGUAUUCCGAGCCACAUGCGAUGUAUGAUGUUGCAAUGAAGGGUAGCAGGAUCAAAAAAACCUUACUUUUUUUUUUCCAAACCUCAAGCCCUACCUAAAACUGCUAAUGGUGUGAGAAUCGCUCAAAACCAAACCAAACCAUAUAUAAAAGAAAAUUAAUUUCAAACCACACCUACCAACCUAUUACUCUUAUAUAUCUAAACCAAACCAACUAAGUGGUGUAAAAGACCACAAACCAAACAAAACUACAUCUCUCAAACCGGUUCUAAACCACUUAAAACAUUUUUUUCCAUAUAUAUCAUAUCAUGUAGAUCUAGCAGUACCAAUUUGCACAAAGUAUCUGAAGAGACAUCCCUAAGCAAUUUCAAUAAAAUUCGUUAAGUUUUUAAGGUGUGACACGAGAUUUUAGUUUAAGAUCCACCUUUCGAUGUGGGGUCCACGUGUAGAUCUAGGUAUGCUAAUAUGCACGAAGUAGCUGACUGUCAUUCUAAGACAUCUCCAAUAAAUUUUAGUUAAAUUCGCUAAAAUUUUAAAUGUGUAAACGCGAGGUUUUAGUUUUAGGGUCCGUUUUUGACGUGAGGCUCACGUGUAGAUCUAGGCACGCUAACCUGCAAGAAGUAGCUUACUGUCGUUCUGAAACAUCUCCAACAAACUUUAGUUAAAUUCGUUAAAAUUUUAAGAUGGAUUUUAAUUUUAAAGUACGACUCUGCGACAUCUCCUAUUUAGUUUGCGAUGCGGUGCUGGUACGACGAGCUACACAUCCCCGUCUUCUCUGGCCUAGACACUAACGGCGCCAUGCUUGGUUUGCGGAACUAGGCCGUCCGGGUCAGGGCCGCCCUGAACAAGAGGGCGCUAGCUAUCACAGUUCUGUUUGCGCUAUGCUCGUCAACCAAAACUUUCUCCACCGACUUGCAGUUGCAGUGGCAGCGCUACGCGACGCGCCCGUGACCUGGCCAGGCCGCUGCCGGAGCCGCCCGGCCUCCGGCCCGGACGGGGACGCACCUCGGUGUAGUAAACAACUUUACCAUUGACUUGGCACCGAACCAAUCUAAUUUGUACGGAAUAUAACAUAAUAUAUCAUCAAUCGACAAUAUGAGAAGAUAAUGCUAGUGGGCCCCUAAAGGAUUUCAAAAAGGAUCUGUGUCGACUUGCGGUCGACUGUUCAGCCUCCUGCCUAAUUAAAUUGAUUUUCUUAGCCAUCGAUCAUCAUCCGAAUCCUGAUCUUGGUGAGCUUGUAGUAAGAAUGACACUAGGAUUAUUUCAACGAAUCAAAAGUCAAGUGGUGAAUCAUGACGAGCUAAACAAAUUCCGCCCUGUUUAUGAGGUGUUUAUGAGGGUGUUUCGAUCCUGGAGCUAAAGUUUAGUUCGUGUCACAUCGAAUAUUCGGAAGCUAAUUAGGAGGACUAAAUAUAAGUUAUUUAUAAAACUAAUUACACAUAUGGAGGCUAAACGGCGAGAUGAAUCUAUUAAGCCUAAUUAAUCCAUCAUUAGCAAAUGGUUACUGUAGCAGCACAUUGUCAAAUCAUGGACUAAUUAGGCUUAAUAGAUUCGUCUCACCGUUUAGCCUCCAUCUGUGCAAUGGAUUUUGUAAUUAGUCUAUAUUUAAUACUCCUAAUUAGUAUCUAAAUAUUCGAUGUGACAGGAGCUAAAGUUUAGCUCUGGGAACCAAACGGCCCCUAUCGCACUAACUAAAGUUUAUUUAGCUGUGUACUCCCACUGUCCUGUAAAGAGUGUCUUUUUUGUUCUAAGUCAAACUGUCUCAAAUUUGACUAAGUUUACAAUAAAGAGUAUAAACAUUGAUAGACUAAAUAGAUACGCUAUGAAAAUAUAUUUCAUAAUGAAACUUGUUAGGCAUCAAAAGUAUUGAUAUAUUUUUAUAUAAAUUUAGUGAAACAGAAGAUGAUUUGACUUAGGAUAAGACUAAAUGGACACUCUUCAUGGGAUGGAGGUAGUAGUCGGGAUGGUAGGUAAGACACUAGCUAAACUUUAAUUAGGAAUCCAAACAAAUUCUCAAUUAAAAUUUGGCUAGCUAAAAUUUUAAUUGAUGGGAUCCAAACGGAAUGUUAACGGAGUACCAAGAAAAUUAUCUUGAAUGCUACGACUAUCUCUGGUUAAUUCUUUGUGACCUCGAAGCUACACGUGAAAACAACUGUCUUGUAAACACAAUUAAUGCUGCUUACCAGCCAAAAAAAAAUCAGCUUACGGGCACGAGUAGGUAGCCCAUGCGGACCGUGAUAGCUACAUACUUGGCUCGCCAUGACCAUAGGAAGUUCAUUAGUUUUCUCCCGCAAGAAAAAAAAACAAAAACAGAAAUUACAGGCACAAUGAUUUAACGGGGAAUGGCUUUAUUGAAUGUUUCCUAACUUUUCUAUACACAUAACUUUUGUUACAUAUAUAUAUAUAUAUAUAUAUAUCAAGAAAAAUAAAAAAAUAGUAAUUUAGAAUGGAGGGAGUAUUCCACAUCUUAGAUCUCGUUUGAAAAAAGAGAUUUUAGGAUCCAGAUCCCUAUAAUUUAUUAUAAACUUGUACUAGAUCCUAAAAUUUCUUACAACAAUAUCCUUAGAAACGGGCCCUUGGAAUUUUACAGUAUACAGUUUUUUCUUACAAAAACAUGUCAUUAAUAUUUCAAGCUUAUUGUUCACAAAAGAUAAUUUGGUUGGUUUCUUAGCUCUUAGUAAGGUGGAACUCACCACCAUUGUACUUCUACAACUCAGCACUAAAGCAAAAGUGAUGUCUAAAGCAUUUAUUGGCUCAUUUGGCAUGGAUUCGGAUUCUCAAAGAAAUGAUUUUGGAGACAGAUUUAUUCUGCAGAAAACAGUUUUUUCUAGUUUCAGGCUUCCUGAAGAACUAGAAACAUUUCGAGUUCUAUCUAUGAAUCAUUAAUCUUUUGGUAAGGAUUCUUAUGCUUCUCUCCGUUAUUUGUUGUCCAUUGGUAUGAUUGUCAUGUUUCUGAAGAGAAUCAGAUUGCAGAAAUCCUACAAAACGGCACUAACUAUAAGAUAGUGGACAUUAUUUUAGGCCAUAAUUUAAAACAAUAAUGCAGUGAUGUCAUAGUCAUACUAGUCGAUUUCAAUAAUUCUAUUAUUUUCAUAAGCUGAAUAGUCUACUAGAGCUUUGCGUUCAAAGUAAGGUAAUAUUAUUUAAUUGAUUUUGAGUUUUCUCCCUGCCCCACCCCAGAAUUAUGACUUUGAUUUGUUGUGGUAGUAACACACUGACACCCUACAAGAAUUGAUUGAAAACCACCAGCAAUGCAUCACCUGAUACAGUCAUCAUGGUAUUUAAAACGAGGAACGUGGUACAUGCUUCCACUAAAUAAUUAUUGUCCUAAGAACAUAUCCUUUUCCCUCAAGACAGGUUCAUAGCUACAUCGAUCUAUACGUGAUGUGUUUGGAUACUAGGUGCUAAACUUUAGCUUCAGAUGUUCGAAUGCUAAUUAGGAGAACUAAACAUGAGCUAAUUAUAAACUAAUUGCAAACCCCUGUGCUAAUUCGCGAGACGAAUCUAUUAAACCUAAUUAAUCCAUCAUUAACAAAUGGUUACUGUAGCACCACAUUGUCGAAUCAUGGACUAAUUAGGUUUAAUAGAUUCGUCUCGCGAAUUAGAAUUCAUCUGUGCAAUUAAUUUUGUAAUUAGCAUAUAUUUAAUACUCUUAAUUAGCAUCAAACAUUCGAUGUGAUAAGUGCUAAAUUUUAGCAGGUAUCCAAACGGAGCAUUAGUAUACACAACUAUUUCUAGUUUGAGCUUGCCACUUGAGAUCUUUCGAGUGAACCUGUGGCAGCUGGAUAAUAAACUGGAAAUGUCUGCUAAGCUGGUAAAGCAUUUUCGGUUGGUUAGCUGGAGGUCCAAUAUAUGCAAAACAAAAAACUGGCAAAUUAUCAAUUUCUGAUAUGCCAUUCUACCGCAACGAGGCUCACCCUAAUUUGAGGAGUUUUUUUCACCAAACGACAUUUUACGGGAAAACUAAUUGAAGGUUUUGAAGGCAACAAAAGACAAUGAGCAUGAAAUGAAAGCGACAUGGCCAAAACUUACCAUGCAGAGAUUCACGUUGGGGAAUCGUCGCCGGAACAUCUCCGCUGCCGUCGUCGGCAGCGGCGCGCCACCGCAUACCACCCGCUCCAGAGCCUCCAGGCCGCACCGCUCCUUCGCCAUCCCCAUCACCACCGGCGGCGACGCCGUCAUCUCGCUGACCGCCCACCUCUCCGCUGCCUCCACCACCCCUUUCACGCCGCGCCGCGCCACCGUGUCGGUGACCAGCACCGUCGUCUGCCCCAGCGCGACGCCCUUCAGUGCGUAGUAGAACCCGAGGGAGUGGAACAUUGGCGCACCCAGGAGCAUCCUGUCGCGACCAUGCCUCGGCUUAUGGGCCAGAGCGUGAGCCCCCGCCAACAUCGCGGUGAAGUUCCGGUGCGACAGCGCCGCGGCCUUCACUCGCCCGGUUGUGCCUGACGAGUACUGGAUCGUGGCCGUCUCCGACUGGUGCACCACCGCCGUUUCCGGCGCCACUACCUCCCCGCGGUCGUCGUUGUGCAGGAAGGAGCGGAAGUGAUCGGAAUCGAGCAGGACGGUGGGAAGGCCAGCCGGCAGCUUGGCGGCGGUCGAUGACACGGCGAAGGCGACGGACGCAUCCGACAGGGCGACGAGGCGGGCGACCUCGGAGGCGGUGAGCGCCGGGUUGGCCGGCGACACGACGGCGCCGAACGAAAGCAGGGCGAAGUAGAGCACCGGGACGUCCAGCCGCGCCGGCGCGAGCACGAACGCGACGUCGCCUCGGCGGAGCCCGACCCGUGAGCGCAGGCCCCCCGCUAGCGCGCGCACCUGGGACCGGAAUGCCGGAAACGACACGGUCUCGCCGGUGGCGGCGUCGAGAAGGGCUGGGUGCGCCGGGAGCGGUGACGGCAGGAGCGAGAACGCGAACACCGUGAACGAGAGCGGGCCAUCCGUCGGCGGCAGCGGCACCGGCGGACGCAGGCUGCGGAACGUCUUGGUCUCCUUGCAGUAGCCGCUGCGGCCGUCCACGGCGCCGGGAGCGGUGGCGCAGCCGUCGGCGCUGGCCGCGGGCGGGGGAGUGGCCAUUUCCUCGCGGCACUCUGUUGUUGCUGAGCGGACGACUUGGCACGGGGCGGACGCUGUGGUUGGUGAUUUUGUCGGGUGGCCGUGGCUUCUUCGAUUUUUUAUAGACACGGUGUGGCUACUGGCUAUGGUCAGAGGCGCAGUUUCUGAGGUGUAUAAUCUGGUCAGUGGCGCAGGCUACGGUACAAAGUGUACAAGCCACCACGUAGCGUGCUAGGUGGCGUGUCAACAAUUAAUGCUGCUUACCAGCCAACAAAAAAAAAUAGCUUACGGGCACCGGUAGGUAGCCCAUGCGGACCGUGAUAGCUACAAGUAAUCUAUAUGUAACAAAAAUAUAUAACUUUUGUUACGUAUCUAUACAGGUGCAUAUAAAAAAUAUAUACCAAGAAAAAUCAAAAUAAAUAGUAAUUUGGGAUGGAGGGAUUAUUCCACAUCUUAGAUCUCGUUUGAAAAAAAGGGAUUUUAGGAUCUAGAUCUCUAAAAUUUAUUAUAAACUUGUACUAGAUCCUAAAAUUUCUUACAACGAUCGGGUCUGUUCGCUUCAGCUUAUAAGCCGGCUGAAAAACUGAAACAACUGAUUUAUUGUGAGAGAAAAACACUGUUUGGUGGCUGAUAAGCCGGCUGAAUAAGCUGAAGCGAACAGGCCCGAUAUACUUGAAAACGGGCCCUUGGAAUUUUACAGUACACAGUUUUUGUUUCAAAAACAUGUCAUUAAUAUUUCAAGCUUAUUGUUCACAGAAGAUAAUUUGGUGGGUUUCUUAGUAAGGUGGAACUCACCAUCAUUGUACUUCUACAAUUAAGACUAAAGCAAAAGUGAUGUCUAAAGCAUUUAUAGGCUCAUUUGGCAUGGAUUCGGUUUCUCAAAGAAAUGAUUUUGGAGACAGAUUUAUUCUGCAGAAAACAGUUUUUUCUAGUUUCAAGCUUCCUGAAGAACUAGAAACAUUUCGAGUUCUAUAUCUAUGAAUCAUUAAUCUUUUGGUAAGGAUUUUUAUGCUUCUCUCCGUUAUUUGUUUUCCAUUAGUAUGAUUGUCAUGUUUCUGAAGAGAAUCAGAUUGCAGAAAUCCUCCCAAACGGCACUAAGUGGACAUUAUUUUAGGCCAUAAUUUAAAACAAUAAUGCAGUGAUGUCAUAGUCAUACUAGUCGAUUUCAAUAAUUCUAUUAUUUUCAUAAGCUGAAUAGUCUGCUAGAGCUUUGCGUUCAAAGUAAGGUAAUACUAUUUAAAUCACUGGCUGCUGCGUUAGCGAAUUAGCCCUUUUUUAGACCCUUAAUAAAAGAAAACCCCUUUAAACGGCCGCGAGCUUUGAUCAGGUGGCUCAAACCCAACGGUACAAAGUGUACAAGCCACCACGUAGAGUGCUAGGUGGCGUGUCAACAAUUAAUGAUGCUUACCAGCCAAAAAAAAAAAUCAGCUUACGGGCACGAGUAGGCAGCCCAUGCGGACCGUGAUAGCUACAUACUUGGCUCGCCAGGACCAUAGGGGAUUCUUAGUUUUCUCCCGCAAGAAAAAAAAACAAAAACAAAAAUUACAGGCACAAUGAUUUAAGGGGAAUGACUUUACUAAAAUUUCUGCCAACUUUUCUAUAUGCAUAAAUUUUAUUACGUAUCUAAAUAUAUUAUAUUUAGAUGCAUAUAAAAAAUAUAUAUCAAGAAAAUUUAAAAUAAAUAAUAAUUUAGGAUCGAGGGAGUAUUCCACAUCUUAGAUCUGGUUUGAAAAAAGGGAUUUCAGGAUCCAGAUCCCUAGAAUUUAUUAUAAACUUGCACUGGAUUCUAAAAUUUCUACAACAAUACCCUUGGAAACGGGCUCUUGGAAUUUUACAAUAUACAAUUUUUUCUUUCAAAACCAUGUGAUUAAUAUUUCAAGAUUAUUGUUCAUAAAAGAUCAUUUGGUUGGUUUCUUAGCUCUUAGUAAGGUGGAACUCACCACCAUUGUACUUCUACAACUCAGCACUAAAGCAAAAGUGAUGUUGUGGCUGAGCGGACGAUUUGGCACGGGGCGGAUCGCUAUGAUUGGUGGUUUUGUCAGGUGGUUGUGGUUUCGAGGAUGGUUGGAUCUUUAGUUCGGAAUAAAAUUCAUGUCACAAUGAAUAUGCGGAGACUAGUUAGAAGGACUAAAUAUGAGGUAAUUAUAAAACUAAUUACACAGAUGGAGGCUAAUUCGUGAGAUGAAUUAUUAAGCCUAAUUAAUCCAUCAUUAGCAAAUGUUUACUGUAACAUCACAUUAUCAAAUUAUGGACUAAUUAUGCUUAAUAGAUUCGUCUCGCAAAUUAGUCUCCAUCUGUGCAAUUAAUUUUAUAAUUAGUUUAUAUUUAAUAUUUCUAACUAGUAUCUAAUUCGAUGUGAAUUUUAGGUGUUACCGAAGAAACAAACACUUCAAUUUUAUAGACACGGUUUGGCUACUGGCUGUGGUCAGAGGCGCAGUUUCUGAGGCGUAGAAUCUGGUCAGUGGCGCAGGCUACGGUACAACUGUACAAGCCACCACGUAGAGUGCUAGUACUUGGUAGGUGGCGUGUCAACAAAAUCUUGCGCACUGUUUUAACAAAUGCGGCUGAUUGUUUUUUCAAACUAUUAAGGUUGAUUUUAAAAGCCUUAAAGACACACGUUUAUCACGUGAGUAGCAGUAACAUUGAAGCUACAGGAUCGGACUAGAGGGAGUUGAUGUCGACGAUGAGAUAACUUGGAACAUCUCGAAUGAGGCCUCCAUAGAAUGAUUAGAAAAAAUAAGUGGCCUGUUCGCUUUAGCUUAUUCAGCCGGCUUAUCAGCCACCAAACAGUGUUUUUCUCUCACAACAAGUCAGCCGUUUCAGCUUUUCAGCCGGCUUAUAAGCUGAAGCGAACAGGUCUAAGAGUUGUCUAUCCUAAGAAAUCUAACGGUGAAAAAAAAUACUUUGAAGUAACUAAAGAGAAAUAACAAGAAGACACUUGAUGAGUUGAGUGAACCAUGAGUAGUUACAAUGAAAUUUAAAUUGUUGAUCUCGGUUCAGGUUUUUUUUAAAAAAGUUUUCAUUGAAAAUCUUCUGAGAUUUGUUUGAAGUUGAGAGCAUGUGAAUCAAUUCAUUGUGGAUUGUGCUUAAAUGAUCUAUCCUCCAUAUUAGAAAAGGUUGGUUACAAUUUGGAUAUUAAUUGAAAAAUCUUUUGAGAGUAUUAUGUUUUCUUGUGUAUGAUCAAGUGCAGGAUUGAACAUUGAAGGGCAACGCUGAUUUCUAUUGAAGACAUACUCAAGAACGAGCAAUGUUUGAGCCUGGGGGAUUGUUGGCGCUCGUUAAUGAUACUUUUUUACCCUAUUUAUCUUUAAUAAUGACAUGAAUUUAAUACCUAAACUAUUGAUCAUACCUAAUAAUCGAGUUGUUUUCACAUAUACAUUGUAUUUUGGAGGAUAUUCUAUUUUCGCAGAAAAUUGGACUAUAUAAUGGAGCAUAAUUGGACAAAAACCUGAACAAGCGACGACCCAGAGAAAGACAAAGGCCAACAGGCCAAGAAAGGGCCUAGGCUGAUCGGCCUAUAGAGCCCAAGCCGAUCAGCCUAGGGUCAUCCCAAUCGUGCUCAUUCUUGGCGCGCAAUCCUCCAUGAUGCCUUAUGGGCUAAGUCUCUGAAGAUAUGGUAAGAUGAUCUCGGGAUCAAAGUGAAUCAAGCAAAGACUUGGAAGGUUAUGAAAGAAUCAUUCUUAUCCCGAGGGAAUCGACGUGCCAGGCCCACAUGCAAGUGCAAAGAAGACUGCAGAACACCUGAAAAAACUUUGAGACGAAGGGAAGCACGCGAGGGCAAAAGGAAGGCCCAGGCCGAUCGGUCUAGACCCCCCUCGACUUCUCCAGACUAUAAAUACCUCAAUUCUCCAUCGAGCACAGGGAUACAUUCAACGCAUUCGAGGUAAGCAACAGAGAAGCAGUAGGAGCCUGAGGGACACCACUUCGGAGAGCCGAGGGCCAUGCAGUUAUCUCGGGAUUAGCAUAGCUAAGCCCUUGCUGACGUGGGAAUCCUGCAAGAAAGAUCCACGUCGGAGUUUUGGAGCUAGGUGCAAUAUUCCAAAAAUUUGUAAUAUUUGUAUGAGUGAAAUUUCAAAAAUUUAAAACUUUUUGUUUGAAUUGUUUGCUCGUUUGAAAAGGUAGUUAAUUUCUCUCAUCCCUAAAUUCCAUUUAAAAAUUUGUGUGGAUUGAUUUGGAUCUUCAUGGAUUUUAUUUGCAUGUUAUGUUUGAGUGUGAGUUUGAAUUUUGAAAUUAGUUCAAAAUUCAAACUAAAUCUAAAUCUAUAUAAAAACCUAAACUAACCUAACCCCCUAACCAGACCGGCCCGCUAACCUAACCACCCGCCGGCCCGCUAACCCAAGCUCGCUCGCGCGCACCUUUACUCUUGCAUGGCCCAACUAGCCCGCUCGCUCGCGCCUUGCUCCAGCCCAACCAGCUGCCAGGCUGCUGCCGGCCCGGCUCGCUCGCGCCUGCCAGCCCCGCAGCUGGCCCAACUUGUUCGCCCAGCGCACCCGCUCGCCCGCUCCCUCUCUUCCGCUGACCAGCCAGCCCCACCUGUCAGCCUGCCCGGUUCCUGUUCUUCUUCUUCCUCACGUCGUACAGCACGCGCUUGGCGCGUGCUCGCUUAGGGGCUGAUGGGGAAACGCGUUGGUGUGCACUCCCGGGUGGGGGCACCCGUGUCCCCAUUCCAAGAGGUUCCGCCGGUGGGGAAAGACCUCCAUGUCUGAGAAGUCCCCACAUAAGUAGAGACUAAAUGUGAUACAAUUAUCAGUCCCAGGAGGCUGAUAGCACAUUUAUUCGAUAGAUAAUUCAGUUACCGUACUACUCCCGAGGGAGUGGGCGUGAGAGCCACGCAACGAUAAGAAGUAAAUAAACAACAGCGGCUAACCAAGCGACUACCAAAAGACAGCACUCAGGACUACACGGCAGCAGCAUCUUGGAAAGGCCAACACCACAGGCAGCGUUGGGUGCGGACACAACCUCUACUCAAAGUCCUCGGCGACGAAAUCCGGGUCUUCCUCUGUAGCAACGAAGCAAGGGUGAGUACGAACGUACUCAACAAGUCCAACCCCAUCCACGGAGGGGGAUACAAGCAAGUAUAUGCACAGGAUAUAUCAAGGAUAGGCUAGGUUUCAUUUGCGGUAAAGCUAGAUUUCCAACACAUGCAUGGGUUUGUUUUCAAAUGAGUUUUCGUAAAGCUUUUCUUUAGUAACCGAAACAUUGAGUGGGGUUGAUCCUAUACAAAGGAUCCAAGUUUUACUGCUAUCGGACUCCCCGUCCGCCAUAGCUCACGGCACAACUGCCGGACACUUCCAAAAUCCAACACACACACACACACACACUCACGAGACCAUCCAUGCCCAAUUGCUAGUUAUGUGACCAAGCCGUAACUCGUCCAAUGCCGUGGACACGGCUACCCAGAUAGGUUUUAACUCUAUAGAGGUUGUACACUUUUCCCACAAGUAGGGUACUGCAGCACGAUCACCUUAGUGCCGGUGCGGAUCCUAACAAAGCCAUUACCCACCUUAGCUAAGACUGGCUAGUCCCCACGGAAGCACCCAAGGGGUUCACGUCUCAUCCACGAGACCGUAACCAGGACCUAAGUCACCAAGAUCUUACUCCUUUUCCAUGGGCUCCCGUUGCUCGCUAGCACCCCUGAAGACUAACAGUUCAGCUAGUGGGAUUUAUGCUAAGCCGUUGCCCACACAAUGAUCGAGUGGUUGCACAAUGGUUGAAUUAGGCAAGAUGACACAUCAACUCGGUCCUUAACCAUGACAAGAUGGAUAUCUCCCGACAUUGCUCAACCACUAAGGUACGAGCAUGACAUCCUGGCAUUUCACACAAGAAACACCCAUCCAUCUCAUCUACACACCUCUUUUCCCUUGAACCCGAAAAAAAUCACUUUCCCAAUUGAACACACACACAUUUAUUUCUCCAUAAAAACCAUUGUAAUAAUGAUUGAAGUUAAGUAACAAGCUCCUAAGCGCUCUAGCAGUGGUUAUCAUCUAAACAGAGCUAGUCAUAUUUAGAGAUAAACAUAGGACAACAAGGAAUGUUCAUAACAAUCAAGGGGUGGCUAUCCAACCAUGUCUUGCAAUAAAACAGUAUGCAAUUUAUAAAACAGGCCAAUAGGUUGUGUUUGAAAAACUAGGUAUUAAGUAUGCAUCAAAGGGUGAGGUUGGACUUGCCGUCUUCAAAGCCUUCCGGGAGUUCCGGCUCGUGCUGUUGGUCCUCGGGCUCGGGCUCGCAAUCAAACUCCUCCUUGGGCUCCUCCUCGGGUAAUCCGCGAUCUACGGCACACACAAACGGGCACACCAAUAAAUAAAAGAAAUCGGUUUUUACCCGUUGAGCUCCGAACAGAAAACGCGAACGGAAAUUAGGUAGAAAGAUUAUUUUUGGGAAAUUUGGAUAUGGAUCGGCGGAAGUAUACUGGAGGAUGACGUGGUAAAAUUUGGGAUUAAUUGGAGGAAGUUUGGCGCAUGAAAUGACGAGUUAAACAUGGGUUAGGGGCUUAAAAAGGAGGUUUAGGACUGAUUUGCGAUAAACCAGGGACCUAUUUGUAAAUAUUUCUGGAGGUGGAGGGUCUUAUCUGUGAAAAGGGUUAUGAGAGUGGUGGAAGGACUAAUUUGUAAUUUGGCAAAAGUUGGGGGUUAGAUCGGAAAUCUGUGGUUUUUUCUUCCUUCCUCUCCAGGAACUUGGAGAGGGAGAGAGAGGAGAUAGGGCCAGCGGCGGCCGACCGGCCGAGCCUCGCCGACGGCGAGCCGAGGGCUGGGGGCGGCGGAGGAAGCGGAGGGGGCUCCAUUUUGCCCCUUACCUUGGAGAGUUGGAGAUGGGAAGGGGUGGGCGGUGGUGGCUUAAGUGGCGGCGGCGCACGGGGGGGGGUGGGGGGGGAGCGGCGCACGGCGGCGGCAGUGCUCGGCGAGAGAGGGGCGGUGUUGGUGGAUGGAGGAUGGGGAGAACCGGGGCAUUGAGGCCUUUUAUAGGCUGGCGAGGAGGGCGCCGGUGGUAGGGGACCGGGUGUGCGGGCGCCAGGAAGGAGGAGGAGGAGAGAGAAGGAAGGAGGAAAAAGAAAGAAAGAAGAAGAAGAAGAAGGAAGACGGAAAAGAAAGGAAAAGAAAGAAAAAGAAAAAGGGAGGGAAAAAAAGAAAGAAAAGGGGGAGACCGGCGGCGUUCGCGGCACGCGGUCGGAGCAUGCGCACGGCGUCUGACGACGGCACGCGACGAGAAUUACGGGCACGGAUAAAAUGAUGGAUGUCGGCUUGGGUGCCGGGAUGGCGAAAUUGUCGGGAAGAUUUUAGAUUUUCGGGAGCUCAGCAGUAAAAAGAUUUUAAAAGCGAUUUUUAAUGGGUGAUUUUAGGUUGGUGAUUUUUGCGGAUGUUACAAACCUACCCCACUUAAAUUGAAUCUCGUCCUCAAGAUUCGACUGAGUCCUGAAAAGGUGGGGAAACUCCUUGUUUAACGCGUCCUCGCGUUCCCACGUGGCUUCUUCCUCGCCAUGCCUACUCCAUUGUACUCUACAAAUCCGGACUGCUGUAUUUCUUGUCCUUCUGGUGACGGUGUCCAGAAUCUUGACGGGCACUUCUUGGUAUCGAAGGUCCUUUUGCAAAUCUAUUGUCUCCAGCGGUACUUGUUCCUCCGGUACUCUCAGACACUUUCUUAGCUGGGAGACAUGAAAUACCGGGUGUAUAUCCGACAUUUCCUCGGGCAGUUGGAUACGGUAAGCUAUGGCUCCAACUGUUUUUAACACCUGGUAAGGUCCAAUAUACCGAGGGGCUAGUUUUCCUUGCAUUGAAACCUUCGAGUACCAAGAAUCGGGAAAACCUUGAGGUAGACAAAAUCUCCCUCAUUGAAGCACAAUUCUCGUCUCCUCUUGUCCGAGUAGCUCUUCUGUCUGGACUGUGCGGCCUUCAGCUUUUCUCGGAUUUCUGCCACACGGUCUUCUGCUUCUUUGAUGAAAGCAGGCCCGACUAGGGAGCGUUCUCCUACUUCUGACCACAUCAAAGGGGUCCUGCACUUUCUACCAUAAAGGGCCUCAAACGAUGACAUGCCUAGACUAGCUUGGUAACUAUUGUUGUAUGAGAACUCUGCAUAGGGUAAACUUUGUUCCCAAUCUUUGCCAUAGGUGAGGACACAUGCUCUCAACAUAUCUUCCAUGAUUUGAUUUACCCGCUCUGUUUGGCCAUCAGUCUGAGGGUUAUAGGCUGAACUGAAGUCCAAUUUAGUGCCCAUGGCUUUAUGCAAACUUCUCCAAAACUUAGAGGUGAAUUGAGUCCCUCUAUCAGAGAAGAUCCUGCUGGGCACACCAUGCAGCUUCACUAUGUUGUUGACGUAGAGUCGGGCUAGUCUUUCUCCACCAUAAGUGGUCCGUACGGGUAGAUAGUGAGCGACUUUAGUGAGUCGGUCCACUAUUACCCAUAUGGAGUCAUUUCCCUUCUGAGUUUUGGGCAAGCCUACUACAAAAUCCAUGCCGAUCUCAUCCCACUUCCAAAUCGGGGUAGGCAAUGGUUGCAGCAAGCCGGCUGGCUUCUGGUGCUCGGCCUUGACCCUUUGGCAAGUAUCACAACGGGCGACAAACUGAGCUAUGUCCGCCUUCAUUCCAUUCCACCAGUAUCUCUGUUUUAAGUCCAUAUACAUUUUGGUGGAUCUGGGGUGAAUGGAGUAUGCCAAGUUAUGGGCUUCAUUCCAUGAUGGUCUGCCUGAAUUCUCCAUCCUUGGGGACACAAAUUCUGUCCUUGUACCACAAGGUUCCUUUGUCAUCCACUCUGAAAUCCGGGGCUUUAUUUUCUCCAGUUUGCUUGCAGAUUUUUACUAAGUCGUGAUCUAAACCCUGGGCUUCUCGGAUCUUAUCCUCCAAGGCAGGCUGGACACUUAGCUUGCGGCUAGUAUUCUAGGGAACUAUGUGCACAUUUAACCGAGCUAUUUCUUCUUGUAGGCGGGCAUUCUCAGAUCCAGGCUGUCCAUAGGAUUUCCGGCUUAAGGCAUCAGCCACAACAUUAGCCUUGCCGGGGUGGUAGUGGAUUUCUAGGUUGUAGUCCUUUACCAGUUCUAACCACCUCCUUUGCCUUAAAUUCAGAUCGGGUUGGGUGAAGAUGUACUUUAAGCUCUUAUGGUCGGUGUAGAUUUCACACUUAUUCCCAAUCAGAUAAUGCCUCCAAAUCCUGAGGGCAUGCACUACGGCUGCAAACUCCAAGUCAUGGGUUGGGUAGUUCUGCUCAUGGGGCUUGAGUUGGCGGGAAGCAUAUGCCACAACCUUCCCAUCUUGCAUGAGGACACAUCGUAAUCCUUGUCGGGAUGCAUCACAAUAAAUGACGAAGUCUCGCUGGAUGUCAGGUAAGGUCAAUACUGGAGCUGUCGUCAACCUCUUCUUCAGCUCUUGGAAGCUCCGCUCACAUGACUCGGUCCAGGUGAACUUCUUAUCCUUCCUGAGCAGCUCUAUCAUGGGCCGGGCUAUCUUGGAAAAUCCCUCAAUAAAUCUCCUGUAAUACCCAGCUAAACCCAGAAAGCUUCUGAUCUUGCUAACAUUGGUGGGUUGUUGCUAGUUGGAGACAGCUUCAACUUUCUCUGGAUCAACUGCGACUCCUUCUGCGAUCAGGAUAUGUCCAAGGAAUGCCACUUUCUCAAGCCAAAAUUCGCACUUGCUGAAUUUAGCAUAGAGUCGGUGGGCUCUCAACUUCUCUAACACCACCCGUAUAUGUUGCUCAUGCUCCUGAGCACUCUUGGAGUAAAAAAGUAUGUCAUCAAUAAAGACUACGACAAACUUAUCUAACUCAUCCAUAAACACCUUGUUCAUGAGGUUCAUGAAAUAAGCAGGUGCAUUGGUCAAUCCAAAAGACAUCACCGUGAACUCAAACUGACCAUAACGGGUGACAAAGGCCAUCUUCGGGAUGUCACUCUCCUUGAUCUUGAGCUGAUGGUACACUGACCUCAGAUCUAUCUUGGAGAAAUGCUUGGCUCCUUUCAGCUGGUCGAAUAGGUCAUCUAUUCUGGGGAGUGGAUACUUGUUCUUAAUGGUGACCUCAUUCAGUGCGCGAUAAUCCAUGCACAUCCUCAUGCUCCCGUCUUUCUUCUUGACAAAAAGCACGGGGGCUCCCCACGGGGAUGAGCUAGGCCUGAUAAAGCCACCCUGCUGCAAUUCUCCCAACUGUUUCUUCAGUUCGGCCAAUUCUGAGGCUGCCAUCCUAUAGGGUCUCUUGGCUGUAGGAGAGGUUCCGAGGACAAGGUCAAUUACAAACUCUAUAUCCCUAUCUGGAGGCAUUCCAGGUAGUUCUUCAGGAAAGACAUCUGGGUAUUCACUCACUACCAGGACUUCCUCUAUGGUCUUGGUCUCCAUGCUAAACACCAUGGGGUCUGGGCCACUCCCUCGAGUGUGACAAGUCACUUGUACACCAUCCCGAUUGGUCAGGUGCACUACUUUAUCAGCACACCCUAUAUGAUUGUCAUGCAGGCUCAACCAGUCCAUUCCAAGAAUCACAUCUAUCCCCUUAGACUUAAGUACUACUAGAUCCGCUAGAAAUUCUACCCCACUUAAAUUAUUCCUUACCCGGGAACAACCUAGUUGACACCGAAUGUCAGCUCCAGGAGUCCGGGUUAGUAGGGGUAACUUUAGUAGUAUUGUGGGUAUAUUAUGUUCUUCCACAAAACUUGAGGAUAUGAAGGAAUGUGAUGCUCCAGAGUCAAAGAGUAUUGUUGCCAAGACUGAGCUGACUAGAAACUCACCGAGUACCACGCCUUGAGCUUCGCGAGCCUCUUGCGUGCUGAUGUGGUUGACGCAGGCUCGUCCAAAUGAUUGCUAGGGCGGCCUCAUCUGCUGGCUGUUGUUGUUGCUGGGGUUGUUGUUGUUGCGGACUGGCACACGGUUGGCUCCUGACAACGCUGCCCUGGGCCCAGCUACCGAGUUGGAGAAGGCUGAUGCUGCUGGCUUGUUGGCAUAGGGGCAGUUGGCGAUGAAAUGCCCGGGUUCUCAGCAGUUGAAGCAUGCCCUACUGUUGCCAGUGACUUGGCUGGCACUGCUCUGUGGGGCCUUGGUCGGGUUCUGGCUCCUGAAUGGGGCAGCGGUCUGGUGUGAACCGGGUGCUUGGGACUGGGUCUGGUAAUGCAUGGGAGCUUGAGAUCUGGGCAGGGGGUGACCGAAGCUCCUUGGCUUCUGGAAUCGGUCCUGCUGGUGCAUCUUGCUCUCCAGGAACCGGCGCUUGUUGUCCCUCCGUUCUUCUGCCUUGGCCCUCUCAGUCAAGAUGGCCAUGUUCAUCAAGGUGUUGAAGUCGGGGUAGAUCUGGGGAGUGAGCAGGGUCCUCAGUUCCGCGUUCAAGCCUUUCUUGAACAUGUCCUACUUCUUCUCAUCCUUGUCCACCUCCUCUGGAGCAUAACGGGCCAGCUCCAUGAACUGGAAGGUGUACUCUUCCACAGAUCUGUUGCCUUGGCGGAGUUCGUGGAACUCAUCCGCCUUGCGCUUCAUGGUGGCUGCGGGGAUAUGGUAGCGACGGAAUUCUGUCACGAACUCAUCCCAGGUGAUAGUGGAGGCAUCCUGGGUGGCAGAGCAGUAGUUCUCCCACCAAGCUAGGGCAGUUCCAGUGAGCUGGUGGGCAGCCAAGAGAACUUUGUCCCUGCCCUCGCAACCAAAUGGUUCCAGCUUCCUCUGGAUGACGCGCAACCAAUCAUCUGCGUCCAGAGGGUUGAUGGACCCGCCAAAAGUGGGUGGCUUGGUUCGGAGGAAAUCCGUCAACUUCUUAUUCAUGUUCUGCCCGCGGGACCUCUGGCGGGUGACGGCGUUGGCCAGAGCUUCCAGCAGAAGGGUCUGGUUGUUCAUUACUUGAACCAGAUCGAUGACUGGUGGGGGCGGUGGCUGCUGUGCUCCCACUUGGCUUUCUCCCCUUCCUUCUGGCUGACUCACUUCCUGCUCCUCCAGAAGCACUGUCGGAGGCGGUUCUUGCGUUUCUGGCUGCCUUUCGGUACUAGGGGUAGCAUGGGCCUGACUUGGGAAGGUCCUGGUGGCACGCUUGGGCGGCAUCUGCAGAUUGAGUGAGACUUUUAUGAGAGUAGGAUUUGGGUUUUAGUGAUCUUUAAAGUCUUUAUUUCGUAUUUUCGAAGAGACAGAAUCCACCUUUUGUCGACAAGCACACAGACUAACAAACAACAAACACAAGCGAGUUUAUUUAUUUUGCCCAGGGGGGUACAACACUGCUGGGGUAAGGCUAAAACACGUACUACACGACCGGUUACAACAACACAACUGAAGGCGGUACAACUCUAAACUGCGGACCAUGACGGCUUCAUUCCCUUGGGCAACUCUGGGCUGGGCAUACUACUUGCGGGGUGAGUCUUCUUCCUGGACUGAGUGGUCUUCUAACGGGAUGAGGAGGGCCAGCACUUCAUCGUUUAGAGUCCCGCCCGCUGGAGGGGGUUCUGGCGCCUCUCCAUUAGACACCUCGAAGUUCCUUUCCGAAGGCGGUGGUGCUGGGGUGGCAUCCGGGCUCUUCCGCUUGCCGGAUCCUAGGGCGAUGGGAAUUCCUUCAAGGAUCGGAGCCUCUUCGUCCUCGAUGGCUACCAUCCUCCUUCUGGCACGAAUGGUGAGGUGGGCGUCCUUCAGUUCCUUGGAGUGCCGGUCCUCAGCCUCCUUGAGGGCCUCAACGGCAAUGGCCUCAUUGCUUUGGGCGGCUGCGGCUCGAGCUUCGGCGGCGGCUAGCUUCACCUGAAGCCUCCUCACCAUAACCUCUGCGUCCUCAGCCCUAUGAAUCCGCUGCUUCAACUUAGCAGCCUACUCGUCGUAGAGCUCAUCCAAGGUGAGAAGGUAGGCAGCCAUGUGGAGUACGGUGGGGUCGUCCUCGUGCUGUCCACGUCCUUCCAAAGUUCUCACCCGGGCCAGCCAAACCGGGCGGUUCUUCUUGACAGGCGAGUAGAACCUCAUCGGAGUGCGGCCGAUGUGCCUUUCGUAGAUCUGGCAUAGGAAACGGAGGGCCUUCCGGGCUGCCACUUGAUAAGUAUUUUUAUGCCGGAAGCCAGUGGCAGUUACAUUCCAAGGAUGGAUGUCGGGGUAGCGGCUACUCUGCCCGAUGUAGAUAAUCAUCUCACAUCGAGGGGUUCCGCGAUCCUCGUACUCCCUACUGGUGUACUCCGGACGCUCAUAGAUUCCAAGGCGGUCCAUGCAGGCGAACAACAAUCUGGGAAAACCGGGCUCCUCCAGGCAGUGGCUGUUGACCCAACCUUCCUCGGCCAUCUGGAAAGAACCGGGGCACAAAUUAGUUUUGCAAUAGAGCAGAGGUAGGCAGAAAUUUUGUAAGUCUUUUAUUUUGGUCAAAAAGGGCUAGUCCGGUCCUCAGGUCGCGUCCUACAGCCAACAAACAGCUCUGAUACCACCUGAGGCGUCCCCACAUAAGUCAAGACUAAAUGUGAUACAAUUAUCAGUCCCAGGAGGCUGAUAGCACAUUUAUUCGAUAGAUAAUUCAGUUACCGUACAACUCCCGAGGGAGUGGGCGUGAGAGCCACGCAACGAUAAGAAGUAAAUAAACAACAGCGGCUAACCAAGCGACUGCCAAAAGACAGCACUCAGGACUACACGGCAGCAGCAGCAUCUUGGAAAGGUCAACACCAUAGGCAGCGUUUGGUGCGGACACAACCUCUACUCAAAGUCCUCGGCGACGAAAUCUAGGUCUUCCUCUGUAGCAACGAAGCAAGGGUGAGUACGAACGUACUCAACAAGUCCAACCCCAUCCACGGAGGGGGAUACAAGCAAGUAUAUGCACAGGAUAUAUCAAGGAUAGGCUAGGGUUCAUUUGCGGUAAAGCUAGAUUUCCAACACAUGCAUGGGUUCAUUUUCAAAUGAGUUUUCGUAAAGCUUUUCUUUAGUAACCGAAACAUUGAGUGGGGUUGAUCCUAUACAAAGGAUCCAAGUUUUACUGCUAUCGGACUCCCCGUCCGCCAUAGCUCACGGCACAACUGCCGGACACUUCCAAAAUCCAACACACACACACACACACACACUCACGAGACCAUCCAUGCCCAAUUGCUAGUUAUGUGACCAAGCCGUAACUCGUCCAAUGCCGUGGACACGGCUACCCGGAUAGGUUUUAACUUUGCAGAGGUUGUACACUUUUCCCACAAGUAGGGUACCGCAGCACGAUCACCUUAGUGCCGGUGCGGAUCCUAACAAAGCCAUUACCCACCUUAGCUAAGACUGGCUAGUCCCCACGGAAGCACCCAAGGGGUUCACGUCUCAUCCACGAGACCAUAACCGGGACCUAAGUCACCAAGAUCUUACUCCUUUUCCAUGGGCUCCCGUUGCUCGCUAGCACCCCUGAAGACUAACAGUUCAGCUAGUGGGAUUUAUGCUAAGCCGUUGCCCAUACAACGGUCGAGUGCUUGCACAAUGGUUGAAUUAGGCAAGAUGACACAUCAACUCGGUCCUUAACCAUGACAAGAUGGAUAUCUCCCGACAUUUCUCAACCACUAAGGUACGAGCACGACAUCCUAGCAUUUCACACAAGAAACACCCAUCCAUCUCAUCUACACACCCCUUUUCCCUUGAACCCGAAAAAAAUCACUUUCCCAAUUGAACACACACACACAUUUAUUUCUCCAUAAAAACCAUUGUAAUAACGAUUGAAGUUGAGUAACAAGCUCCUAAGCUCUCUAGCAGUGGUUAUCAUCUAAACUGAGCUAGUCAUAUUUAGAGAUGAACAUGGGACAACAAGGAAUGUUCAUAACAAUCAAGGGGUGGCUAUCCAACCAUAUCUUGCAAUAAAACAGUAUGCAAUUUAUAAAAUAGGCCAAUAGGUUGUGUUUGAAAAACUAGGUAUUAAGUAUGCAUCAAAGGGUGAGGUUGGACUUGCCGUCUUCAAAGCCUUCCGGGAGUUCCGGCUCGUGCUGUUGGUCCUCGUGCUCGGGCUCGUGAUCAAACUCCUCCUCGGGCUCCUUCUUGGGUAAUCCGCGAUCUACGGCACACACAAACGGGCACACCAAUAAAUAAAAGAAAUCGGUUUUUACCCGUUGAGCUCCGAACAGAAAACGCAAACGGAAAUUAGGUAGAAAGAUUAUUUUUGGGCAAUUUGGAUAUGGAUCGGCGGAAGUAUACUGGAGGAUGACGUGGUAAAAUUUGGGAUUAAUUGGAGGAAGUUUGGUGCAUGAAAUGACGAGUUAAACAUGGGUUAGGGGCUUAAAAACGAGGUUUAGGACUGAUUUGCGAUAAACCAGGGACCUAUUUGUAAAUAUUUCUGGAGGUGGAGGGGCUUAUCUGCGAAAAGGGUUAUGAGAGUGGUGGAAGGACUAAUUUGUAAUUUGGCAAAAGUUGGGGGUUAGAUCAGAAACUGUGGUUUCUUCUUCCUUCCUCUCCAGGAACUUGGAGAGGGAGAGAGAGGAGAUGGGGCCGGCGGCGGCCGGCCGGCCGCGCCUCGCCGGCGGCGAGCCGAGGGCUGGGGGCGGCGGAGGAAGCGGAGGGGGCUCCAUUUUGCCCCUUACCUUGGAGAGUUGGAGAUGGGAAGGGGUGGCCGGUGGUGGCUUGGGUGGCGGCGGCACACGGGGGGGGGGGGGGGGGGGGGGGGGAGAAGGAGCGGCGCACGGCGUCGGCGAUGCUCGGCGAGAGAGGGGCAGUGUUGGUGGAUGGAGGAUGGGGAGAACCGAGGCGUUGAAGCCUUUUAUAGGCCGACGAGGAGGGCGCCGGCGGUAGGGGACCAGGCGGCCGGCGGGAUGUCUUGGCGGCACGGCACCGGUGGCGUGCCGGGGCGGGGAGGUUGGGGCCGACGGCGGGCGGCGUGGGGUGGGGCCGAGGCGGGGCCAGUGCAGGAGGGGCGGCGUGCGGGGCUGAGGCGGUGCAGGUGGCUGGGGCCGGGUCGGGCGCGCGGCCCGAGGGGAGGCGCCGGCGCCGGGCCGGGCGGCGUGGGUUCCGGGCGCGGAGAGGGGGCCGGGCGGUCGGCGGUAUGGCGCCAGGAAGGGUGGGCGCCAGGGGAGUAAUGGCGUUGGAGCCGGGUGUGCGGGUGCCAGGAAGAAGGAGGAGGAGGAGAGAGAAGGAAGGAGGAAGAAGAAAGAAGAAGAAGAAGAAGAAGAAGAAGAAGAAGAAGAAGAAGAAGAAGAAGAAGAAGAAGAAGAAGAAGACGAAGAAGAAGAAGAAGAAGAAGAAGAAGAAGAAGAAGAAGAAGAAGAAGAAGAAGAAGAAGAAGAAGAAGAAGAAAGGAAGAAGGAAAAGAAAGAAAAAGAAAAAGGGAGGAAAAAAGAGAAAGAAAAGGGGGAGACCGGCGGCGUUCGCGGCACGCGGUCGGAGCACGCGCGCGGCGUUUGACGACGGCACGCGGCGAGAAUUACGGGCACGGAUAAAAUGAUGGAUGUCGGCUUGGGUGCCGGGACGGCGAAAUCGUCGGGAAGAUUUUAGAUUUCCGGGAGCUCAGCGGUAAAAAGAUUUUAAAAGCAAUUUUUAACGGGUGAUUUUAGGUUGGUGAUUUUUGCGGAUGUUACAAUGUCCUUGCCCCACGCCUCCAACCCUAGUUUCCAACUGCCGAAUUUGCGCCAUGCCGCCCAGCGGCAUGGACACUGGGGAUGGACGGCUGGCGCCAACCUUGCCCCUCCACCGCCUUGUCAUGCCCUUAAAUAGAACCCAUCGCCCCUCUUGCUAAUUGUCGGAUUUAUAAGCCCGGCAGUCCACCAGGGGGUUACCCAAGUGGUUGAUUUGUAGGUGGAGGUGAUUGUGAAACCAAGAACUUGAAGGUGGUUGCGAGAACAUGGGGGACAUGAGAGUUUUAGACAGGUUUGGACCUCCGGAGAGUAACACCCUACGUCCUGUCCUAUAUGCUGGUGCUUUGUAUUGCUUAAGAGUUGAUGUGGGAUUGUUGGGAUACCCUCGAGGAGUGCCUUUGGCCAUCUUAUAUAGGCUGGCGACAUAGAGUUAUAAGUCGGUUUGAAUCUAACCUAUUUAGUAGUUACAUGGAAGGUAAUCUGAGUCAGACUACAAUACAUGUCCCGCAAUAUCCGGGCUGAUUUGAAUCGCCUAGCCUCCUUGGCAUGUACUCCAAGUAUCUUCAUGUCCUUGGCCCGCACGCUUUGGUCGGACGGGCACACUUGUCAGGUCCGGCUAGUAUCCUGGUCGGUGGGGACCCAUGGUGUACCCAUAUCUUCAAGCCCUUGAAUGAUGUGUAGGCGAACAAGAACUUGAGGUCAUCGCAACAAAGAUUGGAAUGUAGUCGGCUGAAGCUGCGAUGGCGUCAUGGUGACAGAGAGGCUGCACAAUGUUCAAAAAAGAAGAAAAAUCCGAGCGAACGUGGAGCCAAAUGCGCAGAGUGAAGUCAAGUGCUGAGUUGAUGGAUGUUGGGCAUCCAGCAGGUCAAAGCGAAUGACAUGGAGGGCGUCGCAAGACGCACUCCAUAGGAGUAGCCCCUGAACAUUGAAGUGAUUAGUAUAAUCGGUCCAAUGGUCAAAGAAGAAAAAAGUUGAUCACAACAGCAGGUCCAAGUGCCUGAACACAAGGAUAAGUGAAGCCACGGAGGCAUGCAACCAUAAGUAGGCGCCUAGCCCCCGAGGACGAGGACUAGGACUAGCAAAGUCGCGGAGGCACGCCGACCUGAAUUAGGCACCCAGCCCCCAAGGAUGAGGACUGGUGGAGCCACACCGAGUCGCAUCCCGCCCCGAGACUAAGAGGUCGGCCAGACGACGGGAGGCACACUGAGUCGUCUGCGGCACCCAGCCCCCGAGCCUGGGAGCCGGACGAGUUGCGGAAGCACAUUCAGUUGCCUCCCGCCCCGAGCCAAAGAGGUCUCUUGGCGACGGGGGGCACGUUGAGUUAUCAGCGGUGCCCAGCCCUUGAGCCUAGGAGCCAAACGAGUCACGGAAGCACAUCAAGUCGCCUCCCACCCCGAGCUAGAGAGGUCGGCCGAGCGACAGGAGGCACGACAAGUAGUUUUUGAGCUAUAAAAGGAUAAUACAAACAUUAUGUAGCAUAGUGUAGAUCAUUUAAUAAUUUAACAACUCGGAAGUUUAAUUCACUAGAGAAGUAAACUCUUGUGCAUCCUGCUCUUGUAGGCCAGGUAAUUUCCCUAGGUAGUUAGCCUGUUACGUUUAAGCACCAAGCCCUGCUGACCACUGCUCAUGGAGAGGACAGCUUAUCUCAGGCUAUAGCGCUAGGGCUAACCCGAUGUUCGCAUAUAGGAGAUGCGCAUGAUGAGUCAAGGUUUCACAGAUUAAGGCGUGCGCUACCCGAGUACUUUAGCAACCAUUAAGAGGGACAGACAAGCCACAAAGCAGUCGGAACUGUGCGGAAAAGCACCAGCAUGACCUGGGUGUUGGGAUACGAGGUAGAGUACACUAGCCAAUGCUACAGUACAAGAUCGGCCGAUGGAUACCCUUGGGGUUUGGAUCGGACACGCCUGGUUCUCGAUCGGUUACCUUUUGCCGAUAAGGAAUCGGCCGAUUAGGAGGUUGGAAUAAUUGGGCUGGUAUGGGCUUGGAAAGGAUCAGGAGGAUAAAGAGGAAAUCAGCCCAUGAAGUGUAUAAUAACCAACUUAGUACGAGUCGUACUUGUAAAUAUUCGUUUUCUAUUUGAAUUAGGGAUAGAGUUCUAGUCAGAUAAGGAGUCGUCUGUACGGGGCUAUAAAUAGCUACCUUUGUAGAUCUGUAAUCAUCAACUACUCAAUACAACAAAUUACUAUUUCCUCGCAUUUACUUUCAAGCAGGCGACUUCGCCAAAUACUUUCUUCUUUUUUCACGAGUUCGUACGGGUUGGCGGGGCUGCAUCAACUUGACCUCCGGCCGAUCUUGUAAGUUCCGUUUACCGAGUAAAUUCUAAGCUUUAACUUCGGGCGCAUCGCUGUUGUUUCGUUUAGAUUUAUUCACUAGUUAUCGAUAUUCACUAGAAUUAUAGGUUUUACCUGUUUUUUCUAGUUUUUAUCACCAGUUAUCCAGCUAGGAAUCGACAGUUUCGGCUUUUCUCAUACUCUGUUGUUUAAACUACUUAUUCCACGCAUAGCCGAUUAGAUCUGUUCCUAGUGUUGCCACUGUAGCGUUGUACCGAUUACUUCAAUUAGUCGUCGAUUCACGCUGCCUGAUAGUCGGCUGCUUCAUAGCCGAUUUCUUUAUUACGACAAAUCGGCCGAUUCGCUGAUAAGCUCCCUCGAGAUCGGAAAUUUAGCCGAUCGUGACUUUUGGAUCUGACACGUAUUCUUCCUUGCCAAUCAACAGGUCAGAUUGGCUGGCACGCCGCGCGAACCGCACCAGGGCAAUCACCCGAACAGGAGUUAAGCAGAUUCUCCCGGGUCGUGUGUCAGACGCUGGGGAUUCGGUUGAUCGAUUUCUAGCGCCAACACACUUUUGGCACGCCCAGUGGGACCUAUACAACCGCCACCAUGUCGAAAGCUGCUGAAGUCUCUGAAGAUAACGUCAUCGAAGUGACGGAAGCAGAUCUCAAGGACGACCAGAAGGAAGAACUAGAGAAGGAGACAGCACUCUACCGGAAGGCGUGCCUGCAGUCCUUCAGUCGCACCAGAAGCGGGGAGGCUAUCAAAAAGUCUCCGUUUCCAACUCCCCACCAGAUCACAAUCACCGAGGACUCGGACAAAAUGGCCGAGAUGGUCCAACAGUCCAUUUAUCACGCCUUCAUUGAUCAAUCCCCGGUGCUUGCAAAUACGGUGUACAAUGCCGUCAUCAGCUCCUUCGCUAGCGGGGUACCUCAAGGAUACAAGGGACCGGCAUAUACUCAGCCGAUUCCACCAAACCAGGGUUAUUUGCAUUCGGCUUCUCAGCCGAUCCAAUUUCCUGUUGGGGGUUCAGGCGCUUCCUCAUCAUCAAUUCCUAUGGGGUAUAAUGGCACACAACACCUUCAGCCACACCCCAUCCAGCUGUCCUCUGCGCCGCUCCCUCCAGCUAAUCCAGCGCCUUGGGGGGCACCAUCAGCUACGGCCGUUCAGGAUCAAUCGGCCAGUCAGGGAAGUCCCCAAUUUCAGGCAUCUUUCCAAGCAGCCACUCGACCAACCAUGCCGUCGUACCAGCCUGUCGCACCAGAGAUGAGCAAAGCAGCGGAGCUCGUACUAUACGAUGAGACGAGUGGCUCAUUCAAACAGCCGACCCUGAAUACACAGCCGGCUUUCACUCAGAUGCCACAUACUUUCACUCAGCAUCAAGCCGUCCCGCCUCCGAUAUACCAGCACGUGCCAGUUCCCCAGCCAACAGUUUACCAGCAACAGCCGGACUGGUCGGCACGUAUAGCAGAAGUGAUUCAGGAACAAUUCGGCUUGAAGCCGAAAGUACAGACUUACACUUAUAGAACACCAUACCCGUCUACGUACGACCUACUACCAUUUCCCCAUCGGUAUAAAGUUCCUUACUUCACCAAGUUCUCGGGGAUGGAUGACACUUCAACCGUGGAGCACGUUAACAGGUUCAUCAUCCAAUGUGGAGAGGCAGCAGCGCAAGACGCUCUACGGGUACGGCUAUUCUCGUCAUCUUUGUCUGGGUCGGCCUUCCAGUGGUUCAUGACAUUGCCGUCGAACUCGAUUAUUACAUGGGCCGAUUUGGAAAGACAGUUUCAUAAAUACUUCUACGCCGGGGUGCAUGAAAUGAAGCUGUCCGAUUUGACCAGCCUCAAGCAGAGAAGCAACGAGCCGAUAUCCUCGUAUGUACAGAGGUUUCAGGAAAUCAGGAACAAAUGCUACUCUUUGGCUCUAAACGACGCACAGCUGGCUGAUAUAGCCUUUCAAGGUCUCCUGCCCCACAUCAAAGAAAAGUACGCUUCACAGGAGUUUGAGAGCUUAAGCCAAAUCGUCCACCGAUUGUCUGGACAGGAGGUACGUUCUUUCGAUCCACGGAGGAACUUCCAGAAGAAGGUGGCAUUCCUGGAAGAGGUUGAAGCUGAAGAGGAUGCUGAGGUAGGUCUUGCGGAGUGGGUCAAGGGAAAGAAGCCAAUAUCAUGCCCGUUCGGCAAGAAAGAGCCAGAAACAUUCGGCUUUGACACGACGAAGGCCGAUAAAAUCUUCGACCUUCUCCUCCAGGAAGGACAGAUCAAGCUCUCGCCAUAUCAUACAAUACCUUCUGCCGAACAACUGAAGAAGAUGAAAUAUUGCAAGUGGCACAACGCUACAUCUCAUGACACUAAUGAGUGCAAAAUCUUCCGGCAGCAGAUACAGUCGGCCAUUGAGUAGGGUAGACUUAAAUUUGAAGUACCAACGAAAUCGGCCAAGCCGAUGAAGAUCGACCAACACCCCUUCCCCACCAACAUGGUUGACACAGGGAAGAACUCGCUCCAAACAAAGGUGCUAACGUCCGAAUCGGCUAAAAAGAGUGGUGCCAUAGACCCCAGAAAUCAAGCGACGCCUGAAGACGUCAAGGGGAAGCGGCGGAUGGAGGACGACGAUGGCGAAUCAGGUGAGCCACGCAUUACUUCCCAAUUCCUGCUCCAAAAAUAUCAGCGUCAACAUGAACACUCAAGAUCCCGGGAAGAAGCGAUGCGGCGACACGAAGAUCACUGGAGGUGCCCAUUCUUCAUCCACUGUUGGGAAAGCAACCUCCGGCUACCCUCGGCCGAUAAUUGCCCGGAAUGCAACGGCCUGUAUCGUAACAAUCGGCCGUUCAACAGGUCUCGCUCCAGAGACGGAAGACCAGAACCGAUCAGCAGGAACUGGCGCGACCAAGACGACCGACGUCCUCCCGUGCGUGAUCGGCUGAGGGGCAGAAGUGACCAAUAUGACCGGUCGGAAGACAGAUGCCAUGACAGGCCGGGGGGCAGGUUUGAUCGACAUGACCGGUCAGAAAACAGGGCCAACGUUCACAGUCGGCUUGAAGAGAUGGCCAAUGCUCGGGUGACAGACGAAAACCCUUUAGGACGUGAGCCGGAAUGGGAACGCGCCAGGCCAAGAACCAAACCAGUAAACCCCAGGUGGUGCCCCGACGGAUUGACCAAAUCUCAAAAACGAAGGAUCCAACAUCUCCGCCAGUGGGAACAGCAGGAGGAAGAACAACAGUACACGACGGACAAGAAGGAAGGUAAGAUAUGGCGCCCCAAAAGAAACGACAGAGGAGGCGAUGAAUCGGCGGGCGAUGAAUCGGCAGCCGAUAUCGGCAUGGUUUUCAUACUGCCGAUGGAAUUUAUGACUCCUGCCGACCGACAGGAUAUAUCGGCAAUAGAAGAACAGAUGGCACAAUUGGCUUUGGAGCCAAUGACAGCCACGUUCGAGAAGCCCGAAGACGACAAACGGCAACACCUGAAAGCAUUGUUCCUCAAAGGGCAUGUCAACGGCCGACCCCUCACCAGAUUAAUGGUAGACGGAGGAGCUGCAGUCAACAUCAUGCCAUAUGCCGUGCUCCGGAACCUUGGGAAAAGCGAUGACGACUUGACCAAGACAGACAUGAUGCUCAAAGACUUCGAGGGUAACGUGUCCCCCGCUCGCGGCGCCCUCUGCGUCGACCUCACCAUCGGCAGUAAGACCCUUCCCACUACCAUCUUUAUUAUCAAUGGCAAGGGAUCCUACAACAUGCUGCUCGGCCGGGACUGGAUACACGCAAAGUGCUGCAUCCCAUCAACGUGCAUCUAUGUCUUGUACAAUGGGUCGGCAAUAACAUCGAGGUAGUCAACGCCGAUUCCGCAUACAGCAUCGCGGCAGCCGACACGCAGCAAUGGAUCUGCGAAACCGUUAAGUGCAUAUCCGGUAGAGUAUGGGAUACUGACUUCUUGAAGGUCUCCGAUUUUGGCCUACAGCCGAUCCGAGCAGUCGGCUCCGAAGACUCAGAUUAAAUGGAUCAGUUCGCCCGAAAAGACGGGAAACUAGGGCACGGGUUCACGUCGGCCGAUUCAUUAGAAAUGAUAGACUUAGGCGAUGGCACCAAACCAAGGACGACUUAUAUUAGUGCAAAUUUAGAUCCAGAAUACAAAUGUAAACUGACGAAUUUGUUAAGAGAAUUUAAGGAUUGUUUUGCUUGGGAGUAUCAUGAGAUGCCCGGAUUAGAUCGAUCUAUUGUUGAACAUCGGCUACCCAUAAAACCGGGAUAUCGGCCGUAUCAACAGCCGGCACGGCGGUGCAAUCCUAAAAUUCUACCAGAUAUAAAAGCCGAAAUAACUCGGCUAAUCGAAGCAAAAUUUAUUUGGCAAUGCCGUUAUGCCGAGUGGAUCUCCAACAUUGUACCAGUGUACAAGAAGAACGGAAAGCUACGCGUGUGCGUUGAUUUCAGGAAUCUUAAUCAGGCCACACCGAUGGACGGGUACCCCAUGCCAACGGCCGAUGUUCUGAUAGACGCUGCCACGGGACACAAGAUUAUUAGCUUCAUGGACGGAAACGCUGGGUACAAUCAAAUACUUAUGGCCGAAGAGGACAUACCCAAAACGGCCUUUAGAUGCCCGGGCCACCUUGGUUUAUUCGAGUGGGUGGUGAUGACUUUUGGCUUGAAAAACGCCGGCGCCACGUAUCAGAGAGCCAUGAACUACAUAUUUCACAAACUCAUCGGCAUACUGGUAGAAAUCUACAUCGACGACGUCGUAGUCAAGUCCAAAGGACACGAAGAGCAUCUGGCCGAUUUGCGAAAAGUGCUGGAAUGCACUAAGAAACAUAGGCUGAAGAUGAACCCGAAUAAAUGUGCCUUCGGCGUGUCCGCCGGACAGUUCUUAGGAUUCAUGGUGCACGAGCGGGGAAUAGAAAUCAAUCGGAAGACCAUAGCGGCUAUCAACAAAGUCGUGGCCCCGCAGAAUAAAACUGAAUUACAAUCUUUAAUCGGCAAGGUGAAUUUCAUCAGAAGAUUCAUAUCUAAUCUAUCUGGGCGGAUCCAGGCUUUCACACCACUAUUAAAGUUGAAGCCCGACCAGGAGUUCAUAUGGGGGGAGGAACAACGCAAAGCACUGGAAGAUAUCAAGCAGUACUUGGUCUCACCACCGGUAUUGGUCCCUCCUCAAACUGGUAAGCCAUUCAAACUAUACUUAUCAGCCGAUGAAAAGGCUAUUGGGUCGGCUCUAGUCCAGGAAUUCGAAGGAAAGGAACGAGUAAUUUAUUAUGUCAGUAGAAGACUUCUGGACGCCGAAACAAGAUAUCCUCCAGUGGAGCGGUUGUGCCUAUGUCUUUACUUCUCAUGCACCAAACUCAGGCACUACUUACUGUCGGCGGAAUGUGUAGUCGUAUGCAAAGACGACGUAGUAAAAUACAUGCUGUCACUACCGAUCUUGAAAGGACAAAUCGGCAAAUGGAUCUUAGCUUUGUCAGAGUUUGACCUACGGUAUGAAUCGGCUAAAGCCGUCAAGGGUCAGGUCAUGGCCGAUUUCGUUGCCCAACACUGCGGGCCAGAAACUACCUUCGUGGAGCCGGUACCUUGGACUUUAUACUUCGAUGGAUCAUCAUGUGGGGCUGGAUCAGGAAUCGGCAUCGUUCUCAUAUCGCCUCGGGGGGCAAGCUAUGAUUUUUCUCUGCCGAUAGAAGCCGCCGCUACUAACAAUCAAGCAGAGUACCGAGCUGUAUUGAAGGGAUUACAAUUGCUAAGAGAAGUCAGGGCUGAUUCUGUCGAAAUUUUCGGGGACUCCAUGCUUAUUGUGGAUCAAUUAACAGGGAAGUCCGAAUGCAAGGAUGACAUAUUGAGAAUUUAUUACGAAGAUUGCUUGCAGCUCUUAAAAGAAUUCAAAUCGGCAGUAAUCGAGCACAUCCCAAGAGAUCACAACGAGGAUGCCAACAAACUCGCCCAACACACAUCUAGAUAUCGGCCAAUUCUAGGCGCUAUGGCUCUGGAACUCGCGGCCGAUGACUGGCGAAAAGAAAUUGCCGACUACUUGAAAGAUCCGUCUCAGAAAGUGGAUCGACGGGUGCGUUUCCAUGCUACCAAAUACGUACUGCUCAAAUGUCUGGGGACAGAGGAGGCUAAGACUCUGAUGGGAGAAAUCCAUGAAGGGGUGUGUGGAGCACAUCAAUCGGCCCAUAAGAUGAAAUGGAUGAUCAGGAAUAAUGGGUAUUACUGGCCAACAAUCCUCGAAGAUUGCUUCAAAUAUUAUAAGGGAUGUCAGGAUUGUCAGAAAUUCGGGAAUGUCCAACGUGCGCCCGCAUCGGCCAUGAAUCCUAUUAUCAAGCCAUGGCCGUUUAAAGGAUGGGGAAUAGACCUUAUCGGCCAAAUUUACCCUCCAUCGAGCAAAGGGCACAAAUUUAUUCUGGUGGCUACCGAUUACUUUACCAAAUGGUGGAAGCAAUUCCGUUAAGAGCCGUGACAUCGGCUACCAUGGCCGACUUCGUAAGGGACCAUAUCGUCUACCGAUUCGGCAUUCCCCAGACUAUUACAACCGAUCAGGGAACAAUGUUCACAUCAGGGGAAUUCGAGGAAUUCACAACCGAUAUGGGAAUCAAAUUGUUAAACUCCUCUCCAUAUUACGCCCAAGCUAACAGCCAGGCCGAAUCCUCCAACAAAGGGAUAAUUAAAUUAAUCAAAAGGAAGAUAGAGGAGCAGCCGAAAAAAUGGCACCUAUGUCUAACUGAAGCCCUAUGGGCAUACAGGAUGGCCUGCCAUGGGGCCACCAAGUUAUCCCCUUAUCAGUUGGUGUACGGUCACGAUGCAGUACUACCGUGGGAAUCAAGGGCGGGGUCGAGGCGCAUUUCUCUCCAGGACCAGUUAACGGCCGAUGACUACUCGUCACUCAUGAAGAGGGAACUUGAUGACUUGGCCGGCCAGCGGUUGAGAGCUUUGAUAAGCAUUGAGGAAAACAAGAAGAAAGUAGCCAGGUGGUACGAUAAGAAGGUCAAAGUCAAACAAUUCUCCCCUGGGGACUUGGUUUGGAAGUUAGUAUUGCCGAUUGGGUCGAAAGAUCCUAAAUUCGGAAAGUGGUCCCCUACAUGGGAAGGGCCGUAUAAAAUCGGCAGAUGUGCUCCAGGAAAUGCUUAUAUUUUGGAAACAAUCGAGGGAGAAGAGUUUACUAGGGCUCUGAACGGAAGGUACUUGAAAAGAUACUACCCUAGUAUAUGGGUCGGAGCAUAAAGGAUUGACCACAAUACAACGGCACACAGCCGAUACAAAACGGUUCGUCUAGAAAAAACAUGUAAUCGUCCAAAUCGGCCGAUGUAUUCAUUCGGUACGGACGGUGAGUUACACGGCCGACAAGGUACAAGUCGCCCUUAGAACAAAAAAUAAUAAUUAACCAUUCUUCUUCUUAUGCUCUCUCUCAGCCCGACCUAACUCUAUCAUAAGACGGAUGUACUCUUCGUCCAUCUCUUUCAUUAAAGCCUCACCAUUCUUUUUCUUACGCUCUCUCUCAGCCCGACCUAACUCUAUCAUACGACGGAUGUACUCUUCUUCUGUCUCUUUCAUCGAAGCCUCCGCUUCGACUUGACGGGGGAGUGGGUGGCUCCGGUCCAUGGCCGGGCGCGAAGUUCCUGCCACCGCAUCUUCAAGGGCGACUCGUGGAGGAAGCGGAUGACUUCGGUCAGCUUGAGGUCGCCGGCGGGCGUUGCCGUCCAGAAAGUCCCAGAUCUGACGGAUGUUAGCAGGGACAUGUUCUCGAAGUUCGUCACGAUGAGCCCUGAUUAAAUCCUUGUCCUCUGACGACAACGGUUCAUCAGAGUGCAUGAGCUCGAUGGCGCGUUCAAGUUCGGGGUUAAGGCACCGUGGCUGAAGAAAAGAACGAUUAAAAAGAUGAUCCCCUUCAAAAGAGUUAAAUAGAGAAGAAGGAUCAAGGCCAGAUUUUCACCUGGUUGAUAGAGGAAGAAGAAGAUGAUGAAGACAUAACUGAAGGUCGCGCCGACGAGAGCAGGUUGAGAAAACAAAGCCGAGCCAAACUGGUACUCUCGGAAGGAGGGUCUAGGCCGGCAUUUAUAAGAAAAAGAGGCGUAAAGGUGCGUCCCGUCGGAAGUGGGAAAAGUAAUAAAUAAAAGAGGCGUCACGAAGGACGGUCAAAGCAGUCAUUAAAGGUUCAUACAAAAUAGUCAUUACUUUUACAGAUUACCCAGAAGGGCAUCGAUAGCCGCAAUCGCUCGACGCCAGAUCUGAUCGGCAGAGUCCAAGACCCGUUGGUCAUCAUCCGCCGAUCCGGGGACUUCUGAUGCACUACGAUGGAGUUUCAGGGCUUCAUGGGCCAAAUGCUGCCUCUCCUGUUUUAGAUCGGUAAUAACGGAGGGAAGUUAUUGGAGCCUUUUCUCUUCGGCGUUUAUUGCUUUAGUCACCUGCUCCAUCUCCUUGGCGAGCUCUGCCCUUUGGCGUUUGAGGCGGUCUAUCUCGCCAACGAUCCCUGGGCGGGAGUCCUCCAGAAAAUGAAUAUGUUGGUGCACCUCUUGGGCCUGAUGUUUGUACGCAUCCUCUUCUUCACGAGUCUUGGCCAACUUGGCGCGAUCGGCCAUGUGACGAAGGGCUCUGAAGACCGGGAUCCUCAUCGACUCGAUGUAUGCAGCCAGCGCCAAGGCUUCCUCCGCUUCUUCUGGCACUCGUCCGCUGACGUCACCAAAGAGCUGCCGAAUCGGCGAGGCAUCUUCUACCAAUUUGCCGAUGUCUCCUUGAAGAAGGGAUCGGAUGCUGGUAAGCUUGGCUCGGACGUCGUUGGGGAUGGAGCUCAAGGUGACCUGGCGGGAGGCGACUUCUUCGUUGUCGGAGAGGGCGACCGCGAAAGAGAAGAGGCUGUUGUCAGGGGUGUUCUGUUCCUGGAAAUAAUAAAGAAAAAAAAAUAAAUUGACUGAUGGUGAUAGCAAAUCGGCCAAAUGGAGUUGAAAGAUUUCUUACUUCUUUGAAUCGGAUUUCCUCAAGCUGCAUUUGAGAAGCCGUUAUCCUCGGCUCGGGGGCUGGUGCCAUGGGUUCAUCAGAGGAAGAAGACUCCACGAUGAUUGGUGCUGUGCUUGGACCAGCUUCCCGAGAGGGGAUCAGUGGUUGAGGGGCGCUUGGCGUGCCGAUGACCUGUGUUAGAAGGUUGAGUAAGCAUAUUAUUCAAAUACUAGGGGAAUCGGUGAAAUUGUGUUAUACCUCAACGGAUGGAAGCGGGGGCGCGAUGAUGGCCGAUUGGGUUGCUGCCGAUUGUUGUGUGUCCAUAGGGGAUCUGUGCAGUCUAAGAUAAGAAGGAUUAAUAUCGAAACGACAAUCAGAAGGGUUAAACAUAAGUUUACCUGCAUGGCCUCUAACAGCAGUGAUGCGGCGGCUGCCCCAGCUUGCGCGACGACUUGAGUGUCGAUCUCUCGGGUAGCUUGAGGGGGUGGUGCGGCUGAAGUCUCUGCCGAUACGAGCAUGGGAGGAUCCGUUGAUUCUAUACGGGCCCGGACUCGGCGACUGGUCUUCUUGGUGACUUUCUUCUGUGCUUGUUUUGAUCGGCCAGCAAUCACGUCCACGGACGGGGCAUCAUAGCCGAUGAGAGGGAAGGUGGUGUACGGAUGGUGAUCUUCUAUUAGUCGACCACUCCGGCUGUGCGUUGGGGGGACACGGUUCUCGGACUGAAGCAAUAGCAAAAUGUUAGUGUUCAGCUGUGUUGGUAAAAGAGUAAAAAUCGGCUAAGGAAAAAUACCUCGGUGUUUGGGUCGACGUUGGUUGGAUCCAGGAGAUUGCAGUAUGCCCAUGCAGAGUUGCAGAAAAGGAAUUGUUUCCAUUCGGCCCACCAAAGCUUGAAAGGCUGGACAGCAAAGGGAGCUACUAUCCAGUUGUUCAAGUCAAUGGUGUUGGAGUCUGGGAUCCGGUCUCGCAGCCGACUGUAGUCCAGGCCUGUUGUAAGCCCAUCUUUGAACUUGGCUCGGCCAGCAAAAUAUACUUGAAUCGGCAGCUGACCCAUGCCGAGUUGACGCGCUGCAGCAGAGGGAUUGUAGAACUCAUAUGUAGGAGCAUCUUUCCCUGAAAAGAAGUUGGCUGGCAGGAUUCCCGGUUUGAUUAACUCAUCGGUGAGCUCCUCAUCAAAUCGGCCAGUGGUCGAGUCGAAGCAAGUUGGGAGUUCGAAGAUUGGGUCAUCUCGCCGAUAAGGAAACCAGACGGUUGCAUCUUCAUUAAAACCGUUGUAAAAGCAUCGGAAGUACUCGGCCACUUUCGUAGCAGAGUACAGGCAACCGGGGAAGGCCGAUGCCGCUUCACCAAAAGAUGUGCAUCGGCGACGAGCAGUGGGAUCUUCUGCCGAUUCGAUGUUGGGGAACAUCAUGUGUUCCAUCCUCUGCUGAGAGAUCUUGCUCAUAUAAAGGUUCAGCCACAAGUUAAUGAACCACCAGGGUCUGCCUGGGUUUCCAAUUGGCUCUCCUUUGGAAAGUUUGGUGCCGAUUUCAUGAAGCAUGUGGUAUGUCUCCCCUAGCAAGUGUUUUCCAAGAGGAACAGGGGUUCCUACCGAUACUGCUUCGGCUAAAGCCUGGGUGUUGGUUGAUGGGUCGGCUGCUCUUCCGCAAAAGAAAUGUUUUUCCAACCACAUCAUUAAGAAGGUCGUGUGCUCCCUGUUCUCAACAGACCCGGCCCUUUUGUUGCAUCUGAUAAAUCCUUUCCACCCGCCGAUUCCUCUCGUGUCCAGCCGAUGCGAUGUUGCGGCUAAGAGGCGGAAAGGUGUAUCCGGGGAGGAGAUGUCUAGGCCGGUCAGCAGAACCACAUCGGCUAGUGUGGGGGUCAUAGGUCCAUGUCCAAACAAGAAUGCAUUGAGGGCAUCAGACCAAAAGUAAGAGGCUGCUAUCACCAAUGGUUCAUUUCGUUCCAUCUGGGACAUAGAUAGGUUGAUGCAUUGGCCGAUUUUGAGCUCGUCCCAUUGGACCCUCUUUGGUUCGGCUAUCCGUUGGUACCACUCCCUCCAACCAGGGGUUUCAUUCGGCCAAGACCUAAAGGUGCCCAACCAAUGAUCCAGGUCCAUGGUGGAUUGUUUGAAGGGAAUUUUAUGGGUUUCCAAAUUGAUGAGCUCGGUUGGAUCUGGGUUCCCCAUGGGUCCGAGACAGAUAAGGCCGGGAUUUCCCGUUAGAUGGAUGGUAAUGCGAUGUCUAACCGCCUAAAAAGGAAAGGGGGUGCAAAAGUAAGAAAUAGAUCUAAAGUAAAUGCAUUGCCGAUAGAGGAAGGAUUCGGUAAUAACCUCUGGGAUGAAGUUCCUUGUAGUCGGCGUGACCGCCGGUGCAGCUGCGGAGGAUGAGGCCGCUAUUGGGAUCGCCAUUGGGAUCUCCGAUGAAGCUCCUUCUUCUGAUGACGGAGCCACCACUGUCGCUACUUUCGCCGGAGACGCGAUUUCUGGAGCAUCGCGCGCGGGAGAGUUGCCUGAAGGUGCCGCCAUUGGAGGGGAGGAGGAAAAGCGACAGGAAGAUGGCGCUAGGAAGCUUCAGAGCUAAGGGAAAGUACUGGGGGAAGAAGAAGGCGCGCGUGCUGAGGAAGAAGGACGUGAGCUCGAAAAGGAGGUGCGGGGUGUACUGAUAUUUAAAGGGUGUCUGAUGAAGGGUAAAAAUGGAAUUUUUACCGCGCCGACGCUUCGAGUUUUUCGGGAGUAGUGGUUGUCGUGGGCGCCCGUUUCGAAAAGAUUGCAAUCAUCAGAUUGAAGACCACGAAACGGAAGGAUAUUUUCAUUGCGGUUGUUUCGGAGGGGAAGUUGAAAAGAAUUUCGAAGUAAAAGACUAUGUUUUACUCCGAAACUGGGGGCCAUGUGUUGACGCCAGAUUUCGUCACAAGUAAAAUCGGCGUCAGGAGAAGAAGAAAUGGGAAGAUACAAUAGAAUACAAGGGUGACAGUUGGAAAUCGGCCGAAUGGCGCUACAAUUAGAGAUUGGUUGGUUGAUGCUACAGUCCAGGAUCGGCCGAUGCUACAGUACAAGAUCGGCCGAUGGAUACCCUUGGGGUUUGGAUCGGACACGCCUGGUUCUCGAUCGGUUACCUUUUGCCGAUAAGGAAUCGGCCGAUUAGGAGGUUGGAAUAAUUGGGCUGGUAUGGGCUUGGAAAGGAUCAGGAGGAUAAAGAGGAAAUCAGCCCAUGAAGUGUAUAAUAACCAACUUAGUACGAGUCGUACUUGUAAAUAUUCGUUUUCUAUUUGAAUUAGGGAUAGAGUUCUAGUCAGAUAAGGAGUCGUCUGUACGGGGCUAUAAAUAGCUACCUUUGUAGAUCUGUAAUCAUCAACUACUCAAUACAACAAAUUACUAUUUCCUCGCAUUUACUUUCAAGCAGGCGACUUCGCCAAAUACUUUCUUCUUUUUUCACGAGUUCGUACGGGUUGGCAGGGCUGCAUCAACUUGACCUCCGGCCGAUCUUGUAAGUUCCGUUUACCGAGUAAAUUCUAAGCUUUAACUUCGGGCGCAUCGCUGUUGUUUCGUUUAGAUUUAUUCACUAGUUAUCGAUAUUCACUAGAAUUAUAGGUUUUACCUGUUUUUUCUAGUUUUUAUCACCAGUUGCUAGGAAUCGGCAGUUUCGGCUUUUCUCAUACUCUGUUGUUUAAACUACUUAUUCCACGCAUAGCCGAUUAGAUCUGUUCCUAGUGUUGCCACUGUAGCGUUGUACCGAUUACUUCAAUUAGUCGUCGAUUCACGCUGCCUGAUAGUCGGCUGCUUCAUAGCCGAUUUCUUUAUUAUGGCAAAUCGGCCGAUUCGCUGAUAAGCUCCCUCGAGAUCGGAAAUUUAGCCGAUCGUGACUUUUGGAUCUGACACGUAUUCUUCCUUGCCAAUCAACAGGUCAGAUUGGCUGGCACGCCGCGCGAACCGCACCAGGGCAAUCACCCAAACAGGAGUUAAGCAGAUUCUCCCGGGUCGUGUAUCAGACGCUGGGGAUUCGGUUGACCGAUUUCUAGCGCCAACAGAAUCCCUUUCUAGGUUAACUCUUAACCUCGCGUAGCAUGGCCAUGCAUUUCCGGAUCCGAUCACUCGAGGGGCCCAGAGAUAUCUCUCUCAAAUAGAGAGGGGCAAAUUCCAUCUUGACUGAUCAUCCCUUACAGCAUGCUUCUUGACAAACCCGAAAGCUACCUUUAUAACUACCUAGUUACAGUGUAGCGUUUGAUAGCCCCUAAGUAAGUCGAUCCACAUCUUGAGUACAUGCAACAGUCUCAGGUCUAAGGACAAAGCAUACACUUUGUGUAAAGAGAGAACUAUGUAACUCGUGUUGGGUCAGUCCUAGCACAUGUCUCCACACAUGCCCACAUUAUUAAUUUGACAUCUCCAUGUCCAUGACUUGUGAAACAUAGUCAUCAACUAGUACAUGUGCUAGUCUCAUAUUCAUGUGUGUCCUAACAUGAACUCCGACUAGGGACAACUUUUAAAAUAACCAUACAAGUAAAGAGUUUCACACACAAUUCACAUAAUUGCAAAUCAAUUCAAGUAGCCUUUAAUGGAUAUUCAAGGAACACAAUAUAAAACAUGGAUACAAUGGAAUAUCAUCAUCUCUAUGAUUGCCUCUAGGGCAUACCUCCAACACUGGGCACCCAUGGGGUGUAGCCUCCGACCGCCAGUGUAGUAGACGGACCAAGCUGUAUAAGCAGUCGGCGUGCGACCAAGGUGGUCGGCGAAAGUCAUGGAGACAUAGGAGAGCUGAGGCGGUCUGUGAAAGUUAUGGAGACAUGGAGGAGCCGAGGAGUAUGUAGGUAUACAGAAGUUGUAAAAUAUUUAAUUAUAAAUAAGACUUAGCUUGAUCCGUGGUUGAGUUGGAGAGUCAGCGUCUUGUCCGAGGGUCCAGGUGGUCGACGUUGUCGUAGGCGCGUCCACAUCGAUUGUUGACGCUGCCCUGCGCGCGAUAGGUUGCCAAUGAUACUGCUGCUGCUGAAGUUGCUAGAGCCCCGACAAUGUCAUGGACUGUAACCGGCCACCGUGCGAACUGUAUGGUUGCUGAUCCGUGCAUCACGUGCAGGCUGAUCCAUCGACGAUUGGCCGAUUGGGUUAUGGUUGCGUGACUUGCGUCUGUACACUAGUAGUGUUCAAAGUACAGCGAUCGACUGCCUUGUGCACACAAUGUCCCAGCGUUGCCCCGCACACGCUAUUGCCGGUGUCGAUCGCCUCGAGCUUGCAGUUGCCGGAGCAGACGGCGCCCAUGCCCCAGUUGGUGCACCAGGUAGCACUCAAUCCGGCUUUCAGAACCGGGCGUGGGUGGGUGGGCGAGCAUGAGGAAGUUCUUCAUGCUCUCGGGGAAGAUGACACUAGGGCGAGAUGCCAUCGAGCUUGCUAGGAAGGAUCUCACAAUCGCCCCUACCUGGCGCGCUAACUAUCGGAUUUAUAAGCCCGGCAGUCCACCAGGGAGUUACCCAAGUGGUUGAUUUGUAGGUGGAGGCGAUUGUGAAAUCAAGAACUCAAAGGUGAUCGCAAGAACACGAGGGAUACAAGGGUUUUAGACAGGUUCGGGCCUUCGAAGAGUAACACCCUACGUCAUGUAUGCUGGUGCUUUGUAUUGCUUGAGAGUUGAUGUGGGAUUGUUGGGAUACCCUCGAGCAGUGCCCUUGGCCGCCUUAUAUAGGCUGACGACCUAGGGUUACAAGUCGGUUUGAAUCUAUCCUACUCGGUAGUUACAUGGUAGGUAAUCUGUGUCGGACUAUAAUACGUGUCCUGCAAUAUCCGGGCUGAUUUGAAUCGUCCGGCCUCCUUAGCAUGUACUCUAAGUAUCUUCAUAUCCUUGGCCCACACGCCCUGGUCGGACAGGCACACUUGACAGGUCCGUCCAGUAUCCUGAUCGGUGGGGACCCAUGGGGUACCCAAAUCCCUCACUAAUCAUCCCAAGCUGCCGAGCUCCGUCCGUAGCAACCACCACCACCUGAGAGGAAGAGAGGGAAGGAAAGAGAAGAAGAAGGGGGAAAGGAGGAAGAAGAAGGGGAAGGAAGAAGCCCGUGUGGGAGAAGAGAAGAAGGAGGAGAGAAGAGGAGAAGGAGGGAGGCCGCCCGGGAGCCCGAAGCUGCUGCCGCCCGAGCACCGCCGCUGUGAAGCCGGAGCCGCUGCCGUCUUCGCUGAGCCUCACGUGAGCGCCACCCCUUUCCUCUCCCUCGCCUCCUUAGCUUUCGUAGCCUUGACCGUAGUAGUAGCCCCCGCUCACCGCCUCGUCGCUGGCCGCCGUGAGCCCGGGACACCGGAGCCCCGUGUGCCGCCGCGGCCGGGGGUUGUCCCGAGCCCUCGCGCUCGUGCUAGCCACGCUCGUGCCCGCUGCAUGACGCGUCGUGCGCGCUCGCCUACCUGCUCACACCGUGUGCCAUCAGCCACGCCAUGCCGCGCUGCUCCAAGGCCCACGUGGCUGCCACAUGGCGCUAACAUGGCAAGCCGGGCCACCUAUGGGGCCCACUGACAAGCUAACCUCGUGGGGCCUAUUGUCUGGUGGGGCCCACUGACCAGGCUGCCACGUGGACCAAUCAAUCGCUGACACGUGUCACCUUUUAUAAAUAAUUAAAUACAUCAUUUAAUCUUUAAAAAAUCAUAACUUAUUCAUUUUUACUCCGAAAAAUAUGAAAUCAGUUGCAUUAAAUUUGUAGAAUCGAGCCCGUGUUGUUUGUAGCUAGUUUGGUGUUGUUUCGAUCUUCUAAAUUUGGCUUGCUUGCAGUUUUUGCCUAGAUGUAUUGCUGUUUAAUUUAUGUUUCAUCGUAUCUUGUUAUGUUCAGACCCAAGCUACGACCAGGAAGAUCUUCAAGUCCCCGACUACGCUGAGGAGGACCCAAUCAACUACGAACAAGGUGUCAUGUCACUCCAAUAAUAUAGAUCCUAUGCAUGCUUAGUUGCUAGUUCUCUACUUAUUUUGCUUGAUGAUGAUGGAUUACAUAGCCAAUGUUUUUAGCCCUGCCUUGAUAAUUAUUUAUCCUGUUUUCUUUGUUUACCUACUCUCGUGGACUAGCUAUAGACCCCUAGCUAGUUCGCUGCUCAUACAUCCAUAUACAUGCUUUUGAGUUAUGGAUGGGCAUUUGCCAUGGAUUUGGUGAUGGGAUUCCUUGAACACUCUCGCGUGUGUUUUGGGUGAGUGUGACUCCUUGAUGAGUUCUUGGUGAGAGCGAGCCAUGGUUGGUACUGAGGAGUGCUUUGUCAAGAGAGAGCUUUUUGAACUCUCUCUAUACCCCAUACCUAUGGCAAGUACCUUGUUUGUUACUGAGGAGCAAGUGGCGUAUUUGUAUGUUGCUGGUGCUUUAGCACAUACUUGUUGGUAGAGUGCUCGCUCUUAGACGCUUAAGGACCGAGUCAGUUUACCUACAGUCACAGCAGCUACUUUUCGUACUUACCCCUCACUUACAUUAUGGGCGGGGUUCGGUCCAAGACUAGUAGUAGGUAGUGCUCUGCUUGUAGGCGGAAUGGAGGAUUGUGUAAGGAGUUCGAGGUAUUGGCCUGCUCUGACCAGACUGCACCCCAGCGUGGCUAGGUUUCAUAGCUUGAGGUCCUCACUGGUGACGGCGUGCCCUGCAGCAGAGGACGGUUCUAGACUUGAGGAAACAGGAGAGAGCUAUCCACUUGCUAGGGCUCCGGCUGUUAAGUGGGGUUUGAACGGAUCGCUACCGUUCAGGCUCCAUACGUACGGGUACAGUUGUACAACCUCUGCAGAGUGUAUAAAGAUAGAGCUAUAGUCCGUGUCCACUAGUUAUGGAUAGUGUUGUUGACUACCGCUACUUUUGACUAGACUUCUCUUUGCUUCUACCUUCCCCCUUUUGAGAUAGGUUGGCAUUUGCCGUUGAGAUGUGAGGGGAGGGAGCUCUCACAUCGCCUAGUGUGUUUGAGUGCUGGACUCUUGGGUGAAGGAUCCGGUGGUUUGUGCUAACUUCCUUAUUUAAGGUGUUGACCUCGGAGAUGAUAUUGCUUUUUUGCUUCCUUGAUUGCUGUUGUUGCUGCUACAUAAACCCCUACAGUCGUACAGGUUUUUCCCAUGCAUAUAGUAUAAGUCCCCCGUUUCCUUGGCUUGCUGCUUUUGGAAGUUAACAUGGCCUACCCGCUUCUCGGGGAGAUGGUGGCUUUUCAAGGUCGGAGCCUGACUACGACUUCGACAACGACGCUGGGAAGACUAGGGACCGUUCUUCGCUUGAGUCAUCUUUGGAGAUGGAGUUCGCCAUAGCUUUUGGUUCCGCUGCGUAGAUGUUUUACCUUUCUUAAUUCAGUCCUGAUGGACUUAUACCGGCAUGUUCCACUGAGAUGUACUCAUAGUCAUGUUAUCCAUAAUAUUUGUACUCUGUUACUCUUUUCUUUUUCUGUAUUGGUAUGGAUUUGUACUGUUUGAGAUAGGAAUUUGUUACUCUUUUCUUUUUCUGUAUUGGUAUGGAUUUGUACUGUUUGAGAUAGGAAUUCGCACGUGAUAACCUCUAAUUCUUUAUUUUAAUAUAAGAAUGCAUACGCACAGCUCGCGCGCAUCGCCGCUUUUGUUCUCGCCUCUGCUUUCAUUUUGUUUAAUGAUGGCAACCGAUGCGGCUGGAGGCGAGAAAUCCUGACUUUUUUGUAUUUUGGCCCUUUUCGCGAAAAAAUCUCACAAAUAGGCCCCUGGCGAAACCAAUUCCGAAAAUGGACCCUUAGCUUGGCGCCAGGAUGGCUGGUGCCAAGGUAUAACGUCUUGGCGCCAGGCAUCCUGGCGCCAAGGUCCCCCCCACCGCGCCUCCAACGUGGCGCCGGCCGGCUGACGUGGCGCUGAGGCUUGGCGCCAAGAUCUAUGGCGCCAAGGCUUGGCGCCAGGGAGGCUAGCGCCAAGCCUCUUAACACAGUACCGGGGUCCCUUUCCUUUUGCGCGUCCGUUUGCAUUGUCCUCGUUUUGAAUCGCGCCACCGCCGCUCUCGGAUACCGCCGCCACCGCCGCCGCCGCCGCCGCCUCGGAGUCCGCCGCCGCCGCCCAGAGGCCGGCCACCCUCGCCCGGCGCCCGCCUGCCCGAAGGCGCGUGCCCCGUCGCCCGGCGCCCGCCCGCCCGCCCGAAGACACACGCCCCGUCGCCCCGCCCGCCCGCCCGAAGACACACGCCCCGUCGCCCGGCGGCCGCCCGCCCGACGGUCCCCGCGCCCGCGUCCGGCCCCAAGCUCACCGCGGCCACGCCCCCCCCUCCCCCCCCCCCCCCCCCGUCUGGUGACUGCCCGCCCGAAGGCCCCGCGGCCGCGCCCGGCCGAAGGCCGCCCGGCGCCCGUCCGAAGGCCGCUCGGCGGCCGGAGCCACCUUGGUCGGCGCCCCCCGCGCGGGCCCCCGCGGCUGCGCCCCCCCUCCCCCCGUCCGGUGAGACCUUGCCCGCGGCCGCCGGCACUCGGAGCCACCCGGCCCGGCGCCCCCUGCCCGGGCUCACAAGGCCGCCCCGCGCCCGCCAUUGCCCGCGGCCGCCCCUGCCGGUGGCCCACGGCCCGUCGCCCGCGUCAUCCACGACCGGUGGUCGUCUGACCCCCGCUCGGUGCCCGCCCCCACGCCUUGCCGCCGGUGUUCACCGGUGAGGUAAAACUCUAAGAAGAGUUAUAGUUAACUAGAUAAAAUAGUUAGAUAGAUGAAUUAGAAUUAUAUUGUUAGGUAGAAUUUAGAUAGGUAGGUAGAUUGGUAGAUGAAAUAGUUAGAUACAUAAAUUAGAAUAGGUAGGUAAAAUUGUUAGAUAUGAAAAUUUAUCUUUAUGAAGUGCAAUGAUAGAAAGAUUAGAGGAUACUCAUGACACUAUUUAACUAGAUGCAUGUCCAAUUUUCUUUACGUAGUUAGAUGUACAGUUAGUUACAUAGUAAACUAGUUAUGUAGUUAAGCAGUUGUAUAGGUACGUACCUAACUAACUAUUAGGUUGCAUAGUUAGUUAGUUGUAUGACAUAGUUAGUUAGAUGUAUUUGGUAGUUAGUAGGCAAUUGAUACUAUCUUAUUUCAUACUAGAGAUCUUGUAGUUAGAAUGUUUCAUUUAUUAUGGACUAAAUGAAUUGUGCGUCGUUAUAUUGAUAUACUAGAUGGAGAACGUAGUGAGCAUAUAUCACGGAGGCACUGUGGAAAGGGAUGAAUAUGGAUGUGUUAAGUUUGUUGCCAUGCAAUGCGAGGUUGUCAUAUUCGAUGAGAAACCAUCGUUUAGUGAGUUGCUUGCAAGGGCUCGGGAGGAGUUACAUUGUCAUAAAAAUGAUGAAAUCACAGUCGAGGGCAUACUUCACCUAGGUUCCCCUCUCAACAUUCAAAGGAAGAUGGUCCCAAUUCGGUGUGCAGGCCAGUGGGAAAAAUAUGUGAGGACGGUUAUGAAUGGUCAUUCCCCAAGUGUUGAAGUGGUUGUUCGUUUGGUGGGAGUUGAUCCAAAUCCUCGUCGGUUUUCCCGACCAAUGGGUCAACAGGCACAUUUUGAUCCUCCCGUCCCAGAACCUGUUAUGGACGUGGAUGUUGCACCUACUAUUCCCGAUGCUGAAUCUGCCCCUAAUGAAGUAGUUGGACAUGGUUGUCGGAUUGUUGAUGAUGUGGCGGACUCUCCUAAUGAGUUCCUUUUCACUCAGAAUGAUCCGAGUAAGUGUCUUACUGGUUUCUAUUGUUGAGAGAUAAUCCAGUCGUUCCAUCCACUUAUGCUUUACUCAUAUUUGUACUUGAUGGCGCAGGAGAUAUUCCAGAAAAUGUGGAUGUGCCUCUAGUUGAUGCGCAAGUGCAAUGUGGAGAUGGAUUGCGUGGCUCUAAUAGUGUUGAAAUUUUGAAUGAUGAAGAUGCAUACGAGAUGGGAGUGGAUCUUGAUUCUGAUGAUGAUCGUCCUGUUGGAGAGAUGAUAGAGAGUGAUAUUGAGAUGUUCAGGCGUAUCUUCCCUGGACGUCGUGAUCCGAUAGUUCAUGAGUUUAGCGACCUGACUCUUUCCGAUCAGACGUUUGCAGAAGGACGUGAUGAUGAGCUCCUAGAAGCUCCUGAAGCUGGUCCUAGUAUGGUUAUUGAGGAGGGUAGGGUAUUUAAGGACCUUCCCGCAUUGAAGAGAUGGUUGCAAGCUUUUGCGGUGAUACGGAAGAGACCGUACAAAGUGUUGCAUUCAUAUGCGGAGCGCCGUUACACAGUUGUGUGUGACAAGGAACGGUGCCCAUGGAGGGUUUGUGCAAGAAAGCAAAAUAUCACCGGGAAGUGGAAGAUCACAAAAGUUGUCGGUCCACACAAUUGUGCUGACCAUGAGCUUACAGUGAGACAUCCGCAGCUAACAUCUACCCUCAUUACGAAGCGGUUGAUGGGAAUAUUGAAGGAACAACCCAACAUGAAAGUGAGAACAAUUAUCAGAACUGUUGAGGAGAUUUAUGGAGGUUAUGUGAUAACUUAUGGUAAAGCUUGGAGGGCUAAGCAGCGAGCGUGGAGGAUGAUUUAUGGGGAUUGGGAGUCUAGGUACGAGCAGCUGCCAGUGCUUUUUAAUGCAAUUAAAGCGGUGAAUCCAGGCAUGCAUUAUGAGUACAUCCCAAAGCCAAAUGCUUGGAAGGAUGGGAGGCAGAUAUUCGGGCGUGCGUUCUCGUGCUUCCCUCAGUCUGUGGAAGCCUUUAGGCACUGUCGUCCUGUUUUCUCUAUUGAUGGUACGUUUUUGAUUGGCAAAUAUAGGGGCACACUUCUUAUAGCCAUAUCUUGUGACGCGAAUAAUAUGUUGGUUCCUUUGGCAUUUGCAUUGGUUGAGAGGGAGAAUAAUGACAGUUGGGGAUGGUUCUUAAGACUAGUCCGGAUACAUGUGGUUGGUCCUGGUAGGGAGGUUGGCGUCAUAUCCGAUAGGCAUCAGGGCAUACUUCAUGCUGUGCAAGAGCAGAUAGAGGGUUAUGCACCUUUGCAUCAUCAUUGGUGCACUCGGCACCUUGCGGAGAACCUUCUUCGGAAGGAUGGUGUGAAGGAUAAUUUUAAUUUCUUUCAAGUUGCAGCACGUCAGCUUGAGGACUAUUACUUUCAGCGCAAAUUGGAGCAGGUAAGGACUGCAACAAAUGCAGAAGGUAGACAAUGGCUCGCUGGUUUGAUGAGAGAUUUAGAUAAGUGGACUAGAUCUCACGACGCCGGUGGUUGGAGGUACGAGUUUCAGUGCAGUAACAUGGCCGAGUCAUUCAAUAAGUUGUUAUUGGGGAUACGUGGUAUGCCUGUGAACGCAAUCGUUGAAUUCACCUUCUACAGGCUUGUUGCGUGGUUCAAUGAAAGACACGCAAAAGCAGAAGCGUUGCAGAUUGCUGGGGAGAGAUGGGCUGAAAAACCAAAGAGACAUCUCAUCAUUGCAAAUGAAAGGGCUUCCACACAUGAGGUGCAAUGUUUUGAUCUCGGCUCAGGGACUUAUCAGGUGGAGCAUAGGGGCGGUACAAUGUCCGAUGGCGAGAUCCGAGAGUCGAGGAUACAUGUGGUAGUCCUCCGAGAUUUCAAGUGCACUUGUGGUAGGCCAAGGCAGUACCACUUCGUAUGUUCUCAUUUGGUGGCAGCAGCUAGGCAUCGCUAUUUUGAUAUCGAGAGCAUGAUACCUCAUGAGUUCAGCGUAGACACCCUUGUGACAUGGAGCCCCCGCUUCGUGCCUUUCCGGGAUCCUAGAGAGUGGCCUCCGUAUGAUGGGCCAAAAUAUGUUGCGGAUCCUGCAUACCGUUGGAACAAACGUGGAACAAGGAAGCGGACGAGGCAUAACAUGACUAUGGAUCAGGUAUCCGGAAGAACGAGGCGUGGUAGAGCAACACCAUUUCUUGCUGAUCCAGAACAGAACGAGUGCGGCAAGAUUGGUUCAUAAUUCACGCACUUGCCGUUGGCAGAUUAGUGAGGUGCGACUAGUAGCUCUUUUCGUUACUUGAUAUGUGUUUUAUUCAUACAGGUUGUGUUUUACAUCUCUAAUUUCAUGAUUUAUUGUUUAUUAAUCUUAUUUCUUUUUGCCUUUUUGUAGGAUGGAGCACUUCCACCUUCUAGACCCAGCGUACGACCAGACCCACCGAGGUCGUCUCAUAGCGGCAGGGCAGGUAAUAAUCUACAAUUCAUGAUUAAAGCUUUGCAAGCGUCCACGUCUUGUGUCCUAAGAAAUGUUUGACUCGGUUUAUUUGCAUGCAGGUCCUUCCGCUCCUUCGUUCUAGAGCCCAUGAUGGGUUUUUGGCGCUGCAGUACGACGACCGCUACACUCCUUUGCUAGAGAUGGUUGGCCUAGAUGUCAUCUCGUAUCAGGUUCGUCGUGGGAUGCCCAAGUUCAACUCAGCGGCUAUAACUGCGUUGGUUGACAGGUACUAUUACCUUCGUUCAUAUUCAUUUUAUUAUGUCUUUACAUGUUAACAAAUAAUAAUCUUGCGAAAUGUAGGUGGCGGCCCGAGACUCACAGCUUUCACCUCCCGUUCGGAGAGAUGACAGUGACCCUACAGGACUGUCAGAAGAUGCUGGGUCUGUCGAUUCGGGGCGAGGCAGUCACUGGACCGUGCGUCUCAGAGGGUUGGAGAGCAUGAGUCGCAGCCUUCCUUGGGCGAGAGGUUGAGGAGCAGGGGACUCGCACAUCUGGAGUGCUAAUCUCAUGGCUGCGGGAACACUUCGGCCAGUGCCCCCAGGACGCGGAUGCUGAGACAGUUGGGCACUACUGCAGGGCGUGGAUACUACACCUCUUUGCCUGCGUUCUUUCCCAGACGCUACAGGUGACACUGCGUCUUGGAUGUGGAUCCACUGCCUCACUGACUGGCACCAGGCUGGUCUUUACAGCUGGGGAUCAGCUGUGUUGUGCUUUCUAUACCAGCAGCUGUGCGAGGCGUGCCGUCAGACUUCGGGCUCCCCGUCAGUUGGUGGGUGUGUCUACCUGUUGCAAUUAUGGAUGUGGGCCCGUCUUCCUGUUGGUCGGCCCGAGAUUAUGCCGCGUCGACCGUGGUUCCCAGGUGAGCCGCCGAGACGACAGCCGACAUGGGCAUAUAUUUGGGAUCAGGUUAAGGUUAGCCAUACGAGGUUGGACCGCGCGUACCUGGAUUACAUCAACGAGAUAGACGCGCUCACUGCUCAUAGUGUAAGUGAAAUUUUUUUAACAUGCUUUGUAAUCUUUUAGUAUAACAACUAACGUUUUUGAUUCACAUUUUGCAGGUAAAUUGGCAGCCUUACGACGGAGAUGACCCACUUCCUUUUCCCCUUAGCUUCAUGUGUGCGCCGGACGAUGAUCUUUAUAGGAUGGUGUGCCCUCUCAUUUGCUUCUAUGCUGUUGAGUACCACCUGCCACAUCGAGUAGCACGUCAAUUUGGGAUGAGGCAGAUUUGGCCACCACAGGCGACCUCGACUAGUAUGGAGUUACACAAGUAAGUCUUUUCCUAUUUCAUAUAUUUCAAUACUAUUAACUAAAUUUUGGCUAACAGUAACGUGUAACGUGACGUGCAGCGUGGAUCGAAAGAAGAAACGGAAGGUCUCUGAGUGGGCCGCGUUCCACCACGCGUACAUUCAGGAAUGGGACCAGUUUGAGGACAACGUGGACGAGAACUACGAGCCGCACACAAACAGUGCGUACAGGCAAUACCAGAGUUGGUACCAAGGUGCGACGCGUCACAGGCUGAGGGCAGCGUGCACGGAAGAUGACUACGCCGAUAUCCACUCAUCCGAUGAUGAAGACACGGUGUACGAUCAGAGUACUCGUGCUGGAAGGCAGGUGGAGGCAGGACCAAUCCUGGAUAGGAUGGUAAGACAAUUGCUUCACUUUUCUAUGUUCUAUGUUAAGUUACUUAGAGAUUUAUUUAGUUAGAUAAGGACUUAGUGAUCAUUUGACUUAAUCAUUUAGUCAUUUAGUGACUUAGUGUGUAAGUAAGUUAAUGACUAAAUCAUUUAUUGCUUUAGUGACUUAGUCAUUUGUUGCAGGGGCGUACCCUACAAAGCUCGGUUAGAGAUAUAGAGCAUUUCCGUCCUAGAGUUAGGGACCCCGAGACGCGGAGCUUCCUAGAGGUAAGUCUCAAAUUAUUCUUUCUAAUACUUUAUUAAUACGUUACAUUCUUCUUUCGUAUAACUUGUUUUUACUACUGCAGCGAUUGUCAAAUCGGCUUCGCCGUGCCGCUGCUCGUUGUGGUUGCAGGACUGCCACGACGCGAGACAUGCACGUUCCAUCCCUACGCGAAGGAGGCAUCGGUACGUCUAGCCAAGGCCCCUCAGGUUCGAAAUCAAUUGCAUCCGAGGAAGACGACGACGACGACGAUGAGCAGAGGGCCGAGGAGCUUGGCCCGUCUCAGCUCCAGGAGGCUCCCUUGACUCAGCCUACAUAGGUUGUAGGGGGCACUAGACUACGUCGUCCACGUUCUCCUUACACUCCAGGCACCGACGUCCUUGGUCACAAGGGUAAGGGUAAGACUAGGAGGCAGUGACGAUUCUGAUUGCGAACUUUGUAUCAUAUGGACUAUUUGUAUAUAUAUGGACUUUCAUUCUCAACUAUUGUGGAUUCUAUUCUGAAUGUGUCAUAUGCUUGUGUCAUAUGCUUCUAUGCUUGUAUUAUUCACUAUUCAUCUUGUAAUUUUGUAUGGAUUGCAUCAAAAAGUAGGGGAAAUUCUGCCGAAAUUUCGCUAACAAGUACCAAUUUUUAUUUUCUACGGAUAUUUCAGUAGACUACGACUUCGAAAUGCAUUACAUCGCAAAAUGAACAUAUGUCGUCUACAAAUUGCGUGUCCAUACUUAAAGUGCAUUAUUACAUGACAACAUAAUAAAAGUCUCACAGUAGAAAAUAUUGUUCAUAAAUAAAGCAUAGAACUAGAACCUAAAUAUGGCUACUGAGUGCAACGAGGCCACUUUCCCUUCCUUAAGGCAUCGGGAUUCUCCUCAACCGCUGCUUUCGCUCGGCGUGCCCGCUCAAGCUUCUUCUCUCUCUCCUCCCUGUUCGCAGCAACCCGCCUCCUUUCCUCCUCUUCCUUGUGCUCCUUUUCCGCAGCCUCCUCUAUGAGCCUCUUCUCGUACACCUCCUUCCUCUCUGCAUCCCAGCGCAUCAUAUACUCCAAAAACUCAUAUACUCCAAAAACUCCUUGUCUUCAGGAUUGAUCUCAGUGUCGAUCCACUGCUCAAAAUCACAUAGCGGUGGAGGGGUCUACAACAAAUGCAAUUGUUAUAAAACAAAAAAAUUAUGGACAAUAAUUAUAAGACAACAACAUUUCCUUACCAACAUGUUAAUGCGGCGCUGACGAAGUGUAGGUUCAAACGCAAAGUUGGAACACAUCCAAUACCUCUACCUAUACGUGGCAUGUUCUUCGGACUUGGCUACCUUGCAAGGAUCGCCGCAAAAGCACAUCGGCACUGGAACACCACUAGGCAGAGGCAAUGGAUCGAACGCAUUUCCGGUCUUCUUUGCGCCAUAACUACAAUUUAGUUUAUUUCGUUCUAUGAAUCAAACGCACUUAACAAUAAACCUACAAUUAAGGUUUUUUCAUUUGAUCCACAACAAUGAGUAUAUAACAUAACUACGUGCGUUGAGAUUACCUUAGUUUCUUAGCUUUUCCACGCCUCGGCUUCCUACAUUUGCAUGAAACCCUAAGUUCAAAAAUGCAAGAAAUAUAUAGCGAAUCGAUGUGAAAAAAAGGUACGAGGGAGAGAGGAUACCUUGCUCUUCAGGAUCCACAGAUCAAAUGAAAGGUUCCUAAGCUACAAUGUCGAUUCGUAGUCUAGGGCGAAGUAGGGAGAGUUAAAAACCCGAGAGAGUGGAGAAUAAUGAGGAGUAACUCUCGGGCAGGAAGAAGGGGGCGGUAUAUAUGGUGGAAGGCUUGGCGCCAGGAUGGCUAGCGCCAAGCCUCGGCGCCACGUCAGCGGGCCGGCGCCACGUCGGAGGCGCGGUGGGGGACCUUGGCGCCAGGAUGGACGUUAUACCUUGGCAAGUUAAGGGUCCAUUUUCGGAAUUGGUUUCGUCAGGGGUCUAUUUGUGAGAUUUUUUUGCGAAAAGGGUCAAAAUACAAAAAAGUCGGGCGAGAAAUCUGUACGGGCGAAAGCGGGUAGAGAGAGAAAGAGAGAAAUGGAGGGUUCUUGUUUGUAGAGCUAGCUGCUCUUGAUCUUUAGAAUUCCGCGCGUCCUUUUGAGCGCCUCAAGAACAUGUACCCCGUCGCGGCCCUGGUUUCUCGGUACGCCCCCCGGGACCUCCGCCGUCUCUGUUUAUGUUCCGUUGCUCGCCUUUGCUUCCUUCGCACUUCAGAAUGAUAGUGCUCCUGUUCACCCAGCCUUCGUUUUUCCCCUUUUUAUUGCUGCCGUUCGAUCUUUGCUGUGGCAAGUGGGGAAUUGUUCCCGGUUCUUGCUGCAGCAGCCUGUUCUUCGAUUAUUUCCCCCGCUCUGAUUUUCCUCCAUCUCCUUUACCUUUGGAAUUUCGUCAGGAUUGUGCCGUAGUUCCUCGCAAGAUGGUGGAAUUAGUUUGAAGCAGCCAUCCGUGGCCAGUGUUUGGUCCAGGAUGGAUCAUGUGAUGUUGCAGAGUGAGAACAUGCGUGCCCUGCCAUUUUUAGUUGGGUUCAUGGUUUCGCCGCUUAUUUCACAUCUUGGCAUACAAUGGGGCACUUCCUUGAUUUGUUCAAAGAUCAAAGUUUUCAGUGGUAAACAGGAGUUCUGUAGAGAUUCCCGUUCCACUCCAUUUUUCUUGUCACGCUAGCAGGAGAAACUGAACAUUGGGUUCCGCUCAUAUGCAGUAGCAGCUUCCUUUCACUGAAGCAGCUUUGUUUCUCUGAAUUUCUGUGCUGCCAAGAGCCUUAGACCUGUUUCUCUCUCUCUCUCAAUGUGCAAAGAGACAGUCAUUAUUAGCUAUAACCAUCACCAGAACUUCAGGCUUUACCUGCAGUUUUGUAUGUUUCUGCGUUUUUACUUUGCCAACUACUUAGAUGCCUGAAACGAUUGCUUCAUCCAGAUUCAUCAGUUUUAACAGUGUUUGGACAUAUAAUCGUGCUCUUGUUUUACUGUUCAAAUCUUCAGCGGCUGAUCCCUCAUUUUCACCUCCAUGAUAUCUUUUUAUUGCCUUUUGUGUUUGUCUGUAGUUUAAAGACAUUAAUGAUGGCUUUGUUUGUACUAAUCUGCCUGAAAAAAUGUGGCAUGGUAUUGCAUUGUACUAGCACUGCUAGUUAGCACUGCUAGUUUUCAAGGCGCUGUCCUCACUCUGUAUCUUUACAGUAUCCUGAACUGAAUUUAGUUUAGUUGUUGAGUCCGUUUACUGUAACCACCAUUAUGCAAGUGGCAGAAGGUCCUCUUGGUGGGCCAAGGAUGAUAUUCUUCACUUUCAUGCUUCCUUGGUCCUAUUUUAGGAGAAAAAAAGAAUGUGGUUGCUACCGAACGAAAUGUGUAGUGCAGUGUAGGGCAUUUUGCAGUGGGGUAUUUCAUUUGCAAAGGAUCAUCUUUCUGAUGUCCUGUAGCUUUCAUUCCACUUUUGGGAAAGAUAGUUUCAGAGCUUGAUAAGCAGUCAAAUCUUCUCUGGUUUUCAACUUGCACCAGAUAACAUAUGCUUGAGUUCCCUUUUGAUACAUGUAGUAAGUUGAUUGUAUAUAAUCAUUGUGCAUCAUCACUGUUGUUUCUGAACUCUCUAAAACUUGCCAAAUCGUAGGGUUGAUUCAGAUCAUCUUCCCAUUCGUUGGCUUCAGAAGCAGUGUUCUUGCUAUCAACAAGCGACCUUUCUACAGUUUUAGGUAAUUGCCACAGUAAUGGUUGAAGCAAUGCCUGGUUUCCUGAAGCUGAAGCUUUUGUGUAACUUUCUAUUUGUUUGUUUCUUCUUAUUUUCAAAGCUCUGAAGCUAUGAUACAAGCAUGACUGGUUCUUGAACAUUACAAGGCUUUGGAGAGAUGGGAUGUGCUGCUUCCAGGUUAGAAGAUGAGGAGGUUGUCAAGAUGUGUCGGGACAGAAGGGACUUCAUCAAGCAGGCACUGGAUCAGCGCAACCGUUUUGCAUCAUCACACAUUGCCUACAUUGAGUCCCUGAAGCGCGUUUCAAUGGCUCUCCAGCGGUUUGUUGCUGUAGAUGAUCACCAUGAGCUCAUCUUCGAUACAUUCAUCUCUCCUGUCAAGCAACAGAAGCCAGAGAUGCUCAGCCUUCCUUAUGGUUCAUAUGAGAAGAGAACCAUUCAUGUCUCAAAGUACUUGAGGUCAGGACCUAAUCCAUCAGUGUCAGUUGAGGAGCACCCACGACCGGUGGAAACAGUCCGUGUCAAAUCACAUUAACCCAUGGACAACCACAGUGGCACGGAUAGGUUCUCCCCGACGCAUUCUUCACCGAUGAGAUCGUCUUCAUACUACCCGCCACCUUAUAACACCAAGCUACCCACCUCCAUCGGCCCAGGAACCAGUGAGGAAUUCUUCCUAUUACAUGCCUUAUGACAGGCCAAGCUAUGCACCUCCAUCACCCCAGGAGCCAAUGAGGACGUCUUAUUAUGCAUCUUAUGACAGAGCAAGCUACCCACCACCAUCACCCCAGGAGCCAGUGAGGAAUUCUUAUCGCGCUUCAUAUGACAGGCCAAGCUACCCACCUCCGUCACCCCAGGAGCAGGAAUCAUCACCAUAGGACUUCUUUUGGAACCCAUUCUCGUCGUUAGACAGCUUUGCAUAUCCUCACCCUCGGAGUAGCUAUGAUAAUGUGGUCACUGAUGAUGAACUGGCAUGGUUACAGCGGGUACGAGAGGAAGAAGGAAUCCCAGAACUUGAAGAGGAAGAUGAUGAGUGUCAAGAUCAUGUACCAAUGCACAGAAAAGAAGAAAAAGAAGAGCAUGAUGAUGAGUACGAUGAAGAAGAAGAUGAUGAGGAAGAUGAUGAUGAGGAAUGUGAGCAUUCAGAUGAGUGUAUUGCUUCUAAUGAGGGUGCUUGCUCUGUGAAUUUUGAGGUCAAUACCAAGCAAGAAACAAAGGGAUUUGAAUCCAAAGGUGUUCAGUGUGCUGAAGCACCUCAACCUCGCAAGACAGUAGAACUUGAGAUAAAGGCACACAAGAAAGAAUUGAUGAGGAACAAAGUAGCAAAUGCAGAAGAAACUCCUGGUUUCACAGUAUAUCUGAAUCGAAGGCCAGCGAGCUUGGUUGAGGCCAUGAAGGAUAUUGACUGUCAUUUUCUGGGAAUAUGUGAUGCUGCUCGGGAAGUCUCAGUGAUGUUGGAGGCAAGUAGAGCUCAGUACUCAACCUCAAAUGAUCUUUCUGGUACCACUUUUACAAACCAAUACUGAAAUUACUUUAAAGAUGUCAGAUUUAAUACUCACUGAACUUACCUUGUCAAUUGUAUAUUGCAGCAAAGAUGCUGAACCCAGUUGCACUUUUGCGCUCUGCAUCAUCGUGAUCAUCGUCUUCCCGUUUCCUUCUGGCUUCUUCUAGCUCAAUAGAUGAUCUCUUUGACAAUGAGACAAGCAGCUGUCACUCCGAAGAAUCUUGUAGUACAAUGUCUGGAAGUCAUCAGUCUACCUUGGAUAGAUUGUAUACAUGGGAGAAGAAAUUAUACAAAGAAGUAAAGGUAUAAUCUUUGUCAGGAUUCAGGAACUUGCAUCGAUCGACAAACAAAAGUGGAAGACAUGACUGUUUUUGUAACUUGCAGGCGGGUGAGCGGUUAGGAAUCGAGUAUGAGAAGACGUUGACUCAAUUGAGGAACCAGGAUGAGAAAGGCGAAGAACCUUCCUCUGUCAAUAGGACUCGUGCAGCAUUGAGAAGCUUGCAUACUCGGUUGAAGGUGUCAAUACACACAGUUCAGUCAAUAUCAAGGAGGAUUAAAGUUCUAAGGGAUGAGGAGCUGCAUCCUCAGCUUAUGGAAUUGAUCCACGGGUAUGCUUCUGCUCACUAUAGAGAUUCUGCAAAUGAAAACUUUCAAUAUACCAUUGCAAUUUGCGAUCACUUGAUCUUUUUUUCUUGGAGCCAUAUAGGUUAAAAAUAAAAUGUUGACUGUUGAAAAGCAUCAGUAAUCAAGACUAAAUAAAGAGCCCUAAUCUAACAUAUUUACCACAGUAGGGACCUCCCCUACUGUAUUUACCUCCAAAACGACCUAAUAGAGAGCAGUCAAAGAUCAUCAAACUUCAGGUUCUUAAAAUUUAAUAUUGCUGCCGUUUACGUUUUCAGCUAAUGUAAGACAAAUAGCUUGUGAUCUGAAGGGGUGUGCUUUUCAGAAACAAAUGAAAAAAAUAAAUAACUCUCUGCUUAUUGGCGAAACAGGCGAAGUGCUAGAACAAUCUGAAGGCUGAUUAUAAAUGAAUCCAGCAGUUUGGGAAUGAUGUAUCUAACAAUAAUCAAUUAAUCGCUAGCACUUUACAAAGAAAAUAUUUUUCCAUGGAAGGUUUAAAACCCUGUCUGAGAUUAUAAAUUGAAGCAGAAAGGGACCAUAAGGUUCAAACAUCAAAAGUAGGGCAAUAUCUCAUAAACUCAUCACUGACAGGCUUAUUUUGCAAAAUGAAUUUCUUCAUGUGUAACAGAACAUUGCAAGAAUUCUAAAUUGAAGCUUUUCCGCUCAGCAUACUUAAAUAAUACAAAAUGAAGCAUAACUAGAGGCAACUAAAGGGCUGUAUUUGAUUCAAACUUCUUUACUCAUGUAUGAACCCAUUCCCAUCAUGACUCUGUAAGAGCUGAGUCGAUUAUAGCAUUUUAUACACUGUUUUUGAACUUUUUGUAAGUUAGCAUUAAGGGAAACACGCUAUAAUUCUACAUAACUGCAACUACAACUAACCUCGUCCUCGUGUUAUGCAGCCUCUCACGGAUGUGGCGCACCAUGGCUGAACGACACAAGGCGCAGAAACGUACGAUCGAGGACGCCAAACUUCUCUUCCUCCAGCACUACCCCUCCACCGCCACAGCAAUCUCCCUUGGCCCCUUGGAGGCUGCAACUCCCCCUCCGGCUGCCUUGGCGCUAGAAACCGAGAUCCAGGCUUGGCGAGAAGCCCUGGAGACCUGGCUAUCGGCGCAGCGUGCCUAUGCGCGCGCACUGGCCGCAUGGGCGCGCCGCUGCCUCGGCGUCACGGGCGGGGCGCGUCCUACCCUCUCUGCUGCCGUGCUGCCGCCAGCGUUCCUGGUGUGCAUGGAGUGGGGGCACGCCAUGGACGCGGACACGGAGGCACGGGUGAUGGACGGGCUGGACUUCUUUGUGGCCGGCGUCGGGUCGGUGUGCUCGGGCGCGGCCACCGGGAUGGAGGGCAUGGCCGGGCGAGUGCUGUGCGCUGGAAUGGCCGCGGUCACCGGUGCCAUGGCCGAGUUCGCCACGGCGUCCGCCGAUAUUUACGAUGCGGCUGUCGCGAGAGGACGGCGUGGGACAAUCGCCCAGGAUAGAUGGCUAGGCUGAAGGCAUUUAACCUCUGGGAGAGGGAAGCAGUUUAACAUGUUUGCAAUCGCAACCACUAAAAACCACCGCAAAUUGCAUAACAAUGUCGAAACAUCCAACCGACUGGAGCACAGAUCACAUGUUGAAGAGAUAUCCCCACAUCCAUCCAUCUCUACUCUCUGUUAAACUGUAUCACACGUCAAAACUUGUAGCGGCAGGUGGGAGUCUGGAGGCUCCGUUGGCACGUGCUGGCAUCUUCUUUAGACAGGAACAGGACCCAUCGCUGAAAAGACAUUUGUAGCAAAUAAUUCAAAAUGCAGCAACAAAACAGGUUUAUGCAAAUAAGAGAAAAGGAAAUAGGUGUACAUGUCAGUUUUUAUUUUUUAAAAUACCCUAGGCAAUUUGCAAAGGUAUUACAGAUGUUAUAGCUCAGUUUUGGUGGGGAGAUGAUGAAACUCAGAAGAAGAUGCACUGGUUUGCAUGGUGGAAGAUGUGUUAUCCAAAGAAUGAGGUAUGGGUUUAUGAGACUUUCAUAGUUUCAAUUUAGCAAUGCUUGCAAAACAAGCUUGGAGACUACUUGAUAAUCCAGGAAGUCUAUGCACGCAUCUCCUACGAGUAAAGUACUAUCCCCAUGGUGAUCUCUUGAAGGCUGGACCCAAAAAAGGAUCAUCGUUUACAUGGCAAAGUAUUGUAGAAGGGUUGUAAACUUUUAAGCGGGGUGUUAUAUACUCUUUCGUUGGCAAGGUGUACAGCAGGAGAAACAAGGCGCCAAAGUCCCCCCCCCCCUGCGCCUGAUCUCCUGGGUAGUUGGUAAAAUCAGCAGUUUGUUAGGAUAAGAAUAGAGAUAGAGUUGGAGAUAGAGUUGGAGUUGAAUUAGAUGUAAGCAGAAAAUAGAGUAAGAGUUCAGAGCCUCCAAGGGAAGGAGAACUAAUAUGUAAUCUGCCAUUGCUAUAGCUAAUAUAAGCCAAGGUUCUAGUCCUAUCACGGGGAUACAUAUGGAGAAUUGGCAAUAGGGACAAAAUCAGAAUAUGGGAAGACCCCUGGAUUCCAAGCAUUCCUAGCAGAAAAGGUGCAUCCCAAAGAAGGGGGGCGAUAGCAGAGAAGAUAGGGAGAGUUCAAUAUCCACAUUGUCUGAGGGAAGCAAAUGAACACUUACAAGUUUUGCCAUCAACGUACAGGAACCGGUAUGUUGUCAUUAUGAAAAUUGAGACUCCUAGAAAACCACCCAACAUCUUGUUGUGAUUUUCAGAAAGCUUUAACCUGGAAGACAAAACAUAUUUUGUCAGAUCAUUAAACUUUGAUCCAUCACACACACUCUACUCUGCUGCUUAGUUUUUAACUUACGCGAUUUCACUCUUGUGGAUACUGAAAUCUUUCUUGCAUAUCUCAACAUCCUUAAUCAGCGAUGCCAUACCCGCCAUGUAAUGCAAAAGAACCAUAUACUACCCAAUAAAUUUUCAUUUUGAAGAAUGCAUUACAAUAAGAAUUUUUUUAGAAAAAAAUAAACCUCGUUAUUCAUUGUCUUGAGCCCGAACUUCAUACUGGUUACUUCGGCUUCAGCCUUCUCGACUCAAGUAACAAGAGCACUGAACUCCUUGCUGGAGGGUGCACACAGAGCCCUCCUCGCCUGCAAAUUCUUCUACUAUGUUUGCGGCUCAAUCUUGUUUCUUUUUUUCCUUCUACUUUUUCUAUAACACUAACUUAUUUUCAUUUUAUUCUAUUUCAUUUCAUUUUUUUAUUUUUUUCCUUUCCCUUUUUUCUCCUUUUCUUUUUUGCUAGCACUAAGUUUAUUUUUAUUUUUAUUUUUACACUCAUUUCUUGUCUUUCUCUCUUUUUUCUUUUCAUUUGUCGUUUUGUUUUCUUUUGUAUAUCUAUUUACUCAUGUAGAAUUAUUUGUUUGUAUUGGUGUUAUUUUUUUAUUUCUAAUUUGUUUGUGAUGUUAAAUUAUUUUUUAUUAGUACAUAUCAAAGUUUUUAUUUUAUUUUCUUAUUUCUAUUUAUUCUUCUUUCUACUCUUUUAUUUUACUUUUUUAUUUUAUUUUAUUUUGAUAUUAUACAAGAGUGUAAAACACCCUCUCUUUAGUGGAUAGCCUAACAUUCAUCAUUUACUUCUACCAUACUCCACUCAUCUACCAUGCUCAUGGUUGAAUGGUAUGGCAAGGAAGGGGACCUUUGUUUAUAGGCCAAGGGAGUUCAUAGGAUGAUGACAUGUGCCUCCUUCUAGAGUUUUCACUAGAAAAAUAUCUAUAUUCUAUGUUAUUCUAAUUUCUUCAUAGCAACAAUACCUAGUGGCUAUUUUCUUAUUUUUUCUUUUACUAGUAGAGUGCAUGUGCGGCACACAUGUAAAAAAAAGUAAACAAGGUUAGGAUUAUAUGUCGAUAGGCAAAAGUGGAUGGCAUGACUACCGAGACCCCCCUAUUGGAAGUUGUUGGUGGGAAUAAAUAAAUAAAUAAAUUGGCAAAAUCAAUGCACACAUACGAUUUGUUGCCAACCCACCAUGAUUUAUAUCAAUCUGAUGAUAAAACAGAGUAAGGAUGCUCAUGACCCAGGAGGCUCAAUCAAUUUAGAAUUGCAUAUUGUAUUGGUAAGUCAUGUCAAGCACUUGGUGGCAUUAUUGUCUAAAAUUCCCACGACGUUCAGAUUUGGUUACGUUGUUUUCACACACAAAAAUAAAACUAAACCGCAAUUUACAAGCCAAUCCACUCCUAAUAUUGCUUGACAAAAUCACUGCCGAAAAUGCUGGAACCACCGGAAUCCUUGCACAUACUGAUGUGCACCAGGUCAUGUCUCAACUGAGAAGUUGAACUCAGUGUGGUUUCACACUGCACCACAGCGUCCAUCUUCGAUGUUGUCGCCUCCAGGACUUCCUAAUCAUCCACUUCACAACAGAGAAUUACGAAAGUCAUGUGGACGUGAAGAUGCUGACACCGCAUGAAACGGAUCACUAAUCAUUAUCAAGAAUAGUGUACUAAUUAUGAAACAAUAAUGGUCAGAUUUGAUUAACCAUGCCUAGUAUUUGUAGUUGUCAAAUAUUUUCCUGUGAAGAGAUUAGUAAACUUUUUUCCCCCCAUAAGAGGUAGCUUCUAACCAAUCCCAUAUUUUUAAUUCCCGCAACUAAUAGCCAUCAAAAUAUACAACUGCAGGGCAAAAGAUGGUUUUGCUCCAUGCCUAGGGUUCCCCAAUGAAAGCCAAGCUUCAGCCACACUGUCAUCGCUUUCUUGUUACAGACUAGUUCACCUAUCAUUCUUGGCCUCCAGCAGAUCAGAAUGCGGGAGAAGGGGACACACAUCCAAUGGCAGAGAGGGGCUGGGAGACACACCUGCACAAAGAUGGCGUCCAGCAACAGCAGCAAGUAAACAGAUCAGACCACAGAUGCAUAGGUGCUCCAUGAGACUGCCCUCCACCCAUGGUCCUGCCCUAUUGACUAACCAAAAUGCAAUCAAUUUUCUAUUAUUUUCUUUAUAAAAAGAAUCAUGUAUGCCUCCAGUUUAACAGAAAAUGUUGGGCAGAUGCUAAUUGAUCAAAGGAGUCAUAUAAUCAUGACACAUCCGGCCAUGUGGUUCAAAAGUGUUUGCAUCAAUAUUUCGAAGUAGCCUAUAAUCUGUUCAUGAUGGCAGCUGCAAUUUCUGAAUGCAAUUAUGACACUAUCACUUGUAGCUAUUAUGUGCAGAUAGAGUAGCAUGAUUGCACUCAACAUCAAUACUGAACUCCCUUGCGUGAUAUAAUACAGAAAAAAAGGAUGCCUUCAGAACAGAUGGCACAAGCUUCACUUGCAGCAAAAUGCUGACAAUGUAGCACAUCCAGAAAAUACCAAGACGUACUCAACUGUAAACCAAACUUCCGUAAAAUGGAGCGCUCCGUUGCAAAAUUCAAGUCAUAACUACAAGCGAAACAAUGAUCAGUGCUUCUGAAGUCUGAACCCUGUAGAUAUUUUGCAAAUCCGGACUAACAAGCCUAAUGGUGUUUCUAACUGAACUCUAAUUAGAAAUUCCCUAAUGUUGCCUAUCAAGAAAUGGUGUCAUCUCAAGUGACCUUAUGCAAUCAACCACCUAGGAUAACUGCAAUGAUAACCACCCAAGUAAAAUCCAUAAAGGGAGUGAACCGAAGAAGCAUCAUGACAUGCACAAAAGGUACCACGAACUUGCUGAUCGAUCAACAUAAGUUAAAUUCUCAAAUCUUGAAAGAAUGAUUAUACUAAUUUAAGUCCUAACAGAAAAACAGAGCUACCACUGUAGGUUAUCCUGUUUGGCAAGAAUGAUUAUCCAAUCCUUUUGGUUUGAUAUAAAAUAAAAAAUGACAAAAUUACGUCACAAAGAACAUCACCUGUGUUCAUAUAUUGUUUCUAGAUCACCCUAAGCCAUGCGCAUCUAAAAUAAAGUAACAAAGACGAAAUUAGCUUUCAGAACUAUUCUACCUCACUGCCAGGAUGGUUCUCUUAAAAAGAAACAGUCUAAAAUCCUCCUAAAUCAAUCCAUUAUUGUGUAACAUUGAUUAUAGAAGAACAACAUUGAGGAACUGGUAUGUCAAUCGAUAAUUUUCUUCCACACAUAAUCUUUUCAAGAAACUAUUCUAUCUCAAUGCAGAAGAAUUUCUGGCCAAAUCAACAAAGAUAGUGUAAAGUGAUAAAAGAAAAAACAAUUAGUUAUAGCUACUUAAAAAAUUAGUUACCUGAAGCUGGUGGUAGUUAAGAAAGAACAAACACAAUGUCUAAAGCCUGUAGUCUAUAUCCUGUUGGAAUAUUUGGGCUAGGCCCAAUUAAUUCAACAAUCUCAAGGUGCUAGGUGGUUAAAAUGGUUAAUCCCAAAUGGGUAGUUAAGGAGUAUCUUAACCAACUUAAAUUGGUGGACCAUGCGAAGAGAGAGAGGGUGCCACAUGCGCGUGCUCGCUUGCUCACCGAGCCGUGCCACGGUGAUGGGUUUUGCCGUUUUUAAUCACGAGUUGAUGACUAGUAACUGAUGUUGUGUUUAGUGAUUAGUAACUAACAUGGAUUAAAUGCUGACAACAAUGACUAAUUAGUAACUAACAUGGAUUAAAUGCUGACAACAAUGACUAGUAACGGCUGGAGGUUACUGGUAACUUAUACUAUUAAUGGCUAUCAAUUACCUGACCUGGAACAUGGUCCAGAUUCGUUGAACCUCCUCUCUCCUGCGCCUAUAAGAGAGGUGCUUGUCCUCUGCUUAAUACUGCUACACAAAACCAAUUCCUCUUCCUUUUGUUACUGCUAGCUGCUACCUUCACAUAGCUUGCGAGAGCAGGCCUCCGAAACUUCGUCCUGCUGCGACACUUGCACGAGUAAGCGGGCGAUCAAGUUUUUGGGGAGCGCACCUUCUGCGCGACUGCUCGCUGCGUCCUACUACUUCUUGAAGGCCGUUCUGCGUCCUACUUCCUGAAGGUCGUUCAAGGGACUGCUCUGCAUCAACUCGUUAUGGCAUCAACUCUGAUCGACUACAUCAAACAGCCUGAACCGAUGUGUCAGGCACAAUGUCUGAUAUGUCCAAUUCUGGGAAUGACGCACCCAUUGCCGCCGGCAAUGGUCCCGCCCUUGGGUACUUUCUGAACCUUCUACUUUCUGAACCUUCUCUAGUUCUUCUUUUUAUUUCUGUUUAUGUUCAAGCGUGCUUUAAACAGAAACACUUGCACAUGCCAUGUGUCACUCACAAUGAUCAUGAUUUACUUAAUAAUAUUCGGAAUUAAAAUAUACCAUAAAAUGCCUAAAUUUGUAACAAUGCAAAAACUUUGAUAUUUGUGUUAGGCUUACGGUCACUGGUUUUGCUGCUGCUCUUAAACCAAAUGUUUUUGAUGGCUCAAAUUACAAACGUUGGCGUGAUAGGAUGAUCCUUUGGUUAACUGCUAUGAACAUUAUUCAUGUCGCAAAGGGGAAGCCAGAAUAAUUUACUCCAGAGGAGGAGCAAGUUUUCUUGGCAGCCAAUAACCUUUUUCGAGACGCGUGAUUAGUGUUCUUGCGAAAAACUUAGUGGAUGUCUAUCUCACAUUGCGUUUGCAAAGGAACUGUGGGAUGCACUUGAGAUAAAGUUUGGGGUCUCUAACGCUGGGAGUGAGCUGUAUAUUAUGGAACAGUUUGUGGUAGGGGGCAUUAUUGCUAAACUGCCACCCUCUUGGAGGGAUUUCGCUACUUCUUUGAAACAUAAGAGAUAAUAGUUCAGCGUUGUUGAUCUGAUUGGAUCUUUGGAUGUUGAAGAGAAGGCGAGGGCGAAAGACACUCGCGGGAAAGGGGUUGUUGGGUCUUUUAGUGCCAAUCUGGUGCAGAAGAAUAAUCCCAAUGGCUUCCACAGUAAUAAUAAUAAGAAGAAGAAGAAGCAAGAUAACAAUGCAAAUACUAAGCGGACAACCACUUUUAAGAAGAAGAAGAACAAGGAUAAUUGCUACGUUUGCGGUGAACCUUAUCAUUUUGCCAGUGAGUGUGAGAACCGCAAGUGGAAAGGCAACAACAAGUUAGCAAACAUGGUUAUUGGCGAAACUGCAGGAACGCCGGGGUAUGGUAAUUCAUUACCUACAGUUCUUUCAGUUUGUCAUUCACCGGAGUGGUGGAUUGAUACUGGGGCUAAUAUUCAUGUGUGUGCUGAUAUUUCCUUAUUUUUAUCUUAUCAGGUCAGGGGGGACUUUCUCCUUGUUAAUGGGGAACAGAUCACAUGCGCAUGUUCUUGGUGUUGGUACGGUCGAUCUGAAUCUUACUUCACGAAAUACCUUGCGAUUGAAGAACGUGCAGCAUGUCCCCACCAUCAAGGAGAACCUUGUCAGCGGCUCUCUACUGUGUAGAUAUGGUUUUAAAUUAGUUUUUGAAUCUAAUAAAUGUGUACUGUCUAAGUAUGGGACAUUUGUUGGUAAAUGUUAUGAAUGCGGAGGCUUAUUCCAUUUAUCUUUGUCAGAUGAAUGUAAUAGAGUUGUGAACAAUGUGGUUAAUGUUGAUGAGUCUAAUAUUUGGCAUUCAUGACUCUAUCAUAUUAAUUUUCUUUGUAUGGCACGGCUAGCAAAUUUGAAUAUAAUUUCGAAAUUCACCUUAGUCAAAGGUUCUAAGUGUCAUGUAUGUGUGGAAUCAAAACAACCUCGCAAGCCUCAUAAAGCUGCCGAGGCAAGGGAUUUAACAUCACUUGAACUAAUUCAUUCUGAUUUAUGUGAGAUGAAUGGCGAGUUGACAAAAGGUGGUAAAAAGUAUUUCAUGACCUUAAUAGAUGAUUAUAUUAGAUAUUGCUAUAUUUAUCUAUUGAAGUCAAAGGAUGAAGCUUUACACUAUUUUAAGAUCUAUAAAGCUGAAGUAGAAAACCAACUUGAAAGGAAAAUCAACGUGUAAGGUCUGAUCGUGGUGGAGAAUAUUUUUCAAAUAUGUUCACCUUGUUCUGCGAGAAACAUGGCAUAAUUCAUGAGAGGAUGCCUCCCUAUUCACCUCAAUCAAAUGGGAUUGCCGAAAGAAAGAACCGCACUCUAACUGAUUUGGUUAAUGCCAUGUUAGAUACAGCGGGACUUUCCAAGGAAUGGUGGGGUGAGGCUAUAUUGACAGCGUGUCAUGUCCUAAAUCGUGUUCCUAUAAAGAAUAAAGAGAUCACUCCAUUCGAGGAAUGGGAGAAGAAAAGAUUAAAUCUUUCAUAUUUGCAUACUUGGGGGGUGUUUGGCCAAAGUAAAUGUGCCAAUCCCUAAAAAACGCAAGCUUGGACCUAAAACAGUUGAUUGUGUAUUUCUUGGUUACGCUAUUCACAGUAUUGGUUAUAGAUUUUUAAUAGUAAAAUCUAGAGUGGCUGAUAGUAUGUUGGCACAAUUACGGAGUCCAGAGAUGAUACAUUCUUUGAAAAUAUUUUUCCUAUGCGAGAGGACUAUAGCAAUACUAGUCAAGAAUUUAUUACAAAUGAUGAUCCAACUGAUGUGAUAGAACACAAUGAACAAAAUCUUGUGAGUAAUCCAAAGGAGGAUGACAAUGAAGUUCCUAAAAGGAGAAAGAGAUGAAGGACUGCAAAGUCUUUUGGUGAUGAUUUUAUUGAUUACCUUGUGGAUGAUACUCCUAGAACCAUUGAAGAGGCAUAUUCCUCUCCUGACGCUGACUAUUGGAAGGAAGCUGUCAGGAGUGAGAUGGAUUCUAUUAUGUCUAAUGGAACUUGGGAGGUUGUUGAUCGUCCUUAUGGGUGUAAACCUGUAGGAUGCAAGUGGGUGUUUAAGAAAAACAUUAGGCCUGAUGGUACUAUUGAAAAGUACAAGGCAAAGCUUGUGGCUAAGGGCUAUAUUCAGAAAGAAGGAGAAGACUUCUUUGACACUUAUUCACCUAUUGCUCGAUUGACCACAAUUUGAGUGUUACUUUCCCUAGCAACCUCUUAUGGUCUUCUUAUUCAUCAAAUGGAUGUUAAGAUAGCUUUCCUAAAUGGAGAGUUGGAAGAGGAGAUCUAUAUGGAUCAGCCAGAUGGGUUUGUAGCGAAAAGUCAAGAAGGAAUGGUGUGUAAGUUGUUAAAAUUUUUGUAUGGCCUCAAGCAAGCACCUAAGCAUUAUCAUGAAAAGUUUAGUAAAACUCUUAUGUCUGUUGGCUUUGUUGUGAACGAAGCUGACAAGUGUGUGUAUUAUCGUUUUGGUGGAGGUGAAGGAGUGAUAUUGUGCUUGUAUGUUGAUGACAUACUGAUUUUUGGGACAAUCCUUAAUGUGAUUAAGGAAGUCAAGGAAUUUUUGUCUCAAAACUUUGAGAUGAAAGAUUUGGGAGAGGCUGAUGUUAUCCUUAAUAUAAAACUAGUAAGAGAAGGUGAUGGUGGGGUUACACUUUUGCAAUCCCACUAUGUGGAAAAUGUUUUAAGUCGCUUUGGUUAUAGUGACAGUAAACCUGUUUCAACACCUUUUGAUGCUAGUGUGAUUUAAGGAAAAACAAAAGGAUAAUGAGAGAUCAGCUGAGAUACUCUCAAAUUAUUAGUUCGCUUAUGUACUUGGCUAGCGCUGCGAGGCCUGACAUCUCGUUUGUUGUGACCAAACUAAGCCGGUUUGUUUCAAAUCCAGGAGAUGAUCACUGGCGUGCUCUAGAGAGAGUGAUGCACUAUGUAAAAGGCACUGCGGACUACGGGAUUCACUAUACUAGUCACCCAAGGGUACUAGAGGGUUAUAGUGAUUCAAAUUGGAUUUCUGAUGCUGAUGAGAUAAAAGCCAUGAGCGGAUGUGUUCACGGUUGGAGGUGGUGCUGUUUCUUGGAAGUGUUACAAGCAGACCAUCUUAACAAGGUCAACUAUGGAAGCAGAACUUACAGCAUUAGAUACUGCCACUGUAGAGGCUGAGUGGCUUCGUGAACUCUUAAUGGAUUUACCGGUGGUUGAAAAACCAAUACCGGGUAUCCUAAUGAACUGUGAUAAUCAGACGGUGAUUGUCAAAGUGAACAGUUCAAAGGACAACAUGAAGUCAUCUAGGCAUGUAAAGAGGCAUUUUAAAUCUGUCAGGAAAUUGAGAAGCUCCAGAGUGAUAUCUUUGGAUUAUAUCCAAACCGCUAAAAAUAUGGCAGAUCAAUUCACAAAGGGUCUUUCACGAAAUGUGAUAGACAAUGCAUCUAGGGAAUUGGGCUUGAGACCCAGUAUGUGAGUCAUGCUCUGGUGGUAACCUGUCCUAUGUGAUCGGAGAUCCCAUGAAUUAGGAUGGUGAAACAAGCCAUUGUUUGACUGAGAGAAGAGAACCUUUGAAUAAGGCUCAUUACGGUGUAAGUGCAUUUCUCUUCAAACUGUAAGGCAGGUUGGCUAUUGCCUUAAUGUGAUCUAAGUGACUUAUUUAAGCAAAGUUGUUGUUAAUGGCUCUAGCCCGACCUCCCAGAGUAUAGAGCCAACUCAGAGAGGUUGAUGCAUUCAGCGAUGGUGCUGCUGAUGCGAUCUAGCCCCGCGAUUAGAUCAGAGGGUGCCGGUGGGCGGGUUGUCGCGAGGAUGUGUGGGACCCUCUCCGUGAGAGAAAGGUCACCGACCUGCUGGAUGAUCGGCGCGAUGAUCCUUGGGUGGAGACCUUGUGUUGCUGAUGCGGAUUCGAUGGAGGCCAAGCUGGCGACGGACGUCGAGUCAGCGAUGGAGUCAGAGUCCAACAGCAUGCUCUUGAAGCGGAGCUGGAUCGGAUUUGCAAGGAAGUCCUUCAUGCUCCCAAGGAAGAUGACUUCGGGGCGGGAUGCCAUCGAGCUCGUUGGGAAGGAUCUCACGAUCACCCCUACCUGGCACGCCAACUAUCGGAUUUAGUGACCGGCAGUCCACCACGGGGUUACCCAAGUGGUAGAUUUGUAGAUUAGUGACCGGCAGACAAAGAACUUGAAUGGUAACAUAGGGACGCAAGGUUUAGAAAUGUUCAAGCCUCUGGGGAGUAAUACUCUAUGUCUUAUGUUCUGGUAGAUUGUAUUGCUAAUUGCAGGUGUGAAGGGUUAACAUGCCCUCGGGGGCCGCCCCUGGUCGCCUUAUAUAGGUUGACGACUUAGGGUUACAGUCAGGUAGGAUAUAAUCCUAGUCGGUUAUUACAAGAAAAUCAAUCUGAGUCGGUUUACAACAAGUAUCUCGUGAUAUCUGGGCUGGAUUGGUUCGCUCGACCUCCAAGCUUGUGCUCCACGCGUCUUUAUGCCUUGCCCCGCACGCUAUGGUCAGGCGGGGCCUGCUUGUCAACACGGCCAGUAUCCUGGUCCAUGGGGACCUGUGUGUACCCUAUCCCUCAGUAAGUUCAUUAUCAAGUUCAUCAUCUUGUGAUACCUUUGUGUCAUCUAUUGCCAUAAGACAAAAGGGCGUAGAGAAGAGUGAUGGAGCUUCCUUGAUGCAAUGCUGGCAAUUCCUUUUGAAGGCUUCUCAUCAUCAUCAUCAUCCGAGUCGGAGCUUGCAUCGGAAUCCCAUUCAACAUAGUAGGCUUGACCAUUUCUCUUCUUGUAAAACUUCCUCUUUUUCUUGUCAUCACCUUUCAUGUUUUUCUUCUUGUUUGGACAAUUCAUGGCAAUGUGACCAAUUUCAUCACAUUCAAAGCACGUCUUAUCUUCAAAUGGAUUCUUCUUUGAUGAUUGGCCUUUCUUAUCAUAAUUCUUAUUCUUCAUGAUUCUUUUGAGCCUUCUAACAAAAAGAGCCAUUUCUUCAUCGGAAUCAUCAUCAUUGCCAUUUUCAUCAUUGUUGUUCUCUUUUGAUGAUUGAGCCUUGAAUGCAAUACUUUUAUUUCCAUCAUCAUUUGUUAGGCCAUGAGCUUCCCUUUGUGAUUGCUUGAAAAUGUCAUGAGUGAACACUUCACCUAGCACUUGUGUAGGUAUCAUUGUCUUCAAGUUUGAUCUCACAAGCAAGGUAACAAUUGUUUCAUAUUUCUCCGAGAGGCACCUAAGAAACUUGUGAGAAAAAUCUUCAUCCGGAACAUUGAAAUCAAGACCCUUUAGCUCAUUCACAAUAUCAUUCAAUCGGUUGAACAUAACAAACACACCUUCAUCUUUCUUCAUAGCAAAUUCACUAAACUUUCCCUUGUAUACACAUAAUUUUGCUUCUUUCACAAUGGAUGUUCCCUCAUAAAUUUCCAUAAGCUUUUUCAAAAUUCCAUUAGCAGUUGUGAGAUUCUUCACCCAGUUGAAUUCACUAAUAUCAAGAGCACCAUAAAGCACAUUCAUGUCUUGAUCAUUGAGUAACUCAUUUUCAUCAUUGGUUUCGGUUUUAUUCUUCUCAUCUAGAAUAACAUAUCCAUGAUUCACAAUUCUCCAAAUCUUUUUGCCCAUAGCCUUAAGAUGAACCACCAUUCUACUUUUCCAAUAAUUAUAAUUGUUCCAAUCAAAGAACAGUGGCUUCUUCACAUGAACAUUGUUGUCACUAGCCAUUUAUCCUACUCUGGGAUGGUUAAAUCCUUAAAAUACAAAGACCAAAGCUCUGAUACCACUUGUAGGAUCUAGGAUACCGACUAGAAGGGGGGUGAAUAGACGGUUUCAACUAAAAUCACAAGACUAAAUAAAUUUAAUUAGUAACAUAAGAGAAAUUUUAUAUAUGUUCGUUCUAUAACUAGGUGAGGGUUUGCAACCUAGGGUGGCAAGAUACAAUUCAAUCUCUAGUAAUGUAAUUGCUCAAAGUAAAUUGCAAUAAAUAAAAUUGAGCAAAGAAAUAACUGAAAACAAGAGACGAAUUUUUUCGGUGGUGUCGAGGACUUGCCGGUCACCCCUAAUCCAUGUGAGGUGGAUUCAAUGUUCCAACCACUCCUCUAUCAACCGCUUGAUUUUGAGCCGGGCUUGAAUCAAAGAACCUCUUCAAACCUCGAUUCCACUAGAGUUGCUCUUCACCGCUCUAGCGAGGUGAGCAUAAGAACCUCUCACAAGAAUAGCCGGGGCUCCUUCACAAUCUUCUUGAAGGGCUCAAUGACUCCACAGCCUCCAAGCCAUCUAGGAGGCGGCAACUUCAAAGAGUAACAAGCCAAUAAUGCUUGCUUGAAGACUCCCUAGUGCCACAAAGCUCAAACUCUUGAUGCAAUGCACUAGGAUGCUCUCAAUCUCAUAAGAAUGCAACCUCUAAGUAAAGUGAGUGAGAGAGAGGAGGAAGAAGGCUCAAGUAUGUCAAGAAAGUUUUCCAAAGUGCCAAGAGAACUCUCCCACACCUGAGCAUGAGAUAUUUAUAGAGCCUUCCCCCAAAGCUAGCCGUUAUGUUCAAAACACGCAGAAACGGGGGGAUUCAAGGACCGUCCGCCUUUAUGAGCAUGGACCGUCCGCCAUUGAUCACAAUGGCUAGAACAGCAAUAAAUGCGUGUCAGAAAUGACCGUUGCAUCACAGGUAGACCGUUCACCCUUAUAGGCGUGGACCAUCCGCGGUUCAAAAACUCAAACACACAGGGAGCUAUUAGACACGUCUAGGACAUGUCAACUUUUAAAGUUAGUGAGGCGGACCGUCCGUCCAAAACUAGCGGACCAUCUACCGUUCAUUUUCCCCCGAUCAACUAGAACCAAACUGGUUCUAUCAAAAACUUAGAACAUGUGGCGGACCGUUCGCCCUUAAGAUUUUGCGCACCACCAGAACGAAACUUGUUUUGUCUAACUUUUCAAAUUAGCUGGCGGACCAUCCACCCCUAGGGGCCAGACCAUCCGCAAUUCAUGCUAAAGCUCCACUCAGAACCAAGAAUGGUUCUGUCCAAAAAUUAGAUCAUGUGGUGGACCGUCCACCAACCAGGGCUGGACCGUCUGCCUCUAUAUCUUUGCACCCCACUAGAGCAGGAACUAGAUCUGUCUAAAAACCAAACCAAGUGGCGGACCGUCCACCUCUCAGUGUUGGACCGUCUGCCAUUUCAUUUUUCAGCGCAACAGAACAUCUUCGAAGAAAUGGCUAAGUCAAAUAACAGUCCGCCUUCACAAGGGAGACCGUCCGCCAUUCACACCAAGUUAGCCAUUUUCGAAACAUAUUUUUACCAUCAUUUUUCCCACUUUUCAAACAAGAUAGACUUAUAUGCAUGUGAUGCAAUUGUUUGAGGAAAGUAGAACUAUUGAACCGUCAAGCAAAUGAAAUUGACCCCUCUUGAUAGUACGGCGAUCUAGCCUAUUAAUCCGGUCAAUUAUCAUCCACUAAGCACCUCUUGACCGGUAAAAUAGAAAAGCCCUAUCAUAUACCUUUGCCGUGAGCUUUCCAAAGUGAAUUCACCCAAGCUAUCACCAUAGCAUCCUUUGAAGCUCAAUUCAUCUCUAGGACUAACCUAUACUCAUAACUUCAAUGAAAUUGUUAGUCCUCAAAGGUUGCCAUUAAUUACCAAAACACAAAUUAGGGGCCUAGGUGCUUUCAAACUCUAGUGGAAUCGAGGUUUGGAGAGGUUCUUUGAUUCAAGCCGGCUCAAGAUCAAGUGGAGUCUUGAUAGGGGAGUAGUUGAAACAUUGAAUCCACCUCAACGUGGAUUAGGGUUGAGCGGCAAGUCAUCGACACCACGGGAUAAAAUUCGUCUUUUGUCUUCGGUUAUUUCUUUGCUCAAUUUCCAUAUUGCAAUUGACUUUGAGUAAUUACAUUCAUAGAGAUUGAAUUAUAUCUUGUCACCCUAGGUUGCUGUUGACGGCUCUUAAGUACCAUAUCUAGACCGUCAACUCCUGCAUAAACACAUAAAAGAGGAGCAUCAAGAGUAGUGGUAGGAGUUAUUACUAAUGAAUUCCACAAGUGUUGUUGAAUAUUUGUAUACGGGUCCAUUAAAGGAGAAAAGACACCUCAAGAUCAAGGAAAUACACUCUCAACCAAUCAGGAGCAAUCACAUGGAUUGAAGGGCCCACAAAUGGGAGUAAACCGACAAGGUUCACCGUAAAACACUUCUACCCACAUGGGGACCCACAUGGCAGUCACCCAGCCAAAGGCGGUUCCCCAGGGUCGGCCAAACCCCUAGUGGCCCCAUUCGCCUCUAGCCGCCACAUAUCGCCACUUACCGACCUUGCAAUGGCGGUUAAGGAAGAUUCCCCAGAUAUUCCCCUCGGGAACCGACCCCAAGUGCCUAUAAAUAGCAAGGGAAGGGUCUCAUUUCAAAUCACACCCAGCACCAACACCAACACCUUCCUCACCUCCACUUGGAGGAGUGCCUCCACUUCUAUCUAGAGAAGAGCUCUAUGGCAAAACCUUGCUUAGGCUAGUGCUUAGGAUAGGGAGAGAGAGAGGGAGUAGCUCGGAGGAGUGCUGAGUUCCUCAGCACUCUACUCCGACCAUGUACCUCUACGGAUGUUGUCUUCCUUCUGAGUUAAGUGAGUAUUCAUGAUUCCUUAUCCGGUUUAGUGCUUAUUUAUAAGUGAGAUUAGUUCUCUUACUCGCGGGUUAGUCGCUCCGUAUUUAUACGAAGUGUUUAUCUGCUACGGGUUGACAGACGUAGUUAGAUUGUAGUAGUAAUCAGUAGCGUAGACGUGGUGUCUAGGCUAAGGGUUAUCCUUCGUUUGCCUUAUAUCCCACAGGUUGCUAGAGGUAAGCGGCAAGUGGUGACAGCCCUGUCCAUCCUUUGUAAUCCUCCACGUUCGGAUAUAGCGUAGAGUCGUUGGCCAAAGGCACCUGACUAAUUCAGGGUAAGCCGGUGCCCGAAGUGAGUUUCCUUAACCCAAGAGAUCGACCUUUUAACUUAUCUAGUGCUAUCCAUAGGAAUCCUCUCUACCCUUCGCCUAUUAUUGGUUGGUUGUCCUUGAUACUAGAGUCGUAGAUAUACACACACAUUCCUCUGGAUUCGAUAUCCUUGGAAUACUCUGAGGUGAAAGCUACAACAAUAUCCGUACGCUUGUGGAUUCAUUCGCAUUCGUUAAUUAUACCAACAGUUGCAAACCCUCACCUAGCUUUAGAAAGAGUAGAAAUAGAAUUUCUCUUGUGUUACUAAUUAAAUUUAUUUAGUGCUGUGAUUUUAGUUAAAACCACCUACUCACCCCCUUAUUCGGUAUUUUAGAUCCUACACCUCCGUUCUUCAAUAUAUGACAUCAUUGACUUUUUUUCUCAAACUUUUACCAAUAAUAUCUAUUUAAUGGAUUAGUCAAAUAAAGUAAAAAUAAGUACUAUUGCAUCGAUUAUCUAAAGUACUUGAGAUUUAUUAUUUCCAUAAAUAUCUGUAAAACUGAAUGGUCAAAUUAAUAAAAAAAACUCAAUGGUGUCAUAUACUCCCUCCACACCCAUUUGAUAUAGUUUAACGAAAAAGAAAUCUACGUAUGAUCGGCGCAUGGGAGUAAAUUGUUCCUCGGUCUUGGUGAAAAAACUCAUGUGUCCAUCAAAAGGGGAUGCAGGGAGUAUUUAAGAGGAGCUAGUAGUUUAUUUAAUCAAAAUUAUUAACUUGACUAAAUGUUUGUCAAACUUAGCCAAGAUUUCCCUCAGAAUUCAUAGUUCAUACCAGCCAUGCAUACAUCAUCAAUUUCUAUAAUACGGUACUCUAGCAAUUCUCCACUUCCUCCCAAUAUAAAUAAUGUAAAAAUUCCUAUUCAUGUAGUUGCAAGCAAGUAUUAAACACAUUGGUUUUUUUUAAAAAAAAUAAUGGCUUCUUAGUCGCAAAAACUUGCAUAAAUUUUUAAUGGUUUUAGAAACACAUGUAGAAGUUCUAUAGAUAUCAUACUAACUCUUCCCAUAUAUUGGGUCCUACAAAAUUCGAAAACCUCGCAAAGUGCACGAGCCCGCUAGCUGGAGUCCUGGACAACAUGAAACAAUCACCCUUCAGUAUUUCAAAACUCGUACGAACCAAAAUGAGCACUAAAAUUCGUACGUAAUCGUCACACAAAUGCCAACAAUAAUUGACCAUAUACGUUACUGACAAAUCAGAUGACAAUGCUACCACAGAUUGAGUGAACAUUCUCUGCUUGCCGAACCAGCAAAUGCUUAUCCGAACAGUUAAGACUACAAUGACAAUUAACGAACUAUGGCAGAAUUUAUGAAAGCGGGACCAUCAGAUAUGCAUGGUGUUGACUUUUGAACCUCCGAAGCCAAUUCAAUCAGCAGAUGAAACAAAACUUAAUGACACCCAGGCACUUGCAUUGAACAAUCGCAGGAGCACAUCAAUCUCAGGUAAUUUAAGUUUUGCCAAAUCCAAAUAUAAAAACUGUAUGUAAACAUCAAACAGACCGAGGACACAUUGCCAGCUGAGAUUAAUAGUUCACGAGAUAACAGCAAUGGCCAUAGACAAAACUUAAGUGAUAUUAUAGCAUCUAGGCAUGCCAAAAGCAGAAGUGGAAUCAACCACCAGACACAUCAUUUCUUCUUGGCUGCAGCCUUAGUCACCUUGGCGCCCGUUGGGUCCUUCUUCUCCACGCUCUUGAUGACUCCAACAGCAACCGUUUGCCUCAUGUCACGGACAGCAAAACGACCAAGAGGAGGGUACUCAGAGAAGGUCUCCACCACCAUGGGCUUGGUGGGAAUCAUCUUCACCAUACCAGCAUCACCAUUCUUCAGGAACUUGGGCUCCUUCUCAAGCUCCUUACCGGAUCGUCUGUCGAUCUUGGUAAUGAGCUCAGCAAACUUGACAGCAAUGUGGGAGGUGUGGCAGUCCAGCACUGGGGCGUAGCCAUUGCCAAUCUGCCCAGGGUGGUUCAUGAUGAUGACCUGGGAGGUGAAGCUGGCAGCCUCCUUGGCAGGGUCAUCCUUGGAGUUGGAGGCCACGAACCCACGCUUGAGAUCCUUCACAGCAACGUUCUUCACGUUGAACCCAACGUUGUCACCAGGAAGGGCCUCCUGGAGAGCCUCGUGGUGCAUCUCGACUGACUUCACCUCAGUAGUCAGGCCAGUGGGACCAAAGGUGACAAGCAUACCAGGCUUGAUGAUACCGGUCUCAACACGGCCAACAGGGACGGUUCCAAUACCACCGAUCUUGUACACAUCCUGAAGGGGAAGACGGAGGGGCUUGUCCGAAGGCCUCUUGGGCUCGUUGAUCUGGUCAAGAGCCUCAAGCAGGGUUGGGCCCUUGUACCAGUCAAGGUUGGUGGACCUCUCAAUCAUGUUGUCACCCUCAAAACCUGAGAUGGGGACGAAGGCAAUCUUGUCAGGGUUGUAACCCACCUUCUUCAGGUAGGAGGAGACUUCCUUAACAAUCUCAUCAUAGCGGGCCUUGGAGUACUUGGGAGUGGUGGCAUCCAUCUACGAACAGAAAAGCAACAUAAGAUCAUUAUUAGCUCAUAAUGGAAUAGAUGCAUGAACAGGAAGCAUACACCAUAUAGGCAAGAUCUGAAUCAAAAUUAACUACUACACUGCACUUCUUUAGGGCACAAACUUGUCAAAAGUGGCAUCACAACAGGAACAAGCAAAUAUAGAUAGCUAGAUCAUCAUCAUCAUUAUUAGCUAGUGCAGGCUAUAAACAAUAGCCAAACAACAUCAUUAUUAGUGUAUCUUCGGAUGGCACAUGCAUAUCCAUCUGUAGGGAAUAUCAAAAGAACAAUGUUAUUUGCUUAACUGAAGACAUCCCAUGAACAGCAGACAAACUGUACAUACAAGAGAACAGUACAUCAAUCAAAUAUUAAAUGGUACACACUUCUUUAGGGAAUAAAGUUGUUUAUGGUAUUGCUAUGCAUCUUAUUACCAAAUUUUCACAAAGCACUGUGAACAAUACCAAUCAUAGGAAGAAAGUUAAAUAAGACAAACACUAGUGUUUGCAAUCUGCAUGCAUUAUAUGUAUUCCAAUAACUUCCGAACAUUACUCCAACAGUUGAACGAGAAACUGAACAGAGAAAAAUAUUCCCACACAUAUAUCAGAAAAUGCAAUUCAAUGAAGCUGAACAGCUACUAUCAAACAUAAAUAUGUAGGAAACAGAUCAUUCAGGAAGGCACUUAAUGCACUGCCAAAUUCAGUGCCGAACGUACAUACCACAUUAGUAGCAAUGUUAUGGAAUGAGAGGAAUACGACCGAGUGCAAACGAAUAAAGAUGGACUACUGACAAGUGUAUUUAUUAAGGGCAUUUCAGAUCAUGAACCAGAAUGAGUUAGGGAUUUCUGGAAUUAUACCUUGUUGCAGCAGCAGAUCAUCUGCUUCACUCCAAGAGUGAAAGCAAGGAGAGCAUGCUCACGGGUCUGGCCAUCCUUGGAGAUACCAGCCUCAAAACCACCAGUAGUGGAGUCAAUGAUAAGGACAGCACAGUCUGCCUGGGAGGUACCAGUAAUCAUGUUCUUGAUGAAGUCACGGUGUCCAGGGGCAUCAAUGACUGUGCAGUAGUACUUGGUGGUCUCGAACUUCCACAGGGCGAUAUCAAUGGUGAUACCCCUCUCACGCUCAGCCUUGAGCUUGUCAAGCACCCACGCGUACUUGAAGGACCGCUUGUUCAUCUCAGCGGCCUCCUUCUCGAACCUCUCGAUCACACGCUUGUCGAUACCUCCAAGCUUGUAGAUCAGGUGACCGGUGGUGGUCGACUUGCCGGAGUCGACGUGGCCAAUGACCACGAUGUUGAUGUGGGACUUCUCCUUACCCAUGGUUGCAGGUGAAGCUUAAACCACUGCAUCAGAUGAGUCAAUUGUUAGAAACACAAAACAGAGCAACCAAGCAAGUAUCAGCACUGAAAUCGGAAGCCAGUAAUAUAAAAACUUUUACAAGGCAGUAACAAAACAAUUUACAGACCAGAUCAGGAACUAGAUCAAACAAGGAUAUUGCAACUAUAUAAACAUAAACUAUUACAACCGGAUACACAGAAGCAGCCUCUAAAAGAAAAUAAAUGAAUCAAUUGUGACAAACACUAAACAGAGCAAACGAGCAAAUAUCUAAGCAGAAUUUAAAAUCCAGAAGUACAUAAACACUUAGAAAGGCAGGAACAAAACAAUUUUACAGUUCAGAUCGGAAACUAGAUCAAACAAUACUAUUACUAUAUGCAUCGACUAUAAAGCAGCAGCCACCUCUAAGCAUUCGAUCUACAAGGACAAUGAACAAAUCAACCUACAGAAUCUAAGAAAUUAUCCGGAUCUAGAUGAGACCAUGCAUGAGACUCGAAUCCUCGAAGCAAGCUAGCACGCAAAACCCAAAAAUCCUACGGAAUCGGAGAUGCGAGUAUCAACAAACAAAUCAAACUACCAGAAAGGUCAAAUUGCUACUAGCACGAGGAGGCACAAACCCGCGGAAGCGAAGGAGGCGGCGUGGGGGGAGGAAGCGGCUACUAGUCGGGGUGGCUGCCUCUGGUGGUGAGGGCGCUCGCCGCUAGGGUUCGGGGCUUUAUAUAUCAAGUGCGGCGGCGAGGAGUGGAGUCGGUGCGUGGCAGGCCGGGCCAGCCCAAGGAAUGGACUGCCGGAACGUGGCUGAGGGCCCAUACAUGAAACAAGGCCCAUAGAGAAGUCGACCAUCACUGUUGCCGGUGCUGAGCGAGUGGAGUCUCAGCUGAACCCCUCGCCGCCGUCCACCCACGGCCGACCUCCUCGCCACCGCGGCCUCGGCCGCCACCCCUCGUCGUCGACCCGCACCCUACGUCUGUGUGCCCUCCAUUUCUGCUACUUCUUCGUUCAGCUGCCUCUGGUUCGCUGGUAAAUUCAUGAAUAUUUUUUUUGCUUCGGAGACCUUCAUUUCGUGCCUAGAUGUACUUGCUGGAGCAGAAGUCCAGUCCUCUCGUUUCUUCUUGAAAUGACUCCAAAGUUUGCAGUUCAGGCUCAAAACAGUUUUUGCAGUUCAAGUUCGUUACCAUUCACCCAGUCCUGCAGUCCACCCAACCAGCCAGCUUGUACUCGGUUGUUUGCAAUUGGGUGUUGACAGUAUCUGAAAAGGUCCAAUUUGUGUGCUCCAUUCAUGUUGAAUCUUGUCACUGUGCACCUUUGACGAGUUGUCAGAACUCAACAUGAUGGUGUAGUACACAGCUGCAUUUAGCUUGUGCUGACUAUUGACACUUGACAGUGCAUUACUUGUUCCUGCAACCAAGGAAUGGUGUUUGGUAUAAGCUGUUUUCCCCCUCACAAUUAAUUUUUUGCAGCUAGCUAAUGUGGUGAGAACGUGCAGAUGAUCCUUGACAUUAUCGGUAUCAGAACAACAGCAAUCUGGGUGAACGUGGACAAUGAUCUAUUUUUUGAGGAAAUGCACAAUGAUCUAUUAGAAUGGCAAUGAGUUUCAGUAGUUGAUAUGGGAUGGGAAUGCUGAUUUUAACUUGAUAUCCUGGCGAUUAUGGUCUGUUAGCAAUCAGUAGUUGCAUUGUAAUAGUAAUAGAUCAUGCCUUCAUUCAUUUCUACGGUCACUUGUAUUAGAGGGAAAUGUUAGGACAUUGCUGAUGUAAUAUAUGUCAGUUGAUGUUGUGAUAAUGUUGAGACUUGAGAGCAUUCUCCAUUCUUAGGCAUAGAUCUUUUCAAAUACAAUGAGCAUUUAACUAUACUGUUUUAGAUCUUCAGUUUUGUACUAAUGGACUCCGGAGCAUAUGUUGUAAAUUAAACUUCAUUUUUUUUCUUGAACAAUGUUAAAAUAUGCCCUCUUUCUUUUCUGUUUUACCAUGUCUCGAACAACCUGAUUUUUAAUAUGUGUUGUAUAUACUUUUGUGGUGCAAUAGGUCCAUAAUUCGUACAAUCCAAUUGAUUAGUAUAGUCGAUAUGUGGAGAGCCACUUCUCAAUGUACUAAUCCCUAAAUUUAAACCUUUUUUUAGUAUCAGUUUUUAGUUAUUUGUUAUGAUAGUUUAAUUGUGGUAAAAUCCAGUAGCCCAAACUGAAGUACAAUUAGUCUGCAUUUGUCCAUUAGUUAAAAUUGAUUCCUUAUUUUACAGGGAAGUGUGGAAUGGGAGCACAAGAGCAAAGUUACUGGAAAGAUGCAUGGAUGUGGCCAUUAUGCAAAUUUUGCUAUGUUGUUAGGAUCUGCCAAGAUUCUUCAGGAGCAUCAUGAUGAGUUGAAGGUUGGCUAAAAUAUUUUUCUAGUUAUAAAGCAAUGAGAAUUUCUUAUUGUGUAAUGAAAAGUUCUGAAAUAGUUGAUGUUUUCCCAUCAAACUUUGAGUAAGGUAUCUGAAUUUUGAAAUUGCAGAUGGAUAAACAGUAAAUGGUUUAGCAACAGUUGGAUAUUCAAUCCUUGGUUCCAGUGAACAUGGAUGAUUUGAUACAUUUAGCAACAGUGUAUUAUACUGUUAUCUACUAGUGGUUUUCUUAUUUUUUUUUUGAACCAAUUAGAAAAGGGUGCUAUAUUUUGGAAGAGGUAGCUUCUUAAGUCCAAGAAAGUCAUUCGCCUUUUUUUUAACACUCAGGGGAAAUGCACAACAUUGCUUCUCUCUUGUCUAUUUUUCGUUUCUUUGUUUUUUAUCUUGGCAACAGAUUAGCAUUUGCGUCAACUUCUUAUGUUUCUCUUUGUAGGGAAAGCGUGCGUGACUGUUUAGUCUGUCAAAAUUUGAUUUAAGUAAUUAUCCUUAGAUAACACACAACUAAUCCUGUUAAUGUACAUCAUCCAUUCUCCUGGUUAACAGGCUAAGUCAUUUAUUUCAGUUGUUUCCAUCUCAGUUGUAAGAACUGUCUUGUAAUCUUUGAAUUUUAAUCACCUAGGAAUUUUAUAUUGUUAUGAAUAUCUUGUCGGUUACUGUAGGGUCCAGUAGUCCUGGUCUUCCAACCAGCCAAGGAAGGCGGCGGCAGGGCCUAUUAAAUGAUAGAAGCUGGAGCUGUGGAAAACAUACGUGCCAUUUUUGGGGUUCAGCUAACUCUGUUCCUAUAGAUGUGCUGGAUUCCUUGCCAGGGCCUAUUAUGGCCAGAGGUGGAGUCUUUGAGGCCAUAAUAAGUGGAAAAGAAGGGAAUGCUGCACUCCCUUAUCACACUUUAGAUUGAUUGGCUGCCUCUACUGUUAUUGUGAGCCUUCAGCAACUUGUUUCGGGGGAAGCUAUUCCCUUGGACUCACAGGUACCAUCCCACCUUUUGACAACUUGAUUUCUUGUCGUAUGCCAUAAUUUCCUAGCAAGGAAGAAUGUUCUUCGUUGACCUUUUCUAUUUCUACUGAUUAUGAUUUACAUAGCUCCCUUCCAUAGAAGUUCCGAGUUGUACUGUUCUGUUGGUCAAAAUUACAAAAUAAGAAAAUCAGGUUUUAUAGAAUGAUUUUGUGGUGUCCAGAGAAUCUAUUUAAAAUUUGUCAAGAACUUGUGGAACUUUUUAUCCUUCUACUGACUUGGCAACUAGUAGGCUACCCAGGAGGGGAGCCUUAAUUUGCCUGGACGUGUAAUAAGUAGGCAGCACAGAUUGUUCUGUAUCCAUUACUACAUAAUAUUCAAAACUUCAGUUUUACAUUCAUAGGCAUUUGUAUUUUGUACUUUCAUAUACAAAAAUGAUUUUGCACCGCAAGAAUUAUGCAAAUUGUUUCGAUUUAUUACUCCCAGGUCCCCAUCAGUUUGUACAGUGCACUGCUAUAGCGUUGCCGAUAUGUUCAAACUUUGGGAAUUUAUUCUUAUUUACUUUCCAGCAUAUAAUUGUUUACCUCAGGUCCCUUCUUCGUUCUGCAGGCUAUAACAGUUGGGAAAUUCAAGGAGGUGGGGCCUUCAAUGUGAUUCCUGAUUCAGUACCUUACGAACCUUUUUGAAAGAGAGUAUUAAUCAAUUGAAGCAGCAAAUUGAAGAGGUAUUGGCAUUUUGGAUUGGAUACAUUGUGUUACUAUUUAAGUAGUCAAUUUCUUAAUUAUUUUCCGGAAUUAGUUUCUCUUAGAAAUAAACAAGUAUAAAAAGCUACCUUAAAUAAAUAGCUACUUGAACUUGCUGUUAAGAUGACUAGUCACUAUACCUAACUAGAAUAGUUAAUUAUCAAAUAGAUCAAUUUGCACAUCUUAUUGAUAACUUUAAGAAGUGGGUACUUGUAAGUGGCACCUCAAGCUCUGGGCUGUCACCUAAUUUAAGUAUAUACUACAACCAAGGAUAUGGUAAACAAAUAAGCUGGUGCACAUCUAAAUUUUUUUUGCAUUCACUUAUUCUCGAUCUUUGUUAGACACUGCUGGCAAUUUUAGCACAAGACCAGUCCCUAGAAACAUUUUUUUGGGGAAAGUAACAAUGCUGCCAAUACUGAAACACGCGUUACAUGGAUACAGGCUCAUUGUAAUUUGUUGUUUGAGUACUCGUAAUAGAAAUUUAUCUUACACGUUUUAACUUAAAUGAAUCUGUAGGUUUGUAUCUUUCACCAUAGUAAUAGUUUUACAGCACUAAGAAAACAAGUUUUCAUAGUUUUAACGGGUUGGUAGGUUAUUAGAUGGAAGUGUCUGGAUCCCAAUGGUCAGAAUUCAGGCAUUCGUCUGUGCGUUCUCAGCUAUUUUCUCUUCAACAAUUUACUUCAAGAAAAUUUCACUGUGGGACAGCAUAGGAUCCUCAGCUACUCUCUGUUUUUGUUCACAACUCUUAACGGUUUGGGACCAUCUCGGUUGAUCAUUUGAAACAUUACUUUUCUUAUCUGGAUGCAGAAUAUGCCAGAGAUCAAACUCCGUAUCCCUAGCACAAAAGAUGGAUAAUGGAUUGCUUCAUUGACAUUGCGGAUUCUCCGUGUCUUCUCUUGUUUCUUGCCAUCAAGAGAGUCCACAUGCCACAAAGAAACAUUUUUUUGGGGAAAGUAACAAUGCUGCCAAUACUGAAACACGCGUUACAUGGAUACAGGCUCAUUGUAAUUUGUUGUUUGAGUACUCGUAAUAGAAAUUUAUCUUACACGUUUUAACUUAAAUGAAUCUGUAGGUUUGUAUCUUUCACCAUAGUAAUAGUUUUACAGCACUAAGAAAACAAGUUUUCAUAGUUUUAACGGGUUGGUAGGUUAUUAGAUGGAAGUGUCUGGAUCCCAAUGGUCAGAAUUCAGGCAUUCGUCUGUGCGUUCUCAGCUAUUUUCUCUUCAACAAUUUACUUCAAGAAAAUUUCACUGUGGAUUGUCCUGCAUAGGAUCCUCAGCUACUCUCUGUUUUUGUUCACAACUCUUAACGGUUUGGGACCAUCUCGGUUGAUCAUUUGAAACAUUACUUUUCUUAUCUGGAUGCAGAAUAUGCCAGAGAUCAAACUCCGUAUCCCUAGCACAAAAGAUGGAUAAUGGAUUGCUUCAUUGACAUUGCGGAUUCUCCGUGUCUUCUCUUGUUUCUUGCCAUCAAGAGAGUCCACAUGCCACAAAGAAUGUUAGUUCCUUGGUCUGAAUCUAUGUGGCACUCGUGUAAAAUUUGGCGUGCAGGUAAAAAUCCAUGAUUGACUCAGCCACCAGAAGACCUUUACCUUUGGAGGUACAUCCUCUUCAUGCUAUUGGUGUUCAGAGUCCAGUAACCGGUGUGCUGAUUGCACGAGUAGUUGCAAUGGCUUUCCAUCGACUACGCCCAAAAAUCAUUCUCUGCACUCCCCAAAGAACACACGAUUGCAUCAGCAUCCAUAUGUGAAAAUACAUCACGGAUUACUCUUCAUUCCGCUGGCCGCUGGCAGUAAUAAUAUCAGAAAGCAAGCGAACUGGUUGAUCAUCGGGUAAGGUGAUAUGUCUACCAGCGUUUUGAACCGGUAUGUUGAGUGAGAAUGAUUCUCCACAGGCUCUGAGAGAGAACACAGUACUCUUGAAAACGGCAGCUUCAACUUGCUUUUUAGUUGGUGGCCAUGGACAUGAGAUGCUUAGAAUAACUUCAAAAGUUUUAGGAUGUCGGCCAUCUUAACAGCCGUAAGCCAUUCAACUUUACGCACUGUCGAUUCAAAUUUCAGUAAUUCGUAAUUCCUAAGCACUGCGAUCCGAAUUUCAGUGAUCCGUAAUUCUCCAGUCCUACCAGCAUAACUACAAUAAAAAAAAUCUUAAUUUCUGCAACUGCAACGAUCCGAAUCUGAAAUAGCGUUUCCUAGGGUAACCACACUUCUUCCACGCCUUCUGCAACAUUGUAGUAUAGGGGACAAACAUUUCACCCGUCCAACCAAAAAACAGAGAAUCGAAUCGACGACCAGCUAAAAGCAAAGCACAAGCCUACCAGCCACAUCCUGAAAGAUCAACUUUGUACUCCAAAGACAACGAAAAUGAACAAGCCUGUACACACUGAACCUUUCUGAGACAACGAUCAUAAGUUUAAAAUGUCAGGUAGGAUGCGUAUCAAAAUACACAAGUACAGGUAGACGCUACAAAACGACACUCGAAGUAAACCAAAAACUAUUUAGUGUUCAUGGAUGUAGCAUAAGGCUUCAGGUCCAAAAUGCAAAAGGAAGCCAACGCUAACAACAUAAUAACCAGAGCAAACAGAACUAGAAGAAAACAAAGCUUUACUUGUAGCUAUAUAAAGACUCGGAUUGAACAUGGACGAUAACAGCACAAAUAAGUCCAAGCAUUCCAGUUUUGCCUAGGCUGAAAUAACAAAACAGUACUAGUACAAUUGACCAAGGCGCACUUUGCCUGCAAAGAGUUCAAACGAUAACAGAAAUGGCCAUGGACAAAAAAUAAGACAUGAUAAUAGAGCAUCUAAGUCUCCCAAAAGUAGACACAUAAUCAACCACCAGACACAUCAUUUCUUCUUGGCUGCAGCCUUGGUCACCUUGGCGCCUGUUGGGUCCUUCUUCUCCACACUCUUGAUGACUCCAACAGCAACCGUUUGCCUCAUGUCACGGACAGCAAAACGACCAAGAGGAGGGUACUCAGAGAAGGUCUCCACCACCAUGGGCUUGGUGGGAAUCAUCUUCACCAUACCAGCAUCACCAUUCUUCAGGAACUUGGGCUCCUUCUCAAGCUCCUUACCGGAUCGUCUGUCAAUCUUGGUAAUGAGCUCAGCAAACUUGACAGCAAUGUGGGAGGUGUGGCAGUCCAGCACUGGGGCGUAGCCAUUGCCAAUCUGCCCAGGGUGGUUCAUGAUGAUGACCUGGGAGGUGAAGCUGGCAGCCUCCUUGGCAGGGUCAUCCUUGGAGUUGGAGGCCACGAACCCACGCUUGAGAUCCUUCACAGCAACGUUCUUCACGUUGAACCCAACGUUGUCACCAGGAAGGGCCUCCUGGAGAGCCUCGUGGUGCAUCUCGACUGACUUCACCUCAGUAGUCAGGCCAGUGGGACCAAAGGUGACAAGCAUACCAGGCUUGAUGAUACCGGUCUCAACACGGCCAACAGGGACGGUUCCAAUACCACCGAUCUUGUACACAUCCUGAGGGGAAGACGGAGGGGCUUGUCCGAAGGCCUCUUGGGCUCGUUGAUCUGGUCAAGAGCCUCAAGCAGGGUUGGGCCCUUGUACCAGUCAAGGUUGGUGGACCUCUCAAUCAUGUUGUCACCCUCAAAACCAGAGAUUGGGACGAAGGCAAUCUUGUCAGGGUUGUAACCCACCUUCUUCAGGUAGGAGGAGACUUCCUUAACAAUCUCAUCAUAACGGGCCUUGGAGUACUUGGGAGUGGUGGCAUCCAUCUACGAACAGAAAAGCAGCAGAACAUAACUAUUAGUUGAUGAGGCAAGUGACCUCUACACUAAGCAUACACAGUUUACAUGAGAAUAGAGAACACAUCAAAAAAUUCACUGGCCAACCAAAAACUCUUUCAGGGCAUUAGCUUUUUUAAAUGGCAUCUCAACAGCAAUAAGCAAAUGCAUACAGGUAGGUAAGCUUGGAGAAGCACAUCCUAGUAGCAAAUAUAGAGCAAGUAUUUGUACAUACAUAAUGAGUUAUAUGACCACAUGUGAGUAAUAGUAACACAGCAAACAAACAGAUGUCACGGCGUAUGACAACAAAAUCAAGGAACACAGCAUAUGAACAGAAAGCAUUUUAUAAGCAAGCUAGCUAACUGACAAACAGCUUGUGCUCAGAUUCCCAUAUGACAACUUAAGCAUCCACUAAGAUCAGAACAUUAAUCAAAUAGGCGAGCAUUUAUAACUAAAUUACUGAAAACAUUCAUAGAAAAUCAUUCAAGGCUAAACUAAAAUCAUGCAUAAAUGUACUCAGAAAAGGUGGUUCAUAAUGCAGUCAUUAUGCAUGCAUUUAAACCAUCUAUCAAACUCACAUUUUCCUUGAACCAUGAAACCUCAAGGAACAGCCAUUGAUAAAGUUUGGAAUUAUACAAAUGCUGGACUCUCAAGAACUAAGAAUCUGACAUGCAUAUUGACCGUAUCCCAUAAACAUAGCUGACACAGGAAUAUCUGGAAUAAUACCUUGUUGCAGCAGCAGAUCAUCUGCUUCACUCCAAGGGUGAAAGCAAGGAGAGCAUGCUCACGGGUCUGGCCAUCCUUGGAGAUACCAGCCUCAAAACCACCAGUGGUGGAGUCAAUGAUAAGGACAGCACAGUCAGCCUGGGAGGUACCAGUGAUCAUGUUCUUGAUGAAGUCACGGUGUCCAGGGGCAUCAAUGACUGUGCAGUAGUACUUGGUGGUCUCGAACUUCCACAGGGCGAUAUCAAUGGUGAUACCCCUCUCACGCUCAGCCUUGAGCUUGUCAAGCACCCACGCGUACUUGAAGGACCGCUUGUUCAUCUCAGCGGCCUCCUUCUCGAACCUCUCGAUCACACGCUUGUCGAUACCUCCAAGCUUGUAGAUCAGGUGGCCGGUGGUGGUCGACUUGCCGGAGUCGACGUGGCCAAUGACCACGAUGUUGAUGUGGGACUUCUCCUUACCCAUGGUCGCAGGUGAAGCUUAAACCGCUGCAUCAGAUGUCAGAUGAGUCAAUCGUUAGAAACACUAAGUAUGGAAAAAGAGCACGCAUCUGCACAGAAUUUGAAAUCCAGUAAUACAUAAACAAUUGGAAAGGCAGUAGCAAACCAAUUUUACAGAUCAGAUCGGAAACUAGGUCAAAUAAAAAUAUUACUGUAUAGCAGCGAACUCAAAAAGCAAAGGAAUUACAACAGCCCCAACAUCUAAACAUUCGAUCCACAAGCACAAUUAACAAAUCAACCUAUAGAAUCUAAAUAAUUAUCUGAAUGCCGAUGAAACCAUCCAUAAGAAUCACAUCCUCGAAGCAAGCGAGUAUGAACAACCAAACCACUAGCACGAGGAGGAGACAAACCUGAGGAAGCGAAGGAUGGCGUGGGGAGGAGGCGGAGGCGACGGCGCGUAGGGAGGCUGCCUUGGUGAUGUGGGCGCUGGCCUCUAGGGUUCGGGGCUUUAUAUAUCAAUGCGGUGGCGAGGAGUGGAGUCGGUGCGUGGCAGGCCGGGCCGAACCAGCCCAAGGAAUGGACACUGCCGAAUUGAAGCGACGGCCCAUAUGUGAAACCCAUGGAGGCCCAAUGCAAAAGCGGCCUUCGGCGCGGCCGACCUCCUCGCCACCGAGGCCUCCGCCGCCCACGCCUCGUCGACGUCGUCGAGCUUGGCAGCUUGCGUUGACCCGCACGCGACGUCUGUGUGCCCUCCUGCUGUCCACUUCUGCUACUGCAUCUUGUUAAGCUGCCACUGGUUCCCUGGUAAAUUCAUGAUUAUUUGUUUCUUCCGAGACUUUCAUUUCAUGCCUAGUUGCGAGUCAAGAUGGCCUUACUGGAGCUGAGUAGAUCUGCUGGAUUUCGCGUGUUAUUGGAGUGGUCCCUAUACAUGGCUCAAGUUCAGCCCCUUCGUUUCUUCUUGAAAUGACUCCAAAGUUUGCCAUCUCUUGUGCGACGUUAAAAUGACUGUCCUCUUUCUUUUCUGUUUUGCCAUCUCUCGGACAACCUGAUUUUAACAUGUGCUGUAUAUAUCUUUGUGGUGCAAUAGGUCCAUAAUUCGUUCAAUCCAAUUGAUUAGUACAGUCAAUAUAAGGAGAGCUGCUUCUCAAUGUACUAAUCCCUAAAUUUAAACCUUUUUUUAGUAUCAGUUUUCAGCUAUUCAUUAUUGAUAGUUUAAUUGUGGUAAACUCCAGUAGCCCAAACUGAAGUAUGAUUAGUCUGUAUUUGUCCAUUGGUUAAAAUUGAUGCCUUGUUACAGCAAAGUGUGGAAUGGAAGCACAAGAGCAAAGUUCCUGGGAAGAUCCAUGGACAGGACAUGAUGCAAAUGCUGCUAUGCUGUUGGGAUCUGCCAAGAUUCUUCAGGAGCAUCAUAAUGAGUUGACGGUUGGCUAAAAUAUUUUUCUUUAGUUAUAAAGCAAAUUGUAUGAUGGAAAGUUCUGAAAUAAUUGAUAUUUUCCCUUUAAACUUUGAGUGAGGUAUCUGAACUUGAAAUCAAAUAUGGAUAAACAAUAAAUGGUUUAGCAACAGUUGGAUAUCCGAUUCUCCGUUGCAGUGGACAUGGAUGAUUCGAUGCAUGUUCUGUAUGUCCGGCAAUGGUAAGGGAGAUUUGUUUAAAUAAAUAAUGAGAGAAUAGCCUUCAAACCUAUAGAAGAUUUUAAAACUUGCAUACGGCAAUCAUUCCCUUACUUUCUUUGCAUUAAUCAAGCAUCCUCAGUCCUUUGGAUUUGGGCACGCGAAAAGGAAGCAGGCUCUGUUUUUUAUCUUUUUCUGGAAAAAAAAUAUUGUAAUGAUAUUCAUUCUUCUAAUUCACAAUCCCCUAUAACUACAGAGUGUAUUAUAAUGUUCUCUACUGGUGUUUUCCUUAUAUUUUAUUUUGGACAACUUAAAAAUGGGUGCUAUAUUUUGUAAGAGGUAGCUUCUUUUAGUCCAAGAAAGUCAUUCACUUUUUGUCCUCAGGGGUAGACCUAUUAAAUGCGAUAUAUCGCUUCUCUCUGCCUCUCUAUUGGUCUAUUUUAUUUCUUUGUUUUUAAUCUUAGAUUAGCACUUGUGUCAAUUGCUUAUGUUUCUCUUUGUAGGGAAAGCGUGUAUGGCAGCUGCGCUACCAGGCAAACAAUGGUUAGGAGAUAUUGUUGGGCCUUUGACUGCAAAUGCCAUUGCUGAAUAUCUGGAGCUUUGGCACAUCAUGGAAGCUGUGCAACUUCGAGCAGGGGUGGAAGACAUCGUGACGUGGAGAUGAUCGCCGACCGGUACUUAUUCUGCCUGCUCAGCUUACAAGAUGUUCUUUCAAGGAGCAACAAGGUUUGCGGGCGCAAAGAUCAUCUGGAAAUCUUGGGCCCCUAUAAAAGUGAAGUUUUUCAUGUGGCUGGCUGCUCGUCACCGGCUAUGGACGGCGGACAGAAGACACAGAAGGGGCCUUCAAGACAACAUCGCCUGUAAGCUGUGUUGGGCCUUGUUUAGUUGCCCUGAAUUUGGGUGUCCAAAAUUACUAUUGUAGCACUGUAGCAUACUGUAGCGUUUCGUUUGUAUUUGUGAAUUAUUGUCCAAAUAUUGACUAAUUAGGCUCAAAAGAUUCGUCUCGCAAAGUACAACAAAACAGUGCAAUUAGUUUUUAUUUCGUCUACAUUUAGUACUCCAUGCAUGUACCGCAAGUUUGAUGUGACGGGAAUCUUCUUUUUGCAUAGUGUCAAAAUUGGGAGUUUGCAUGGAACUAAACAAGACCCAAGAAACAGAAACUGCAUGCCUGCAUGCCGUCUUUUUUGCCACUGCUCUUUCACACAGCAGGUGUGGCACGCCAUCAGCUCGGCCAUCGGGCUAGUUAGUCAAGCUCCAGCCCCAGAAAUGCAGGUCCUUGACUGGUGGAACAACAAGAGAGGAGGGCUGAACAAGUUGCAGCAGAAAGGUUUGGAUUCUGCUUUCAUGCUAAUAUCAUGGAGGUUGUGGAAGGAAAGAAACGGAAGAGUCAUCAGCAGUCAACCGGAGAACUCUGCAGCCCAAGUUGCAGCUCUCGUCAUGGAGGAAGGCCACCUGUGGAUCCAAGCUGGAGCAAAGUUUCUGGCAGCUAUAGGUUGGCCUGCUACAUCGUCAGGCACAUAGACUGCUAGGCUAGUCUGUUUUCAUAUUGUCAAUUUGUUGUGUAAUCGAUUCAGUUGAUGUGCCACCGUGUGCGUGCGCCUGGUAUAUGACCCGCGUUGUAAAAUGUUGACAAUUUCUUCUUACGCAAUACUCCUGCGUAUUCUUUACGCAACACUCCUACGUAUUCUUGAAAAAAAAAAGAAAAAGUGUGUGUGACUGUUUAGUCAUUCAAAAUUUGAUUUAAGUAAUUGUGCACAUCGACCAUUCUCCUGGUGAGGUCACUUAGUUCAGUUGCUUCCAUAUCAGUUAUAUGAUUUUUCUUGUAGUCUUUGAAUUUUAGUCACCUAGGAAUUUUAUAUGGUUAUGAAUACAGGGUUGAUUACUGUAGAGUACAGUAGUCCUGGUCUUCGAACCAGCCGAGGAAUGAGGUGGUGGGGCCCAGAAAACGAUAGAAGCUGGAGCUCUGGAAAUGCUAUUUUUGGGGUUCGCAUAGCUAACGAUGUUCCUAUAGAUGUGCUGGAAUCCAGGGAAGGGCCUAUGAUGGCCGAGGGUAGUAUCUUUGAGGCUGUAAUACCUGUUUGGCAACCAUGUGUUAAAGUUUAACACCUGUCACAUCGGAUGUUUGGAUGCUGAUUAGGAGUAUUAAAUAUAGGCUAAUUACAAAACUAAUUGCACAGAUGGAGUGUAAUUCACGAGAUGAAUCUAUUAAGCCUAAUUAGUCCAUGAUUUGACAAUGCGGUGCUACAGUAACCAAUUGCUAAUGAUGGAUUAAUUAGGCUUAAUAGAUGCGUCUCGCGAAUUAGCACAGGGUUCUGCAAUUAGUUUUAUAAUUAGCUCAUAUUUAGUUCUCCUAAUUAGCAUCCGAACAUCCGAUAUGAUACUGUUAAAGUUUAACAUCUCGUAUCCAAACACCCCCGGAAAGGGAGGGUUGCUGCACUUCCUCAUCGCACUACAGAUCCGAUACUGGCUGCCUCAAAUGUUAUUGUGAGCCUUCAUCAACUUGUUUCUGGGGAAGCUGAUCCGUUGGACUUAGGAGGUAUUUGUUUCCUACGGGCUAAACUUUAGCUCCCAUCACAUCGAAUAUUUGAUACUAAUUAGGAGUAUUAAAUAUAGACUAAUUAUAAAAGUAAUUGCACAGAUGGCGAGACAAAUCUAGUAAGCCUAAUUAAUCCAUGAUUUGACAAUGUGGUACAGUAACCAUUUGCUAAUGAUGGAUUAAUUAGGCUUAAUAGAUUCGUCUCGCGAAUUAGCCUAGGGCUUCUGCAAUUAGUUUUAUAAUUAGCUCAUAUUUAGGGCCUGUUUGGCUCACCAGUGUUAAAGUUUAACACCUGUCACAUCGGAUGUUUGAAUGCUAAUUAGGAGUAUUAAAUAUAGGCUAAUUACAAAACUAAUUGCACAGAUGGAGUGUAAUUCGCGAGACGAAUCUAUUAAGCCUAAUUAGUCCAUGAUUUGAUAAUGUGGUGCUACAGUAACCAUUUGCUAAUGAUGGAUUAAUUAGGCUUAAUAGAUUCGUCUCGCGAAUUAGCAUAGGGUUCUGCAAUUAGUUUUAUAAUUAGCUCAUAUUUAGUUCUCCUAAUUAGUAUUCGAACGUUCGAUGUGACACUGUUAAAGUUUAACACCUCGUAUCCAAACACCCCCUUAGCCCUCUUAAUUAGCAUCUGAACAUUGACAAGGGCUAAACUUUAGACAAGGAUCCAAACACGCCCUUACACCACUGUCCCAUCUUUUGCGACUUAAUUUGGUGUUGUAUGCCACAAAUUUCCAAGCAAGGAAGCAUAUUCUUGGUUAACUUCGUUUUCUACUUAUAUGAUUUACAUAGCUCCCUUCCGUAGAAGUUCCGUGUUAUACUAUUCUGUUGGUCUAAAUUACAGAACAAUAAUAACAAAUUUUAUAGAAUGAUUUUGUGGUGUGCUGGGAAAUCUAUUUAAAAUUUGUCAAGAUUGUGUUGAACUUUUUAUCCUGCGAGUAACAUGGGAACUAGUACACUAUCCAGGAGGCGAGCCCUAAUUUGCCUGGACGUGUAAUAGCUAGACAGCACAGAUUGUUCUGUUUCCUUGCUAUUUAAUAUUCAAAACUUAAGUUUUACACUCAUAAGUUGUUCAGUGUAGGCAUUUGUACUUCAUAUACAAAAAUGAUUCUGCACCACAAGAAUUAUACAAAUUAUUUAUUCGAUUUAUUACUCCCAGGUCCCCAUCUGUUUGUUCAGUGCACUGACUAAAAAGCACUGCCGUUAUGUUGGAACUUUCGGAAUUUAUUCUUACUAGCAGAAAUGCCCGUGCGUUGCUACGGGUCAUUACUUGCUCACGUGUUGGCGUUGAUGGAGGUGAUCUAUACGCGUGUUGCUGAGCAGUUUCUCGAUGGCGAGGAGGUCCUGGGCUCCUGGCCACAACUCUGCAGCUAUUUAUACAGGCAAGAACGCAACCUCGAUUUCUAUCCGAGUCGGCCUCGAUUCUGAUCCGGUUCGGCAGCGAACUCUCUUGGCAGUCUGGCCCCGAGUCAGCUUCGAUUCCGAUCCAAUUCGGAAGCGAGCUCUCCUGGCAGUCUGGCCUCCACUCCAAUCGCUGCCCACUUCGCUGCCGCCUCGAGGAUGCGGUGGCCAUUACCUGGUCGACACGGCUGGCGUCGUGCGGGUCCCUGAAGUGGUGUAAGAAUCGGAGGAUGAUGGCGUCGACGUCGGAGGAUGGCGGGAUAUCGUCGGUGGACAUGAGGACCUCCUGGAGGUGACGGCCGCGCCGUCGUGGCUGUGGCCAUUCUCGACGGGCGGGAGCCUCCUCCUGGAAGUGGAGGAGGAGGAGACGUUCAAAGUCAACCAGUUCGAGUUCGACUACGCGUCGGAUUCGACUUCGCCUCGGACUACUCCAACGUUCCGCUCAGGGGUCGGACACUCCCGACCCCAGGACUCAGGGUCGGUCGAGGCGGAGCUUCACUCGGGGUCGGGCGAGGCGGAGUCCCACCCUCAAGGGGUCGGGCGCAUCCAACCCCGGGACCAAGGGGUCGGGCGCAUCCGACCCCGGGAAAAAGGGUCGGGCGAGACGGAGUUCCACCCUCAAGGGGUCGGGCGCAUCCGACCCCGGGACUAAGGGUCGGGCGAGGCGGAGUUCCACCCUCAAAGGGGUCGGGCGCAUCCGACCCCGGGACCAAGGGUCGGGCGUAUACUCAAAUUGGAUUGUGGGUUGAUAUCACGAAAUAUCAGGGUUUUUUUUUGAAAAAUAGCCUCGGACUACCCCAACGUUCCGCUCAGGGGUCGGACACUCCCGACCCCAGGACUCAGGGUCGGGCGAGGUGGAGCUUCACUCGGGGUCGGGCAAGGCGGAGUUCCACCCUCAAGGGGUCGGGCGCAUCCGACCCCGGGACCAAGGGUCGGGCAAGGCGGAGUUCCACCCUCAAGGGGUCGGGCGCAUCCGACCCCGGGACCAAGGGUUGGGCGAGGCGGAGUUCCACCCUCAAGGGGUCGGGCGCAUCCGACCCCGAGACUGCGGGUUGAUAUCAUGAAAUGUUAGGGGUUUUUUUGAAAAAUAGCCCGACGGACGAAAAAUCCAGGCAGAAACGUUACUUGCUUUGAUAAUAGGUAAAGAUUUACUUUCCAGCAUAUAAUUCUUUCCUUUGGGUCCAUGCUUUGUUCUGCAGGUUAUAACAGUCCGAAAACUUCAAGGAUGUGGAGCCUUCAGUAUGAUCCCUGAUUCAGUAACAAUAGGUGGCACCUUCCGAGCCUUUUUAAAAGAGUAAGUAUUAAUCAAUUGAAGCAGUGAAUUGAAGAUGUAAUUGCAUUUUGGCUUGGAUACGUUGUAUUACUAUUUAAGUAGUCAAAUUCUUAAUUAUUUCUGGGAAUUAGGUUCUCUUAGAAAUAAACAGGACUAAAAGGUUGCCUUAAAUAAAUAGCUACUUGAACUUGAUGUUAAUAUGACUAGUCACUAAACCUAACUAGAAUAGUUAAUUGUCAAUAGACCAAUUUGCAUAUCUCAUCGAUAGCUUUAAGAAGUGGGUACUUGCAAGUGGCACCUCAUGCUCUGCGUUGUCACAUAAUUUAAAUAUAUACUACAGCCAAGGAGUAAACAAAUAAGCUGGUGCACAUCUAAAAUUUGUUGCAUUCCCUUAUUCCCCAUCUUUGUUAGAUUUUACUGCUGGAAAUAUAAGCACAAGACCAAUCCCUGAUGCUUAUUCUCUCAUGUAGAAACUUUAAUUUUUGGGAAACUAGCACAUGCUGCCAGUACUGGAACACGCGUUAUAUGGAUAUAGGCUCACGUGUAAUACUUGUUUGAGUACUCAUAAUAGAAAUUUUUCUUACACAUUUUAAUUUAAAUGAAAAUUAUAGCUGUAGUUUUGUAGCUUUCACCCUGGUUUUACCGCACUUAGAAAACACGUUUGUUUUUACAGGUUGGUAGGUUAGUAGAUGGAAGUGUCUGGGUCACAAUGGUCAGAACUCUGACAUCAUCUGUGCUGAGUUCUCAGCUAUUUCCCUUUUUCUUCAACAUUUUACUUCAAGAAAAUUUCACUGCGGAUGGUCCUGCGUAGGAUAUCAGCUGCUCUCUGUUUUUCAUGUCCCAGGUGAUCAUGUCUCAAUGUCUCAAGCAUCCGUGCGGCGAUGCCGUGCUACUGUGGACUUCCUCACUGAAAGAAUGGGCUGUGGCAUGUGGCAUGUAGCAUGGGGACAGUAGAUUGAUUAGAAGAGAUACAAGAUAUAUAGGUUAGUUAUCUCCGUUUAAUUUCCUUGACGCGCUGACGUGUGGGACGUAGGGUGGGAGUUAGUGUAUUUGCUUUACAGAAUGUAUCUGGAUACAUUUUAGCCUCGUCAUAUAUAUAUAUUUUUACCAUGAUAUUUUGCUAUUUUUCCUAGAAACUAAUGUGUUUUAACGUAACGCUUGAUUGUCACUACAUGAAUCGGAAUUUCACUUUUAUGAUAUUGGGAAGGGAUGCAUCGCUGGUAUCAAGGGACUGGUAUUUAAAUGAUUGAAAUAGUGUAACAUAAAACAACAGAUGAGAGUUCGAACAUUGAAUAAUCAAUUAACCUAUUUAUUGUUGUGUUGGCCUUCAUUAUUUAAGUUUUUAUAGGAUACAUAACAAUUUUGUAGUUUUUGAAUGGCUUCUUGCAGUUGUAGAUAUCUGGGAUAAUGAAUGUUUGGCCUAAAAAACAAUUAUGAUUUUGAAAAGAACAGUUUUGUAUUUCGGAAAAAAGAAAACAAAAGUUUUAUAAAUAUUAGACUAACUCAUCCUUCAGUACAAAUCCGUCAUGGACUUGGAAGUUGGAACCUAGCAUUUCAAUCAAAAAGAAGAACGAAAAACAGUUUAAUUUCCAUUGAAUACAAAAUGUGCCAUGCCUCCUAAACGAGCCAUAAACAAAUUAGUACACGAUCUACCAACAUCUGCAGGGCAUCUACACCAGUAGCCACCCCGGCAGCAUAGGACAACGCUGGGUGAAACACGCAUGUGCAUAUUUUGAAAUAUGUACGAAUCAAAAUGAGUAUUCGAAUUCGUACUAAAUGUUGGACAAAUUAGUGCCAAUACUAAUUAGCAGUGUCAGACAUAUUUUAUCCGGAGAAUUACACCCAAGUUCAGAUCUUAUCAGAUGAAAGAAUUUGUCCCACAGACACGGAAGCAAUUUGCUUGGCUACAUAUCCGAAUGUAUAAUUUCCAAAACAUAUGUUGGACAAGCGUGUAUACAUUGAGUGCAUCGUAUACAUGUAUCAUAAAUUUUUACAGAAUGUUCCAUCAUAUCACCAAAUUUUCAUAAAACUAAUUUUAAUCUGGUAAAGCUAAAAUCUCCGGCAGAUUUUGGCCGCUAAUAAUCUGCUAGAGCAACGCAAAUGCUUUCUGACGAUAGGCGAUAGCACAAAAUUCAAAGGACGUUCAAGACUGAAAGUGAACCUUGUGAAUUAAGACGACAACACAAACACAAUGAACAAAUUAGGAACAGAAAUCUCGAAACAUCAUCAGAUUAACAACGAUUUGAACCUCAGAACAUACCAGAAACGAAAUUUAAUCAACGGAACAACGAUAGGAAGAACCCAAGUACUUGCAUUUAACAAGCACCGACAAGGGCACAAAUCAGUCUCAGGUAAUUUAAGUUUUGCAGAAUCCAAAAUAUUAAAACUGUGUUGAACUGACAAACAGAAUGAUGACACAUUGCAAGCUGAGACUAAAAAUAGUUCACAUGACAACAGCAAUGGCCAUAGACAAAACUUCAGCGAUAUUGAAGCAUCUAGGUAUAACAAAAGCAGAAGCGGAAUCAACCACCAGACACAUCAUUUCUUCUUGGCUGCAGCCUUGGUAACCUUGGCGCCGGUAGGGUCCUUCUUCUCCACACUCUUGAUGACUCCAACAGCUACCGUCUGCCUCAUGUCACGGACAGCAAAGCGACCCAGAGGAGGGUACUCGGAGAAGGUCUCCACCACCAUGGGCUUAGUGGGAAUCAUCUUCACCAUACCAGCAUCACCAUUCUUCAGGAACUUGGGUUCCUUCUCAAGCUCCUUACCAGAUCGUCUGUCAAUCUUGGUAAUGAGCUCAGCAAACUUGACAGCAAUGUGGGAGGUGUGGCAGUCCAGCACUGGGGCGUAGCCAUUGCCAAUCUGCCCAGGGUGGUUCAUGAUGAUGACCUGGGAGGUGAAGCUGGCAGCCUCCUUGGCAGGGUCAUCCUUGGAGUUGGAGGCCACGAACCCACGCUUGAGAUCCUUCACAGCAACGUUCUUCACGUUGAACCCAACGUUGUCACCAGGAAGGGCCUCCUGGAGAGCCUCGUGGUGCAUCUCGACUGACUUCACCUCAGUAGUCAGGCCAGUGGGACCAAAGGUGACAAGCAUACCAGGCUUGAUGAUACCGGUCUCAACACGGCCAACAGGGACGGUUCCAAUACCACCGAUCUUGUACACAUCCUGAAGGGGAAGACGGAGGGGCUUGUCCGAAGGCCUCUUGGGCUCGUUGAUCUGGUCAAG